rnacentral:lncRNA from 1 species
AUACAAUAUAGUUGAAAACAAUCCAUCUAAGAUAGUACAGACUCAAUCGGAUGAAUCAAAGGAGCCCUAGUGUUCAAGCUCCCGUCUUUGCGGUAAACUUAAGUGGUGGCUUCAAGAAAUGGAUAAUCAGUGUAACCAAUGACGGGAUCAGGUAUGUAGAAUGUCUCUUUGUUGUACUUGUUUAGAGGAGCAUAAUCUCUUUGGCAAAUCUGGAUUCGCCAAGAAAAUACGGCCAUAAGCAAUAAGAUCUGCACUGCCCUCGGCCACAGCACUGUUUCCAUCUUCCCCGUCAUAACCACCAGCAGCAAUGAAGGUACCAUGGAAAGACUUUCUCAUGGGAAGAAGACUGGUGGGUUUCAUCUUUUUCUCCCAUUGUCUUCAUCCUCGGCUCAACCAUGUGGCAGUACACAAUUCCAUAUUUGUUCAAGGCAUUGGCCAUAUAGAGGCCUAAUUCUUUUGGAUUUGAAUCCCCUGAGUCCAUAUAGUCAGCAAAUGGAGAUAAUCUAAUUCCAACUUUAUCUGCUCCUAUUUCGUUAGCGACAGCUUCAACAACUUCCAGAGGAAGGCGGCAACGAUUCUCUAGAGAUCCACCAUAUUGGUCUGUUCGAUCAUUCACAUGAUCUUUCAGAAACUGAUCAAGAAGGUAGCCAUGCGCCCCAUGAAUUUCAACUCCAUCGAAGCCUAUAUAGCAGAUUAACAAUUUCAACAUACUGACGGUAUUAGAUCCUAAAGCAUUGAAGCAAAUUGAGUUGUUGUAAAUUAUGUUUCAUAUGUAACGUAAAGACAAAUUACCAGCUUCAAUAGAAUUCCUUGCAGCAAGUCUAAAAUCAUUGACAAUUUGUGGAAUUUCAUCUGUCCUUAAUCGUCUUGGAGGCGUGAAUUCAGAAGCAUCGAUGCCAUUUAAUCGUAUCGGCUUGUCAGUAGAAGUUAUUGGAGCUUGCCCAUUUGGUUGAUAACCUGUAAGCAAGGAGAGAAAGAAUUAUAACCUGAAGUCUAACGACAGUAACUAACAUCCACAGCAGCACUCUUUUAAGUGGGAAUCCUUUGUUACAAAUUACUAUAACCACACGUGCUAUAUACUAGUUCUGAAUUCUGAGUUAUGUUAACAUCAAACUUCUUCCCAUCCAAUAAUAAUAAAGGAACUUUAACGAAAAACUCCCGGUAUUGUUCACUUUAAUGAAAAACUACAUUUUUACACUAAAAAGUUAAUCCUGGUAUUAUUCACUUUACCCUUUAUUUUUUCCUUAUCAUUAAAACUCAAAGUUUUCAAGCCAUUUUCAUUAGUUUUCCUUAAUAAUAAUACAAAUGCUUCCGAAACAGCAAGGUCAUAAGAGUGGUGUCUUCUUAUGGGUUAUGUUAAAAACACCAACUCGGAACUUAACAAGUCCAAGUUUUAUCGUCAUUUGAGCAACAAUGUUGUCAAUUAUAAUCACUCGCUCGUUCUGAUGCAUACACCAUUAUGUUAUACAUCAAACUUCUGAAUAGGUCUAAUUAUUCACUCAUGUUAACAAAGCAUUCUAUGGUAAAAGUGAGGUCAUAAAGGUGUAAGUCAGAAACGCACUGCUAUUAGAAACCCUUCCAACAUGCCAAAUCUGACAGAAGAAGACGCCACCUUUAGCAUGAACAGCAUCAACAAUGGGUUUCCAGGCUUCAACUUGCUCCAUUGUCCAUAUACCAGGUGUGUUCGGGUACCUUCGUAUAUUAAAGAACCAAAAAUUUCAUCAAACUUUGAAACGAAAUAAACGCCCUCAAAUGCUUGUUAGUCUAUGAAUCUACUGUUGUUGAAAUUACCCUUGAGCUGUGUCGGAAACUCCAGUGGCUUCAGCUAUGAGAAGACCCCCAUUCGAAGUUCUCUGAGAGUAAUAUAAGAUAGCAUGUGGUUGAGGAACAUUGUUGUAUGAUCUCUGUCUGGUCAAUGGUGCUAAAACAAUUCUGGAAAGGAAAAAGAAAUUGUAAAUUAUAAAUACAGAGUGAUCAAGACGGAAUGUGGGUGAGGAACAUUAUCGAAUGACCUGUAACUACUAAUUGUUGUAUGAUCUCUGUCCUAGUUACAAUGUAAAUAUACAAUAAGCGUAUUCUGCACGAGCUCCUAGGAAUUUGACAAUCAAACAAUCUUGAACACAAAGCAAGUAAUUCAUAGCGGUCGACAUCAAUACAAACCAACGAGCAGAAACUCGCAAACGAAACCCUGGUUAUCCAACCAAUCAACUAAACCAAUUCCUUGCUUUACAAGUAACGUGAACAAGCAAAUGUUACAUAAUAAACCAUCCAAUGAAAGUUGCUGCUUUUAUUUCUGAAAAUUCAGGAUUCUUGCAUAGGCAAAAAAACAUUUGACAAUCACAAAAACUGCCCAGUAACCUGCAAGUUGCCCAAAAAAUAAGCAGUAAUUUCAUUUUUCUUGUAAGAAAACCGGGAUUUUCUGCAACCCUGUUUCCAAAUGAACAAAACCCAACAGCCCAAAUCUCAACUGCUCCAGCAGAAUAAGUCAACAAAAUCAAUGCAGAAUGUAGAAGAAUAUAAACUGUAGAAAAGGUUGAGCCCGUGAGUUAAGUUACCUAUGAGAAAGAUUGAAGUUUCCAAGUUUGUAAGGAGCAAGGAGAGGGCUUGUGGGACCACCUACUUGAGCUUGAUUAGUGGUAGCCAUUUCAAUUCAACUGGUUUCAGAGCUUGAUCCUUAUUUUUUAUUUGAUUUGAUUUGAUAUGCUCUCAUAUUGGUGUAAGAAUCCUAUGUGAACUCAACUAGUUAUAGAUAAAGGAGAAAUAAUAUGUUGGUAAUACAAAUUAAUAAGAGUUUGGAUACGUGGAAAGCUACAUCAUAUAAUGAGGGGUAUACUUUCAUCGUGCAUUUGAAAAGAAAGCACUAAUCACAACCACCUCUACACUAUUGGGACUUGAAGCAACGGGAAAAUAACCGACCCUCCACGAUAGAUGGGAGUUGGCUGUCGUUGCUUCUAUAAGCGCAAGAGUUCCCUGCUCACAAGGAAGCACGUUCUGCAAUUAGGGUUCUAUCACCAUUGGAAUAUAAGGUCUUGAGUGAGUAGAAGAAUUCUUGAGUGUGUUAACAGUAAUCAUGGCUGCACCAGGUAAGUCUUUCUUGUCUAAUUUCAUAUCGUGACCUAGUAUGCAUGCGAAUAACUAAGGUUAUUCCAACAAUUGGGAUAUUUAUACCGUUCGGGGAGAGGAGGAAGAGGAACUAUAAAACAACACUAGCACUAGCUGGGGAGGCAGAGGCAGUGGUAGGCCGGGCGGCUCCUUUUGAAAUGUUUGAUGACGUUUGUAAUUACGUAAUCAUGUUUUUUUUUUUUUUUCUUUUCUAACGUAGGAAGUAUGGUAUUGGUAUCUGAUUGGACUAUCUCCAAAGAAAAUAUUAAAUUUUAGGCAUAAAAUUUCAAUUUAAAAGUUUAUGUGGCACUUUAAUCUUUUUUGAAAUUUUGUUAUUCACCGAUGUGUCAAAUUUAAAUUAUUAUUUAUCACAUUAAUUUACUUCUAAUAAUUGUAGUAAGUUUUUUAAAACAGAAAAUAAUAAUAAAAACGAGAAAAAGAAUUUAGUAAUCACUUAAAAUAGAUUUGAAGUUGUUGUCAGAUUUGAUAGCUACCACCUUUGUUAAUCCAUAUCAUAUCACAUAGGAAUUGGUAUUUCACUUGAAAAACACUAAUACAAUCUUUAUUAACUGUUAUUGCUAAUAUGGACUUUUCAUCUCUGAUACCACAUGAAAGGGUAGCACAUUUUUAGCAUUUUGAUCAAAUAAUCUAUCAAAGCAGAGCCGAUGGCCCAAAAAUAUAUCCUCAAAUUAAAAGGGUUAAAAUUUGUGCUCACUUUGCACUUGACAAAUCCCAAAAUAGAAAAAUUUCUUCCAACUGAAAGGAGAUGUCAAAUGUGAUGCGGAAUGCCAUGUGGGAUAGAAAAACAACACAAUUUCUUCCAACCGAAAUGUUAUUAGUUGACAUGGAUUGACUGCAUCGCCUUUGACUGUCUUUUUUGGUAGCAUAAGGCUUGAGGGUCAAAUGCUUUUAUUUUUAUUUUUUUUAACGAACGACAUUAUCUACACUAAGGGGGAGGAGAUGAGUUUAUCCUUAUAAUGGGUAGCAUUAAUAUGGUUCAAAUUAGUCUUUGGCAAGAAUCGAAUAUAAGAUUUCUCACUUACAAGUAAAAAAGAAUACCACUAGACCGUAUUACUAAGUGUCGCUUUUAAUUUUUUUUUUUAAUGCAUGAAUACCAUUGCCAACCAAUAAGAUGGAAAAAAAAAUCAUUUUUAAUAGUUAAUGCAGUGCCACUUAAUACAAGGAUCUCGUGGUAUUUCUCUUCAUUUGUAAGUGAGAGGUCUUAAGUUUGAUUCUUACCAAAUGCGAAGUUGAGCCAUAUUAUUGCUAGCCCAUUAUGAGGCUUAAGCCCACUUUCUCAUCUCCUUAGUGUAGAUAAUAUCGUUUGUUCAAAAAAAAAAAGACACAACCAUGUAGCCCAGUGUAUUAAGAGUGCUGAUAAACUUACUUCAUUGUCUUAUCUCUUACUCAUUUUUUAAUAUAAAAAAAAUUGGAUACUAAUCUAAUCUCUUGUAAAAUGACAUCUAAGGACCAAGCAAAAAUUAAAAAAAGAAAAUAGGACUCUCUUCUUUGUUCACCAUCUUUCUGCAACUACCUAAAUCCCUUCAAAUAAUUUUUUUUUUUUUUUUUUUUUUUUGUGUUCCACAAAAAAAAAAUUCUUUUUUGUUGCCCUAGCUUAAUUAUAUAUAAUAGUUGUUCAAAACACUUUACUAAUAUAAUAAUUAUUUAAAAUUUUGAAAAAUAAAAUGUGAGACCAGAAGAAGGAAUUGGGCUUGGAGAGAUGGAAUUGGGUGUCCCGAAUUUGAAAAUGGGGCAUGAGGAUGAAAUUUUGAGAAUGUUGCAUGCAGCUUGGUCGUGAGAAUUGGAAGGGGAGGAAAGGGGACUGCGUUGGGGGUCUGGAUAGAGGGAAGGAAGGAGAGUUGCAAUCAGCUGGAGAACUGGUAAGUGACCGAAUUAUGGGAUUCUUACUAGAAUUAAAAUCUGGAAGGGGAGGCUUUGAAAUUCGCGGUGGGUGGAGUCUACCUGGAAUUUCAACGCUCUAAUAUUUAUUUUUUUUCAAAAAUUAAAAAAUAACUUAGAUAUAUACAUUAGAGGUUAUUUUAAGAAUAAUAGUGGACAAAAUAGUAUUUUUAUUUUUUAACUUUUUUAGUGGAUGAAAUUAUAAUGUGAGUAAGAAAAUAAGACUUAGGGUGGAUCUUGCAACACUCUAUAUUAAUAAAGUAUAUAUUUAACAUAUUCAUUGUAAAGAAAAAAAAUUUAACAUCUCUAUUUGAUUGGCCACGUCAACCAGUAAAUUUAAUUUUGACAAUAAUUAUAUUACACGUUCAUUGAAGAUGCUGUUAUCAAAUCAUCAUACAAUGCGCUAGUUGAGAAUAGAUGGCUGCCAAUGUGGACGGCACCAACGACCAACGACCAUUUGACAAUAAUUUGGAUGCCUUACUUUUAUCCAAAUAAUUGCAUCCUAUUGUAAAAUCGACGGCGUGUUCAGUGAAAUAAAUAAACAAGACACAAAAUUUACGAGGUUCCUCUGCAGUCAGUGUGACUGGAGUACAUCCUCGGGACAGCAGUGGUGCUUUCAUUAUAAUCUGAAAUAAUAAGAGUACAAAGAUAACUCUCUCUAUUAUCUCCUCUCCUCUUCCUUUCUUUUCUCUCUUCCUCUUCCUCUCUUUUCUCUCUUCCUUUCUUCCUUCCUAUCUCUCCCGUGAGUCUCCCACAUUCAUCUCCCAAUCUUUUUUUUUUGUGUUCCAUAAGACUUGCUUUUAUAGAAGCAAAUCACAAGCAACAUAGUGAAAGGCUUACUAUAUGCAUGUGAGUAUUUACUAUACACAUUACUAUACACAUGUGGUACUUUACUAUACACAUUACUAUACACAUGUGGGCAAACAUACCCACUAUUUACAACACUCCCCCUUAGAUGCCCACAUAUCAAUAUCAGUUUUUGGAUGCUCCCCCUGACGAGUAUCUCCCCCUGAUUUCAACUUCUUUAGGCUAAUCAUUGAUCAUUAUGCUUCAGUCUCUUAGCAAAAAGAGUUGCCGAAAUAGUUACUUUACUUGUUGUUAACUUUCCACAGGCUUGUUCUUGAACUGGGCUGGAGGGCCUCAAAGGUCUGAAUUUACUUCUUUUAUCUGGAGCUAAAUUUAAUUCAAGGGUGAUGGACACUUGAUCUUGAAUCAAACUUGUGAUUUCUUCAAAGACCUUCGAGGCUUGAUCUUGAAUGAAGUUGUACCGUGAGGAGUUUCACGUGACAAGUGAUCUUCGACUUUGUCGGGGAUGAAUCAGCACGUGUUUGUUGCGCUUGUCUCCACAUGCUUCAAUAUAUCAUUUUCACUUGCCUUACUUGUUACCCUUGCAUAAGUGGUAUUUUACCUGGGUUUCCCCCUACAUGUGUGGCAUCUUCUCUUGUAGGAUUUGUCCCCUGAUGCAGGAGUGGAAUGCAAACCCUUGCAUUUGAAUGGUUCAUCACUUCUUGGUGACUGGAGACCCAGCUCCAACAACAGUUGAAGAUGACUACUCUUGCUCUCGUCCCUGAAGAUAUGAGAUAAUCUUGCUCUGGUGUGACUUGUUUGAAGAUGUAUUCUCGGAGAGGAAGAAAACUGAGUAUUUCGAGAUGCUGUGUUGAAGAUGCAUUCUCGGAGAUGAGGAAGAGUUGGACAUGCUUGCAGGUCUGCCUUGUUAUGGAGAACGGAGGUCGACAUAUAUAGAGAUUUCCCAAUAGCAAGUGGUGGUGCUGUGCCUUUACUCUUGUCAGCAACUGUGGUGUAAUUAGAACAAUAAGAUUUACGCGUUUUCAACUUUGUCAGAGAUCUUUGACAAAGUUGCAUGCAAUAUCCGAAAAAGCUGAGAUUGCGUCUGAAAAAUGCCAACGAACUUUAUUCAGGAAAUCUGGCUUUUGAAAUUCGAAGAACGGUGCCUCUUUGAUCUCUGAACAAGUGGCUAUGUUGCCUCUUUUUUUAUAGAGACAUCAGUUCAAGAGUAUGCUCAGAAAGUUGCUGCCUGUAGAAAUUUCGCCCAUCUUGCACUUCUGAAAUUUUAUUUGACCUCUUUUUUCCUUCAUCAUUUUUGAAAAUGACUUGCUCAUCUAACAUUUGCUUAAAUUUGAAUCUUAGGAGUGAUACAGACGAGCAGCGUCAGGAUAAAAUAUGGCGCCCGUCCUUCUUAUCUUCUAAUGGUUCUCUUACGGUUGGGGACUCUGUGAUGAAGAAUAACAUAACCGCUACUGUGGUAGUUAGGAAUCUUCUCACUCCAAAGGAUAACAGGAUCCUUUCAAAACGAUCUAAUGAGUCGACCGUUCAAGACUCAUUGGCUCUUAGUGUUCAGUGUGCUAGCUCUGUUUCCAAUAUGGGCCAACACCUACUUGCUCAAACUCACCAAGUUGAAUCAUUGAUGGCUGAGGUGGCAAGUCUUAAACAAGAGAUUAGAUGGCUCAAGCACGAGAAUAGACUGUUACACGUGCUUGCAAAUAAUAACUCGACGAGCAUGAAAAGAAAGCUCGAUCAGCUGCGAGAAUCCGAAAGUCGGAUUCAAAGUGAUUACCAGAGGUUCGUUGCUAGAUUCCGAAAGCAACUGAUGUCUUCCCCUUCUGGUGUUUUGCCAAGUACUGGGAUGCCACAUGAUCAAUCUCCAGUGCCUCCCCCUUCUGGGGUACUUUCGAGUACUGAAGCUUCACAUGAGCAAUCUUUGUGAAGGCUCAAUCCUGUUUGUUUGUUUUAACUCAUGUGUAUGUACAUAUCUGUAAUUUCUUGGAGAUAUUAAUAGAUAAGCUUUAUUUCAUUCAAUGUAUUGUGCCAAAUACAAUAAAGCAUAUACUUCACUAAGAUGUGGUACUUCUGGACCAAAUAUUAAUUUAUCUUUACCCUUAUGAAAAUAAAUGAUUAUUCUUAGUGUCUUCAUCAUUUGAGUAUUCAACUCAUAAUCUUCAAUCCAUACGGUUCUUUUAAUAUCAUAAACAUCAUGGAUAAGAUUCGUGUUGGUAGAUUGUUCGAUCUGCAACCCGUGACAAUAAUUCUCUCAACACUUUAUAAUCUUUCUUGACUCUUCAGGAGUCUCAAUUUAAUAUCAUCAAGUCUUCAAGAGUUCUAAUUUAAUGUCAUUGACUCUUGCAAGAGAUUUUCGUAUGUUGCAACAAUAUCAUAAUGAUAGUACUCACUAAGACAAUUUAUACCAUCCAUUGAUAUUGAGUACAUAUUUUAUGAUUUACCCUUCGGGGGCUUACUUCAAGCAAUUUGAAUCCUUCAGGGAUUUUCUACACUUCAUGACACAUUUUUCUUUGGAAUUUAUACAGAGCAAUUUGCUCCCAUGUAUACUUGAGGGAUUUACUUAUGGAGAUAUGAUGUGGGCGACUCACAACCCUUCGUAUAUAAUUCUCUAUUUAUAUGAACUCGUUUACAAGAGUAUAAUUUCAGGUUUCAAUUAGUAACCUUGUGUCAUAUCAUGUGAGUGUAUUACACUGUAUUACAAAUGCCCAUAUGUAACCUCCUUGGUUCAACAUCUUCUGGCUAUUUGUAUUGUAUUCAAAUAUAUAGGUCCAUUUUUCCACGUUCUUACAAAAUUGUAAUGGAAUUGCCUUUCUCCAUUUUUGGCCAAUAAUUUUCCUUUUGUCGACGAACAAAAGAACGUAAUUCAAUAUUAACACAGCUCAUUGAUGAAUUUAGUAGCUACUUGUAAAAACCAAAAUUACCAUUGGUUAUCAUCAAUCCGUGAUCCCAUAUUCUCAUGUGCAUGCACAUGCAUAAAAGCUUUUCAUUUCUUUGGAUAUCCAUUACCUCUUCAAGGGCAUGACACUAUCUAUUCCAGGAUAGUCAUAAUUUAGAGAAUGUGGAUCAUAACCUCCUCUUGAGCAUUAUUGAGCUUGGAUUUUAAUCUCCACUUCCGGGGAGUUGAGUCAUUGGAACCUAUACGUUUAUCAUGCUACAUGCAUGAGACAUCAAUAUUCCCAUGUCCGUGGAUUGUCCUAUCUGGGACGUGUAUCCAUGCGGCGACUGUCAUGCUUCUGGCAUGCAACAGUUAUGCUUCAGGAAUGUAAUAGUUCAGUAGUGCCAUAUUUCUUCUUUCGAAUAACUGAACCUUUUGAGUCUAAAGGUUUGUCACGCUUCAGGCGUGCAACAGAGAAAUUAUUUACUAGCUCACUAUAUUGUCCAACAGGGACAUUAAUUCUUGUAGGCACAUUUGCAACAAAUAUAUGUCAUUUCAUCACUUUCUUGCAUCAUUAAAUGCAUCUAGCAUUUGAUUGAUAUAUCGUUGCAUCAUUCAAUUAUUCUUACUUCAUUUUUAUGUUGAUUGCUUCGUGAAUCAAAAUAAGACAAAUUCUCUUCAUUCUUCUGGAACGGUCUUUUCUUAUCAUUCUUUUGAAAUGAUAUUUUCUCAUCGUUCUUCUGGAACAAUGUUAUUUUCUCCCCCUAACGGUGGGAAAUUGUCUUAUCAAAAUGACGAUCCGCAAACCACGCGGUAAACAUAUCCUCAAUCAAGGGUUCCAAAUAUUGAAUGAUAGAUGGUGUUCAACAUCAAUGCCUAAUCCGCGAUGAUGCCUCAUUUCAGUACGUUGUGGCAAUGCAAUAGGCACAUAGAUAACAUAACCAAAAACUCGUAAAAGUAUAAUGCUUGGCUGGUUCCCAAACACGAGUUGUACUGAGAAGUAUUGAUGAUUGGUAACAUGUCUCAACCGAAUUAAUAAUGCAUCAUGUAAAGUUUACAUGUCCCCAUGUAGAAAACUGGCAAUUUCGUUUUAAUGAGCAGAGCGCGGGUAAUCAAUUUCAUUCACUUAAUAAAUGCUUCUGCUAAACCAUUUUGAGUAUGGACAUAAGCCUUAUUUAAUAGUCUAUAGACUGAGACUCUUAUGGCUUUUAUUACAAUUAAGUUAAGGCACUGCAGCACUUCAAACUUACGGUACUCAUCUAGGAACUUCAUGUCCUGAUCUUGAGGAUCAAGGGACUUCAUACCUGAUCUUUUUGCGUGAUGGAACUUCAGGUCUAAUCAUUUUUAUAUGAUGAGGAUCAAGAAACUGCAGGUUCUCAUCUGAUCAAUGAACUUUAGGUCCUAUAUAUACUCAUUGUAACAAAAGAUAAGUACAAUAAAUAAAUUAAAGCAAUAGGCGGUAAUUCCAGCCAUAAUGAAUAAAUUGCAUUUAAGUAAAUAAAGUUUGUGACAAGGGCUUUAAUUCAGCACCAUCAAAACUUAAAGCAAUAGGCGAUAAAACCGUCCAUGAUAAAUAAAUUGCUUUAAAGUAAAUAAAGCUUGUGACAAGGGCUUUGAUUCAACACCAUUCACAUAAAUAUCAAAACUUUAAAGCAAAGGGUAAUAAUUCUACCCACUAUAAAUAAAUUGCUUUAAAUAAAUAGAAUUUGUGACAUGGGCUUUAAACAAACACCAUACACAUAAAUAUCAAAGUUUUAAAGCAAAAGGUAAUAAUUCUGCCCACUGUAAAUAAAUUGCUUUAAAUAUAUAGAACUUGUGACAUGGGCUUGAAACCAACACCAUGCACAUAUAUAUCAAAGCUUUAAAGCAAAGGGUAAUAAUUCUACCCACUGUAAAUAAAUUGCUUUAAAUAAAUAGAACUUGUGACAUAGGCUUUAAACCAACACCAUGCACAUAAAUAUCAAAGCUUUAAAGCAAAGGGUAAUAAUUCUACCCACUGUAAAUAAAUUGCUUUAAAUAAAUAGAACUUGUGAUAUGGGCUUUAAACCAACACCAUGCACAUAAAUAUGCCAAAACAGAAAAUGCAAUGAUUAAGUCCUCAUCAUUUGCUUUUUCUUUUUCUUGGUCUACCACUUCUUUUGUUUGAUUCCUUUUAUUUUUAUUUUUAUUUCACAGUUCUGAAGUCAUUUUGGUUACUCAGUAAAUAAUAGUAACAAUAAGUUCCAAUUGGUGUUCCUCCUCCGAUGAGUUUCGAAAAAGUCGAAACGGUUCCCAUAAGUUUUGGAGUCAAGAGUGUUUGCAACUUAUGAGAAGAUCCAACCGUUAGAUUUAGUUCACAUUUUAGUAUGAUAUGGAUAAGAGGAUACCGAACAACUUUCGUGAAGAAACAAUUUCAAUCUGAGCUACCGAAAUGGAGUUUUGGUACUCAUAAGGUGGAUGUCCAGUUUUCUGCGGAAAUUGGAAACUAGUUUGGUAUUUCAGACAUCUGUGAUGAUCGCACCGUUAAAGUGUUUUGAAAAUUUGAUAUGUUCUAAAUACUGAGCAGACGAACAACUUUCAAGAAGAAAGUAUUUCAAUCCGAGGACCGCAAGUUGGAGUUCCAAGGUUGUUUACAUGGCUGUCAAAUUCUUUACGAAUUUUGAGUCUGAACUCUUUUGCUUCUGCAAAGGAUGAUAUACAGUUAUACAACAAUAUAUAUAGUUGCUUCAAGAAAAUCAAUUGUACUGAGAUUUGAAGAUGAAAUGAAAUUUUUUUUGUUAUCUGUGAUAUUCCAGCUGAAGGAGGUGAACAUGAUUUGUGACGCUGUGCUUUCCACUGACAUAAGAGCUUCUCGUGCUGAUAACGUGUUGUAAAAUCGACGGCGUGUGCAGUUGAAUAAAUAAACAAGACACAAAAUUUACAAGGUUCCUCUACAGUCAAUGUGCCUGGAGUACAUCCUCGGGGCAGCAGUGGUGCUUUCAUUAUAAUCUGAAAUAAUAAGAGUACAAAGAUAACUCUCUCUAUUAUCUCCUCUCAUCUUCCUCUCUUUUCUCUCUUCCUCUUCCUCUCUUUUCUCUCUUCCUUUCUUCCUUCCUAUCUCUCCCGUGAGUCUCCCACAUUCAUCUCCCAAUCUUUUUUUUUUUGUGUUCCAUAAGACUUGCUUUUAUAGAAGCAAAUCACAAGCAACAUAGUGAAAGGCUUACUAUAUGCAUGUGAGUAUUUACUAUACACAUUACUAUACACAUGUGGGAAAACAUACCCAUUAUUUACAUCACAUCCAUGCUUUUUGGUUCAAUUAUUUUCUUUUUCUGUUUCAUCCUUUCAUUUGAUUCAUCAUGCUCAACGGGACCGUCAUUGUUACCAAGGGCCAUCAUCACUUUUGGUAGGAUUUUCAUUUGAAACUUGCUUCACCUUGUUACUCUUUUUCAAUUAUUCCAAUUAAAGAGGUAGAUGAUGCUUUAUUGCAGUGAUGGAAAACAAUUAUGCUUAUGUACUCUUGUGCAGUUUCGAUCCUCAUAGAUUCGCUUCCUCCUAAACCCAAAACCACUUAGACUUUCUUAACUUUUGGAAUCUACUACAUAUGUUACCUUCCAUUUUUUUGCCAUAAAAACAUCUUACCACUCACGUGGAGGGAUAUUUUUCGUCAAUCCACUUCCUAAAGCUCGCUACAAUGAAUUUGCACAAAUUCAAAAUGCAUUUUUUUAGCAACGUUGGAGUCAGGUAAUGAAGAGACGGGUUUGAUUUUGAGAAGGGUUGUUGAAAAAUUGAAGUGAAAAAUGAUUAGUGGCAUUUACAUUUGUUGUUUGGUAGAUGGUGGCUGCAUGUGUUUUUUCUGGGUUUUUGGUUCUUUAUUACUUAGACUUACUAAAAAUUCAAAUUAUUUAUUGUUUUGUUGUAGGCAUAAUUUACUGACCAAUUAUGGAGGCCAGAAAGAGAGAGAAGGUGAGGCAUGGAGAGAGAAGAGAGGGAUGUGUAAUUGUGAGAUGGAGAGAAGGUUCUAUUCCACCCCAUUGUGCCUUUAUUUAUAGUAGUAGGGAAGGUUAAUUCCUUACACUUUUAGGAUUACAACUCUAAUAGGAUAUUAACUACUAAGGGAAUAUUCAAAGAUGGCCCUAGAUACACUAUGAUUUAUACAAUCGCAUUCCUAAUCUAAUAGGACUACAACACUCCCCCUUGAGUGUGUAAAUACUCAACUAAAUGGCGCAUUAGGUCUUCAACGAUGAAGUAAGUACAAUUGAUGAAGUUGUCAGCACAAUGAGCGAAUGAGAGUCUCAUAUCAAUGAAAGAAUGCAUAAAAAGUAAAACUCACAAAACCUCGCUAUGGUAAAACCUAAGGUGGGAGAAAAACCCAUAGACUAAGGAGAAAAGUGAGAAGUUGCAUUAAAUCAAAACUAUACGUCUUCUGGACGCAAGUAGAAGAGCUCACAAAGGUAUGAUCAGCCCAGGAUGGGUGCCUCGUCAAAACCUAGUUAGGUAGCAAAAACCCAGUAGGAAAAAUGCUCCUAAUCGUAGGAAAAAAAAAUACAUUAAGAUCAAGUGAGUAUACUUCUGGAUACUCCCUCAGAGUUUGACAGAACUUCCAAAUGAGAACUACAGGCAUUGCAUAUGAAUAGUUAGGCAGACCAGUUCCUUAGACAAGCUUAUGGAAGGUUGACUUCGGUAGUGACGUCAUGUAGAGGUCGGCAAGGUUGUCUAGGAUUGGCUUGCAUGACUUCAAUCACCUGAUGCUUUGCUGAUGUAGAUGUAGAUGCAAUAGGUCUUGGCGUUGACUUUGUUGAUGUAUCAUGUCUUGGUCGGGUUGAUACAUGCGGCAUAGUCUUCAUGGAUCAUCAUCGGGACUCAACGAUGGAUGAUAACAGCAAGUACUUUGAAUAUGCUCAACAAGAACUCCUAACCAUGUCUUACGUGUGGCAUAGUGAAGUGAGAUAUAUGAUGCUUUAUUGCAGUGACGGAAAACAAUUAUUCUUAUGUAGCUUUGUUCAAUUUCGAUCCUUGCAAAUUAGCUUCCUCCUAAACCCAAAACUACUUAGACUUUCUUAACUUUUGGAAUCUACUACAUAUGUUAGCUUCCAUCUUUUUGCAGUAAAAACAUGCUGCCACUCACGUGGAGGGAUAUUUUUCGUCAAUCCACUUCCUAGAGCUCACUGAAUUAAUUUGCAAAAAGUCAAUAUGCAUUUUCCUGCAGCGUUGGAGUCAAGUCAUGAAGAGACGAGUUUGAUUUUGACAAGGGUUGUUGAAGAAUUGAAGUAAAAAAUGAUUGCUGGCAUCUACAUUUGUAGUUUGGUGGAUGGUGGCUGCAUGUUUUUUUUUGGGUUUUUGGUUCUUUAUUACUUAGACUUACUAAAAAUUCAAAUUAUUUAUUGUUUAACAUCGUAAUAUGUGUUUUGUGUCGGGUUUGUUGUGAUGACUGUAUUGGACAAUUGCUAAAGACAAAUCUUAGUCUAUUAGGUCCUUAUGCAUAGACACUGUUCUAAAAAUUCAUGUCUAGCAUAGCGCAGUCUAGGCGCUAGGCAACUGACCACUAUCCCGAUUAGUUGAAAUAGGGCACCUACACCUGCUUAGGCACCCGCCCAGACUAGCCUAGGUACCUUCCUAGGUCGCAACUCUCAUUUAGACAGAAAAUGGAUAGAAUUCAUUUUGCAUUUUAUUUGUUUCAAUAUAUUAUAAGAGACUUGUUAGAUAAUUAAAUGGAUAUACUUUAUAUGCUUGUUCCUCAUGUUUUUAUUAUAUUCUAAUACUUUAUAAUCUAUGUCAUUCUAUUUUACAAUUUAUGUAUUUAAGUGAAAUUAUCUAUUUUUUAAGUAUAAAUAGACACCUAUUUAUAUGAUGUAUAAUAAAUUUCAUUGUGACGAGAACACAAGUGGUACACCACGUGUUUUAAUAGAAGUGGUGGGAAAUUUUAUUUUUUUUAAUUAUUAACUUUUUAGCACACAUAUCCUACCAUUUGUAUAAUGACACGUGGUGCCCCAUCCCCUAUACCGGUCACACUGAAAAAUCUCUCCACUCUGGGAGGUUAAAGUGAAAGCAUGCCUUAAAUAACCAAAAAGAGAUUAAUGCAAUUUCAACAUUGAUUGUAAUAGAGGAGCAGUUAGCAUCAUACUAAUAUUGGAGUAGAGAGACUUGUAACAGAGAAAGCUCAACCAAAUAUCUUACAGAAUGAAAUUGAAGAAGAAGAACCAGAGAGCCUGAUGGGUACAACUUGGGAGAACUUAGAAGCCUAUAUGGGAACUCAUCUAGUGAUGAAGAACCGGAUUCAAUGAGAAGGAAUAGGAGGUAGAAGAAACAACCCAAGUUUAAACAUCAUAGAAAAGAAACUGAUGUCAGUACCAUAGAGUUUGAUUUGGGGAUGUCUUUUCUUAUUAGACUAAACAUAUAAACCAAGAUCAUGUAACAUGAAUCACAGCCACCCAAACACAAACUGUAGUUCAUGACUAUUGUACAGAGUAGAAAUCUUACCUGCAGAUGCACCAGAAGAAGAAGCCACUAUAUAUAGGUCUUAGUCCGAGACAGAGCGUAAUAUCUGUGAGAGGAUAGACCACUAUAUAUAUAGAACAUAAUCCUAGCCAAAACCAAUAAGGAUUUUCCUAUUAAAAUCCAUACAGCAAACUGAAAUUGUUUACAAUAGGUGAAUCAGUUCCUUGUUCUAUUUGAAUCCUAGAACAACAUGGAUUAAUAAUCAGUACUCAUUAAGACUUUCUAUCAAACUUGAGACGAAUCACCAAUUCUCUAGACUCAUGCUCAUAUUCUUGCAUUCCCAAGUUCCAAGGAAUUCAAAGAAGUUGUGAAUAGACACUUUUAUAAUAUGCAGGUCUUACGAGUUAACCACAAAUGGUUGGUACAAGGUUAAGGCUCAAAUUCAUGCCCUUGGCAAGUGAUGCUUCUAAUGACCAAUCUGAUAGACAUUCUCCUUUAUAUGUAAAACAUUUGUUCCAAAUCACACUUGUGGAAAAGAUGAAAACAAUACGAGUGUGACCAGUACUUGGUUGGCUGAGAGAUAUGCUGAUGAUAUGAAGAUCAAUCCCUUUUUUUUUUUAAUAAAGGACGGCAUAUAUAUAUGAAAAUCAAUCCUAAAAUGGAUGUUAAGACAAUGAAAGCUACAAUGAGGGAUUAUCCAUUCUAAUCCCUCUCCAAAUGAUAGGAUUGUGAGUGAUAAGUUUAUUUCAUUCCAAUCCCCUUUGAAUUUUAAGAGUUGCCUAUUCCAAUCUAAACCUAGAGACGAAACGCGGCCAUAUAUUACAAAGACAAAGAUUCUAAAACGGCCUUCGCUCAGAGAAGAAAAAAAAGCCAUGCAGUGAGAACAUCUAAGGGAAACGAGUUGAUCCUCAAUAAACGCCUCAAUAGAAUGACGUAUCUUUGUUAAAGCAUCUGCCACAAAAUUAGCUUAAUCUAAAACAUGAUAGAAGCUGAUAUGAUCAAGCAUCCCAUGUUUGCUGAAAAGAUGAAAGAAGGAUCUUUCCAAGUUUAGGAAGGUGGGAGUUGCCAAAGAGAAACCGAUUUGAGCCGCAUCUGCUCCAAAUAUCUCAGGCAAACGGUCAGCUGACAAAAUGCGGUCAAUGGCUUCAACAUCUUGAGAAUAAAAGGCACAACUAGGAUCAAUUGGUUGUACUUUAUAUAGGGAUAAGAAUUGAGUUUCCUCUUUCACAAAUGUUACUUAUUCAUUACGGCCAUUAUACUGUCAGUAUAACUUUUCCGGCUUCUAAGUUCGGAACCCUCCCAAACAUUGGACACUACAAUACUAGAUAAUGCAAUAAGAUACAACAGUACAAUACAAUAUAGUUGAAAACAAUCCAUCUAAGAUAGUACAGACUCAAUCGGACGAAUCAGGAGCCCUAGUGUUCAAGCUUCCACCUUUGCGGUAAACUUAAGUGGUGGCUUCAAGAAAUGGAUAAUCAGUGUAACCAAUGACGGGAUCAGGUAUGUAGAAUGUCUCUCUGUUGUACUUGUUUAGAGGAGCAUUAAGUUCAAAUCUCUUUGGCAAAUCUGGAUUCGCCAAGAAAAUACGGCCAUAAGCAAUAAGAUCUGCACUGCCCUUGGCCACAGCACUGUUUCCAUCUUCCCUAUCAUAACCACCAGCAGCAAUGAAGGUACCAUGGAAAGACUUUCUCAUGGGAAGAAGACUCUGGUGGGUUUCAUCUUUUUCCCCCAUUGUCUUCAUCCUCGGCUCAACCAUGUGGCAGUACACGAUUCCAUAUUUGUUCAAGGCAUUGGCCAUAUAGAGGCCUAAUUCUUUUGGAUUUGAAUCCCCUGAGUCCAUAUAGUCAGCAAAUGGAGAUAAUCUAAUUCCAACUUUAUCUGCUCCUAUUUCGUUAGCGACAGCUUCAACAACUUCCAGAGGAAGGCGGCAACGAUUCUCUAGAGAUCCACCAUAUUGGUCUGUUCGAUCAUUCACAUGAUCUUUCAGAAACUGAUCAAGAAGGUAGCCAUGCGCCCCAUGAAUUUCAACUCCAUCGAAGCCUAUAUAGCAGAUUAACAAUUUCAACAUACUGACGGUAUUAGAACCUUAAGCAUUGUAGCUGAAUUACCAAACAAAUAAUAUAAAGACAAACUACCGGCUUCAAUAGAAUUCCUUGCAUAAGCUUUGAAGCAAAUUGAGUUGUUGUAAAUUUUCUUUCAUUUUAACGUAAAGACAAAUUACCAGCUUCAAUAGAAUUCCUUGCAGCAAGUCUAAAAUCAUUGACAAUUUGUGGAAUUUCAUCUGUCCUUAAUCGUCUUGGAGGCGUGAAUUCAGAGGCAUCGAUGCCAUUUAAUCGUAUCGGCUUGUCAGUAGAAGAUAUUGGAGCUUGCCCAUUUGGUUGAUAACCUGUAAGCAAGGAGAGAAAGAAUUACAACCUGAAGUCUAACGACAGUAACUAACAUCCACAGCAGCACUCUUUUAAGUGGGAAUCCUUUGUUACAAAUUACUAUAACCACACGUGCUAUAUACUAGUUCUGAAUUCUGAGUUAUGUUAACAUCAAACUUAUUCCCAUCCAAUAAUAAUAAUAACAAUGCUUCCGAAACAGCAAAGUCAUAACAAGUCCAACUCGGAACUUAACAAGUCCAAGUUUUAUCGUCAUUUUGAGCAACAAUGUUGUCAUUUAUAAUCACUCGCUCGUUCUGAUGCAUAUACCAUUAUGUUAUACAUCAAACUUCUUAAUCGGUCUAAUUAUUCACUCAUGUUAACAAAGCAUUCUAUGGUAAAAGUGAGGUCAUAAAGGUGUAAGUCAGAAACGCACCGCUAUUAGAAACCCUUCCAACAUGCCAAAUCUGACAGAAGAAGAGGCCACCUUUAGCAUGAACAGCAUCAACAAUGGGUUUCCAGGCUUCAACUUGCUCCUUUGUCCAUAUACCAGGUGUGUUCGGGUACCUUCGUAUAUUAAAGAACCAAAAAUUUCAUCAAACUUUGAAACGAAAGAAGCACCCUCAAAUGCUUGUUAGUCUAUGAAUCUACUGUUGUUGAAAUUACCCUUGAGCUGUGUUGGAAACUCCAGUGGCUUCAGCUAUGAGAAGACCCCCGUUCGAAGUUCUCUGAGAGUAAUAUAAGAUAGCAUGUGGUUGAGGAACAUUGUUGUAUGAUCUCUGUCUGGUCAAUGGUGCUAAAACAAUUCUGGAAAGGAAAAAGCAAUUGUAAAUUAUAAAUACAGAGUGAUCAAGAUGGAAUGUGGCUGAGGAACAUUAUCGAAUGAUCUGUAUCUAGUCAUCAACGGUGAAAAUACAAUUCUAAACAGGAAAAACAUAUAAUAAACCAUAAAUACAACCUUCAGACUUUGUAGGAAGCAUUAGUUUGCUAAGGCUCCUUCAUAACAAAUUCGUUUUUAGUUUUCUUGUUUUAGUUAAAAAGGAGAAACGAGGGAGGAAGAAGGAAUUUGGGGCGAAAAUGUAUGAAAUAAAAAGUCGAAUUGUAGAUUAUCUGAAUUUGCUAAGGCUCCUUCAUAACAAAUUCGCUUUUAGUUUUCUUGUUUUACUUAAAAAGGAGAAACGAGGGAGGAAUAAGGAAUUUGGGACGAAAAUGUGUGAAAUAAAAACUCUAAUUGUAGACUAUCUGAAUUUGCUUUAUGUUCUUCAUUUUCGGUAUCAUUCCAUGCACAUUUGGUCCCUCAUCCAUCCCUUCCCCUUCCCCUUCCUCCUCCUCCUCCUCUUCUAUCAUGCAUUUUCUCUUUUACUUAAAAUUAAAAACUAAAAAUCAAAUACGAAAUCGUUACCAAACACAACCUAAACAAAGCAAUGUCUUACGAAGUGACCAUGGCCGAAAGGACACAUACUUUUAACAAUCUAUUGCAUCUAUUUUCAACAAUUAAUCAAUGAAAUAACUCAAGUGUACUGUUGUUUUGAUUUAAUUUGUAACAUCUGUACUAUUUUAUAGACAAAGAUACAGUUACUCUUUUUUUUUUUUUAGGUAAACUGGAAUUACACCAGGGCAAAGCCAGAGUACAACAGGAAAACCCACACAGAGGACUAACAUAGCUAAAACCAUUGAAACGACAAACAACAGAAUGAUCCAGGGCCAAGGACCAACACUAGUUCCGACAUUAUGUCACCCUUAAUCAUUCCAACAUAGACUCAACUUAGUGUGGGCAAGGUAGACCAUCCUUGUUCAACUUCUUGUCUCCUUCCCAACAUCUGUACUAUUUUAUACCAACAUGAUUCUCUCCAGAUUCUUUUGGUGAGAAUCUUGUCUGUUCAUCAUAAAUCGUGCGAUCAGUUUUUGUCAACUACUGUUCGUGUUUUAUUUUAAAUAAAAAUAUUUAAAAUAAUUUUUGACCGCACGAUGUACGAUGAACAGACAGGAUAACGGAUUUCCAAGAUUCUCACAAAGAGAAUCCGACGAGUAUCCGGAAUCUAUUUUAUAGACAAAGAUACAGUUACAAACAGUCCUUGUCUCCUUCCCCAAAUCAUUCUUCGUUUUUGUAUAGCUAUAUUUGACACACACACAUAAUAAACCACACAGUACGCUAAACUUGAAUAUAGACAAGCAGUAAUUUCAUCUUCUAUUUUUCUUGUUAGCCAAUAGCCAUCUGCAGACCUAGCUACUCUCUGAAUCCAAGUUCGGAUCUCCUCUCAUAGUUUUUACAACAUUAUAUUAAAAUAACGCCCGAAUAAAAUAAAUUAAACAAUUACACGACAGAGAAAUUUAAGAAGUAAACAAAUAGGAACAAUGUAUGAAAGUUUUAAGUACCUAUGAGAAAGAUUGAAGUUUCCCAAUUUGUAGGGAGUGAGGAGAGGAAUUGUGGGAGGUUGAGCAGCAGCAGACAUCUCAGAAUUCGAGUCGGUCGUCUACCACCUGAUCUUGCACUUGGCGUUUUAUACUGGAUUCUGGGAUGAAGGAAGGAAGGAAUGAAUGAAAACAGGACCCAAUUGGGUCUUUUAUACGUUCGGUAGGAGCUUAAAAGUCCGCCCUGCAGCUUUCCUCCACAAAAGUCAGAGAAGGCCGGGUCCCACAUCUCCCCUCCCUUGUGUGGUGGUGGCGGCGGCGGACGUCGGUGGGUGGAUGAUGGAUCUCUCCAAAGCAUUAAUUAAAUCGAUUAGGUGAAGAGAGGUAGGAAGGUUUGAUGAGGUCUGUAAUUACGUUUACGUGGGUUGAAAAUAAACCAGUUUUAUGAGGUCUGUAAUUACGUUUGCGUGGGUUGAAAGUUCACCAGUUUUCCCCAUGAAAAAGGACGUCUACGCACGUUCAUUUCGAUUUUGCUUUUUCAUCCUGCAUUAUUAGGCCAUGGUUAGAAAAAAUAUAUUAUAAUUUUGUAAAAAAAUUAAUUUUAAAUUAAUAGUGUCAGAUCAUAUUUAUAUACUAUCGCUAACCAAAUGAGCUAAACAUAGCCUCAUCAAUUUCCGAUGGAUAGCUAGACUAAAAUUCUAUGGAGCUCAUCAAGCCAUCAUUUGGCUAAAGGGGCAUUGGGCUGGCCAAAUGUAGCCCCCCUUCUUAGCCCUUUUUGGAGCCCAGCUCCUCUACUGCACUAUUUGAGUCAAAUUCAAUAACUAUGUUUGAAAACAUUUAAUGGAAGUUUAAUUAAAUUAAUCAAUAAAUUUAAUAUAUAAACUUAAAACUAAGUAAUUAUUGAGAGGGUUAUGUUUAGCCACUUCAGUGACGGUAUAAGUAUGAUGCGAUAUUGUUCAGUCAUUUCGGUUAAUGAUGGCCUACGGUUAGAAUUUUGAGGAUAUGUGAGACUAAAUGCAUGUUAGUUACAAAAUUAUGUUUGUUUAGAUCACUUGAAAUAUUUGACAACUUAAUAAAGAAAAACCAACUUAAAAUCCAUGAAUUAGAAAACUCAUUUUCUUUUUUGGUUUUAUUAAGUUGUCAAAUAUUUAAGCUUUUGAAUACAAACUAAUAUAAUCUUGUGGCUAAUAUACAUUUGGUCCUCACAAAUCUUUAAAAUGAAGACCUUACUUGAUCAAUGAAUUUAUGACAAAUUAAAUAGUCUAAAAAUAAAAGGCUCGAAUUAGGGCUAGGUUCAGUUCAAAUCAGUUCAAUUUUUUUUUCAGUUUGGGUUUUUUUUGGUUCCAAUUCGGUUUUUUUCGUGAUUUUUUUUAAAUCUUUUUUUUUUUGUCAAAAAUAUAAAGAAGAGUAAUUUUACUUUUUUUUUUUUCCGAUGAACUAAGAAAUUAAAGAAGGAACUUGAAUUAAAACUAGGGCAACUCGCAAUGAUGGCUGCAUCAACAAAUCAUCCAUAUCUACAAUACGAACAGAAACCUUUGUAAAUCAUAAAGUCCUUAAUGCUGAAUCCUUUAAGAACCAAGACUUGAAAACCCUAAAUCUGCAAUACAAACCCACAAGUAACAAACAAACCCACAACACAAAAAUCGACCAAAUCUGCAAUACAAACCAAACUCCCUCCAUGGCGCCAUGUCGCUGCCUCCGUUUUCCGGCCAAACCAAGGCGAUUUAACAUAAAAAAAAAAGGUACCAUUCUCUUCGUCUCAUCUAGAAGUAUGAUUUUUGUUUUUGAAUCACUUGAUUUCGUUGAGUAUUCAAGAAGUUAUGAACGUUUAAAGUUUACUCAGUUUCUGGCGAGUUUUCAAGUUUUCUAUCUUAUUCUACACUUUCCUAUCUUCAUUUUGAUAUUUUAUGGGUCGAAUUUGGUUAAGAAACGAUUGAGUUAUAAAGCUUUGAAAAUUGCCCAAGAACUCCGGGACACUUAACGGAGUUUUUAACGGAAUGACCAAAAUGAUGGAUGGUGGACAAUCUCAAGGACCACUUUUAUCGAUUUGAAAUGUUAGGGACCAAGGUGAUGAGUUAUGCAAAUCUCAGGGACUAUUUUGACUAUUUAGCCUUUUUUUUUUCAUAAACGAAAAUAAUUUUUUUUAAUGAAGAUAGAAAAGUGUAGAAUAAGAUUAUACCUAUUUGGAAGCCCAAUGGCUGCCGGAGAUAGCCGGAAAAUAGCCUCAAAGUUGACUGGUCCGAGGGAAAAUUGGAAAACUCGCCGGAAACUGGGUAAACUUUAAACGUUCAACUUCUUCAAUACUCAACUAAAUCAAGUGAUUCAAAAACAAAAAUCAUACUUCUCGAUGAGACGAAGAGAAUGGUACCUUUUAAGACGGUUAAAUCGCGGUGGUUUGGCCAUAAAAAGGCUCAAAAGUGUCUAACUCGAGACCAAGACAGCCACUUUGGAACCGUUUUCCGGGCAAACCACGGUGAUUUAGCCGUCAAAAUAGGUACCAUUCUCUUAUUAUCGUUGAGAAGUAUGAUUUUAGUUUUGAAUAACUUGAUUUCGUUGAGUAUUGAAGAAGUUAUGAACAUUUAAAGUUUACUCAGUUUUUGGCGAGUUUUCCAGUUUUCCUUCGGACCAGUCAACUUUGAGGCUAUUUUCUUGCUAUCUCCGGCAGCCAUUGGGCCUCCAAAUAGGUAUAAUCUUAUUCUACACUUUCCUAUCUUCAUUUUGAUAUAUUAUGGGUCGAAUUUGGUUAAGAAACGUUUGAGUUAUGAAGCUUUAAAAAUUGUCCAAAUUUCCAGCCAAGAACUCCAGGACACUUAACGGAGUUUUUAACUAAAUGACCAAAAUGAUGGAUGGUGGACAAUCUCAAGGACUAAUUUUAUCGAUUUGAAAUGUUAGGGACCAAAGUGAUGAGUUAUGCAAAUCUUAGGGACCAUUUUGGCUAUUUAGCCCAAAAAAAAUUGCAAACUUUAAAUGAUAAUAGAACAAAGUAAUACUAAUUUAUAAUAAAGAAGUCAGGUUGUUAAUAGAUGAAUUUGAUUGAAUUUUUAUUGUGUUAGGAAGUGUUAGGAGGAGGAUACAAUUAUCUUACUAGACUACGACACUUGUACAUCAUUAGCAUCGCAAGUACUCAUUUUCCAAAUGUGCAUUACAUUUGAUUUUAAAAAUUUGGUAUUCCUACCAUUAUCCUGAAAACAUAUAUAUUCACAUAUAAACUUUGUUCUUAUUGUGAGGAAACUCCAAAUGUUGAAGCCAUAUUCUUUAAUUGGUCUAUGAUUGAGGAGUGACCGUUGAAAUGUGUAGACUUCAAAAGGAUGUCUAACCUAAUAAUAGUGGUAAUUGUGGUUGAAUCUGAAAUAUUUGACUGCAAAUUCACCGGUUCUUUAGACCUUUCUGAUUCUCUUCGUUAUCUUUACUGGCAUGAUAUCCACUGAAAUCUUUACCGUAAAAUUUUACUCUAGAAAAUCUGGUUGAGCUUCAUAUGCCCGUAUGCAAUUUUAACAUUGAUUGUAUCAACAAGAAAGAUGUAAGACAAUGAAAGCUACAAUGAGGGAUUAUCCAUUCUAUAUAUGAAAAUCAAUCUUAAAAUGGAUGUUAAAAAAUUGAAAGCUACAAUGAGGGAUUAUCCAUUCUAGUCCUUCUCCAAAUGAUAGGAUUGUGAGGGAUAAGUUUGUUUCAUUCCAAUCCCCUUUGAAUUUUAAGAGUUACCUAUUACUUUAGUCUAAAGUAGGGGGAGGUGGCAUUGUGCAAUUUUGGGGUACAUUUCAGUUUACUUACGAAAUUGCCAUUGAGUCUCUCUGUUCCCUCAUUUAACGUUAUUUGCAAAAUUGCCAUUGGGCUUCAGAAAGGGUUUUGGGUCUUUGGGCUGGAAUUUCCGUCCAGAUUGGAAUUUUCGAUUAUUCGAUCCACGCGUUGAUCAUCGCUGGAUCGCCAGCUGUGUGGUAUUUGGUGAGGGGAUGGGUUACGUGUCCAUCAUUGUCGGAAGGUUUCCUUCGACUGCAACUUCUCGACUUUUCGUUCUGUUUCAACUUCUCUCUCACAAGCCUCUGCUUCAGUCGCUCUUGAUCUUCGCCUUUUCUAAGGCGUUUGAGGGACAAAAACCGAAAGCCAAACCACCACCACAAACGAAGUCACAAAUAGGGAUGGGCAACGGUUAUGGCGGACGGGUAACCGCGAUUAUUUACCCAUAACCAUUUAUACUUAUAUCCGCAUAAUUGUUUACCCGUUGGGUAAUUGCCCAAACAGUUAUACCCAUACUCAUAACCAUUUAUAAACGGUUAACCAUACCCAUAACAGCAUACCCAUUUAACCAUAACCGUUUAAUACCAGUUUACUCAUUUACUCUUUUUAACCUGUUUAAUUUUUAUUUAUUUUUUAUCAUUACCUCUUUUUUCACCCUUCUACAUGUUUUUUAACAACUUGAAAAUUAAAAAAAAAAUGUCAUAAUUUUUUUUUGGCAAUUAAACACCGUUAUAAGCACAUUCAUCUUACAUUUCCGUAUUAAAAUUUUUUAAAUCCUUAUCUCAUUCUAAUAAUUGAAAUAAUUUCCGGCAAAGACACAACGGUGUGCACUCGUACGUGGAUUAUUUAUAUGCUCAGCAAGCACCCUUAUAUGCAAGAAAAGGUUGUAACGGAAGUUUGAGAAGCAGCAAAUCUGAAAGAUGACUCAAGCAUUGUUGAACUUGCAGACAAUCUUAAUGAAGAUGCCCUUAAUAAAAUGCAGUAUGUCUUAGUAGCUUUGACUGAGACACAAAGGCUCUACCCUGUAAUUCCACUGGAAAUUUGACUAACAUCUUAACUAAAUCUAAUGCAUGCAUACUGCAAGGGAAAUGAUUUCAGUGCGCUCCCAUUUAUUUUUCUCACUUAAAUUUCUUUUGAUUUAUUCAAUUUAAGAAUAGAAAUACUCCAUGGAUCAUCGUUUAUUACUUUUUAAUUAAUUAAAACACUGCUAUAUAAACCACAUUAUAGUCAAUAGUAUUGAUCUAAGUUUUGUUUGAUAGAGAACAUGAUUUGUGUUAAUUUUAUAUAUAUAAAAUAAAUAGAUAAACGGUUACUCAUUUAUAACCAUGAUUAAUACUCAUAAUCAACUAUUUAUAUUUUACGGAUGAACGAUUAUACCUAUAACCGUUUAUUUAUUUAAACGGUUACCCAAAUGAUCGUGUAACCGCGGAUCAUCCCUAGUUACGAACGCCACUCUCACUCACCCUCCACCGUUACACACGCACCCAAUCAUAAUUCUGAAAUCCAAACACAACCCAGAUGUUAAUCCUUCAGAGAAUGGCAAUGGCCACUUCUUCUUCCUUCCUCUUAAUCCCUCUCCUCAAUACUCUUCUUUGCUUUCCCCAGUUAAACACCAAGCUCCGAGUUCAGGUCUCUGUCCUUGUACGGCGGUAGAACUGGAGACUCCACCUCCUCGGCGAUGGCCACAGAGGCUCAGGUCUCGACCCAAGACGACAAAUUGAAGGAUGCCCAGAUGGAGGUAGCUGAUAAACCUGAGACAGUCGUGCUUCCAACCAACGAGUCCUCCGAAAGCCUCAUCAUAAUUCGACACACGGUAUUUAUUGAAAUUUCAUUGCUUUGGAUUGGAUUUAUGAUUGUUUUAUGUUAAAUUGAAGUAGGGUGCUUUCCUGUUGAAUUUUUUGAAUUUUUAGAUUCUUAGGAGCUUCCCCUUUUUGAAAGUUUGAUGCUUUUAAUUAACUAUUUUCAAUUCUGCGUUACUAAUUGUCACCUGAUUCUAUUGUGAAGAAUGAGGAAGUGAGGAUGAAGAAAAUAAGAACCUAACUUUUCGGUAAUUUGAAAUUUGAUCGAAUAGGACAUGGAAAAAUGGGUGUACAUCAGUAGAUAAGCUGGGAAAAUUUUCAAGACUUGGAUUGUCUGCCCUCUAAUUUUGGUGCCCUCCCAGUGCCCUCUUGUUUUUGUGGUCAUGGUUAAGCCACAUCAACAUUUUAUAGUACUAUUUCUUUUUGUUUUAUUAUUUUUAUAAAAAAAUGAUAUAAAAUAUUGACGUGGCUUAACCGUGACCACACAAAACAGGAGGGCACCGAAAUGGGAGGGCAGACAAUCCAAGUCCAAAUUUUCAUCCUGUUUUUGGGAAUGUGAGAAGAUACAUGGGUUUCUGUAUUUUGAUAAAGUGUUGAGGUCGAGCUAUGUUCAUUUUUUUCUAAAUUUCCAUGUAGUUUGGUAUUAAUGGCGUCUUUUCCGCUGUUAUGGUGAUGAACUAUUUAUGUGUUUGACUGCAGUGUGCACACGUGAUGGCCCUGGCUGUUCAAAAGCUCUUCCCGGAUGCAAAAGUGACAAUUGGUCAGUGGAUAGAAAAUGGGUUCUAUUAUGAUUUUGAUAUGGAGCCUUUGACAGACAAAGAGUUGAAGAGAAUCAAGAAGGAGAUGGUAAGUGGAAUUUCUUUAUAAGUUAUCAUGUUUGUAUCAAAGUUUUGGAACCAUGAAACUAUUGAAAACUAUUCAUGAUCAUUUCUUUUGUGAUUUGUAGGAUCUCAUCAUUGGUAGAAACUUACCACUCAUAAGAGAAGAAGUUUCAAGAUAUGCUCACAAAAGAAUAACUGCGCUCAACGAAGCAUACAAAUUGGAAAUUUUGGAUAGUAUUAAAGAAGAUCCCAUUACCAUAUAUCAUAUUGGUAAGGGUUUCACUAUUUUCAGGCUCAAUAUAGUUUGGAAGGUGAUGAUUUAAUGUGCAGGAACUGUGCGUAAAUGAUAUUUUUAUUAGCUACACAAGUGAAAUGUACAGUGUUUGUGUCGAGUCUUAAGAUGGAAAUUUAAGGGAAUAAAAAAGAGAGGGCGGGGGUGUGCUCAGGGAAAACAAUGUUGUUGGUGCUCUUUAAAAAUGAGUUAUUGAUAUGCAAAUUGAAAAGGAGACUAAUUUGAAGGUGGGAGGAACCUUUUGGUCAAGCUAACCAAUUAUACUUAUGUUUAUACAUAUGCAUGCUUGUACUGGGAUUUGAUUGUGUUUUGAACUAGCAUCCUGUCAUAUUAGACUGUCUUUAUGUCAUAAUUCCUCAUAGUAUGCCGAAUUCUUCUUAUGUGAUGAAUGGUAGGAAGCAUGUGCAGGGCCCCAUGUUGAAAAAACUGGAAAUAUUAACGGAAAAGCUGUCGAACUUGAGUCUAUUGCUGGUGCUUGCUGGAGAGGAGAUGAAAAAAACCAAUGCUGCAGAGGAUCUAUGGCACUGCAUGGGAGAGUGAAGAUCAAUUGAAGGCAUAUCUUCAUUUCAAAGAGGAAGCUAAACGUCGAGAUCACAGGGGCUUUGAUCAAGUUCUUGACCUGUUUUCUAUACAGGUACUCAGAAUUGCCCUGAAUCUCUUUCUGCUGCUUACGCAGAUUUAUCAGUUAGCAAUCCCAUUAUUUGUAAUUAUGAGGAUUCUUGCAUUAACUCUGCCUGUGUAAGUUUAUCUUACAUUGCCGGUCCCAAGUCCGGGUAAAGGAGGAGGGGGAGGGCGUCAGGUAGUCGACAGCCGGCACUCCACAGUUACGUCGAAUCCUUAUGAAAAUGAAUCCAGAACGAAAUCGCGCUAAAGCUAGGGCGUCACCCGUAAGUGGCGCGCUGUGUGGCCCGAGCACAGUGAUAAGUGAGCAAGGGUCGCUGUAUCUCCAUCGGCACCCGGAUGCAGUGUUAAAUGAGCAAGGGGGCCAUAGAAACUUCUUUUCGAACGACUCCACUCAAAGUUGUUUGGGAGCAUAUACUCCUAUCAACUUUACACAGGACACACAAAAGAAGUACUUUGAUCCUAUUGGACGGGGGAGGGUGAAGAAGCUAGGACAAAAGGGUAGAGUUCAAGAGAGUAGAAUGCGUUUAGGAACGUGGAAUAUAGAAACCUUAACGGGAAAAUCUAUAGAAGUAGUGGAAGUUAUGGUGAGGAGAAGGAUAAAUAUUAUGUGCCUACAAGAAACUAAGUGGGUUGGUCUUAAGGCAAAGGAUCUAGAAAACUUAGGGUUUAAACUUUGGUAUUCGGGCACAAGUAGAACGAGAAACGGUGUUGGCAUCAUCUGUGGACAAGACCUUGACACAAGAUGUUGUAGAUGUCAAGAGGGUAGGAGAUAGAAUCAUGGCAAUCAAGAUUGUAAUAGGACAAGAACUCAUCAAUGUCAUUAGUGCGUACGCACCUCAAGUAGGGUUGGAUACGAGUUCGAAGGAGAAAUUUUGGGAAUACCUUGGAGACUUGGUGCUGGGAAUACCUUGGAGACUUGGUGCAAGGAAUUGCCCAGACGGAGAAGUUAUUUAUAGAGGAGAUUUAAAUGGACACGUGGGCAGGGAGACAGGCAACUAUAGAGGUUUUCAUGGUGGCCAUGGUUUUGGGGAGAGAAACGAGGAUGGGGAAGCUAUCUUGGAUUUUGCAAUGGCAUAUGAUCUCUUCUUAGCCAACACAUUCUUUAAGAAGAGAGAAGAACAUGUGAUCACCUACAAGAGUGGGUUGUCAAAAACACAAAUAGAUUUUCUUCUAAUGAGGAUAUGAGAUCGUAUAACUUGUAAGGAUUGCAAAGUUAUACCGGGAGAGAGCUUGGCUAAUUAACAUCGCUUGUUGGUGAUGGAUGUACAUAUCAAAAGAGUGAGAAAAAAGAACAAGACUUGGAAGUGCCCAAGGCCUAGAUGGUGGAAUCUAAAAGGAGAAAAACAAGCCAUUUUCAAAGAGAAAGUAAUCACCCAGUGUGGGUGGGAUAGAGAGGGGGAAGCUAGCUAAAUGUGGGAUUCCAUGGCUAGUUGUAUCCGAAAAGUAGCAAAAGAGGUAUUAGGAGAGUCCAAGGGCUUUGCCCCACACCAAAAGGAAUCUUGGUGGUGGAAUGAGGAGGUACAAACAAAGGUGAAGGCUAAGAAGGAAUGUUGUAAAGCCUUAUACAAGGACAGGACCGAUGAAAAUAGUGAAAGGUAUAGAAGAGCGAAGCAAGAGGCUAAGAAAGCUGUGAGAGAAGCUAAGUUAGCGGCUUAUGACGACAUGUAUAAGCGACUAGAUACCAAAGAAGGAGAGUUGGAUAUCUAUAAACUAGCUAGAGCAAGGGAAAAGAAGAUAAGGGACCUAAACCAAGUGAGGUGCAUCAAGGAUGAGGAUGGAAAGGUUCUUGCUACAGAGAAUGCGGUCAAAGACAGAUGGAGAGGUUAUUUUCAUAAUCUUUUCAAUGAAGGACAUGAAAGGAGUACUUCUUUAGGGGAGUUGAGUAAUUCAGAAGAGUGUAGAAACUACUCAUUUUAUCGUCGAAUCAGGAAGGAAAAAGUGGUUGUAGCUUUGAAGAAAAUGAAGCAUAGAAAAACAGUGGGCCCAGAUGAUAUAUCGAUCGAAGUGUGGAAAGUCUUGGGAGAGACAAGUAUAGCAUGGCUCACUGACCUUUUCAAUAGGAUUUUGAAAACGAAGAAGAUGCCAACUGAGUGGUGAAAGAGCACUUUGGUGCCUAUAUACAAGAAUAAGGGCGACGUACAAAAUUGCAUGAAUUAUAGGGGUAUUAAGCUAAUGAGCCAUACAAUGAAGCUCUGGGAGAGAGUCAUUGAGCAUAGAUUGAGGUAAGAGACACGGGUUUCGGACAACCAAUUCGGGUUCAUGCCAGGGCGCUCAACCAUGGAGGCAAUCUAUCUCUUACGAAGAUUGAUGGAAAGAUAUAGAGAUGGGAAAAAGGAUUUACACAUGGUCUUUAUAGAUUUGGAAAAAGCUUAUGAUAGGGUCCCAAGAGACAUUCUUUGGAGGAUUUUAGAGAAGGAAGAAGUACGAGCAGCAUAUAUCCAAGCUAUAAAGGAUAUGUAUGAAGGAGCAAAGACUGCCGUAAGAACUCAUGAAUGACAAACCGAAAGCUUCUCCAUAACUGUAGGAUUACAUCAAGGCUCAUCCUUAAGUCCUUACCUUUUUGCGUUGGUAAUGGAUGAGUUAACAGGACAUAUUCAAGAUGAUAUUCCUUGGUGUAUGCUUUCCGCAGAUGAUAUAGUGUUGAUAGAUGAAACUCAGGAAGGGGUAAAUGCGAAGCUUAACCUUUGGAGAGAAAUGUUGGAAUCUAAAGGUCUUCGCCUAAGCCGAUCAAAGAAAGAAUAUAUGGAGUGCAAGUUCAGUGCAAAUGGAGGCCAAAAUGAGUUAGGGGUGAGGAUCGGAGAUCAGGAAAUACCAAAGAGCGAUCGUUUUCGCUACUUAGGAUCUAUCUUGCAAAAGAACGGAGAAUUAGAUGGAGAUCUCAACCAUAGAAUACAAGCUGGAUGGAUGAAGUGGAAGAGUGCAUCCGGCGUGUUGUGUGACCGUCGUAUGCCACUGAAGCUCAAGGAAAAAUUUUAUAGGACAACAAUAAGGUCGGCGAUGCUGUAUGGCACAGAAUGUUGGGCGGUGAAGCAUCAACACGUACACAAAAUGGGUGUAGCGGAGAUGAGGAUGCUUCGUUGGAUGUGUGGGCACACGAGAAAUGAUAAGAUUAGGAAUGAGGAUAUCCGAGGUAAAGUAGGAGUAGCCGAAAUUGUACGAAAAUUGAGAGAAAAUUGGUUACAGUGGUUUGGACAUGUGCAAAGAAGGCCUACUGACGCUCCGGUUAGAAUAUGCGACUACAGGACAGAGGUUUAGGGCCGAAGGGGUAGAGGAAGACCUAGGAAAACUUUGGAAGAGACUCUAAGAAAAGACUUAGAGUAUUUGGAUCUAACGGAGGACAUGACACAGGACUGAGCACAAUGGCAUUCUAAGAUUCAUAUAGCCGACCCCACUCAGUGAAGAAGGCUUUGGUGUAUUUAACACAAUACGUUGAAAUGAAGCAAAACUUAUUUAUUGAUAUCUCCGAUAAGUUACAAAUAUGUACAUAUACAUGAGUCAAAAUAAACAAACAAGAGGGAGCCUUCACAAAGGUUGCUUAGGAGAAGUCUCAGCAGUUGGUAGAGCCCCAGAAAGAGAAGGCACCGGAGGGGUAUCAUUCGAAGCCUCAGUACUGGACAGAACCCUAGAAGGAGGAGGCAUCGAAGGUUGAUCAUUUGGAGCUUCAGUACGCGGUACAGCCCCAGAAGACGAAGGCAAUAAAUGCCUUUGGAACAAACCCACAAACCGCUGAUGAUCAAGUAAAACCUGACCAUCAGAUUCCUUCAUCUGGUCAAGCUUCCUCUUCAUGUUUGUAGCAUAGUCAUGUGCGAGCCGGUGCAACUGUUUAUUCUCAUGCUUGAGCCCUCUAAUCUCUUAUUUGAAACUCAUCACUUCAGCCGCCAAUGAUUCAACUUGGCAGGUUCGAGCAAAUAGGCGCUGGGCCAUAUUAGACACAGAACCUGCACACUGAACACUUAGAGCCAGAUAAUCCUUAACAGCCAACUCAUCAGACCGUUUGCAAAGUAAUCUGUUAUAUUUGGGAGUGAGAAAGUUCCUGGCCACCACCGCAGCAGUCAUAUCAUUCUUCAUCACGGAAUCCCCAACGGUAAGCGGACCAGUAGGGGAUAAGAAAGAUGGACGCCAUAUGUUGUCUGGAGAAGGCGUGGCUGCCUCUUCAACGAGGUUCAAGUCAAAACGACGGUCGGAGGGGCCAGAAAUUUUCAAAGGUGUUGAAGAGAGAAGUGGUCGGACAAAUCAAGAUCUUAGAAGUGCAAGAAUGGAGCUUCUACUGGUGAAGAUUCAAGUGUGCUUUGGAACUUAAUGUCAGCCUCUAUAAAAAUCUGCACUCGACGGAGCUUCAGAAAUCGAAGAGGCGCCUGCCCAGAAAUCGAAGAGGCAUUUGCUUUCUCAAAAGUUGGGCUGCUCAAAGACCACGAGGGUCGAUCUCAGAAAUCGAAGAGGCGUUUGCUUUCUCAAAAGCUGGGCUGCUCAAAGACCACGAAGGCCGAUCUCAGAAAUCGAAGAGGCACUUGCUUUCUCAAAAGCUGGGUUGCUUAGAGACCACGAAGGCCGAUCUCAGAAAUCGAAGAGGCACCUGCUUUUUUCAGCCUUGUCAGCACCUGUCACAUGCACACUCAGCUUUGCUGAAAUUACGGGCAUUCUGUUGAAUAUUUCUGGUGAAGUAGAAAGCACGUGAAUCUUAUUGUUCAAUCAUCCACUUUCCACACGCACCAUCAGCUCAUGGGUACCAUAGAUAACUUUGCCAAAGAUCUCUGACAAAGUUUAGACACGUGAAGCUUGCAGCUCCCACUACAUCGCUAUGAUCAAGAAGGGUAAAAGAAUAGCAAAGAAACAGCACUAACAAAGUUUAGAUACAUAAAUUUUGAAGGUCUAGCUACCAUAUUAUUACCUACAAGGGUAAAGGAACAGCACCGCUGCUGGAUAAUCGGAAAGUCCUUGUAUGUCAACCUAUGUGCUCUGUGGCAAGGUAGACUAGCAAACAUGCCCAAACUUUACUUACAUUCGAGAAAACACUCCCAACAAGAUUGCUUGCUCCAAAAUCGAAGAGGCACCGUCCUCUGAAUCUCGAGAGCCAGACUCCCAACAUGAUUACUUUCUCAAAAUUGAAGAGACACCGCUCUCCGAAUCUCGAGAGCUAGACUCCCAGCAGGAUUGCUCUCUCAAAAAUCGAAGAGGCACCGUUUUCCGAAUCUCGAGAGCCAGAUCUCCGACAAGAUUACUUGUACGAAAACCGAAAAGGCACCGCUUUCUCAACUUCAAGAGCCAGAUCUCCUUGGAUAAAGCUUGUCUGUAAUCUUCACACGCAACAUCAGCUUUCCAGAUACCACAGACCACUUUUUCAAAGUGCUCUGACACACGUGAAGCUAGCAACUCCCACUACCGUGCUAUGACCAAGCAGGGUAAAGGAAUAGUAUUACUACUUGUUGUUAGGGAAACUCCUAUAUAUGUCGACCUCCAUCCUCAACGGACAGGCAGACCUGCAAAAAUGCUCAACACUUCCUCAUAUCCGAGAGGGCACUCCCAACGAAGCCUCUCGAAAUACUCAGCUUUCUUUCCCCCCGAUAAUACCUCUGCAAACAAGCUACACCAGAGCAAGAAUAUCUCAUAUCAUCAGGGUUAAAAGCAAGAGUAUCCCAUAUCAUGCUUUUUCCCUGUCUUUUCCUUUGGCCUUGUUCUUACCUGCAAGACAAGGAGAAAGAGAGCAAUCAGUCAGCACUUGGAAUCAAGCUUCCAGUCAGGAACUGACUGCCUGGAACCCCUUACCUGAUUACUUACCUGGCAUUGCUCUCGAGUACCCAUCUUCAAAAUCUUAUGCUUCCAGAGAAGAUACCACAUCUGCCUGAGGAACAGAUAGGGAAAGUGAGAAGGAUACAAGGAAGCAUGUGGAGACAAACGUAACAGAACACGUGCCGAUACAUCCACUACUUUGUCAACAGCAAAAGUAUCUCAUAUCAGCAGGGUCGAACGUACUCUAGAUUUGAUGGACGUGUUUUGACCCUCAAAUUCUUCAGUCGGCCUUAUACUCUGGAAGAAACCAGAAAAUCCUCCAGCCCAGUUCAAGAAUAAGCCUGUGUAAAGUUACUUAUUCAAAAGCAAAAGUAUCUCAUAUCAUCUAUUCUCCUUUUCUUCUCUUUAUCCUUCAUGCUGCCUGCAAGAUAGGGAGAAUGAGAACAAUCAGCCGGAACUCGAAAUCAAACUUCUGAUCUGGGACUAAUUGCUUGGAGCUCUGAUUGCUUACCUUGUCUGUCACCUUUUUCAGCAUAUCCCCUAGCUCGGUGACUUGGGGGACUCCUACUACAUGGUUUGUAUCGCGCUUGACCAAGCCUGAAACUACAAGUAAGCUUCAAGUGAAUUUGAUACAUUACCUUGUGCAUCUCCACCAGUUAAAGAUACCACCCCUUGAUGGAGGAAGCGUACUUCCAGAGAAGAUGCCACAUCUACCUAUGAGACAGUUAAGGCAAGUGAAGACGAGAGCAUGCACCUAUGUGAUUUGUACUAAAUCAUUCACUUGUACUCACUAAAGGAGAGCUUGAACCUAUGUACUUGCGUAAACUCUUCACAAUUAAUGAGAACUCCUCUACUCCGUGGACGUAGCCAAUCUGGGCGAACCACGUACAUCUUGUGUUUGCUUUCUUGUCUCUAUCCAUUUACAUACUUAUCCACAUUAAUGACCAGAGCAAUCUAGCGAAGAUCACAAACUUAAUACUCUCUGUUGUACCAAAGUCCUCACUGAUUUUGUGCAUCAACAAUCCUUAAGUCUUUACAUUUUUGCGUUGGUAAUGGAUGAGUUAAUAGGACAUAUUCAAGAUGAUAUUCCUUGGUGUAUGCUUUUCGCAGAUGAUAUAGUGUUGAUAGAUGAAACUCAUACGGGGUAAAUGCGAAACUUAACUUUUGGAGAGAAGUGUUGGAAUCUAAAGGUCUUCGCCUAAGCCGAUCAAAGACAGAAUAUAUGAAGUGCAUGUUCAUUACAAAUGGAGGCCAAAAUGAGUUAUGGGUGAGGAUCGGAGAUCAGGAAAUACCAAAGAGCGACCGUUUUCGCUACCUAGGAUCUAUAUUGCAAAAGAAUGGAGAAUUAGAUGGAGAUCUCAACCAUAGAAUACAAGCUGGAUGGAUGAAGUGGAAUAGUGCUUCUGGCGUGUUGUGUAACCGUCGUAGGCCACUAAAGCUCAAGGAAAAAUUUUAUAGGACGGUAAUAAGGCCGACGAUGCUGUAUGGCACAGAAUGUUGGGCAGUGAAGCAUCAACACGUACACAAAAUGGGUUUAGACAUGUACAAAGAAGGCCUACUGACGCUCCGGUUCGAAGAUGGGACUACGAGAUAGAGGUUCAGGGCCGAAGGGGUAGAGGUAAACCUAGGAAAACUUUGGAAGAGACCCUAAGAAAAGACUUAGAGUACUUUGAUCUAACGGAGGAUAUGACACAAAAUUGCGCACAAUGGCGUUCUAGGAUUCAUAUAGCCGACCUCACUUAGUGGGAAAAGGCUUUGUUGUUGUUGUUGUAUGAGGAUUCUUGCAUUGAACAUUUUCAUUGUUGAAUUUUCACAGAAUGAUGCUGGUGGUGGUUUAGUGUUCUGGCAUCCAAAGGGUGCUAUUGUGAGGCAUGUAAUGGAAGAUUUGUGGAAAAAGAUUCACAUAGAACGUGGUUACAAUCUGCUUAUACUCCACAUGUUGCAAAGGCGAACCUUUGGCAGAUAAGUGGUCAUCUGGAUUACUACAAGGAGAAUAUGUAUGAUCAAAUGAAUGUUGAGGAUGAACUUUAUCAGCUUCGACCGAUGAACUGCCCCUAUCAUAUCUUGGUUUACAGAAAGAAGCCUUACUCAUAUCAUGAAUUUCCUAUUCAAGUUGUUGAGUUGGGAACCGUUUAUAGAUACGAAUUAUCUGGAAGCUUGCAUGGUCUUUUUCGUGUAAGAGGUUUUACUCAGGUACAGUGUUAGUAUUUGCAAACUAUUAGUCUAUAAUCCUUGGUGUAUGAAGUGUUUUUUUUUUUUUUAACCUCAGGACUUGUUGCAGGAUGAUGCCCACAUAUUUUUUCAAGAAGAUCAGAUCAAAGAUGAAAUUAAGGGUGUCCUAGAUCUUACCGAAUAACUUUUGUUGCAAUUCGGCUUCAGCAAAUAUGAGGUCAAUCUCUCUUCGAGGCCAGAGAAAGCUGUUGGAGAUGGUGAUAUAUGGGUGAAAGGCAACAUCUGCCCUUACUCCUUAGAGAUGCUUUGGAUGAUAAAGGUUGGAGCUAUCAAAUUGAUGAAGGUGGUGGUGCCUUUUAUGGUCCAAAGAUUGAUCUUAAGAUUGAGGAUGCCCUUGGAAGGAGGUGGCAGUGCUCAACUAUACAAGUUAAUCCUGAACUCAUGACGGGAUAAUUCUAAUGUACGCUUUGUUUUUUAAUUGGUAGUCUCUAUGUCUAUCUCCGUAUCACUUUGUAAAAUGUUCAUUGGAGAUUUGAGCAUCUUUUUUUAAUUGAGCGAAUUACAUGGAUUUGUUUGCUAGAGUAAAGCCACUUAUUAUUGUUAUUUUAAAUUGUUUGAUCUUUUGUACUUCCCAAAUUGUACAAGUUGAUUUUCCAUUAUGGCUUUCGCCAAUACAAGCUCAUGUUUUACCAGUUACUGACUCUCAGGUUUGUAAAGCAGUUGCACGUUUAAUGUUUCAAUUAACUCAAGGACCCUCAACACACCUGCACGACGGUUACCUGGGCUAUGACCCCUGACUCUCCUCCCAGUGAUUCGACUCCUUUGUCGACUCCGAGUCGCUCAAGGACUCCACCACCGAUUCCCCAAUCUUCCACGGCUCCACCAUAGACGACGCUUUCGAACGGCCAGGGCUUUGAUGGAGGGUUUGGCGGGUCCGACGAUCCCAUUUUGCCGGUUCCGUCUGAGAUACUGCCUGAGGAGGGCUUCGCUCUCAGAAAAUGGAGGAGGUAGGAUCUCGAAUUCUAAUUGUUUUCAAUUGAACCGAUAGUUCUGUAUAGCAAUUAAAUUUUGACUCUUUUGUGCAAUUUAGUUGAAAGUUGUUGGUUUUGAUUUGGCUUGAUCUUUCUGUUGAUGAGAAAUUAGGUGGAAAUUGUUGUUUUGAUUUCGAUAGUUUUCAAGAAUUGCAUGCUUAGUGAUCAGCAAUCGUCUGGCUUUAUCGGGUAAGGAGAUAAAGCAAUUAAAUUUCAAAAUUUGGAUUUACAGUUCGUAUUUUGAGCCUGAAUUCAUGAAAACAAACAUAACCCAUUAUUUAUUAGCGAUUAAUGAUCUGAUUAAUUUAGUUUUUAAUCAUAAUCAAUAGCAUGUAGCUUUAAUGGAAGUGGGGUUUGGGAAAUUGGCUAGCACCCAUUUUGCUUUUUGUUUGUCUGCUUUCCAUUUCUCCUCUCUCUUGCCAUCUUCUUUGUAUUUUGGCUACUUCUCUCUCCCGCACUCCCUUUUUAACUCUUGGUUCUGUGGUUCUCCGGCUGCCGUUAGGUUUUUGUGGUCGAACAACGAUGGAAUCCGAGGAUGAUGACUACUACAGCAACGACAAUGACUCCUAGAAAUUUUUAUUUUGAAUUCGGAAUUGGUUUGAUUGAAGCCCCCUAAUUGAUUGUAUUUAGGUUGGAUUUUUAUGCAUCAGGAAUUUCAAUUGAAGCCUCCUAAUUGGAUAAUGUUUUUCCCAUGUUAGGCUUCUCUGAUUGAGGUGAUACAGAUACCAAAUUGGAGCGGUGCUGUUAGUGGAGGAAUCUGGUAGAAACGAUGAGUUUGUAGAUUGAAUUUGUAUAUGAUGAUAAUAAAAAAUGAUAUGUUGUUUUCGUAAUUCUUUUUGCUUUCAAAGUUUAUUGCUUGGUUGUGUUCGUAACCUCUGGGUUCUUACGGUUCUUUGUCUCUCUUACUUCAGAUUCUUUGUGUUUUUUAUCAUUCGUUUGUGAAGAAAUGGGUCGUACGUAGUGGUAAGGCUCUGAGGAAGGCACUUGCCACCAAGGUGCGUUUCGUUUGGGUUUCUGAUGUCUAGAAAAUUAGAAUUGAUAAUUGCAAGCAAUUUUUUCCGAGAAACAAUCAGAUUAUUGAAUCUAAGUUGCUAAUUGUUUUAAUUUUGUAUAUGCUGCAAUUAAAUCAGCACCCGCAACUGAAGGUGUCAAGAAGCCUGACUGCUACCGCCUUGGAAUCGUCAUUUUUCGGUAAGUUUUCAACACAAUAUAGUUCAAAUCCUCUGAAUCAUGUUCUUGAAUUUUACUAUAUGUAUCGUGUUCUUUGCAUUUCGUUAUCUGAAAUUUGUUCUUUGAAUUUGGUUACCAGAAUCGUGCCUAAUGUUUGAUGUGGCCAGUGGCUUUGUAUGGUUGGCUGGUGUGAUUUGGGAGUGUUUUUAGUUAAUGGCAGACAUAGGACAAAGGUGUGGGGCAGCGAAGUCAAGUGGGAUUAGGAAUUUAGGAUAGUAGACUGUUUGCUAAUUUAUGGGAUUAGAAGUCUUCCUUUAUUUUUUCUCUUCAUGUAACAACAACAACAACAACAAAGCCUUUUCCCACUAAGUGGGGUCGGCUAUAUGAAUCCUAGAACGCCAUUACGCUCGGUUUUGCACAUGUCCAAACCCAUUUUGUGUACGUGUUGAUGCUUCACCACCCAACAUUCUGUGCCAUACAUCAUCGCCGGCCUUAUUGCCGUCCUAUAAAAUUUUCCCUUGAACUUCAGUGGCCUACGACGGUCACACAACACGCCGGAUGCACUCUUCCACUUCAUCCAUCCAGCUUGUCUUCUAUGGUUGAGAUCUCCAUCUAAUUCUCCGUUCUUUUGCAAGAUAGAUCCUAGGUAGCGAAAACGGUCGCUCUUUGGUAUUACAUGAUUUUCGAUCCUCGCCCCUAACUCAUUUUGGCCUCCAUUUGCACUGAGCUUGCACUCCAUAUAUUCUAUCUUUGAUCGACUUAGGCGAAGACCUUUAGAUUCCAACACUUGUCUCCAAAGGUUAAGCUUCGCAUUGACCCCUCAUGAGUUUCAUCUAUCAACACUAUAUCAUUUGCGAGAAGCAUACACCAAGGAAUAUCAUCUUGAAUAUGUCCGGUUAACUCAUCCAUUACCAACGUAAAAGGGUAAGGACUUAAGGAUUGUUGAUGCACAAAAUCAGUGAGGACUUUGGUACAACAGAAAGUAUUAAGUUAUUGCUCUGGUCAUUAGUGUGGAUAAGUAUGUAAAAGGAUAGAGAUAGGAAAGCAAACAUAAAAUGUACGUAGUUCACCCAGAAAGUAACUUUCCACAGGCUUAUUCUUGAACUGGGCUGGAGGGAUUUCUGGUUUCCUCCAGAGUAUAAGGCCGAUUGAAGAAUUUGAGGGUCAAAACAAGUCCAUCAAAUCUAGAGUACGUUCGACCCUGCUGAUAUGAGAUACUUUUGCUGUUGACAAAGUAGUGGAUGUAUCGGCACGCGUUCUGUUACGCUUGUCUCCAUAUGCUUCCUUGUAUCCUUCUCACUGUCCUUAUCGGUUCCUCAGGCAGAUGUGGUAUCUUCUCUGGAAGCAUAAGAUGUUGAAGAUGAGUACUCGAGAGCAGUGCCAGGUAAGUAAUCAGGUAAGGGUUCCAGGCAGUCAGUUCCUGACUGGAAGCUUGAUUCCAAGUGCUGACUGAUUGCUCUCUUUCUCCUUGUCUUUUGCAGGUAAGAACAAGGCCAAAGGAAAAGACAGGGAAAAAACAUGAUAUGGGAUACUCUUGCUUUUAACCCUGAUGAUAUGAGAUAUUCUUGCUUUGGUGUAGCUUGUUUGCAGAGGUAUUAUCGGAGGGAAAGAAAGCUGAGUAUUUCGAGAGACUUCUUUGGGAGUGCCCUCUCAGAUAUGAGGAAGGGUUGAGCAUUUUUGCAGGUCUGCCUGUCCGUUGAAGAUGAAGGUCGACAUAUAUAGGAGUCUCCCUAACAACAAGUAGUAAUGCUAUUCCUUUACCUUGCUUGGUCAUAGCACGGUAGUGGGAGCUGCCAGCUUCAUGUGUGUCAGAGCACUUUGAAAAAGUGGUAUGUGGUAUCUGGAAAGCUGAUGUUGCGUGUGAAGAUUAGACACAAGCUUUAUCCAAGGAGAUCUGGCUCUCGAAGUUGAGAAAGCGGUGCCUCUUCGGUUUUCAAACAAGCAAUCCUGCGGGGAUCUGGCUCUCAAUAUUCGGAGAACGGUGCCUCUUCGAUUUUUGAGAGAGCAAUCCUGCUGGGAGUCUGGCUCUCGAGAUUCGGAGAGCGAUGUCUCUUCGAUUUUGAGAAAUUAAUCAUGUUGGGAGUCUGGCUCUCAAGAUUCGGAGAACAGUGCCUCUUCAAUUUUAGAGCAAGCAAUCUUGUUGGGAGUGUUUUCUCGAAUGUGAGUAAAGGCAGGGCAUGUUUGCUAGUCUACCUUGCCACGGAGCACAGAGGUUGACACACAGGGACUUUCUAAUUAUCCAGCAGUGGUGCUGUUCCUUUACCCUUGUGGAUAAUAAUAUGAUAGCUAGACAUUCAAAAUUUAUGUGUCUAAACUUUGUUAGUGCUGUUUCUUUGCUAUUCUUUUACCCUUCUUGAUCAUAGCGAUGUAGUGGGAGCUGCAAGCUUCACGUGUUUAAACUUUGUCAAAGAUCUUUGACAAAGUUAUCUGUGGUACCCCUGAGCUGAUGGUGCGUGUGAAAAGUGGAUGAUUGAAUAGUAAGAUUCAUGUGCUUUUUACUUCACCAGAAAUCUUCAACAGAAUGCCCGUAAUUUCAGCAAAGCUGAGUGUGCAUGUGACAGGUGCUGACAAGGCUGAAAAAAGUAGGUGCCUCUUCGAUUUCUAAGAUCGACCCUCGUGGUCUCUAAGCAACCUAGCUUUUGAGAAAGCAAGCCUCUUCGAUUUCUAAGAUCGGUCUUCGCGGUCUUUUAGCAGCUCAGCUUUUAAGAAAGCAAACGCCUCUUCGAUUUCUGAGAUCGGCCCUCAUGGUCUCUGAGCAGCCUAGCUUUUGAGAAAGCAAACGCCUCUUCGAUUUCUGGGCAGACGCCUCUUCGAUUUUUUAAGCUCCGUCGAGUGCAGAUUUUUAUAGCGGCUGGCAUUAAGUUUCAAAGCACACUUGAAUCUUCACCAGGAGAAGCUCCCUUCUUGCACUUCUAAAAUCUUGAUUUGUCCGACCUCUUCUCUCUUCAACACCUUUGAAAAUGUCUGGCCCAUCCGACCGUCGUUUUGACUUGAACCUUGUUGAAGAGGCAGCCACGCCUUCUCUAGACAACAUAUGGCGCCCAUCCUUCUUAUCCCCUACUGGUCAUCUUACCGUUGGGGAUUCCGUGAUGAAGAAUGAUAUGACCGCUACGGUGGUGACCAUGAACCUUCUCACUCCCAAAGAUAACAGACUAUUUUCCAAACGGUCUAAUGAAUUGGCUGUUAAGGAUUCUCUGGCUCUGAGUAUUCAGUGUGCAGGUUCUGUGUCUAAUAUGGCCCAACGCCUAUUUGCUCUAACCCGCCAAGUUGAAUCAUUGGCAGCUGAAAUGAUGAGUCUCAAACAAGAAAUUAGAGGGCUCAAGCAUGAGAAUAAACAGUUGCACCGGCUCGCACAUAACUAUGCUAUAAACAUGAAGUGGAAGCUUAACCAGAUGAAGGAAUCUGAUGGUCAGGUUUUACUUGAUCAUCAGCGGUUUGUGGGUUUGUUCCAAAGGCAUUUAUUGCCUUCGUCUUCUGGGGCUGUACCGCAUAAUGAAGCUCCAAAUGAUCAACCUCCGAUGCCUCCUCCUUCUAGGGUUCUGUCCAAUACUGAGGCUCCUAAUGAUCCCCCUCCGAUGCCUUCUCUUUCUAGAGCUCUACCAACUGCUGAGACUUCUCCUAAGCAACCUUUAUGAAGGCUCCCUCUUGUUUGUUUAUUUUGACUCAUGUAUAUGUACAUAUUUGUAACUUAUCGGAGAUAUCAAUAACUAAGCUUUGCUUCAUUUCCAACGUAUUGUGUUAAAUACACCAAAGCCUUCUUCAUUGAGUGGAGUCCGCUAUAUGAAUCUUAGAACGCCAUUGUGCUCGGUCCUGUGUCAUGUCCUCCGUUAGAUCCAAAUACUCUAAGUCUUUUCUUAGAGACUCUUCCAAAGUUUUCCUAGGUCUUCCUCUACCCCUUCGGCCCUGAACCUCUGUCCCGUAGUAACAUCUUCUAACCGGAGCGUCAGUAGGCCUUUUUUGCACAUGUCCAAACCACCGUAACCGAUUUUCUCUCAACUUUCCUACAAUUUCGGCUACUCCUACUUUACCUCGGAUAUCCUCAUUCCUAAUCUUAUCCUUUCUCGUGUGCCCACACAUCCAACGAAGCAUCCUCAUCUCCGCUACACCCAUUUUGUGUACGUGUUAAUGCUUCACCGCCCAACAUUCUGUGCCAUACAGCAUCGCCGACCUUAUUGUCGUCCUAUAAAAUUUUCCCUUGAGCUUCAGUGGCAUACGGCGGUCACACAACACGCCGGAUGCACUCUUCCACUUCAUCCAUCUAGCUUGUAUUCUAUGGUUGAGAUCUCCAUCUAAUUCUCCGUUCUUUUGCAAGAUAGAUUCUAAGUAGCGAAAACGAUCGCUCUUUGGUAUUUCCUGAUCUCCGAUCCUCACCCCUAACUCAUUUUGGCCUCCAUUUGCACUAAACUUGCACUUCAUAUAUUCUGUCUUUGAUCGGCUUAGGCGAAGACCUUUAGAUUCCAACAGUUGUCUCCAAAGGUUAAGCUUCGCAUUUACCCCUUCCUGAGUUUCAUCUAUCAAUACUAUAUCGUCUGCGAAAAGCAUACACCAAGGAAUAUCAUCUUGAAUAUGUCAUGUUAACUCAUCCAUUACCAACGCAAAAAGGUAAGGACUUAAGGAUGAGCCUUGAUGUAAUCCUACAAUUAUGGAGAAGCUUUCGGUUUGUCAUUCAUGAGUUCUUACGGCAGUCUUUGCUCCUUCAUACAUAUCCUUUAUAGCUUGGAUAUAUGCUACUCGUACUCCUUCAUUCUCUAAAAUCCUCAAAAGAAUGUCUCUUGGGACCCUAUCAUAAGCUUUUUCCAAAUCUAUAAAGACCAUGUGUAAAUCCUUUUUCCCAUCUCUAUAUCUUUCCAUCAAUCUUCGUAAGAGAUAGAUUGCCUCCAUGGUUGAGCGCCCUGGCAUGAACCCGAAUUGGUUGUCCGAAACCCGUGUCACUUACCUCAAUCUAUGCUCAAUGACUCUCUCCCAAAGCUUCAUUGUAUGACUCAUUAGCUUAAUACCCCUAUAGUUCAUGCAAUUUUGUACGUUGCCCUUAUUCUUGUAGAUAGGCACCAAAGUGCUCUUUCGCCACUCAUUUGGCAUCUUCUUCGUUUUCAAAAUCCUAUUGAAAAGGUCAGUGAGCCAUGCUAUACCUGUCUCUCCCAAGACUUUCCACACUUCGAUCGGUAUAUUGUCUAGGCCCACUGCUUUAUAAUGCUUCAUCUUCUUCAAAGCUACAACCACUUCUUCUUUCCUGAUUCGACGAUAAAAUGAGUAGUUUCUACACUCUUCUGAGUUACUCAACUCCCCUAAAGAAGUACUCCUUUCAUGUCCUUCAUUAAAAAGAUUAUGAAAAUAACCUCUCCAUCUGUCUUUGACCGCGUUCUCUGUAGCAAGAACCUUUCCAUCCUCAUCCUUGAUGCACCUCACUUGGUUUAGGUCCCUUGUCUUCUUUUCCCUUGCUCUAGCUAGUUUAUAGAUAUCUAACUCUCCUUCUUUGGUAUCUAGUCGCUUAUACAUAUCGUCAUAAGCCGCUAACUUAGCUUCUCUCACAACUUUCUUCGCCUCUUGCUUCGCUCUUCUAUACCUUUCACCAUUUUCAUCGGUCAUGUCCUUGUAUAAGGCUUUACAACAUUCCUUCUUAGCCUUCACCUUUGUUUGUACCUCCUCAUUCCACCACCAAGAUUCCUUUUGGUAUGGAGCAAAGCCCUUAGACUCUCCUAAUACCUCUUUUGCUACUUUUCGGAUACAACUAGCCAUGGAAUCCCACCUUUGGCUAGCUUCCCCCUCUCUAUCCCACCCAUACUGGGUGAUUACUUUCUCUUUGAAAAUGACUUGUUUUUCUCCUUUUAGAUUCCACCAUCUAGUCCUUGGGCACUUCCAAGUCUUGUUCUUUUUUUCUCACUCUUUUGAUAUGUACAUCCAUCACCAACAAGCGAUGUUAAUUAGCCAAGCUCUCUCCCGGUAUAACUUUGCAAUCCUUACAAGUUAUACGAUCCCCUUUCCUCAUUAGAAGAAAAUCUAUUUGUGUUUUUGACGACCCACUCUUGUAAGUGAUCACAUGUUCUUCUCUCUUCUUAAAGAAGGUGUUGGCUAAGAAGAGAUCAUAUGCCAUUGCAAAAUCCAAGAUAGCUUCCCCAUCCUCGUUUCUCUCCCCAAAACCAUGGCCACCAUGAAAACCUCCAUAGUUGCCUGUCUCCCUGCCCACGUGUCCAUUUAAAUCUCCUUCUAUAAAUAACUUCUCCGUCUGGGCAAUUCCUUGCACCAAGUCUCCAAGGUCUUCCCAAAAUUUCUCCUUCGAACUCGUAUCAAACCCUACUUGAGGUGCAUACGCACUAAUCACAUUGAUGAGUUCUUGUCCUAUUACAAUCUUGAUUGCCAUGAUUCUAUCUCCUACCCUCUUGACAUUUACAACAUCUUGUGUCAAGGUCUUGUCCACGAUGAUGCCAACACCGUUUCUCGUUCUAUUUGUGCCCGAAUACCAAAGUUUAAACCCUGAGUUUUCUAGAUCCUUUGCCUUAAGACCAACCCACUUAGUUUCUUGUAGGAACAUAAUAUUUAUCCUUCUCUUCACCAUAACUUCCACUACUUCCUUAGAUUUUCCGGUUAAGGUUCCUAUAUUCCACGUUCCUAAAUGCAUUCUGCUAUCUUGAACUCUACCUUUCUGUCCUAGCUUCUUCACCCUCCCCCGUCCAAUAGAAUCAAAGUACUUCUUUUGUGUGUCCUGUGUAAAGUUGAUAGGAGCAUAUGCUCCCAAACAACUUUGAGUGGAGUCGUUCGAAAAGAAGUUUAUAUGGCCCCCUUGCUCAUUUAACACUGCAUCUAGGUGCUGAUGGAGAUACGGCAACCCUUGCUCACUUAUCACUAUGCUCGGGCCACACAACGCGCCAUUUACGGGUGACGCCCUAGCUUUAGCGCGAUUUCGUGCGAUGAAAAAAAAAAGGUGAGUAAUUUUAACUCUAGUUUGAGGUAAUAACAUGUGAAUUUUUCGUAUUACUGGUUUUUCCCUUUCUAUUAAAAACAACCUUUGAUUUCUUUGAUAGUGCGUUUUUCUAUCUGUGCUAUUGUUGAACUCCCCCAGUUAUCAGUUUUGACUCAAAAAAAAUAUUCGAUGAUAACAUGCAUUGAAUAUUGGCUAAAAUUAUAUUGAAAUUUGCUGGCCGAAGCAGAUAUCGUUAAAAGAGCUCUAAGUCACCCUCUGAAAUUAAUUGCCAAAAGUGAUGUUGUAAAUGGAAGAGUUGUUAGUGAGAAGGCAUUUUUUUUCGUUUCACUUUAUAGACUAUGCUCACUAUCUGUUUAAUAUGUUUCAUCGUAUUAAUUAAAGUCUCAUUUCUCAGGUGCUUUCAAGUGACAACCCCAACUAUGGAUGCAUGCUGCCACUGGAAACUAUGAAAAUUUCAUGGUUGCUGGGAUCACUGAUCCAACUAAAGUGGGUUUCUUUAUCAAGUACUUCAUGAAUAGAAUAUUUUGGAGAUCCUAUCGCUGGGACAGAUUGAAGAAGAUGAAGAUCACAAGGGUGGGAUACUGGGGAGGGUGGUAGGGUUAUGAGGAGUGGGCUCUGGUUGGUUUCGAUUUGACCAAUGUCAUGGUUCGAUGGAAUCGAGGUGAUGGGGAUGAUUCAUGAGGUCACAACCACAAGAUGUAGGGCCUACGCGUGGGGUUUAGGGGUUUCACAUAGAGGCUUACAGAGGGAGGGGGUGCACACGUGAAUUGCAGAGGGAGAGGGAGAAAGAGGGGGAGUAGGGUUGCUAUAUUCAAGUUCUCUUUUUUAUUUUUACUUGAAUUUGAUUUGAUUCUUUUUUUUUUUUGCGACAGGUUGAGAAUGCGAAAGCUCAGCUGGAGGUGGAGGUGAGAAUUUUAAUUUAAUUCAUGGUAUAUCUUUUUUUUUUUGUGGGAUUGUGCUGUUUUUGGGAAAACAAUAUUAAAUUGAAGUUUAGAUAUUUCUGUAAUUGGGAUUUAGAGUAAGAGAUGAAGAACUAUAUGUGAUUGCAAAUUUAAAAGUUUAGAACUUUUUUGGUUUGGAAGCUAAUUUUAAAUUCAGCUAGCUGAUUAAUUAAUAGAGAAAUUAUAACGAAUGUGUGAUACGUUUUUCAAUGCGUAUGAGCAGACAUGGGUACUGCUUCAGCGGCAGCAGCUGCUAUAUGAUGGUAGAUGAGGAAUUCUGAGAUGCUGAGUGCUCUUAGUGUCAGAGAUGAAGACUUGAUAAUGAUCGUUCCAAUUCUGCCUCAAGGUAUACUUGAUAAUGUUGUCCUUUAUGUGCAAUUCACUGUAUGAUGCUCGUUCCUUUAAUGAGCCUGUCAAUAUAUUUCAAUGCACCCACCAAUUGGUUUUAUCAUCAUACAUCAUUCGUGAGAAAUGGGAUGGUGAGUUUCUCAAUACAGUUUUAAUUUUUGUGCGAAUAAUGUUUGUAAAAAGUCUGUUUUUAUUUAGUUCAUUGCAGAUUCUUAUUCUUUUAUUUAGUUCACGAUUCAUGCUUUUAAAGAUAAGAAGUGCAAGGCUCUCUCGGAUGUUAGUUUUGGGUGGCAAUUGAAAGAUACGAGGACAAACAAAAAUACCUACCAAUUGAAAGGAUAAAUUCAAUUGAAAAUAUUUGGUUCAUCAAUUAUUAUAGUUUGAGCUUUCUGCAUUAAAUGUCCAGUUUUCGGGAAGAGUGAUUCAUGUAAUUGGGUUUUAUUAAAAUUUUCAUGAUUUUAUACAGUUUUUCGUUUAAAUUUGUGGAUUCAUAAACACUUUUAUGAGUGUUAAUUUCUGUUCGUAUGUCUAAAAUUUGUUUGGAAUUUGGCUGUUUCUUCAAUUUCAUCACCACCUAUUCUCACAACUUCAUUUAAAGUGUUUUGCAUGUAUAAGAUUCAUAUUCAUGGAGGUCAUUUCAAACGGAUUUCAAGCUGAGCUGCAGAAAUUUGAUUCAAAUUGGUGGAUUUGGGUAAGAAACUAAGAAACCAUUAUCUUUUGUUUCGGUUUUAAGAACUGAAUUUAAUGGUUAAGUUUAUGUUUCAAGAUUAUCUUCCUUUCUCCUAAAUACUGAGUUUUAUGAGAUUACAUUUGGCAAGUCUGAAAACGGAUUAGAAAUACAGAGUUUUAUGAGAUCUAUUUGGCAAGAUUAUCUUCCUUUGUCCUAAAUACUGAGUUUUAUGAGAUCUAUUUGGCAAGUCUGAAAGUGGAUUGCGUAUGUUUAUAUCUCCCUUUCUUCUAAAUACUGAGUUUUAUGAGAUCACACCAUCUUAUGUUUAUUGUAUAAUCUUAUGCAGUCAGAAGAAUUAUCAUCUUUUUCCUUUUAGAUUUCAACAUAUUUGGAAAUACUUCAAAUUUUUUGUAGUGUAGUUUGUACUUGUAGUUUACAUGAUUACGUAAGUUCUAUUUCUUUAGUAAAUUUUUAUGCAGGAAAGAAAGUCAUUUCUCAGUUUAUAGUUAACAUGAUUACAUAAGUUAUGCUUAUCUUAUCAACCUCAUUCACUCGUAUGUUGCUCUGUUCAUUCAUGAUUGUGUUAAAUUUAUUCAGGUUAAAAGUGUCUUAUUCAUGCAGUUACGCAUGAAACAGUUGUUCCCGCGGCAACACGUGGGCUUAUUUUCUAGUUCCAAUGUAAACCUAGAGACGAAACGAGGUCAUAUAUUACAAAGACAUAUUCUAAAACAGCCUUAGCUCAGAGAAUAAAAAAAGGAAAACUAAUGAAAAUGGCUUGAAAACUUUGAGUUUUAACGAUAUGGACAAAAUAAAGGGUAAAGUGAACAGUAUCAGGUUUGACUUUUUAGUGUAAAAAUGUGAUUUUUCGUUAAAGUAAACAGUACAGCAGACUUUUCGUUAAAACUCCCAAUAAAAAAAACCAUGCAGUGAAAACAUCUAAGGGAAACGAGUUGAUCCUCAAUAAACGCCUCAAUAGAAUGACAUCUUUGUUAAAGCAUCUGUUAUAAAAUUAGCUUCAUCUAAAACAUGAUAGAAGCUGAUAUGAUCAAGCAUACCAUGUUUGCCAACAUAAAAGAAGGAUCUUUCCAAGUUUAGGAAGGUGGGAGUUGCCAAAGAGAAACCGAUUUGAGCCGCAUUUUCUUCAAAUAUCUCAGGCAAACGGUCGGCUGACAAAAUGCAGUCAAUGGCUUCAACAUCUUGAGAAUAAAAGGCACAACUAGGAUCAAUUGGUUGUACUUCAUAUAGGGAUAAGACUUGAGUCUCGUCUUUCACAUAUGUUUACUUGUUCAUUCCGGCCAUUAUAUGGUACAACACUGAACAUAGAGUACAACUUUUCCGGCCUCUAAGUCCGGAACCCUCCCAAACAUUGGACACUACAAUACCAAAAUAAAGCAAUAAAAUACAACAGUACAAUACAAUAUAGUUAAAAGCAAUCCAUCUUAGUACAGACUCAAUCGGAUGAAUCAACGGAGCCCUAGUGUUCAAGCUUCCAUCCUUGCGGUAAACUUAAGUGGUGGCUUCAAGAAAUGGAUAAUCAGUGUAACCAAUGACGGGAUCAGUGUGUAAAAUGUCUCUCUGUUGUACUUGUUUAGAGGAGCAUUAAGUUCAAAUCUCUUUGGCAAAUCCGGAUUCGCCAAGAAAAUACGGCCAUAAGCAAUAAGAUCUGCACGGCCCUCGCCCACAGCUCUGUUUCCAUCUUCCCUGUGAUAACUGUAAAUCAUUGUGUAUGUUGAUGAAGAAAGAAUAUGCAGGAAGAAAGACAGAGAGAAAUGUAGAAGAAUAAGAGAGUAAGAGAGUUUAGAGAGUAGAGAGAGAAUCAAGAAUUGUAUUUUCUUUCUAGUUAGUUACAACUGACUAUUACAACAUGUAUUUAUUUGUAUUGGUAGCUUACACUCUAAGCCACACAAUAACCACCUUAACUAACUCUUAUAUCACAGCUAUAGAAUCUUAGUACACCUAUCAUCCCCCCUCAAGCUCAGGGGCAGAGAAAUUGAGCCUGAGAUUGGCACAAUGAGUCUGAAAGAGUGGUGUAGAAAGACCCUUGGUGAGGAUAUCUGCAAACUGCUCAGUAGACGAUACAAACUGAACAUGUAGUUGCUGUUUUGCAACCCUUUCUCGAACAAAAUGGACAUCAACCUCAAUAUGUUUCGUACGUUGAUGUUGAAUUGGAUUGCAAGUCAGUGCAAUUGCAGACAGGUUGUCACAGAAAAGUAAUGGGGGCUCGGCCAAAGGAAUCUGCAAGAACGACAACAGAGAUUUAAUCCAAUCCAAUUCAGCCGCUGUAGUAGAGAGAGCUCGAUAUUCAGCCUCAGUUGAUGAGCGAGAGACAGUGUGUUGUUUCUUAUACAUCCAUGAAAUGGGAUUAGACCCCAAGAACACCACCAUUCCAGUUGUGGACCGUCUAUCGUUCGGAUCACCCGCCCAGUCUGCAUCACUAUAGGCAGUAAGAUCAAGGGAACCUCGAAUAUACUGAAUACCACAGCCUCGAGUAGCCUUUAAGUACCUAAGAAUCCGUUUGACAGCCAUAAAGUGGGAGUCCAUUGGUCGCUGCAUAAACUGGCAGACCUGAUGCACUGCGAAAACAAUGUCAGGCCGCGUAAAAGUCAAGUACUGGAGAGCACCAACCAAGCUCCUGUACAUUGUAGGAUUAUUAUAAGGCUUGCCAUCAUUGCUGAGAAGACGGUUGUAAGGCAAACAUGGAGUAUCACACGGUUUGGACAAUAGCAUAUCAGAUUUAGUAAGCAGAUCCGUAACAUACUUGUCUUGAGAGAGAAACAAACCAUUCUUGUUCUGUACAAUUUGAAUGCCUAGAAAAUAAUGAAGAGGUCCCAAGUCUUUCAUAUCAAACUCAUGAGUAAGAGCUUGAAUAACCUCAGUGAUAGCUUGUGGAUGGCUGCCUGUGAUGAUAAUAUCAUCAACAUACAACAACAGAAUCACCACAUAUGUGUCAACAGUUUUUACAAAUAAAGAUGAAUCUGCAAAUGUAGACUUGAACCCUAAGGAAGGUAGAAAAGUAGUGAACCUUUCAUUCCACCUGUGGUGCCUGUUUCAACCCAUAAAGCGAUUUAUGUAAUCGACAAACAUAAUCUUCAUGUUUAAGAUCAACAAACCCAGGUGGCUGUGUCAUGUAGACCUCUUUCUUGUAAAUAUGCCAUGGAGGAAGGCAUUUUUCACAUCUAAUUGUCUCAAUGUCCAACCAAAGUUUGCUGAUAAAGCUAGAACGAUUCUCACUGUUGUAGGUUUAACAACAGGGCUAAAAGUCUCUCCAUAAUCGAUUCCUUCUUCUUGAUUAAAGCCUUUUGCCACCAGCCGUGCCUUAUACCUCCCAAUUGAGCCAUCAGCAUUCUUUUUUAUCUUAUAUACCCAUUUACACCCGAUUAAAUUCUUGUGACGGGGCAAUGGAACCAAUGACCAUGUUCCCUGAUUAUGCAAAGCCAAUAUCUCAUCUUGCAUAGCAUUAAACCAAACUGGGGAUUUCAACGCAGACUUAUAUGUUGCAGGUUCCACUUAUGUCAAAUCAACCCCCCCAUGUUCAUGAACCUGAGCAAGUAAAGCAAGCUUCUUAAUAAUACCACUUUUGGAUCGUGUCUGCAUAGGAUGGAAGUUCACUGGGGGAACAGAGAGAACCACUUGGAGCUGCUCAGGUUGGAAUUCAGGUACCACAGGAGGUGCAGGGGAGAAGGGUUGUGUAGUUGGAGAAGUAAUGGAAUGAGUAGCAGUUGAAUUUCCUGCACUGUCAGGUGAACCUGUAAUUGGAACCGUAGUGGAGGCUGCUGAAAGUUGCUGGAGUACCAGAUUUGGCAUGCCACUAGAGAUAGAAUCUGAGCUUAAUGAUGCAGGACACUCAGUGUAGGGAUUAAGUGACUCGUGUAACACAAGUACAUUACUAUGAUUAGGAACUGGAAUUGGUGUUUGAGAAUGUGAUGGAGGUGGUGAAAUAGUGGUACAGUGAGAUUUAGAGACCAAAGAACGAUAAGGAAACUCUGUCUCAUCAAAUAAAACAUGUCUAGAAAUAUACAUUUUGUUUUUAGAAGCAUCAUAACAAAGAUAGCCUUUAUAGUUAGAUGCAUAUCCCAAAAAGAUACAUUUUGCAGUGCGGGGAUCUAACUUGGUAUGAGUAUAAGGCCUUAACCAAGGAUAACAAGAACAGCCAAAUAUUUUCAAAUGUGUUAUUACUGGUAUGGAAUUGUGCAGCAAUUGAAACGGAGAUAAAUUUCCCAAGGAAGAAGAUGGCAUUCUAUUAAUGAGGUACACUGAGGUUUUGCAGGCAAAAGACCAAAACACUGAGGGUAAGGAAGCAGACUGUAGCAAAGCAAUGGAAAUUUCAAUAAUAUGCCUGUGUUUUUGUUUAGCUAUUCCAUUCUGUUCGGGUGUGUAAGGACAGGAAAGUUGGUGCUUAAUUCUUUUAUCAGACAAAAAUUGUUGAAAUGCUUUGUUUAUGUAUUCACCACCACCAUCACUGUGAAGAGUUUUAAUGGCUACUUGAAACUGAUUUAAGAUGAAAUUGUAUAAAGAAACAAAUAUACCCGAAACAUCACUUUUAUUGCACAUGGGAAAAAUCCAGCAAUAUUUUGUACAAUGGUCAAUGAAAGUGACAUAAUAUCUAAAUCCAUCUAGAGACACACAAGGAGCAGGACCCCACACAUCACUGUGAACAAGAUCAAAAGGUUUUACAGAUUUAUCUACGGAGGAAGGAAAUGGGAGUUUACUGAAUUUGCCCUCUAAACAUGGGUGACACAGUGAAGGUGUUUGAUCAGCAACACAAAGAACAUGUGAGGAUUCUAAAAUGCGGGAAACAAUUGAAUUAGAGGGAUGACCUAAUCUCUUAUGCCAAAUACUGGUAGUAACUUGUUGUCCCAGAAAAGCUGCAAGGUUCCUUUUGUGGAUGACUGCAGGAGAACUUGGUGAGAUGAUCGGAUACAAACCAUUGUUACACAGCCCUUUGUAAAGCACCCUCCCUGUGGCUUUGUCGUGAGAGAUAGCUAAACCUUCACCAUUUGCAGUCUGAAUAGUCUCAUUAGACGGAUAUGGAGUGGACAAGGAAAGAUUUCCCAAGUCUGAAGUCAUAUGAUUAUUUGCACCUGAAUCAGUAAGCGAAAUUUGCUGCUGUGGAGGAGGAGAUGGCACUGAGAAAGAAGGAUUAGGACCAUUGAGUGUUGCAGCAUGCAUAGCACUCAUUUGAGGAUUGGCAUUCUUUUGAAAACAUGUUUCUGCAGUAUGAUUGGAGUUCCCACAAAUAAAGCAGCCUGAGGGACCACUUGUAUUUCGAAAUCUACAGGUAUCAGCCAUAUGGUUGUGCUUCCCACAAAUUUGGCAACCUUGUGAAACAUUCAUGUUUCGAAAACGACAUGUAGAAGCCAAAUGAUUUGACUUCCCACAUAUUUGACAAAGUUAAGGCUGAAACCCAUAAAUCUGUGUUCUUGGCGGAGAAGCACCAAGAAUGCCAGGUGCAGGAUUUGAAGAGAAGUUCUUUUUAUUACCAUAUCUCGGAUUGAAUUAGAACCAAAACGAUUUCUGCCUUUACCAUUGUGAUUAAAAGACCUGUAUGCAUUUGUAUUGGAACUAGGAUAAUUUCCACCAGAACCUGAAAAAGACUGAUUCUUGGACACCAAGUCAUUGUUCUGUGCCAUUAGUGCAGACAAAACAGGUGAUGCAGAAAUGGUUUCAAUCAAUGCUUCUUCAGCCAACAAUUGAGAACGAAGAUCUUUCAACGAUAUCACAGUUUCACGACCCCGAAUCACAGAUCUUAUAGUAUUAAAUUCAGCAGGCAGACCAUUCAAUGUAAGAAUCACCAUAUCAUCAUCAUCAAAGAAAACACCAGCAGCAAAUAGUAAAUCCCGUGCUUCUUUAAUCUUCUGCAAAUACACAGUGAUAGAAUCAUUACCCUUCUUUAUAUUUUGCAGUUCAGAUUUGAGUUGAAAGAUACUGGUUCUUGUGAUAGUUGAGAACUGUUCUUUAAGCCUAGUCCACAAUUCUUUGGAACUGGUACUACCAAUCGCACAAGAAAUCCCAGCAGGGGACAAGGUUGCAGUGAUCAACUGCAUUAAUGCUUUAUCAUGCAUCUUCCAUACUCUGUAAUCAUCCGAUUGAACUUGGGUAGUAGAACCCCCAGAUAAUUCUUGGCAAAAUUGGUCAGGACAAGGAAUCGAGCCAUCAACAAACCCAAUUAUACUAUGGCCUUCAAGCAGGAGCUCCAUCUGAAAAUGCCAAGCCAAAUAAUUUGUUUCAUCCAACUUCACAUUAACUGAACUUGAAACCGACGAGAUCAAAGAAGCAAUCGGAGACUGAAGAAUAUGUAACUGAGUAGCAGUCACCAUUGUUACCAAUUAGGAGAAAAAUCCCAAGAAAUCUUGACAGAGGAAUAACCACAAACACUUGGUGGGUGUACUUUGAUCGAGAACGAAUCAAAGGAAGAAGAAGACUAAACCAGCCCAAAUUUUAACACAAGAAAUCACAGCAAGGAGAAGUAAUAGGGUAGAAGCGGAAGCAACCAUAACCAAGAUCGAAAUCCGUCAAGCUUUCAUGCUUGUUCCGGCGAUGAUACCAUGUAAACCAUUGUGUAUGUUGAUGAAGAAAGAAUAUGCAGGAAGAAAGGCAGAGAGAAAUGUAGAAGAAUAAGAGAGUAAGAAAGUUUAGAGAGUAGAGAGAGAAUCAAGAAUUGUAUUUUCUUUCUAGUUAGUUACAACUGACUAUUACAACAUGUAUUUAUUUGUAUUGGCAGCUUACACUCUAAGCCACACAAUAACCACCUUAACUAACUCUUAUAUCACAGCUAUAGAAUCUUAGUACACCUAUCAAUAACCACCACCAGCAAUGAAGGUACCAUGGAAAGCCUUUCUCAUGGGAAGAAGACUCUGGUGGGUUUCAGCUUUUUCUCCUAAUGUCUUCAUCCUCGGCUCAACCAUGUGGCAGUACACGAUUCCAUAUUUGUUCAAGGCAUUGGCCAUAUAGAGGCCUAAUUCUUUUGGAUUUGAAUCCCCUGAGUCCAUAUAGUCAGCAAAUGGAGAUAAUCUAAUUCCAACUUUAUCUGCUCCUAUUUCGUUAGCGACAGCUUCAACAACUUCCAGAGGAAGGCGGCAACGAUUCUCUAGAGAUCCACCAUAUUGGUCUGUUCGAUCAUUCACAUGAUCUUUCAGAAACUGAUCAAGAAGGUAGCCAUGCGCCCCAUGAAUUUCAACUCCAUCGAAGCCUAUAUAGCAGAUUAACAAUUUCAACAUACUGACGGUAUUAGAACCCUAAGCAUUGUCGCUGAAUUACCAAACAAAUAAUAUAAAGACAAACUACCGGCUUCAAUAGAAUUCCUUGCAUAAGCUUUGAAGCAAAUUGAGUUGUUGUAAAUUAUGUUUCAUAUGUAACGUAAAGACAAAUUACCAGCUUCAAUAGAAUUCCUUGCAGUAAGUCUAAAAUCAUUGACAAUUUGCGGAAUUUCAUCCGUCCUUAAUCGUCUUGGAGGCGUGAAUUCAGAAGCAUCGAUGCCAUUUAAUCGUAUCGGCUUGUCAGUAGAAGAUAUGGGAGCUUGCCCAUUUGGUUGAUAACCUGUAAGCAAGGAGAGAGAAUUACAACCUGAAGUCUAACGACAGUAACUAACAUCCACAGCAGCACUCUUUUAAGUGGGAAUCCUUUGUUACAAAUUACUAUAACCACACGUGCUAUAUACUAGUUCUGAAUUCUGAGUUAUGUUAACAUCAAGCUUCUUCCCAUCCAAUAAUAAUAAUAACAAUGCUUCCGAAGCAGCAAAGUCAUAACAAGUCCAACUCGGAACUUAACAAGUCCAAGUUUUAUCGUCAUUUUGAGCAACAAUGUUGUCAAUUAUAAUCACUAGCUCGUUCUGAUGCAUACACCAUUAUGUUAUACAUCAAACUUCUUAAUCGGUCUAAUUAUUCACUCAUGUUAACAAAGCAUACUAUGGUAAAAGUGUUGUGCCUUGGCCCGUUUAUCAGUGCGGAAACGAGAUUCAGAUUACAACCUCACCAUAAUCACACUCAGUUGAACAGAAUAAAAUACAAGAAAUAAAGACACCGAGAAAUUUACGAGGUUCGGCAAAAAUCCUGCCUACGUCCCCGGAGAGAUAUUGCUCUUCACUAUGAGAAUAACAGUACAAGUACACAUGAGUUAAAUCAACAUAACCCAAUCCCGAAUCCCUUGCACACCCACUCAUAGAAUUUUCCCAAGAGCCUCACUCUAUCCCAAGAGUUCUUUCACCAGAGACCUUUCACUCUAGCUCUCUUGAUUUCUCUCUCACCCGUGUUCAACCCUUCCCAUGGGAGAGCUGAAUGCUCUCCCCUUUUGGAUGCUCACUCCAUCCUCACAAUCGGCAAGCUCUCUUCAUUUUGUGUGUGAAAAAUGCCUUCACUUAUAGACAUGCACCAUCAAUUAUGUCAACCACAAAACAUGCUUCCACAAAACAUGCUUCCUCAAAACAUGCUUCCACAAAACAUGCUUCCACAAAACAUGCUUCCAAAGUCCACAAAGUUGAGAGGAAAUGGUUGCCAACUCAUAAUUAUAUGAGCCAAACACAACAAUCUCCACCUUGGCGAAUAUACUGUGCAAAAAUCCUUGCACCCAUCACCAAUGUCCAUUGGCCUUACGUACCAGCAUACACAUUCUGAAUCAACCUUGUUGGUCCUGUUCCUGAUUCAGUCACUGCCAAUGCAUGUGCAGCUGCUGCAAGCUAAAAAUCACCAUUUAGCUUCAGACAGGAUCUCGACACAUCCUCGUCUCCUCCAGCAGGUUUUCCUUCUCUUCAUUGUCUGCAACUAGGAAACUCGUCAGCGCGCCCGUUUCCAGUAACAACCCAUCGAGCCAGACAAAAUUCCCACACUUCCUCCUACCUCAUGAUCAUCUCAUCACCUGUGAAUCCCAUAGCUCCACCUGCUGCAAAACCCCUGCAACACUUGAGACUAAACAUCACCAGGAGAAGUGUUGCUUCGAGUACCUAGAGGACAUACUCAAAGUCUUCCGCCACAAACUUGCUACAACCCGGCCUUGCACCGUAGCACUGUGGACCCUUGCCUCCGGAACCGGAUCUGAACCUGCUGUCUCUCUCUGAUCCUCUUUCCAAUUUUCUUCCACGAUUCCAACCUUGAAUAACUUAAGCAGUCUUGUGCCCACCAUCAUCCAUGGUCUCCUUUGUGUAUCAUUCCACACCAAAGAAGCUUGCACCUGCUCCAAACUUACUGUAUCUUUCCAUGCAGUAAAGUUUCACAAGGUUCUAAGACAAAUCUGAAAGUGAGGUAAGAAGAAAGAGGCCUUUGUUUUCUUCCUCAACAUCAACUUUCGCAGUUGAUCCAAGCAUCCCUGAACACGGCUUCCAUUACUCUCCUUUGCCAAGAGUAAAACCGCCUCUUCCUUUAAACUGCUCAACUGAAAAUUCCAUGGUGAACAACAAAUCUGGACCUCCAACGAACCAAAGACUCCAACGAUGCUCUGAUACCAAUUGUUAUGCCUUGGCCCGUUUAUCAGUGCGGAAACGAGAUUCAAAUUACAACCUCACCAUAAUCACACUCAGUUGAACAGAAUAAAAUACAAGAAAUAAAGACACCGAGAAAUUUACGAGGUUCGGCAAAAAUCCUGCCUACGUCCCCGGAGAGAUAUUGCUCUUCACUAUGAGAAUAACAGUACAAGUACACAUGAGUUAAAUCAACAUAACCCAAUCCCGAAUCCCUUGCACACCCACUCAUAGAAUUUUCCCAAGAGCCUCACUCUACCCCAAGAGUUCUUUCACUAGAGACCUUUCACUCUAGCUCUCUUGAUUUCUCUCUCACCCGUGUUCAACCCUUCCCAUGGGAGAGCCGAAUGCUCUCCCCUUUUGGAUGCUCACUCCAUCCUCACAAUCGGCAAGCUCUCUUCAUUUUGUGUGUGAAAAAUGCCUUCACUUAUAGACAUGCACCAUCAAUUAUGUCAACCACAAAACAUGCUUCCACAAAACAUGCUUCCUCAAAACAUGCUUCCACAAAACAUGCUUCCACAAAACAUGCUUCCUCAAAACAUGCUUCCACAAAACAUGCUUCCACAAAACAUGCUUCCAAAGUCCACAAAGUUGAGAGGAAAUGGUUGCCAACUCAUAAUUAUAUGAGCCAAACACAACAAAAAGGGAGGUCAUAAAGGUGUAAGUCAGAAACGCACCGCUAUUAGAAACCCUUCCAGCAUGCCAAAUCUGACAGAAGAAGACGCCACCUUUAGCAUGAACAGCAUUAACAAUGGGUUUCCAGGCUUCAACUUGCUCCUUUGUCCAUAUACCAGGUGUGUUUGGGUACCUUCGUAUAUUAAAGAACCAAAAAUUUCAUCAAACUUUGAAACGAAAGAAGCACCCUCAAAUGCUUGUUAGUCUAUGAAUCUACUGUUGUUGAAAUUACCCUUGAGCUGUGUUGGAAACUCCAGCGGCUUCAGCUAUGAGAAGACCCCCGUUCGAAGUUCUCUGAGAGUAAUAUAAGAUAGCAUGUGGUUGAGGAACAUUGUUGUAUGAUCUCUGUCUGGUCAAUGGUGCUAAAACAAUUCUGGAAAGGAAAAAGCAAUUGUAAAUUAUAAAUACAGAGUGAUCAAGACGGAAUGUGGCUGAGGAACAUUAUCGAAUGAUCUGUUUCUAGUCAUCAACGGUGAAAAUACAAUUCUAAAGAGGAAAAACAUAUAACAAACCAUAAAUACAACCUUCAGACUUUGUAGGAAGCAUUAGUUUGCUAAGGCUCUUUGAUAACAAAUUCGCUUUUAGUUUUCUUGUUUUAGUUAAAAAGGAGAAACGAGGGAGGAAGAAGGAAUUUGGGACGAAAAUGUAUGAAAUAAAAACUCGAAUUGUAGAUUAUCUGAAUUUGCUAAGGCUCCUUCAUAACAAAUUCGCUUUUAGUUUUCUUGUUUUACUUAAAAAGGAGAAACGAGGGAGGAAUAAGGAAUUUGGGACGAAAAUGUGUGAAAUAAAAACUCUAAUUGUAGACAAUCUGAAUUUGCUUUAUGUUCUUCAUUUUCGGUAUCAUUCCAUGAACAUUUGGUCCCUCAUCCAUCCCUUCCCCUUCCCCUUCCUCCUCCUCCUCCUCUUCUAUCAUGCAUUUUCUCUUUUACUUAAAAUUAAAAACUAAAAAUCAAAUACGAAAUCGUUACCAAACACAACCUAAACAAAGCAAUGUCUUACGAAGUGACCAUGGCCGAAAGGGCACAUACUUUUAACAAUCUAUUGCAUCUAUUUUCAACAAUUAAUCAAUGAAAUAACUCAAGUGUACUGUUGUUUUGAUUUAAUUUGUAACAUCUGUACUAUUUUAUAGACAAAGAUACAGUUACUCUUUUUUUUUUUUUAGGUAAACUAGAAUUACACCAGGGCAAAGCCAGAGUACAACAGGAAAGCCCACACAGAGGACUAACAUAGCUAAAACCAUUGAGACGACAAACAACAAAAUGAUCCAGGGCCAAGGACCAACACUAGUCCCGACAUUAUGUCACCCUUAAUCAUUCCAACAUAGACUCAACUUAGUGUGGGCAAGGUAGACCAUCCUUGUUCAACUUCUUGUCUCCUUCCCAACAUCUGUACUAUUUUAUACCAACAUGAUUCUCUCUGGAUUCUUUUGGUGAGAAUCUUGUCCGUUCAUCGUACAUCGUGCGAUCAGUUUUUGUCAAAUAAUUUUGUGUUUAAUUUUAAAUAAAAAUAUUUAAAAUAAUUUUUUACUGCACGAUAUACGAUGAACGGACAAAAUAACGGAUUUUCAGGAUUCUCACAAAGAGAAUUCGACGAGUAUCCGGAUUCUAUUUUAUAGACAAAGAUACAGUUACAAACACUCCUUGUCUCCUUCCCCAAAUCAUUCUUCGUUUUUGUAAAAUAGGAACAAUGUAUGAAAGUUUUAAUUACCUAUGAGAAAGAUUGAAGUUUCCAAUUUGUAGGGAGUGAGGAGAGGAACUGUGGGAGGUUGAGCAGCAGCAGACAUCUCAGAAUUCGAGUCGGUCGUCUACCACCUGAUCUUGCACUUGGCCUUUUAUACUGGAUUCUGGGAUGAAGGAAGGAAGGAAUGAAUGAAAACAGGACCCAAUUGGGUCUUUAUACGUUCGGUAGGAGCUUAAAAGUCCGCCCUGCAGCUUUCCUCCACAAAAGUCAGAGAAGGCCGGGUCCCACAUCUCCCCUCCCUUGUGUGGUGGUGGCGGCGGCGGACGUCGGUGGGUGGACGAUGGAUCUCUCCAAAGCAUUAAUUAAACCGAUUAGGUGAAGACAGGUAGGAAGGUUUGAUGAGGUCUGUAAUUACGUUUACGUGGGUUGAAAAUUCACCAGUUUUAUGAGGUCUGUAAUUACGUUUGCGUGGGUUGAAAGUUCACCAGUUUUCCCCAUGAAAAAGGACGUCUACGCACGUUCAUUUCGAUUUUGCUUUUUCAUCCUGCAUUAUUAGGCCAUGGUUAGAAAAAUAUAUUAUUUAGGUCCUUAAGGCCACCUCCAAUCAGAAGGGUUAAAACAUAAUCUCAUAUAGAAUUAUAAUUUUGUAAAAAAAUUAAUUUUAAAUUAAUAGUGUCAGAUCAUAUUCAUAUACUAUCUAUAACCAAAUGAGCUAAACAUAGCCUCAUCAAUUUCCGAUGGAUAGCUAGACUAAAAUUCUAUGGAGCUCAUCAAGCCAUCAUUUGGCUAAAGGGGCAUUGGGUUGGCCAAAUGUAGCCCCCCUUCUUAGCCCUUUUUGGAGCUCAGCUCCUCUACUGCACUAUUUGAGUCAAAUUCAACAACUAUGUUUGAAAACAUUUAAUGGAAGUUUAAUUAAAUUAAUCGAUAAAUUUAAUAUAUAAACUUAAAACUAAGUAAUUAUUGAGAAGGUUAUGUUUAGCCACUUCAGUGACGGUAUAUAAGUAUGACGCGAUAUUGUUCAGUCAUUUCGGUUGAAGAUGGCCUAAGGUAAGAAUUUUGAGGAUAUGUGAGACUAAUGUAUGUUAGUUACAAAAUUAUGUUUGUAUAGAUCACUUGAAAUAUUUGACAACUUAAUAAAGAAAAACCAACUUAAAAUCCAUGAACCAUUAGAAAACUCAUUUUCUUUUUUGGUUUUAUUAAGUUGUCAAAUAUUUAAGCUUUUGAAUACAAACUAAUAUAAUCUUGUGGCUAAUAUACAUUUGGUCCUCACAAAUCUUUAAAAUGAAGACCUUACUUGAUCAAUGAAUUUAUGACAAAUUAAAUAGUCUAAAAAUAAAAGGCUCGAAUUAGGGCUAGGUUCGGUUCAAAUCGGUUCAAUUUUUUUUUUCGGUUUUGGUUUUUUUUUGGUUCCGGUUCGGUUUUUUCCGUGAUUUUUUUAAAUCUUUUUUAUUUUUGUCAAAAAUAUAAAGAAGAGUAAUUUUACUUUUUGUUUCCGAUGAACUAAGAAAUUAAAGAAGGAACUUGAAUUAAAACUAGGGCAACUCGCAAUGAUGGCUGCAUCAAACAAAUCAUCCAUAUCUACAAUAUGAACAGAAACCUUUGUAAAUCAUAAAGUCCUUAAUGCUAAAUCCUUUAAGAACCAAGACUUGAAAACCCUAAAUCUGCAAUACAAACCCACAAGUAAGAAACAAACCCACAACACAAAAAUCGAACAAAUCUGCAAUACAAACCAAACUCCCUCCAUGGCGCCAUGUCACUGCCUCCGUUUUCCGGCCAAACCAAGGCGAUUUAGCCCAAAAAAAAGGUACAUCUUCGUCUCAUCUAGAAGUAUGAUUUUUGUUUUUGAAUCACUUGAUUUCGUUGAGUAUUCAAGAAGUUAUGAACGUUUAAAGUUUACCCAGUUUCUGGCGAGUUUCCAAGUUUUCCCUCGUACCAAUCAACUUUGAGGCUAUUUUCCCGCCAUCUCCAGCAACCAUUGGGCUUCCAAAUAGGUUUAAUCUUAUUAUAUAUUUUCCUAUCUUCAUUUUGAUAUUUUAUGGGUCGAAUUUGGUUAAGAAACGAUUAAGUUACAAAGCUUUGAAAAUUGCCCAAGAACUCCGGGACACUUAACGGAGUUUUUAACGGAAGGACCAAAAUGAUGGAUGGUGGACAAUCUCAAGGACCACUUUUAUCGAUUUGAAAUGUUAGGGACCAAAGUGAAGAGUUAUGCAAAUCUCAGGGACUAUUUUGACUAUUUAGCCUUUUUUUUUCCUAAACGAAAAAUAUUUUUUUUAAAUGAAGAUAGAAAAGUGUAGAAUAAGAUUAUACCUAUUUGGAAGCCCCAAUGGCUGCCGGAGAUAGCCGGAAAAUAGCCUCAAAGUUGACUGGUCUGAGGGAAAAUUGGAAAACUCGCCGGAAACUGGGUAAACUUUAAACGUUCAUAACUUCUUUAAUACUAAACUAAAUCAAGUGAUUCAAAAACAAAAAUCAUACUUCUCGAUGAGACGAAGAGAAUGGUACCUUUUUAGACAGUUUAAAUUGCGGUGGUUUGGCCAUAAAAGGCUAAAUAGUGUCUAACUCGAGACUAAGACAGCAUUUAUAGAACCGUUUUCUGCCAAACCACAGUGAAUUUACCCUUCAAAUAGGUACCAUUCUCUUAUUAUCGUCGAGAAGUAUGAUUUAGUUUUGAAUAACUUGAUUCGUUUAGUAUUGAAGAAGUUAUGAAUUUAAAGUUACUCAGUUUCUGGUGAGUUUUCCAGUUUUCCUUCGGACCAGUCAACUUGAGGCUAUUUUCCGGGCUAUCUCGGCAGCCAUUGGGCUCAAUAGGUAUAAUCUUAUUCUACACUUCUAUCCAAUUAUUAAGGCUAAAUAGUCAAAGCUUUGGAAAACCCACACAGAAAAAGUUCGCAACACUAACUUAACCAAAUUCGCCAAUAUCAAAGCCCCUGGAAGGGAGCCUCCCUCCAUGGUGGAAUGUCACUGCCUCCUUUUACCGAUUUGCGAAGCCCAAAAAGGGAGUUAUGCAAAUAGAAGAGAUUUUGUUUUUUUUCUUUUUUUUUCCCUAAACGAAAAUAAUUUUUUUUAGGUUUUACCCAAUAAGAUGGGAAGCCCUGGCUGCCGCGAAUAGACGAAAAUAGCCUUCAAAGUUGACUGGUCUGAUGGGGAAAAUUGGAAAACUUGACUACUGGGUUAAACUUUUAAACGUUUCAUAAGAUUAAUAAUAAAACUAAUUUUGGUGAUUCAAAACAAAAAUCAGGGACUUCUCAUGAGACGAAUAUAAAGAAUUGGUCACCCUUUUUAGACAGUUAAAAUUGCCCAUAAAGGCUAAUAAGUGUUCUAACUCGAGACUAAGACAGCCAUUUUAGAACCGUUUUGGGCCAAACCACAGUGAUAGCCUUCAAAAUAGGUACCAUUCUCUUAUUAUCGUCGAGAAGUAUGAUUUAGUUUUGAUAAACUUGAUUUCGUGAGUAUUGAGAAGUUAUGAACAUUUUAAAGUUACUCAGUUUCUGGUGAGUUUUCAGUUUUCCUUCGGACCAGUCAACUUUGAGCUAUUUUUCGGGCUAUCCCGGCAGCAUUGGGCUUCCAAAUAGGUAUAAUUCUUAUUCUACACUUUCCUAUCUUCAUUUGUUUAUUAAUUUGGUUUAAGAAAAGAGUUAUGUUAUGAAGCUUCUAAAGAACUCCGGGUCCAAAAACUUCUAAAGGCCAAACUCCGGGACACUUCUCAGGGAGUUUUUCGAUUUGAAAAGACCGACCAAAUCUUAAGGACAUUUUUGGCUAUUUAGCCAAUCUUAAUGUACUCCCCAAAUAUGAAUGCAAGUUAGGACCAAGAAGUUGGGUUUUUAGCCAAAAAUUACAAACUUUAAAUGAUUAAUAGAACCAAAGUCAAUACUAAUUAUAGCCAUAGAAGUAUUGGGUUGACCGUUUAGAAACGUGAGAUUUCAAAAGGAUGUUACUAAUAAUAUGGUAAUUGUGGUGAUUGAAAUAUUUACUGCAAAUUCACCUUUUCAAGAUUCUGAUUCUCUUGAUUUAAAAAAUUGAUAUCCACUUCCUGAAAAAUCUUUACAAAACUUGUCUUCUGGUUGAGCUUCAAAUGCCCGUAUGCUAUUCUUUUGAUUGUAUAUUACAAAAGAUGUUAAACAUGAAACUUCAAAAGGGGAUUUAAUCCAUUCUAUAUUUGAAAAUUUCCUAAAAUGGAUGUUAAAACUGAAAUUCAAAUGUUUUUAUCCAUUUCUGUCCUUACUUCCAAAAUGACUGGGAUCGUGACCGAUAAUUUUACAAUUCCAAUCCCCUUUGAAUUUUAAGAGUUAUGCUAUUACUUUAGUCUAACUAGGGUUAUGUGGCAUUAUGCAAUUUUGGACAUUUCAGUUCUACUUACGAUAAUUCAUUGAGUUUUCUGUUUCCUUCAUUUAAUUUAUUUGCAAAUUUGCCAUUGGGCUUAGAAAGGUUUUUGUCUUUACGGUUAUUUCCGUUCAUUGGAAUUUUUUCGAUUAUUCGAUCCACGCGUUGAUCAUCGCUGGAUCGCCGGCUGUGUGGGAUCUGGUGAGGGGAUGGGUUACGUGUCCAUCAUUGUCGAAAGGUUUGCUUCGACUGCAACCUCUCGACUUUUCGUUUCGUUUCAACUUCUAUCUCACAAGCCUCUGCUUCAGUCGCUCUUGAUCUUCGCCUUUUCUAAGGCGUUCGAGGGACAAAAACCGAAAGCCAAACCUCCACCACAAACGAAGUCACAAAUAGGGAUGGGCAACGGCGGACGGGUAACCGCGGUUAUUUACCCAUAACCAUUUAUACUUAUACCCGCAUAAUUGUUUACCCAUUGGGUAAUUGCCCAAGCAGUUAUACUCAUACUCAUAACCAUUUAUAAACGGUUAACCAUAUCCAUAACAGCAUACCCAUUUAACCAUAAUCGUUUAAUACCAGUUUACUCAUUUACUCUUUUUAACCCGUUUAUUUUUUAUUUAUUUUUUACCAUUACCUCUUUUUUCACCCUUAUACAUGGUUUUUAACAACUUGAAAAUUAAAAAAAAAAUGUCAUAAUUUUUUUUGGCAAUUAAACACCGUUAUAAGCACAUUCAUCAUACAUUUCUGUAUUUUAAUUUUUUAAAUCCUUAUCUCAUUCCAAUAAUUGAAAUAAUUUCCGGCAAAGACACAACGGCGUGCACUCGUACGUGGGUUAUUUAUAUGCUCAGCAAGCACCCUUAUAUGCAAGAAAAGGUUGUAACAGAAGUUUGAGAAGCAGCAAAUCUGAAAGAUGACUCAAGCAUUGUUGAACUUGCAGACAAUCUUAAUGAAGAUGCCCUUAAUAAAAUGCAGUAUGUCUUAGUAGCUUUGACUGAGACACAGAGGCUCUACCCUGUAAUUCCACCGUAAAUUUGACUAACAUCUUAACUAAAUCUAAUGCAUGCAUACCGCAAGGGAAAUGAUUUCAGUGCGCUCCCGUUUAGUUUUCUCACUUAAAUUUCUUUUGAUUUAUUCAAUUUAAGAAUAGAAAUACUCCAUGGAUCAUCGUUGAUUACUUUUUAAUUAAUUAAAACACUACUAUAUAAACCACAUUAUAGUCAAUAGUAUUGAUCUAAGUUUUGUCUGAUAGAGAACAUGAUUUGUAUUAAUUUUACAUAUAUAAAAUAAAUAGGUAAACAGUUAUUCGUUUAUAAUCGUGAUUAAUACUCAUAACCAACCAUUUAAAUUUUACAGAUGAACGAUUAUACCUAUAACCAUUUAUUUAUUUAAACAGUUACCCAAAUGAGCAUGUAACCGCGGGCCAUCCCUAGUCACGAACGCCACUCUCACUCACCCUCCACCGUUACACACGAACCCAAUCAUAAUUCUGAAAUCCAAACACAACCCAGAUGUUAAUCCUUCAGAGAAUGGCAAUGGCCACUUCUUCUUCCUUCCUCUUAAUCCCUCUCCUCAAUAAUCUUCUUUGCUUUCCCCAGUUAAACACCAAGCUCCGAGUUCAGGUCUCUGUCCUUCUACGGCGGUAGAACUGGAGUCUCCACCUCCUCGGCGAUGGCCACGGAGGCUCAGGUCUCGACCCAAGACGACAAAUUGAAGGAUGCCCAGAUGGAGGUAGCUGAUAAGCCUGAGACAGUCGUGCUUCCAACCAACGAGUCCUCCGAAAGCCUCAUCAUAAUUCGACACACGGUAUUUAUUGAAAUUUCAUUGCUUUGGAUUGGAUUUAUGAUUGUUUUAUGUUAAAUUGAAGUAGGGUGCUUUCCUGUUGAAUUUUUUGAAUUUUUAGAUUCUUAGGAGCUUCCCUUUUUGAAAGUUUGAUGCUUUUAAUUAACUAUUUUCAAUUCUGCGUUACUAAUGGUCACCUGAUUCUAUUGUGAAGAAUGAGAAAGUGAGGAUGAAGAAAAUAAGAACCUAACUUUUCGGUAAUUUGAAAUUUGAUCGCAUAGGACAUGGAAAAAUGGGUGUACAGCGGUAGAUAAGUUGGGAAAAAUUUCAUCCUGUUUUUGGGAAUGUGAGAAGAUACAUGGGUUUCUGUAUUUUGAUAAAGUGUUGAGGUCGAGCCAUGUUCAUUUUUUUCUGAAUUUUCUUGUAGUUUGGUAUUAAUGGCGCCUUUUCCGCUGUUAUGGUGAUGAACCAUUUAUAUGUGUUUGACUGCAGUGUGCACACGUGAUGGCCAUGGCUGUUCAAAAGCUCUUCCCGGAUGCAAAAGUGACAAUUGGUCCAUGGAUAGAAAAUGGGUUCUAUUAUGAUUUUGAUAUGGAGCCUUUGACGGACAAAGAGUUGAAGAGAAUCAAGAAGGAGAUGGUAAGUGGAAUUUCUGUAUAAGUUAUCAUGUUUGUAUCAAAGUUUUGGAACCAUGAAACUAUUGAAAACUAUUCAUGCACAUUUCUUUUGUGAUUUGUAGGAUAGCAUCAUUGGUAGAAACUUACUAUUAGUAAAGAGUCCUCCACGUCUAUACCCUUGUCAUAAUCUCCAUAAUUAUCUUAUGUAUAUUAUCACGUUAUCUUAGAGAUUUGUAAUCCCGUUAGGAUUUGUAUUGGGAGCUACACAAUCCCUUUAGGACUCUUUGUAAACUGGUAUAUUUAUACCUGAUUAUGAGCAAUGGAAAGUUAAGUCUUCCACCAAUAUUACUGCUUCGUGUUUACUGUGCUCUUUCUCUGAAUAUAUAUAUUUCUACAUGGUAUCAUCCCUUUCUCCGGCUUAACCACCCUUCUCGAUCCGCUUCCCAUCAUGUCCUCUACCUCCCCACUUCCUGGCCCUGCUAUUGCCCAGUUUCUCAAACUCAAUGACUCCAAUUACCUCACAUGGCUUCGUCAGAUCAAGCCCUUUCUUGUUGGUCAUGAUCUGUGGAAGGUCGUUAAUGGCUUCUACCCACCCCCUCCGGCCACCUUCACCGUCACUGCCACCCCUUCCUCUGCCGCUACUAACUCCGACAGUUCUUUCGUGACUACUACCUUUACUCUUCCCAACCCCACUUUCGCUCAUUUGUACCAACACGAUCAGUUGGUCGUAAGCUACAUAGCCGCCACCUUAACAGAACCUGUCCUUGCUCUCACUGUGGGCCAUGACUCCGCCCAAGCCGUUUGGGCAUGUCUUCAACGGCGCUUCGCCUACGACCCUGUCCUCAACUCCGUCGCCUUGCGUUACCAACUGCUUGAUAUUUCCAACAGAUCUUGCUCUAUUGCUGACUAUCUUCAACAUGCUAAAUCUCUUGCUGACAAACUCGCUACUAUCGGCCGUCCUGUUGAUCUUGAAGACUUCAUCACCGUUGUUCUCCGUGGUCUUGGAUCUGACUACCUUACCCUUACCACUGCUAUCAUCAACGUCACCAUUCUUCUAACCUUUGAGGAGUUGACCUCCAAGAUUGAAGCUUUUGAUCUCCAGAACCUUCGCACCUCCACCACGUCUGCCGCUUUGUAAAUUGCCCUCAUCACUACCCACCAACCCCGUGCUUCUUCUCAGUCCUCAGGCAGUCACGAUGGAAAUUAGAACGGUCGUUUCCAACGGAACAAUGGUCCGCAGUGUAAUACCUCCGGCUGGCAUCCUAGCAAGAAUACCAAUUCCCGCAACCAACAACAACAAUGGAAUGGGCCUCCUCCAUUCAAUUAUCAACAACCUUGGCAUGGACCCUCUGCUCCCAUUUAUUGGCCAGGCCCACGUGGUUUUUCUGGGCCAGGCCCACUUGUUCCACCUCGCAACAUAGUGCUACACACUGUCCACACCGCUAUGGCGGCCCCGAACCUUUCCCCCCCUUUGAGGGCUCUCAGGUGAUUUCUUAUUAGGAUCCCAACAUUUGGUUUCCCGAUACUGGCGCUACCUACCACAUGACGGGCGAUCCCAAUGCCCUCCCCCACCCACAACCUUAUCGUGGUCCUAAUUCCGUUCAAUUGGGUAAUGGUGAUUCUCUAAACAUUACAUCCACUGGUACAAUUCCUAUCUCUCUUAACUCUAUUCCGUUUAGUCUUUGUAAUGUCUUUCUUGUUUCGGCCUUACGUAAAAACCUCUUGUCUGUUACAUACUUUACACAUGAUAACAAUGUCGUUAUUUGUUUCUUUCCAUCCUUUUAUCGUAUCUAUGAUUUACACUCUGGUGUUUUAUUGUUUCAAGUCCCAUGUAGAGAUGGCCUUUAUCCAUUAUCCUUCUCCUCACCACAGGCCCUUGCCGCUUCAUCCUUUACCCUUUGGCAUCAACGUCUCGGUCACCCUUCAUCUUCGGUUUUGUCCCGUCUUAGCUCUAGUUUCGGUUCUACGUCAUUUUCUUCAAAGCAUUUUUGUAAAAGUUGUGCUUUAGGCAAGUCCACACAACUUCCUUUUUCAAUUAAAUAAUGCAAGGGCUACUACUCCAUUUUAUAUUAUACAUUCUGAUGUUUGGAUGUCCACUUCUACCUCUGUUUCUGGCUUUCGUUAUUACGUAUUAUUCACUGACGAUUAUUCUUGUUAUUCUUGGAUUUACCCCAUGAAAAAGAAGUAUGAGGUCUUUACACAUUUUCAAACCUUUGUUGCAAUGACUCAUAACCUAUUUAACGCAUUUAUUUAAUAUUUUCAAAGUGAUGGCGGCACCGAAUAUGUUAAUCACUCAUUUUCUGCAUUUUGUCGUCAAUUAGGUAUCCAACACCGUCUUUCGUAUCCACACACACCCCAACAAAAUGGACUUGCUGAACGUAAGCACCGUCAUAUUGCUGAUAUGACUCGCACACUGCUUACUACAGCUCAUACCCCACUCACCUUGUGGGUGGAAGCUACGCUUGAUGCGAAAAUUAACUUAACACACAAAUUAAACCCUCUUGUUGUCAAUUGUAGUAAAGAAUGUAAGUAGGGAUCGUUCUAGGCCGGAGAUUAGAAGGGAUUGCUAAAACACUUGAAACUGACUUAAAUAUGUGAAAACAAACUUAAAAGCAUGAAAUUAAACUUACAAGACUCAAAACAAAGCCACAAGACUCAAAACAGAUUAUAGAGACUCAAAACUGCCUAAAAACAACUCUAAGGCAGUUUCUGCCACUAACACAAAGUUUGGACGAAAAUUGAUUUUAUUUUAACUUAAAACACUUAAAAACACAAUCUAAAACAAGUACUGACUAAUAGACACUCUAAAGUAAAGGGGGAUUUGGUUUUGGAUGAAUUUAAGUAAAAACAAGUAAUUAAAGACUUAAAACAGAUUUUGGACGAAUUUGGUGAUUGGAAUGGAUGAUGGGCUAGCUAGAAGGUCUUUCUCCACACAUGACACACUUGCAUAUAAAACGAUUUCCAGUUGCUUUUCAAUAAACCAUGAACCUCAACACCCCAGAUUAAUUAGGUACGCUUAAAUUAAUCCUCAGAUUUUCCUAAUUUCAUUGAAUUGGAUGAUUGCAUACAACAACCCAAAGCAUUCCCCACAAGUUCCCUACAUGAAUUGCAUAAUAGAGAUACAAGUAAGAAUCAUUAAGUUCUAGGAAAAUCAUAAGCAUUGACGAAACACUUGUAACUAUGAAUUGCAUGAAACUUAUGCCAAGAAUUUACUUAACACGGUUGUGACGAACAACCUUUAGUACUUGUAAAUAUAAGUUCAUAACGAUUAGGUGAAACUCCCUUAAUCCUAGCAUCAUAUUUAUGCAUGAAAAUUAAGCGUGCACUCUCAACCAACAUACACAAAUCAGUUUUAAUUCAAAUGGAUAAGUAAAUUGAAUUCACAACUUAUGAAUCACAACUGAAAGUAACCAAAUCAUAUUGCAAGCAUGAACAUGGUUUCGAAUUCCCCCCUAGCUAAGGAGGUUUAGUUUCUCAUACUUACAAAGUAAAGAUAAACAAAUUUAGACAUUGAGAACAAAAGAAAGAAAACACCUAAAAACGCUCCAACAAUCCAACUUGAAUGGCAAGCACGUCGAAGGGUCUUCCUUCUUCUCUUUGUUGCAGCACAAGGUGUGGUUUGAUGGAUGAGUGGUAAAUUAUAGUAGUGGAUGGAUAUGCACGGCUGAGAGAUGAAAGUGUAUGGAUUGGUGAGAUGUAGUAUGGCUAAAUGAAUGGAUGGAGGUCACGACAAGGAAAUUGUGUUUGCGAAUGAAGUUGUGAGAUGUGAAAUGUAGUGUCUUUGUAUGAUGGCCCCCAAAUUAUGGUGAAGGGUGGAUGUAUUUAUAGGCUAGGGAGAGGAGUGUAUGGAGUUGUAAUGAGUGGAUGUAAUGGGUGUAGUGGGUGAGUGUUGUGAUAAUGAGUCGAUGUAAUGGGUGUAGUGGGUGGAUGUUUGGUAAUGAGUAGAUGUAAUGGGUGUAGUGGAUGAGUUUUUAGUAAUGAGUAGUGUUUGGUAAUGAGUGAAUGUAAUGGGUGUAGUUGAUGAGUGUUUGGUAAUGAGUGGAUGUAAUGGGUGUAAUGGGUGAGUGUUGUGGUAAUGAAUGGAUGUAAUGGGUGUAGUGGGUAGAUGUUUGGUAAUGAGUGGAUGUAAUGGGUGUAGUGGAUAAGUGUUUGGUAAUGAGUGGAUGUAAUGAGUGUAGUGGGUGGAUGUUUAGUAAUGAGUGGAUGUAAUGGGUGUAGUGGAUGAGUGUUUGGUAAUGAGUGGAUGUAAUGGGUGUAGUGGAUGGAUGUUUGGAGUUGUAGGUCAACACACUUGCACACACACAUGCUGAUUUCUAGCCUUCAAAUCUUCAAAAAUGUCCAUCCUCAUGUCCUCAUGCUUGCACUAUCCAAUCUUGGCUAAAAAAUGCUCUAAAAUGCUCCAAAAUGCACUUUCUUGCCAACUUUGUUAUUAUGACCUACAAACACAUGAAAAUAGCUUAAAAUUCAUAAUUAACUAAGAAAUAACAACACAAAUGCACAAGAACAAGCUAACUAAGUCGCAUAAAUAUGCUCCUAUCAGCGCUCACUUCUGUCCACCUCAUCAAUCUUCUCCCCACCUCUACCCUCAAUUGGUCAACUCCCUAUACACUUCUAUUUGGUUAGACACCCACUUACUCUCACCUACGUACCUUUGGAUGUAUGUGCUUUCCAUACCUUCGGGAUUAUGUUCACGAUAAACUAAGCCACGUUCUAUUGAGUGUGUUUUUGUGGGUUACAGUGCCUCUCAUAAAGGUUACAGGUGCCUUGAUCAGACCACUGGACGUAUUUAUAUCUCUCACCAUGUGGUGUUCAAUGAGGCUACUUUUCCUUUUGCAACCUCUCUCGGCCAGCCACCAACCACAUAUGUGGAGCUGGAAAUUCAUCCUACUGCCAUCCCACAAUUUGCUUGCUCAUUGCCCAUCCCUACCUCUCUUGGUCUCGUGGGCUCCUCCUCUAAUGAUGGCCAGUCAAUGCCACAUGACAAUGACCUACCUACUUCUGCUGCUUCUCCACCGCAGCCUGCCGCUACCCAGUCACGGUCACCACCACUUAUGCUUCCAUCUCAUCCCAUGGUCACCCGAACUAAAGACGGCACGCGUAAACCCAAGUCCUGGACUGAUGGCUCUAUCCGGUAUCCUCUCCAUCAUGCUCUUUCAGUUUUGCUUACCACUGACGAACCCACAUGCUUUACACAGGCUGUUCGCAAACCCGAAUGGCGGGCUGCCAUGACCGAGGAAAUUAAUGCCCUUUUUUUAAAUAAUACUUGGGUUCUUGUUCCGCCAUCACCCACCCAAAACAAAGUCGGCUGCAAGUGGGUUUAUCGCAUAAAAUGGAAAUCUGAUGGAAGCAUCGAUAGAUACAAAGCACGUCUGGUGGCAAAGAGCUUUCACCAACAACCAGGAAUUGACUACGAUGAAACUUUCAGCCCUGUGGUCAAACUUGCAACUAUACGUACAGUUCUCAGCCUUGCUAUUUCAAAUCAUUGGUCCGUUCGUCAGCUCGACGUGAAAAAUGCUUUUCUGCAUGGUCAUUUGAAGGAGGAAGUCUACAUGUCACAACCCCCUGGUUUUGUUGAUCCCCAACAUCCCAAUCAUGUUUGUUGUCUCACCAAGGCACUUUAUGGUCUUAAGCAGGCUCCUCGGGCCUAGUUUCACCGCUUUAGCUCAGUCAUCAAGAGAUGAAGCUCCCAAAAGAAUAACCGCUCUCAGUGAACCAUACAAAUUGGAAAUUUUGGAUAGUAUUAAAGAAGAUCCCAUUACCAUAUAUCAUAUUGGUAAGGGUUUCACUAUUUUCAAGCUCAAUAUAGUGUAUGGAAGGUGAUGAUUUAAUGUGUAGGAACUGUGCGUAAAUGAUAUUUUUAUUAGCUACACAAGUGAAAUGUACAGUGUUUGUGUUGAGUCUUAAGAUGGAAAUUUAAAGGAAUAAAAAAGAGAGGGCGGGGUGUGCUCAGGGAAAACAAUGUUGUUGGUGCUCUUUAAAAAUGAGUUAUUGAUAUGCAGAUUGAAAAUAAGACUAAUUUGGAGGUGGGAGGAACCUUUUGGUCAAGCUAACCAAAUUAUACUUAUGUUUAUACAUAUGCAUGCUUGUACUAGGAUUUGAUUGUGUUUUGAACUAGCAUCCUGUCAUAUUAGACUGUCUUGAUGUCAUAAUUCCUCAUAGUAUGCCGAAUUCUUCAUAGGUGAUGAAUGGUGGAACCUAUGUGCGGGGCCCCAUGUUGAAAAAAUUGGGAAUAUUAACAGAAAACUUGUCGAACUUGAGUCUAUGUUGGUGCCUACUGGAGAGGACAUGAAAUGAAACCAAUGCUGCAGUGGAUCUAUGACACUGCAUGGGAGAGUGAAGAUCAAUUGAAGGCAUAACUUCAAUUGAAAGAGGAAGCUAAACGUAGAGAUCACAGGCGCCUUGGUCAAGUCAAAUCAAAGAUGAAAUUAAGGGUGUCAUAGAUCUUACAGAAGAACUUUCGUUGCAAUUCGGCUUCAGCAAAUAUGAGGUCAAUCUCUUUACAAGGCUAGAGAAAGCUGUUGGAGAUGAUAUAUGGGUGAAAGCAACAUAUGCCCUUAAAGAUGCUUUGGAUGAUAAAGGCUGGAGCUAUCAAAUUGAUGAAGGCGAUGGUGCCUUUUAUGGUCCAAAAAUUGAUCUUAAGAUUAAGGAUGCCCUUGGAAGGAAGUGGCAGUGCUCAACUAUGUAGGUUAAUCCAGUGCUCAACUAUGCAGGUUAAUCCUGAACUCAUGACGGGAUAAUUCUAAGGAAAACUAAUGAAAAGGGUUUGAAAACUUUGAGUUUUAACGAUAAAGACAAAAUAAAGGGUAAAGUAAAUAGUACCAAGUUUGACUUUUUAGUAUAAAAAUGUGGUUUUUCAUUAAAAUGAACAGUACCACAGACUUUUCGUUAAAAUUCCCAUAAUUCUAAUAUAUGCUUUGUUUUUUAAUUGGUAAUCUCUCAGUCUAUCUCUGUAUCACUUUGUAAAAUGUUCAUUGGAGAUUUGAGCAUCUUUUUUGAAUUGAGCGAAUUACAUGGAUUUGUUUGAUAGACUAAAGCCACUUAUUACUGUUAUUUUAAAUUUUUGAUCUUUUGUAUUUCCCAAAUUGUACAGGUUUGUAAAGCAGUUGCACGUUUAAUGUUUCAAUUAACUCAAGAACCCUCAACACACCUGCACGACGGUUACCUAGGCUACGACCCCUGGCUUUCCUCCCAGCGAUUCGACUCCGAGUCCCUCAAGGACCUCGCCAUGGAUUCCCCAAUCUUCCACGGCUCCGCCGUAGAUGACGCUUUCGCCACUCAGCCGGCGUCGGAGGCCUUCUCUCCUCCGUCGAUCUACGCCGAAUCGAACGGCCAGGGCUUUGAUGGAGGGUUUGGCAGGUCCGUGUUAGAUACCAAUUCCAGCCACUAGUUCAUCCUUAACUGGAAGCAAGAAUUGUAGGAAAUGGCGAGAGGGAAAAGAUGGAGUAUUUUUUGCAAAAUGAUUUUUUAUAUUUGAUUUCAUCUAUCCCCGUUCAACAAGAAAGGGAGAGCUUUAAUAGCACUAGCAACCUCCCCAAUGAAAGAUUGUGACAUGGCAUACAUAGCCUAAACUCUUAAACAACAGCACAAAGGAAAGGCAAAUUACACAACGACCCUAAAACAUUACAUUUCGACCCAAAACUUUGUUGCUUGUGAUCAAGGCAAUCACAGUACAUAACAAUGCUUCGUCUUUGAAAAAUAACCUUGUCCACAAGGUUUACACUGGAAAAUCGGGGUGUCGGGUCUUAAAUGCAUCGAAAUCUUCCCAUGAAGCUUUAGCUGCUUCCUGUCCAUUCCAUUGCACUAAUAGCUGCACCAUAGUUGCAUUUCCCUUCUUAUACAUCCUCCUAGCCAAGAUUGCCUGUGGUAAGUUCUGCAUCAACCCAUCAUCUGCAGCAAUGGGCAGAUUCACAUGUGAAACUACUUUUUCCCCCAAUUGCUUUUUGAGGCAGCUUACAUGGAACACAGGAUGUAUCUUUGAUCCUUCAGGUAAUUUUAGUUUAUAAGCCACCAUACCAAUAUUUUCCAACACUUCAUAAGGACCAUAGAACCUAGGCUGCAGUUUAUGGUAACUGUGCUGCCAAUGCUUGCAACUGAUAAGGAACUAGCUUCAAGUAUACCUUAUCCCCCACAUUGAAAUGCCUUUUAGUUCUUCUUUUAUCAACUUGAACUUUCAUCUUGUUUUGUGCUAAUUCCAAAUUGUGUUUGAGAACAGUAAGCAUGUUAUCCCUUUCGAGAAGACUUUGUGCCACAUAGUCCAUUUUUGCAGUUCCCACUUCAUAUGGAGCUAUAUGAGGUGGAGCAUGACCAUACACCAAUUCAAAAGGUGUAAAACCUGCAGAGGUGUGAUGUGAUGUAUUGAAGCACCACUCAGCCCAUGGCAACCAAUUCACCCAUUUUUUAGGCUGCCCUCCAAUAAAACAUCUUAAGUAGGUCUCCAAACACCUAUUCAUAACCUCAGUUUGUCCAUCACUCUAGGGGUGAUAACCUGAACUCAUGCACAGUUUUGAGCCUUGCAACUUAAAAAACUCCCUCCAAAAUGCACUGAUAAACAUAGGAUCUCUAUCACUCACAAUGGAACUUGGCAUACCAUGCAAUUUGAAGACAAACUCAAUGAAUAUUUGAGCCACACUCACUGCAAUAUAUGGAUGGGAAAGAGCAAUGAAAUGUGCAUACUUAGAAAGUUUGUCCACCAUCACCAUGAUCACAGUUUUGCCCCUACAAUUUGGCAAACCAAGUAUGAAAUCCAUGCUAAUGUCCGACCAAUUCUUCUGUGGAAUUGGUAGUGCUUGUAACAAUCCAGGUGGAGCUAUUGUUUCCACUUUGUUUUGUUGACAAAUGCUACAUUCAACCACAAAAUUUCAAAUAUCCUUCUUCAUUCCCUGCCAAUAGAACCUCUUUUUGAUCCUGUGAUAUGUUUUAACCACCCCUUGGUGACCUCAUCCAGAAGUAGAGUGAUACUCUUCAAUGAUUUUGUGUCUCCAAGGUGAUGUGGGACUCAAAACUACCCUCUUUUUAUAGCAUAAGAACCCAUUAUCAACAGUAUACUUGGAAACUGCAGCUUUAUCAGUAACUGUCUUAGAACUAUCAAGCACAAAUUUAAUCCUUUCCAAAACCCACUUAUCACUUUCAAAACUCCUCCUUAAAUCAUCCAUCCAGCCAAAAUAAGGGUAGAUGAUGGCAGUGAGUUCCAUGUCAAGGUGAACAGGUUUCUCUACCAACUCAGAAUUGACAUUUGGUACCUUAGAGAGUGCAUCAGCCACUGUGUUUUCAACUCCACUCCUAUACUGGAUCUCAUAAUCAAAACCCAAGAGUUUUGAAACCCAUUUUUGUUGAAAAUGAGUAUUAGCUCUCUGACUUAAGAAGUACUUGAGACUAUUGUGAUCAGUCUUAAUUAUGAAGUGUUUACCUUGCAAAUAGUUAUGCCAUUUUUUUACAGCAUGAACUAUUGCAAUCAGUUCUCUUUCAUAAGUAGAAAGAGCUUGAUUCUUAGGUCCUAAUGCCUGACUGGUGAAUGCAAUUAGUCUAAGGUUUUGCUGCAUAACUGCUCCAAUUCCAUUGUCUGAAGCAUCACAUUCCAAGACAAAGGGUUGAUUGAAAUUUGGCAAUGCCAAUACUUGUGGUGAGGACAUAAUCUUUUUGAGUUUUUUAAAUGCUUCCAAAGCUUCCACUCCUCAAUAGAAUCCAUCCUUCUUAGUGAGAUUAUACAAAGGCUGGCAUAUUUUCCCAUAUCCAGGCACAAAUUUUCUGUAGUACCCAGUGAGGCCUAGAAAUCCUCUCAAUUCCUUCACAUUCCUUGGUACAAGCCAGUCAGUGAUUGCUUGGAGUUUGCUAGGAUCUGCCAUAACACCAUCCUUUGACACAAUAUGGCCAAGGUACUCUACUUUACUUUGACCAAAGGAACAUUUAGAUUUUUUCAAAAACAACCGAUUGUCUUGCAAUAUCUGAAAAACUUGUUGUAGAUGUGUCAAGUGAUCUUCCCAAGACUUGCUAUAUAUUAAAAUGUCAUCAAAGAAUACCAGUACAAACUUCCUGAGAAGUGGUUUGAAAAGAUCAUUCAUCAAGUUCUGAAAAGUUGCAGGUGCAUUGAUAAGCCCAAAGGGUAUCACUAAAAACUCAUGAUGUCCUCUAUGGGUCCUAAAUGCAGUCUUAGCAAUGUCUUCUUUGUGCAUCAAUAUCUGGUGAUAACCUGACCUUAAGUCAAAUUUUGAGAAGAAAACAGCACCAUGUAGUUCAUCCAGCAAGUCAUCAAUUAGAGGGGUUGGAUACUUAUCCUUGAUGGUCAAAGCAUUAAGCUCCCUAUAAUCGACACACAUCUUCCAUGUACCCUCUUUCUUCUUCACUAGUAACACUGGAAAUGAGAAAGAACUAUGACUUGGUCUUAUAAACCCAGCUUCCAAAAGUUCUUGAACUGCUUUCUCAAUUUCUGUUUUCUGCAAGGGACCAUAGUGAUAGGGUCUGAUAUUUUGUGGUUUUGCUCUUAGAACCAAUGGUAUAUGAUGAUCAUGGACUAUGGAGGGUGGGGGUUUAGAUAGUAGAACAAAAAUAGACUCAAACUGUCCCAACAGAGUCUGUAAUUCCUGUAGUUGUGACUGAGUGAGAUCACUAGCUUCAAGUUUUUCCCCUUCCAUAGAGUAUAAGAACAACCCCAAGUUGGAAUUAUAAAUGUCCUUGUCAAGGUGCUGCAAAAAGACUUCCUGAAUAACUGGCAAUGUCAUAGGGCUAUGAUGCAACUUGUAUUGCUGAUUAUUUUUAACAAACUCUAUAGUCAGCAACUGGAAAUCCCAGAGCAUAGGACUAAUGGAAGAAAGCCAUUGAACCCCAAGCACAAUGUCAUAACCCCCUAAAGGUAAAGUGUAGAGAUCCACUGCACAUUUAUACCCUCCUGUAGUGAGAGAGGUUGACUUACAACACCCUGAACUCCUCACCUUCCCUCCAUCAGCUAUCAUCACCCAAAUUGCUUGGUGUGAUGAACUUGCUGCCCCCACUGCUUCAAUAGUCGAGCAUCAAUAAAAUUAUGCGUGCUACCGGAAUCCAAAAGGAUUUUCACAGGAUGACCAUUAAUAACAUCAUCCACUUUCUUUGUUUGAAUAGUUUGCCUAGCCUUAGUCCCAUAAAAUGCACAUUCACUAAGCUCCACAUGAAGAAGCUCAGGUUGUAUCCCCACAGAUUCAUCAUCAGAUAAUUCAUCAUUGACCACAUCAAGCAUCAACAAUUGUUUUAGACCACAUUUAUGUCCCGGAGUCCACUUAUCAGUACAAAACCAAGACUCCCCAUUUUCUCUCUUCUUUUGAAUCUCAACAGGGAUGAGUUUUAUAAUGGCUAAAUUUCCAACUCUAGGCACUUGGAUAUGUGGGAAUGACAGCUGAGAACUUAACUGGUGGUGUGGAUUUAGGAGGGAAAACUUUCAACUCAAAGUGUUUGGUAUCUAAUUGGAUUGCAAGAGCAAUUGCUUCAUGAACAUUUGUAGGUUUCAACAAUGACAUCAAAUUUGAGUUCACGUUUAAGGCCACCAAAAAACAACUCCUAAGCAGAAUCAGACCAAUAACAGUCGCUCUAGUAGCCAAACGACGAAAUUCAUAAUGUAUUCACGGAGAGUACCUGUUUAGCGGAGCUUGAAUAAGGACUCAGCAUUAUCCUCGAAUUUGGAAGGCCCAAACUCUUGACAAAAGGCGCGAGUGAAUUCCUCCCAACUCGGAGUAGUCUGAACACAAUCCAGCCAACGAAACCACUGUAAAACCUCACCCUCCAAAUGAAAAGAAGCAGUGAAAACACAAUGAUCGGACGAAGUGUUAUAAAAGGAGAAAUACUGUUCAGCUUUGAAAUUGCCCACUUUAAGCAGUUCGUGAGUUAUGGCUAAUUUCAUUUGUCCCACAAGUUUGUCCUCUCUCAGCUUAGGAAGCCUUCACAAAGGUUGCUUAGGAAAAGUCUCAGCAGUCGGUAGAGCCCCAGAAAGAGAAGGUACCGGAGGGGGAUCAUUCGGAGCCUCAGUACUGGACAGAACCCUAAAAGGAGGAGGCAUCGGAGGUUGAUCAUUUGGAGCUUCAUUACGCGGUACAGCCCUAGAAGACGAAGGUAAUAAAUGUCUUUGGAACAAACCCACAAACCUCUGAUGAUCAAGUAAAACCUGACCAUCAGAUUUCUUCAUCUGGUCAAGCUUCAUCUUUAUGUUUGUAGCAUGGUUAUGUGCUAGCCGGUGCAACUGUUUAUUCUCAUGCUUGAGUCCUCUAAUCUCCUGUUUGAGACUCAUCACUUCAGCCGCCAAUGAUUUAACUUGGCGGGUUCAUACAAAUAGGCGUUGGGCCAUAUUAGACACAGAACCUGCACACUGAACACUGAGAGCCAGAGAAUCCUUAACAGCCAACUCAUCACACUGUUUGAAAAGUAGUCUGUUAUCUUUGGGAGUGAGAAGGUUCUUGGCCACUACCGAAGCGGUCAUAUCAUUCUUCAUCACGGAAUCCCCAACGGUAAGAGGACCAGUAGGGGAUAAGAAGGAUGGGUGCCAUAUGUUGUCUGGAGAAGACAUGGCUGCCUCUUCAACAAGUGGUAGCUAGAUCUUCAAAAUUUAUGUGUCUAAACUUUGUUAGUGCUGUUUCUUUGCUAUUCUUUUACCCUUCUUGGUCAUAGCGAUGUAGUGGGAGUUGCAAGCUUCACGUGUCUUCCAGGCAGUCAGUUCCUGACUGGAAGCUUAAUUCCAAGUGCUGACUGAUUACUCUCUUUCUCCCUCUCUUGCAGGUAAGAACAAGGCCAAAGGAAAAGACAGGGAAAAAGCAUGAUAUGGGAUACUCUUGCUUUUAACCCUGAUAAUAUGAGAUAUUCUUACUCUGAUGUAGCUUGUUUGCAGAGGUAUUAUCGGGGGGGGGGAAAGAAAGCUGAGUAUUUCGAGAGGCUUCGUUGGGAGUGCCCUCUCAGAUAUGAGGAAGGGUUGAACAUUUUUGCAGGUCUGCCUGUCCAUUGAGGAUGAAGGUCGACAUAUAUAGGAGUCUCCCCAACAACAAGUGGUAAUGCUAUUCCUUUACCCUGCUUGGUCAUAGCACGGUAGUGGGAGAUGCCAGCUUCAAGUGUUUUAACUCUGUCAGAGCACUUUGAAAAAAUGGUAUGUGGUAUCUGGAAAGCUGAUGUCGCGUGUGAAGAUUACAGACAAGCUUUAUCCAAUGAGAUCUGACUCUCAAAGUUGAGAAAAUUGUGACUCUUCGAUUUUCGAACAAGCAAUCCUGUCGGGGAUCUGGCUCUCGAGAUUCGGAGAACGGUGCCUCUUCGAUUUUUGAGAAACCAAUCAUACUGGGAGUCUGGCUCUCGAGAUUUGGAUAGCGGUGUCUCUUCGAUUUUUGAGAAAGUAAUCAUGUUGGGAGUCUGGCUCUCGAGAUUCGGAGGGCGGUGCUUCUUCGAUUUUGGAGCAAGUAAUCUUGUUGGGAGUGUUUUCUCGAAUGUGAGUAAAGGUUGGGCAUGUUUGUUAGUCUACCUUGCCACGGAGCACAGAAGUUGACACACAGGGACUUUCCAAUUAUCCAACAGUAGUGAUGUUCCUUUACCUUUGUGGGUAAUAAUAUGGUAGCUAGACCUUCAAAAUUUAUGUGUUUAAACUUUGUUAAUGCUGUUUCUUUGCUAUUCUUUUACCCUUCUUGGUCAUAGCGAUGUAGUGGGAGCUGCAAGCUUCACGUGUCUAAACUUUGUCAGAGAUCUUUGGCAAAGUUAUUUGUGGUACCCAUGAGCUAAUGUUGCACGUGUGGAAAGUAGAUGAUUGAACAGUAAGAUUCACGUGCUUUCUACUUCACCAGUAAUCUUCGACAGAAUGCCCGUAAUUUUGGCAAAGCUGAGUGUGCAUGUGAAGGUGUUGACAAGGCUGAAAAAGCAGGUGCCUCUUCGAUUUCUGAGAACGGCCCUCGUGGUCUCUGAGCAGCCCAACUUUUGAGAAAGCAAGCGCCUCUUCGAUUUCUGAGAUCGGCUUUCGUGGUCUUUGAGCAGCCCAGCUUUUAAGAAAGCAAACGCCUCUUCGAUUUCUGAGAUUGGCCAUCGUGGUCUCUGAGCAGCCCAGCUUUUGAGAAAGCAAACGCCUCUUCGAUUUCUAAGCAGGCGCCUCUUCGAUUUCUGAAGCUCCGUCGAGUGCAGAUUUUUAUAGAGGUUGGCAUUAAGUUCCAAAGCACACUUGAAUCUCCACCAGUAGAAGCUCCCUUUUUACACUUCUAAGACCUUGAUUUGUCUGACCUCUUCUCUCUUCAACACCUUUGAAAAUGUCUGGCCCCUCCGACCGUCGUUUUGACUUGAACCUUGUUGAAGAGGCAGCCAUGUCUUCUCCAGACAACAUAUGGCACCCAUCAUUCUUAUCCCCUACUGGUCCUCUUACGUUGGGGAUUCCAUGAUGAAGAAUGAUAUGACCGCUGCGGUGGUGGCCAAGAACCUUCUCACUCCCAAAGAUAACAGACUACUUUUCAAACAGUGUGAUGAGUUGGUUGUUAAGGAUUCUCUGGCUCUUAGUGUUCAGUGUGCAGGUUCUGUGUCUAAUAUGGCCCAACGCCUAUUUGCAUAAACCCGCCAAGUUGAAUCAUUGGCGGCUGAAGUGAUGAGUCUCAAACAGAAGAUUAGAGGACUCAAGCAUGAGAAUAAACAGUUGCACCGGCUCGCACAUGACCAUGCUACAAACAUGAAGAUGAAGCUUGACCAGAUGAAGAAAUCUGAUGGUCAGGUUUUACUUGAUCAUCAGAGGUUUGUGGGUUUGUUCCAAAGACAUUUAUUACCUUCGUCUUCUAGGGCUGUACCGCGUAAUGAAGCUCCAAAUGAUUAACCUCCUAUGCCUCAUCCUUUUAGGGUUCUGUCCAGUACUGAGGCUCCGAAUGAUCCCCCUCCGGUACCUUCUCUUUCUGAGGCUCUACCGACUACUGAGAGUUUUCCUAAGCAACCUUUGUGAAGGCUUCCUAAGCUGAGAGAGGACAAACUUGUGGGACAAAUGAAAUUGGCCAUAACUCACGAACUGCUUAAAGUGGGCAAACACAAGCAAUGGUGUGCUCAUUGGAAACUUUGGUAUUUUAAAUUUUAAUCUUGUAUUUAUAGACGGAUGUAUGUGUAACUCUUUUAUUGAUCAUUUUGUGGCAUGCCACUGGAGGAAAUAUGUGGCCCCUCCAACUUUUGAGCAGCCCAGAUUUUGAGAAAGCAAACGCCUCUUUGAUUUCUAAGUAGGCGCCUCUUCGAUUUCUGAAGCUCCGUCGAGUGCAGAUUUUUAUAGAGGCUGGCAUUAAGUUCCAAAGCACACUUGAAUCUCCACCAGUAGAAGCUCCCUUCUUACACUUCUAAGAUUUUGAUUUGUCCGACCUCUUCUCUCUUCAACACCUUUGAAAAUGUCUGGCCCAUCCGACCGUCGUUUUGACUUGAACCUUGUUGAAGAGGCAGCCACGUCUUCUCCAGACAACAUAUGGCACCCAUCCUUCUUAUCCUCUACUCGUCCUCUUACUGUUGGGAAUUCUGUGAUGAAGAAUGAUAUGACCGCUGUGGUGGUGGCCAGGAACCUUCUCACUCCCAAAGAUAACAGACUACUUUUCAAACGAUGUGAUGAGUUAGCUGUUAAGGAUUCUCUGGCUCUCAGUGUUCAGUGUGCAGGUUCUGUGUCUAAUAUGGCCCAACGCCUAUUUGCAUGAACCCGCCAAGUUGAAUCAUUGGCGGCUGAAGUGAUGAGUCUCAAAUAGGAGAUUAGAGGACUCAAGCAUGAGAAUAAACAGUUGCACCGGCUCGCACAUGACCAUGCUACAAACAUGAAGAGGAAGCUUGACCAGAUGAAGGAAUCUGAUGGUCAGGUUUUACUUGAUCAUCAGAGGUUUGUGGGUUUGUUCCAAAGACAUUUAUUACCUUCGUCUUCUAGGGCUGUACCACGUAAUGAAACUCCAAAUGAUCAACCUCCGAUGCCUCCUCCUUUUAGGGUUCUGUCCAGUACUGAGGCUCCGAAUGACCCCCCUCCGGUACCUUCUCUUUCUGGGGCUCUACCGACUGCUGAGACUUUUCCUAAGCAACCUUUGUGAAGGCUUCCUAAGCUGAGAGAGGACAAACUUGUGGGACAAAUGAAAUUGGCCAUAACUCACGAACUGCUUAAAGUGGGCAAACACAAGCAAUGGUGUGCUCAUUGGAAACUUUGGUAUUUUAAAUUUUAAUCUUGUAUUUAUAGACGAAUGUAUGUGUAACUCUUUUAUUGAUCAUUUUGUAGCAUGCCACUGGAGGAAAUAUUUGGCCCCUUCAGCUUUUGAGCAGCCCAACUUUUAACAAAAGCAAACGCCUCUUCGAUUUCUAAGCAGGCGCUUCUUCGAUUUCUGAAGCUCCGUUGAGUGCAGAUUUUUAUAGAGGCUGGCAUUAAGUUCCAAAGCACACUUGAAUCUCCACCAGUAGAAGCUCCAUUCUUACACUUCUAAGAUCUUGAUUUGUCCGACCUCUUCUCUCUUCAACACCUUUGAAAAUGUCUGGCCCCUCCGACCGUCAUUUUGACUUGAACAUUGUUGAAGAGGCAGCCACGUCUUCUCCAAACAAUAUAAGGCACCCAUCCUUCUUAUCCCCUACUAGUCCUCUUACCGUGGGGGAUUCCGUGAUGAAUAAUGAUAUGACCGCUGCGGUGGUGGCCAGGAACCUUCUCACUCCCAAAGAUAACAGACUACUUUUCAAACGGUGUGAUGAGUUGACUGUUAAGGAUUCUCUGGCUCUCAGUGUUCAGUGUGCAGGUUCUGUGUCUAAUAUGGUCCAACGCCUAUUUGCAUGAAUCCGCCAAGUUGAAUCAUUGGCGGUUGAAGUGAUGAGUCUUAAACAGGAGAUUAGAGGACUCAAGCAUGAGAAUAAACAGUUGCACCGGCUCGCACAUGACUAUGCUACAAACAUGAAGAGGAAGCUUGACCAGAUGAAGGAAUCUGAUGGUCAGGUUUUACUUGAUCAUCAGAGGUUUGUGGGUUUGUUCCAAAGACAUUUAUUACCUUCGUCUUCUAGGGCUGUACCGCGCAAUGAAGCUCCAAAUGAUCAACCUCCGAUACUUCCUCAUUCUAGGGUUCUGUCAAGUACUGAGGCUCCGAAUGAUCCUCCUCCGGUACCUUCUCUUUCUGGGGCUCUACCGACUGCUGAGACUUUUCCUAAGCAACCUUUGUGAAGGCUUCCUAAGUUGAGAGAGGACAAACUUGUGGGACAAAUGAAAUUGGCCAUAACUCACGAACUGCUUAAAGUGGGCAAACACAAGCAAUGGUGUGCUCAUUGGAAACUUUGGUAUUUUAAAUUUUAAUCUUGUAUUUAUAGACGGAUGUAUGUGUAACUCUUUUAUUGAUCAUUUUGUAGCAUGCCACUGGAGGAAAUAUGGGACGUGAAACUCAACCAAAUCAGGGACAAGAAUAAUCUGCAUCUAAUGCAAGUUUUGACCUAUGUCUUUGUCCCUUUCUCGUGUGCGCUUUUAUAACCCAAUGCCAUUUGUUAAUUUUUCAGGUUUUUUUUUUAUUGUUUAUAGGUUUCGAAAAGGGGUAGAGUGAAACAAAAUGCAAGAGGCAGGUCAAUGCACAAUUCAAGGAAGCCACCUAAAAACCGUAGAAUCUGAAGGAAAUCAUUUGAAAAUUUAGACUUUUUGUUAAUGUCAAUUUUUUUCUUGGAUGAAGACAAUGUUGUGAACUUUAAGCCCCCAGGAUUUGGUGUUUUUUAUUUUGAGCAUAACCAAGCAAUGAAACAAUAUUUUUGAUAUGGUAGCAAUGAAAUGAUCAGGCAUUGCAUUCUCUUAUGGUUGCUCAAAAUAUCUUUAAGAUACAAAAGUGGGUGUGUUCAGUUUAGCAUGUCACGAAAUCAAAUUUUAUAUAGGUUUUGUAAUAUGAGAAACGGGUUGAGGUUUGGUGCCAUAAAUGGAGUUGUAGAUGCAUAUGCACUACUCAAACACAACUAUCUACAUGAAUACUUUCUAACACAAAUUUUAAAGGUUUUACUAAGAAAAGUAAAAACUUGUUAAAAGAUCUUAAAAUGACAGAAAUAACCUUGAACACAAGCCAUGUGCGAGGCACAUGACUUAUUUUGGAUGAAAAACGUAACGGAGUUAGGGUGGAAUGACAAAUUGAUGAUUUCGGCAAGUUGGUAUGACAAAUUACUUAAAAUUAUAGUUUGUGUAUAUGAUAUUUCAAAAAAAAAUUCCUUGGGAAAAUUAUGGUCCCUAUGUCCCAACCAAAUAAUAAGGUUUUUGAUGAGAUAAUCCAUGCAAACUUGAGCAUUAUAAUGUUCAUGAUUUUGUUUGAGUCUAUUCAUAUAUUUACUCUGUAAAUAUAGAUUAGAUCGGUUGGUAAGGCAUUGUAUCUGUCUCGUUUUUAUAUUUAAGUUUAAAUUCUUCUCUCUUAAGUUAUAGCUUAUAAUAUCGUCUUAACAAAACUAAAUAUACAUAUUUUUAGUGGGAUAUAUUUUGCUUAAGUAUGCAUGUUUGCAAGAUUAAAUGAAAACCUCCAAAAUGUAUGGGGUUUUAAAUUGAAUUCUAACCACCACCACCACCCUCAUAUAAUUAGGGCAAAAGGCGAAUUUAGGAAGGUUCGUGUUACAACCCGUUUAUAAUUUUAUUUUUGAAAAAAAAUGUGAAACGAUCAAAAUGCUCUUAGAGGGUAUGUGUCGACUUUCAUUGACUUACUGGUCAGGUCACGUGUGACAUAUUAAUUAGUAUAUUCUGUCAGCACUCGUUAUUAUGAAAGACUGAUCAUAAGCGUAGCGAAAAUUAGAACUAGAAUAAAGAUUUUACGAAACACGUAUAAAUCAUUUUAUUUUAAAGUAAUGGAAAAGAUAAUAACACUAGAUAUAAAAUAAUAAUGAUAGAAUAAAAUAAUAAAAAAAAGAGAGAAGAAAAGAUGAGAGGUGGAGAAGGAUCGGGAAGAAACGAAAAGAAGGGGAAAGGGGAGAAGGGGGGAAAGAAACUUUUCUUCUUCCUCCUUCACUCACGGGAUCCCUUUCAAACUAUUUUCAUCAUAAUUUCCUCCUACGAUAACGAAAUCACAUGAGGUCGUAAGCUAUAGUUUCGUAGCGAGGCCGUCUUCAAUCUUACCAUACCCACCCUUAGAAAACCGUUGUAUAAAGAAAACGAGGUCCAAACAUAUUGACUUGUUCCGGCGACUUUUCUCUGAUUUCGGGCAAUCCCGCUGGAAUCUGGCUCGACCCAAGUGAAAAUAAUGAUUCUCCCCUCGUGGGCUCUCCUCUAGCGUAAGUAUUUUCCCAAGGUUUUAACUUUUAGUUUUGGGGUCAAUUCAUGGUUUCGAAUUUCAAUUCGAUAUUUUGUAUGUAUAUUUGAGAUGAUGCUUGUUGUAUUGUUUAGGAGUUGAAUCGGAACCGGGUAGUCAUGAUUGGUUACAUAUAUAGGGAAGAACAUUGAAAUCCUAACCUCAAUUCGGUUCUCUUCAGAAAUUUAAGGGUUGGGUUUGUGUUAUAAGCAUUAAUGUUAUUCCAUAAUGGAGGCCAGAUACGUUGGAAUAUUUUGUGUGCCAUAUUUGUCCUACCCUUUAUGCACUGAAAAGAACAUUGCUGAAAUUGUAUGUGUUGCAGCCUAGGUUUGUGCAGUUAAUUAGAGUUCUAAAACUACUGAAUGGUUCUUUAUUCUUCCCAUGGCAUCGCCAGAUGCUGAUGCUGAAUAUUUGAUUGGACAAUGCUAUUAUUAGAGUAUUAUAUGACUCUUGUUUUGGCCGUGAAUUUAUUGGUGGUUCUUUAUUUCAUUCUUUCAGCGGAUGAAGAGCUUAAGACUGCUAGGAAUUUACAUUUUUAUUUUGAAGCACUUGAAUAAACAGUUUGGUUUUUCUAUAAUAAUAAUAAUUAAGGAUCAUUGAUAUGGUUAGGCUAGUGUACUAGUUACGAAUAAUUACAUGAAUGUUAUAGUUUAGGGAUUGCAUGUUAUUCUAUGGCCUGAGAACUAGUUCCUUGGUAAGAUUAAUGGAUUAUCAAACAUUAUACAUAUUCUCUAAUUGAAUACAUUACUAUGUUUAUGAGUUCAAGAUCAACUUAUUAUGGCUGGUAUGGAUAUCAAUAGUUGACAGAUCCAAUUUGGUGUGGUUACUUUUCCAUUAAGUAUUUCACGUUUAUACAUAUCAUGUUGUUUGCUUAAAUAAUACAAUGGAUGUCCUAUUAAGUGUAAAUGUCUAUAUGCGUAUACUGAAACCAAAAUCAAGUUGAUGAUUCACGUUUUGAAGUUAUAUAUAUAUAUAUAUAUAUAUAUAUAUAUAUUUCUCAUAUGCCUAGACAAGCUAUACAAAGAAAGUAUACCGUUUCUAUUAGUUAUUUUGAUUACAUGUAUGUAGUAAUGACUUGCAGUGGUGAUAGGAGUUUAUUGAAAUGGUGAACUACGAAUGGUUUGAUCCCUUUAGGGUAGUCUAACAAGGAGGUUAGAUGCAGCCAUAAAGUAUACUGAAAUUACUACGCAGUUCGAAUCUUGAGUUAUGCUUUGUACAUAUCCCGGAGCGCGGGGUAUGUUAGAUAUACGGAUGCGGGGUAUGUUAGAUAUAUGGAUACUUGGUGACGUCACGUGUCGAUCCUGGACGUAUGUCGGGAUUGGGGCCGUUAAAUGAAUUGCACCAAAUAGGGGAGGCCUUCGCCGGAUCUCUGUGUCCGAAGCCGACAAACACAGAGAUCCAAACCACUCAUUUUAAAUCAUAUGGUUCUCAUUAGCUCAUUCUAUUGGCCUUCCUCACACAAACCACGAGUUCAGAUCUCCCUCUCUUUAACUACCUGGAUAUUCGAGUUCUUGAACUUCGAAAACAAAAAUCCAGAGAGGAUCUCGACUCCAAAUAAGGUAGUUUUUCUACUGUGCAUGUAGAUAGCCCCAAAAAUAAGGGAAACCGCACCCCCCCCCCUCCGAAAAAAAAAAACCCCACCCAUAACAACAGUACAACUAUAAGUAAAGCUUUAUGAGGGGUCGCUCUAAACAAUGUUGCAUUAAAAUUAUCUGACAAUAUAACAUUAUUUCGAAUAAAACUUUUGUAUAAAUUAUAAGUUCAAACAAAAGACACUAUACAACUUCUUCUUGACUAUUUUAGGUGUAUAUAUACUCCAUUGCUGAAAAUUCUACUAUGCUCAUCAUAAUUCUUGCCAAUCCAUCAGGCAAUUGGGUUAAAUUGCCCUUGACCAAAAAAAUGAUGGUCCAUUGGUGCCAAAUUGGGCAGGCAAUUGGUGGGCUCCAAUAAGCUCGUUGAACUACCCUUGUAGCCCGUUGGCAAUAAGUAACGAUGGGCCUGACGUCAAGUAGCAAAAGGCUGACCUUAACCCUGUGCACCACACUUUGUGGCGCAUUUGAUAUUAAAAUUUUGAAAAAUUCAACGGUCAAGAUUAAUCCCAUGGUAAAAAAUCCAAAAAAAAUUUACAACAAAAAGUAUUUAAAAAACUUACAAAGUUCCUGCUUAAACAAAAAUUUGAGCUGAUAUUACUAAUAGAUAAUGACACGUGGUGCAAUGAAAGUGGUGAAAAUGGAAAAGUAUCCUCCCCAGCUCCCUUCCACCAAAUCCAUCAAGUUCAAAGAUCCGGAUCUUUGAAAUUUAAUCCAACGGCUACAAACAAGGUCUACUAUAAAAGCUAUAAUAGAUUGGAUCAAAUUUCAAGGGCCGGAUCCGAGCUUGUGAAUUUGGUGGAAGGGAUCCGGAGUCCUUUCCAUUGAAAAUCUCAUCGCCUCUCCUUUCAGCCCUUCAAGGGAAACCCACUUCUUGGGCCGUCUUCAACCACGUAAAGCUUCACUCUUUUAUUAGUUUCUGUGUUUAAAUUUGUUGGGGUUUGCAGUUUUGGAUUGAAAUUGGUGUUUUGGGAUUUGUUGGGUGCUCACAUGUGGAAAUUUGGAAAAUUUUAGUUGUGGAUUGUGGGGAACUGACGCAGUGGCGGUCCUAUUUCAUGUAAAUUGCUUUCGUUUGUGUGUUUUUGGUGAAAUUAUGAUGAGGGUUGGAUAGUUGGACUGGUUAGAUUUGUUUUGUGAAAUUAGAGUGGGAUCAAUCAAGGUUGAGACCUUUUUAGGUAAAGUAAUUGUGAAAGUUAUGUUUUUACAAUUUUUUUUUUGCAAAUUUUGUGACUUGGUGGAUUUGGAAUUUUGGUUAUAUUAGAUAUAUGUGUAAAGAAAAUAGUUGAACUGCAUGAAGCUUGAGGGGUAAUGAGGGUUUUAGGUAUUUAGUGACAUUCAGGCCAUGCUUGAUGUCUAUUUGAUGUCGGCGUAUCAGAAAUGCUUGAACAAAGAAGAAAGGUGCUCGAAGAGCUGUAGUAGUUAACUACUUGGUUUGAUUAGAUUGCUAUGUUAAUCAAAAUGUCCCCUAUAGUAUGUUAUAGGGUCAAAGUUUUACAUUAGUGUUCUUUAGCGACUUGGUUUCAAAAUUUUCGUUUUCGUUCGACUUUCCUUGGUCUGUGAGGCCAAUGGUAGAAUGAUCAUGGAAAUAUUUUUGUCUUAAUAUCUCUGGUAACAGCGGGUGUGCAUUCUUAAAGGACUUGUUUGUCACUCUUUUAAGCUGUUUAAUGUGCUCAUUUUAGUAUGCAUCAUCCAAAGUCUAUAACUGGUAAAAGUAGCACUACAAGGGCGAGGGAGCUAUCAUCUGUUUGGAAAUAAGAGCUAUAGACAUGCCCCAUAAGGGUCAAUAGGUCUCAGUUGCAUAUCUAACUUGUUUCUCAUGUGUUUUCAUCCUGAAGGUUAGAAAAGGUGGGCACUCUAGACGCGCAGAGAGUGGUUCAUCAACACCAAGGAUGGCGGGUGAUCUCAUGUAUGUGGUUACAUGCUGGAGUUUUCCAUGUGCUUGCCAAUAUGCUGAGUCUUGUAUUCAUUGGAAUUCGGCUUGAGCAAGAAUUUGGAUUUGGUAUGCAUCUGGAUUUUUAGCUUUAUGUAUGUUAUCAUGCAUGUAUGGCCACAUCCAUAAGUGUUUGUAGUAAAAGAUAAAGCUCACGAUGUAAGUUGUAGAAUAAUAAAUUAGUUACCAAGUGCAAAACUUCUUUCAUAAAUCUAGAAGAGAAACACUUUCCGGAUGGCUUUAGCUACCUUGCGAUUAAUCUACAGAGGAUUUCUAUGCAUUUGUUUAUUGAAUUGUAAUCCUAGAGUAGUGGUCAUGUAGUGCUGGUUGCAUUAUAACUUACAUCGGUAUGUUGUUUGGUUUGAUGGAAACAAGAGGACGUUUUGUUCAGCGGUGAGCAACGAAAAGAGUUUAUACACUGAAGAUGGGGUUCAAACUUUAGUUUUAGAUAUAGUAUUCCAUUUUACAGAAUAAAAUUGCUUGAAACAGAAGCUGAGAGAUUAUUUCAAUUUCCAUCACAUCUAUGGGAACAAUGAUUGUUUUGGAUAUCCUGUACAUGUAGACAUGGCGCCUCAUUUUGAAAUGUUUCAAGAUGCCGUCUAUUUGAAAAGAUUGAAAAAAUAAUAGUUUGAUGCGGAUCUACAUCAUGUACAGUUGUUUUGAUGAACUGUUUUAACUAAUUGGUUUGAAAUUCUAAUGUUUUUCUGAUUUGUUCUUCGGCAGUUCGAAUUGGUUUCCUAUAUCUCAUGUCUGGUUUUGGUGGGAGUUUGCUUUCAGCUCUUUUAUUCAAUAUGGUAUUUCUGUUGGUGCUUCUGGUGCACUUUUUGGUUUACUAGGAAGCAUGCUUUCAGAGCUCACAUCAAAUUGGACAAUGUAUGUAAAUAAGGCAAAUAAAAUUCUGUAUACUCAAUGAUGGACCUCUUUAUAGUAUGUGCACGACCCUUUGAUCUUACAGUUUCAGAUUUCGAUCCGCAGUUAGCAGCAUUGCUUACUCUCCUUUUCAUCAUCAUAAUAACUUAGCAGUGGGAAUUCUACCACACGUGGACAACUUUGCUCAUAUUGGAGGAUUUGUCUCUGGAUUUCUUCUUGGAUUUUUGUUUUUGAUCUGCCCCCAGUUUAAAUGGCUUACCCAACGGAAUGCUCCCCCUGGACGUGUUACUACUCCAGUGAAAUCUAAACACAAGACGUAUCAAUAUGUAUUGUGGGUCCUCUCUUUGAUACUAUUGAUUGUUGGGUAAGCUCCUCCUCGAUCUCUGAUUUAAUUGUUUGACUUCAUGAACCUAAUCAACUCCCUGCAUGAAAAUCUGGUAGCCACAGUUGACAUAUGCACAUUUUUUUUUUUAUCAAAUCAGAGAACUGGAUUUUGUAUAGAUAUGUAGAUCUCGUGUGUCCUGUAAUAUUUUCAUUGCAAAUAGGCUCUGUAUCUGCUUGUUUCUCAUCAGAAUGGUUAGGAGAAGGCAUUGUGUUAUAGCUAUUCUCUGUGUAAUACUAAUUGAUCACUUUGUUGAUAGCGGCUUCUACUUUGCUGUUUUGGAUUGCAUGUAUUGGAAAUAAAGGUUCAUUUUCCUCGUAUUUGUGUAGUAUCAGUAUAUGCAGGCAUUUUCUGACAGAAGUCAUGUUUUUGACAGGUAUACUCUUGGCUUGGUUGCUCUUUUUCGAGGGGUCAAUCUAAACAACCACUGUUCCUAGUGUCAUUACUUGAGCUAUGUCCCUACAUCAAAAUGGAAUUGCGAGUCGCAAAUAUUUAUUGUCUGAUAAUAUGCUGUACUUUUCUACUCAUAUUAACUUCCACCUUAAUAUUUGAUUGACAGAAGUGCUUGCUUAUUAAUAUGAUCAUGGUUGCAUUCAGUCGUUCUAGUUUGGCAUGCCGUUUAGUCUAAUGCCUUAAAGAAAUGUAAUUUAAGAAAUGACUUCUGAAAUUCUGUGUCAGGAAAUUGCUUUUGCAACGUACUUUGUUAGUACUAUAAGUUGGUUUUGUACUGACAUAUUGUUCUUUAUAUGCAUAUAUGCACCAAUCUUGCAGUUGAGCCAGAUAGGGAAUCAGCUGAACUUAACGUGCGUAAGCAAUGGUAGAAAUGGGACAUAAUCAUUGUCAGAUCCCAGCCCCUCCCGGACUUAGCAGCUAUAUGCUGAGCUUUGCAGUUGACCAUACAUGUACAGAUUUCAGAGUUGAUAGAAUGUUGAUUGAUAUGCUUCAUUCUUGUAGUAAGUAUUCUUUCUCUUACUUCUAUUUUUUGUUGGGUGAAAUAGUCAUGUGUAUUCACCAAGCAAUGGUUCUCAUUGUCAUUAUUCUUUUCAUUCUUUUACUGCCUUUGUACCUCUUUUCUACUAUUCAUAACAGUUGAAACCCAUACCGAUAACUAUGAAAUUUAUUUGCCAUGUAAAACUACUCAAUCACGCAAUUUACCCAUACCUAAGUUUGUUGAAUGUGGAAUGUUAUGGAUCCUCUCAAGCGGACCCUCUCGGCUCUCUCAUUCUGCAAUGUUGCAAGAUGAUCGGACAUAUGUAUACUUUGUAGUUCAUCCUCUAGAGACCAACUUUGAAAAAAAAAUCAACUAAAUAAAAAAUCAUUUAACCAUUUAAUUAACAUUGUCAAACUUUCAGUAUUUAAUUGAAAAACAUAGUUCAUUUAUUUAUUGGAUAACAAUUAGAUGACAAAACAAGUAUGAAUUACUUUGGUUUUUGGCGAAGUUGGACUUUAAAGUGAGGCGUUAAUAACUGGAUAUGUCUACAGUGGUGGAAUUCUCUUGCUAAAGACUUGAGCCCCCAUGAAGUUUAAAAAUUAAGAAAGCUUGAUCUCACUAGUAACUGGUACAAUUUUUAGAAAGGUUGCAUCCACAACAAGCUUUCUUGCAAUGGUACUUUAGGGGAACUAUGAGAAAAUCAGCAAUCUCACAGUCCAGCCCCUUAUAAAACAUAGAGACUUCAAAAUUUCCAUUCAUAGCUAGGGUCGCUGAUCACUCAUAUAUUUCAUGCAUUUAUACCAUCCAUUCUAAAGUCUUUGUGAUGUUUUGUGUUAAAAUUGUGGCAUUUUACCUUACCUUGUGUUAGUGUGCAGUUAAAUUUGUUUUAGGAUCAAUUUCAAGCAAAAAGGAGAAAAUGAAAUAAUAAAAAAACAAACAAAAGAAUUGGAGUCAAUUAUUCAAUGGCCUUGCACGAUGAUAGCAAUGUUUGAGCAUUUACACUUUGGUUAUGUUCAACAGUUAUAUGGAGCCUUAAACAUUGACAAAAGAAAGGGAAUAUGUGGCCAGGGAACACACGGAAGUGGAACAAAAAAAGGAAAGAAAAGGUGGUGGAAAAGAAAGGAAAUGGGAUUAUUGGGUUUUGGUAGGCAACUUUACAGUUAGUAGUCAAAAUACUUCCCCGAGGAGGACCACUUCUCUCAAAGGAUAGGAGCAGCGACAAGAUAUUGAUCAUCAUGAAGUGGUUAGUCCUCCUACUGCAACUAAGAAGCACGGCAGGAGAGAAAAGAAUAAUGGAGCAGAAAGACAGCGCAGAGGAGAGAGACUGACAGACACGGGACAGAGUGGAGAGACCGACAGAGUGGAGAGAAGACAGAGAGGGCAGACUGACAGAAAAAAAGAAAAGAAAAGAAAAAAAAAAGGGAAAUAGAGAAGAGAGGGCACGGCAGAAGGGAUGGCACACGGACAGAAAGAAUAAAAGCAAAGAGAGUAGAGAGAGCCAGGGGAGAAAAAGAAAAAGGAUAGCAGAAAAAUAUAGAGAGAAGCCGUGGAGGGCAGAGAUGGAGCAACAUACAGCAGAGCAGAAAGAAGCAUGCUCAUCUCUUUGAGGAGAAGAUCGGAGAGCUUCCUUGUAAAAAAGGUUGUCUCUUUCUUUGAUUCUUCAUGAAUUUCUUAUAUAUUCAAAUAAUUAUGUGCAACUAAUUUCCUUUUGCUAGAGUGAGGUCAUGAGCCGCAACAUGAUUACGUAGAUUUCUCUUUCAAUUGCUUAAGUGUUGUUAAAUGCUUGCUUUGAUAUUUUCAAUCUCUAAAUUAAACUAUCUAUGUGUCUAGAAGCUUGAUCACCAUUAGGAUGCUUAGAAAAGUUAUCGGAUGCAAUUUUGAACGAAUGUCACGUUAAAAUUGGUUAUGCUUCUUGUGAUUGAGGAUUGUACUCUCCUAAGGUAAAUAUCAUGCUCUUAGGGAUUACAUGGUUUGAAGAAAAGAAAAAAGGAUUUUUCACUAAGAUUAAUGAAUCACUCAUGUUUAUAUUUAGUACAAAUGUUAUGGAUAAGUUGCAUGUAGUGGUAUGCGUUUUAGCUUGAAUGUUACAAGUAAAACAUACACAAGGAAAAUCCAACCUUCAAAGAAUGUGUUUUCAAUUAUUUAAGCAAUUGGAAUAGCUACAUAGGAGUGUUGUUGUAAAGGUUGAACUCUAGGAUAUUGUCAAUCUAUUUUUCUUCAAUCAUUUAUUUUAUCUUGAAUUUCCUCAUUUACUUGUUUUGUUUAGUUGAAUCACUAUUCCUAUAAGCCAAUUCCUAUUUUAGAUAUUUGUUUAAGUCACAUCGAGGAGUAUUUAGUUUCGUCAAAUUAGUGUAGUUCUUAGAGUUAAAUAAGUUAAAUACACAAAAACUCGUAAAUUGUUUAUAUCAGUCUCUGAGGAGAUCGACCUUGCUUGAGCCAUUCUAUACUACAACACUUAUUCUCUUACAAGAAUUUUCUAUGGUUUAACCCUUUGUUUUACAAGUGGUAAAAUCGCUAUCAAUCGCCUAGCAAGGUAACUUUCAUAUUAAAAGACACCAGCGUGACGUCUGAUGUGACCAAAAUAUAGGGUUCCAUGUAUUUAUUUUUUCAUUUUGGAUGGUUGCCAAAUGUUUCGAGUCAGCUUCUGGAAUCAAGGUGCUUUAAUGGUCUUCGUCCUUGGCGUACCGAAAGUGCCGGACAAUAGGUGGUUGCCAAAUGUUUCGAGUCAGCUUCUGGAAUCAAGGUGCUUUAAUGGUCUUUCCAGUCAGCUUCUGGAAUCAAGGUGCUUUAAUGGUCUUCGUCCUUGGCGUACCGAAAGUGCCAGACAAUAGGUGGUUGCCAAAUGUUUCCAGUUAGCUUUUGGAAUCAAGGUGCUUUAAUGGUCUUGGUCCUUGGCGUUCACCGAAAAUGCCAAACAACAGUUCCCAGUAGUGGAAGUAAGCUAGUGAAGUCGUCUAAAAAAACAAGCCAAAGUGGUUAUCAUUUACUUGGACUUAUUCCUUCUCAUAUUUGAAUUUUCAAGAAACAGAAACUGUGGUGUAAGUUCCUCCUAUGAUCCUAUCCUUCUAUAAAUUUCCUUGUCAUGUAACAAAUGGAACUCACCAAAAACUCAACACCCAUCUCUUUAUUUCUUUCUGCUUCUCUCACUAGUUAUAUAGUUAACCAGAUUAGAAAUGGGGGUUUUGGUUGUGAAAUUGAUCUUAAUAUACUUGCUUUUCAGUGCAAUGUUCGUUUGCUGUUGGAGCUCCCUGCAAUCGGGACUCGGAGGGAAUGCGACGGAUAGGCUGGCUCUGCUUGCCAUCAAAGCUCAAAUAAAGCAAGAUCUCCAUAAUUACAAUGUGAUGAGCUCCUGGAAUGAAUCCACGCACUUUUGCAUGUGGCAUGGUGUGACGUGCAGUCGACGACAUCGCCAAAGGGUCACUAACCUGGACCUGCAAUCUCAAAAUCUGGUAGGGAAACUAUCCCCAAACAUAGGAAAUCUAAGUUUUCUAAGGGAGCUAUGGCUGCGAAAUAACAGCUUCAGUCAUGAAAUUCCUCCACAAAUUGGGAAUUUGCGUAGAUUGCAGGUAUUGCGAUUAGACUUAAACUCAUUUAGUGGCAGUAUUCCACCCAAUAUAUCACAUUGCUUCAACCUUAUCCUAAUGCGUUUCUCUCGCAACAAGUUGGUGGGUAAAAUUCCUUCAGAAAUUGGAUUGCUGUCAAAACUGCAAAAAUUUUCAUUAAAUUUUAAUAAUGCAACGGGACAGGUCCCUCCUUCCUUAGGGAACCUUUCGUCUCUCCAGCGACUAAGUCUUGUUGAUAAUAACUUGAUGGGAAACAUCCCCGGUUCUCUUGGCCAAUUGAAAAAAUUAACCUUCUUGGGAUUGGGGUUAAAUCAGUUGUCUGGUAGCAUCCCUUCCUCAUUUUAUAACCUCUCUUCUCUUGAUACAUUUUCCAUAGAAAUUAACCAAAUUCAAGGGAGUAUUGCAUCAGAUAUUGGCCAAAGUCUUCCCAAUCUCGGAGUCUUCAACGUCGGCGCAAACCAACUUACUGGGUCCAUACCUCCCUCAAUAUCCAAUUUCACAAGUAUUCGGAAAUUUGAAGUUGGGAGUAACAACCUAAUCGGACAGGUACCGAAUCUCCAAAAGUUUCACAACCUCCUGAAGUUCAACAUUCAAUUUAAUAAUAUUGGAAGCGGUAAAGAUGGUGACUUAAGUUUUCUCUCGGACUUGACCAAUGCCACCUAGUUACAAUCGCUGGUUAUUAACACCAACAAUUUUGGAGGGACAUUGCCCAUUUCAAUAUCCAAUCUUUCAACCAAACUUGAAUUGUUUUGGGUUGACGAUAACCAAUUAUAUGGAAGCAUCCCAUCUGGGAUAGGGAACCUGGUGAGCUUGGCAUCGUUGCGUUGGGGGAAUAAUAGCUUCACAGGUAACAUCCCCUCUGACAUGGGUAAGCUUUCAAACCUUGGAGUAUUAUAUAUUUCCAAUAACAACUUAUCAGGAAAUAUCCCGUCUUCCUUAAGAAAUUUAACCAAGUUAUACCAUCUUCGGUUGGAUGAAAAUUAUCUUGAGGGCAGCAUUCCUUCAGGUCUGGGGGAAUGCCUUUGGUUGCAAUUGUUGAAUCUUUCUUAUAACCUUCUUAAUGGCACAAUACCCAAACAAGUUUUUAGACUCUCCUCCUUAUCAAUUUAUUUGGGCCUGUCUAAUAACCUCUUCACAGGUUCCCUUCCUCCGGAGGUUGGGAAUUUAAAUAGUCUAAGUGAACUGGAUCUUUCUGAUAACAUGUUAUCUGGAGAACUCCCCAGUAGCCUUGGUGGUUGUGAGAGUUUAGAAGUCCUGCAUUUGCAAGGAAACUUCUUCAAUGGGUCCCUUCCUUUGUCUAUGAGUUCAGUGAGAGGGAUUCAAGAUCUAGACCUUUCUCGCAAUAAUUUUUCAGGUGAAAUUCCACAUUUUUUAGAAGGCUUUAGAAUCCUGAAUAAUCUGAACUUAUCAUUCAAUCAAUUUUGGGGAGUGGUACCAACUGGAGGUGUUUUCAAAAAUGCAAGUGUUAUUUCAGUUGUUGGCAACACUAAUCUGUGCAGCCCUGUUGCUAAUUUAAAGCUUCCCAAGUGCAAGUCUAAAGAGACCAAGAAACAAAGAUUGUCUCGUAGCUUGAAACUAAUACUCCCUUUAGUAUUUGGACUUACUCUUCUAGGAAUAGCCAUGGUGUUCUCCUAUUUCUUUCUUUGUUCGUCAAGGAAGAAAAGGACAGAAAUUUCAUUGAGCACUUUGGAGAACACUAUUUUGCAAGUGUCAUAUGCUACUCUACUCAAAGCUACUAACGGGUUCUCAAAGGCUAAUUUAAUUGGUGCUGGUAGUUUUGGGUAUGUAUACAAAGGAGUUCUUGAUGAUGAUGAUAAAGCUCAACUUGUUGCAGUGAAGGUGUUUAACUUGUUAUGUUGUGGAGCUUCGAAGAGUUUCAUAGCCGAAUGUGAAGCUUUGAGAAAUAUUAGGCAUCGAAAUCUCGUCAAGAUUAUAACCGUGUGUUCAAGUGUUGAUUUUCAUGGUAAUGAUUUCAAGGCUCUAGUUUAUAAGUUCAUGGACAACGGGGAGCUUAGAGGAGUGGCUGCAUCCACCCGCUGGAACUGAAGAGUUAAGAGAUCAUGUACCCGUGAAGUUAAGUCUUCUUUAGAGGCUAGAAAUUGUCAUUGGUGUUGCUUGUGCACUGGAUUAUCUUCAUAAUUAUUGUGAAGCGCCAAUAGUUCAUUGUGAUCUCAAGCCAAGCAACGUUCUCUUGGACAACGAAUUGACUGGCCAUGUUUCUGACUUUGGAUUAGUAAGGUUUCUCUCACAAGUAACGAGUAAUGUUUCAACAAUUCAGAGUCAGACAAGUUCCGUUGGAAUAAGAGGAACCAUUGGUUAUGUAGCUCCAGGUAUAUAUAUGUUAGAUAUAUACUUCAUUAUAUUUCCUUUUUUAUUCUGCAGUAUUUAAUUUACAAAAUUCAAACUGAACUAUUUAUACACAAAUGUGAUGUUUGAAUUGUAGAGUAUGGCAUGGGGAGUGAGGUGUCAACGAAUGUUGAUAUCUACAGCUUUGGCAUUCUCUUGUUGGAGAUGUUUACAGGGAAGAGACCCAUUGACAACAUGUUUGGUGAUAGCUUGAACCUUCAUAAUUUUGUCAAGAUGGCUCUCCCCGGGCGAGUUACUGAGAUUGCAGAUGCACCACUUCUUCAAGGAGGCCCGAAUGAGAAUCCCAAUCAAUGCAGUGCGAGAAUUCAUAGAGUUGAGGUGUGCUUGAGUUCAAUAUUUAGAAUUGGAAUUGCUUGUUCUGCUGAAUCCGCAACAGAUCGACUAAAGAAUAUCAAUGAUGUUGCAUCUAAACUUCAUUCCAUUAGGAAUACUUUUCUUGGAUAGAAACUCCUUUUUAUGUGCUUUUGUGAUAGAGAAAUUUCGUGUACUGCUUGUGAAGUCUAGCUUUUAUGUUACCACAGUAGAUGUGGAAGUUUGCAAUGUAAAUAAUCAUCAAUGAAGUUCAUUGUGUGAAAAGUGUGUUACUACUACUUGUACUUGGUAGUUUUGUGUAAUAUUCACAUCGAUUAAAGUCUAGUUCGUGCCACAAAAUUGUUGAAUAUUCACAUUGACAGAUUCCAAAUUUUUGAAAGAUUCGUAACCUCAAGACCCUCAACAUUCAAUAAAAUCAUCUUGGAAGCUGUAAAGAUGGUGAGUUGAGUUUCCUAUCAUACUUGACCACCAUCUGUGUAAGGUGUUUUCGAAAAUCAAAGUGCUAUUUCAAUUGUUGACAACACUAGAUUCUGCGAGGGAAUUCCUAAUCUCAAGCUGCCCAAUUGCAAUCUAAAGAGCUCCAAGAAAAGAAGAUUAGCUUAUAGAUUGAAAUUAAUAAUCCCUUUAGUAUUCAGACUUGCUCUACUUGCAAGUGUCAUAUGCUACUUUCUCAAAAGCCACUGAUCGUUUUCUUCAACUAAUUUGACUGGUGUUGGCAGUAUCCUCCAUAUAAGUGAAGGGAAUUGGGUUCAAGUUGGUUGGUAUGGUUAAUAGGGUUUGCAAAUAGUCAUUUUUUUGUAGAAUUUUAACCCCAACUUUAAAGCCCAUGGCCUAUGACAAAUCAGUGUUUUCUAGCAUUGUUGCUAUCAAUAUUCUCCCAUGUGCAUUCUGAAUUCUAAUCCAAUGGUUUUAGCAUUCAUUCUACUAAUCUUGACAAUGAAAGAGUUUUUUUUUUUUUUUUUGGUUCGAAUAAAUGAUAUUAUCUACACAAAGAGGAAGGGGAUAGACUUAGCUUAAGUGGCAUGAAAGAAUUUCUAUUAAACCUGCAAAAAUGAAAAUUCUCAGCCGGUCAUUAAUGGAUUUGAAUUUAGAUUUAUUACAAUUGAUAAAGAUUUUUUUUUUUUCGGCAAUCAAUAGGAUACUAACAAAUUUGUUUUUAGUACAAAGAUGUCACGAUAAUGUGACUUAUAGUUGUGUCACUGACCUUUUAACUUAUUGCCCUAUCUUUAACACACUUCAAUUAAUAUCAUCCUCUAAUUGUUAGUAUUUAAUGAAUCUCAUCAUAAAUUGUUAGCCAAAAUAUUAAUUAUCAAAGCAAACAAACUUGAUUGAGUUAUAAAUUUAACAUGACCCAGUUGGCAUGGCUAGGAGAAAAAUCAAUUUUGUUCAUAAUUUUCAUGUCUUCCAAGUGAACAUGGGGCUAUAAGUGAAGUUCCAAAGGGUACGGUGGUGUAAUUUGGUCCAUGAAUUGUCUCCUCCAAUUUGCAUGCAUGCGGUAGGUGACUGACUCCCAAAUAAUUCUCGUUGCCAAGCAAAUUAAAUACCAUUAAUUAAGAGCUUAAAAACACUUUAAUUAUUACCUCUAUUUUGCUUUUGCAAUUAGGAAAUUUUCCCCCUUUUGCGUACAAUAUUAUAAGAAUAUUUUUGUUCUCUACACUUAAAUGAUGGUGAUGCUCACUACCUUAUUUAUCACCGUUAUAUGAGUUUAAUACAUGUUAAAACUCAUAGUGAUGGUGCUAGCUACCUGCUUCUUGUGUUUUUUUAAAGAAAGAAAGGGGCAUUUGAUGUUUGGACAGACAUAGUGAUGGUGCUAGCUACAUGCUUCUUGUGUUUUCAAAAAGAAAAUAAAAAAAUGAGAAAAGGCUAAUUUGCACCCUUUUGGAUAUUAUGAUGCCAAUUUGCCUCGUUGAGAAACUUGUGGCUUUUCUAAUGGAGAUUGCGUAAAGGUGCAAACAAUUUGUUAAUGGUUGUGCAAAAUAGGUUUCAUACUGCACUCCGCCGCGGGAUUUGAAAUCAUAACCCACAAUUUAACAUACCCAUUUCUAAAUUAUUCAGAAAUCAAUCAGAGAAACUUCAAGCAGAAGAAAAUUGAGUUCUCAAUUAGAGAAAACUUCAAUUUCAUGCAAGUUUUUUUGUUCAAAUUUCAGGGCUUAACAAUGCAAGAUUUGAAUUUGCAUUUGGUUCAAAGAAGUAAGAUAAACUGAUAAGAAAAAUGAACUAAAAAAAUAGUGUUUUUUUUACAAUAUAUAAAGAGACAAUCUCAGAAGUUUGCAUAUGUGCUGGAAAUUUACAAUAUAUAAAGAGACAAUAUCAGAAUAAAACACAUUUGAAGAAAAAGUAAUAAGAAAAGAAAAUAGUGUUUUUUACCUAUGAUCCAUGUGAGGAGUAGAAUUUUCAGUCAUAAUUGACAACCCAAGAGCUCUGUAAAUCAAAUAUAUAGGAAAAGAUCAAUAAAAAGUGAAUUACAGUUUCUCAAAUCAGAAAGUAACAUUUAUUUGAAAAGAUUCAGACUCAUUUUGGAUAUAGAUAAACAAUGGCAUGUUAAAAACCAAAAUGAUAAGGCAUUCAACAUUCAACAUUCACGUAAAAAAAAUGAAAUACAUGUUAUCCAUCAAUGUUUUGGUAACAAAUUCCCAAAUUGCUCUAUCUACCAAACAUUUGCAAAUCUAUAGUUACAGAUGUUUAGUUCUAUGAUAUUCAACCCAAUACCCACAUUAUUGGCAAAACGACAUUGUAUAGAUCGUUUGAGCACCCGAGCCAAUGACAAUAACAUUGAAGGCAACUACAAAAUUGUACAUUAUAUAAAGAGGCAAUCUCACAAUCAAAAUUGUCAAAAUCAAUAUUUUAUGGCUACAUUUUUUUCAUCAGUCAAUCAAUACACACUGAACACAGAAUCACAUACUCGACAAAAAUUCAAACCCAUAAAUCUGAAAUUAGCAAUGUUAUUUCUUACCCCCCAAAAACAAUCCAAAUCUUAGUGGUUACAUUCAUUAGUCAAGCACUCAACCACUUAGGCACAUCAACUACAACUUGGGAAUUGUGGAGCAAAAAAUAAUCACAAGGCGACACGUGGACUUUUUAGUAUAAGAGGACCAAACUACCCUUGAGGCACACCGAGAUUCCUACACGCGAGCAGCUCAAAAAUGCUCCAAAAAGGUAACAAUUCAAUAUUCAUCUCAUCAAAUCCCGUAACCUCUAAAAUAUUUAUUCCAAAAUUAUAUUAAUUGGUUAAUUAAUGGAUUAAUUACCCAAUUACUCCAUUAAACAUCAAUUAAAAAAUCCAAAUAACCACAACAUAUAUUCCCCUCAAUCCCAAAACUAGUGAUUGACCGGCCACCCCCUUUCUCCCCAACUUUUCACACUUUUCUCCAUUUUAUUACCCUAUUUACACAACUAUUCAAUUUUGUAACCUCCUAUUUAUUUCUUUAUACUUAAUUAGCCAAUAAAUUGGCUAAUUAAGCUAAAACUAUAACCACCAAAACCCAUUAGUGGCCGGCCACACCUUGGGAAAAUUGGGCAAAGCCUAACCCUAUAAAUAGGCACCCAUUCUCACAAAAAAGCUAGGCCAACACUCUUGCAAAAAUCUCUAAAUUCUCUAAACACUCUUUCUCUCUAAAUUCUAACUUUGGCAUCGGAGGUUCUUCGGCCAAAGCCUCCCCCCAUUCAUCGUGGGCGCGUGAGGCUUGUGGCCAUAACCAAAUGUGUUAUUUAUUUUGUAGGUGCAAUUUUGUUUAAAAUCAAGGAGGAAGAAAUUUGCAUCCACAAAUUGGUGCUUUCAUUGAGAGUUGAGAUUCACACUCGUAGAAGACUCUUGCGCAAAAAGGUUUUUUCUCUAUUUCCUCUAUUUUCUAGUCCACUUGUAUUUUUCAUACGUUUUUAUUAUGAGAAUUUUUUAUUUGCCAAGAUUCUUUGAUAAAACGUAAAAGAGAAAUACAAUGGCUAGAAAUUUAGAAAAUUCCACAAGUGAAAAUUCCAAUAUUCAAGAAAUGGGACUGCGGUGAUCCACGAGACUAAACGUGAUCUUAAAGGGAGCGGCACCACCACCACAAGGCUCCACCAUGGCAACCACCGAGGUGGCCACCAUGGCAAUCACCCGCGGCGAGGUCCAUGGCUCCACCACUACGGCCCAAGCCGUGUUAUCCAGGGCCCACGCCACCAAAGCCACGGCUCGAGCCAUGUUACUCCAUGCCCAACGUGAGCCCAAUGCGUUUCCAAUUCGAGCUCAAGCCUCGCAUUCGCAUGCACCACGCAUUAAGCAGCCUGCUCCCGUGACCUAGCCUGCUCCCGUAAUCCAACCUACUCCUGCAGCCUUGCCUGCUCCCGCGACCCAGCCUGCUCCUGUAAUCCAGCCUGCUCCUGCAGCCUUGCCUCCCAUGGUUUCCCAAGCAGCUCAAGUUGGCCCGAGAAUAUCUUAACUAUCCGGAGCAACCAUCAAGCUGGGGGCAUUUUCACCAAAUUUCUCCGCGGAUUUGACAUUUCCCAAUUCAAAUCUUGCACCCGGAGUCUACCACACUUCCAUUGCUCAAGGAGGCACAUUCCUUCCAAGCUCUUCCAAUCCAAAUGGCGAACAACACUUGUCUCGACAAGUCAUAGAGUUGACGAGCGCCCUUGCACAACAGACGACCUUGGUGAAUCAACUCUUGCAACGCACCGAGAUCCAACGUGCCCCGGACGAGGUGUCCCGAAGUAGGACAAGGGUAAAUGAACCUCUCCGCCAGCAUCCCGGCAAACAUUAACCAGCCAUGUUCCAAGCGUUCGUGCAUUCCCAAUCAAGCCCACAGACGAGCAUACGUUCACGGUUGAGGUCAUACUCCGAUUAUCAACAUGGACAACCUUCCAGGUGAAAUGUUCAUUCACAACUAGGCUCACAAGGAGCAUUCUCCACCUCACAUCUGAGUAGGCAGCACAGCAGAUGGAGAGAAACAGUCACUCAAUCCGACUCAAGUUCAAGCAGCAGCCUGCGAACGGCCCGUUCGCUUGCUGGAUACAUGCCACAUGCACCGCAGUCGCAACAUAGACGAGUUAAACAUAGGGAAGAGCGGCCCAAACCCAUAGGUCACGACCGGAGGCAGUCGAAAAUUCCAUUGCCCCAGCAGAGGUAAAUUCAAGAAGAAGUUGAUAGGCUUUUAACUGAACGACUGCGCAAUUUCCAACGAAACGAGGCUGCUGACGUACGCUUCGACGAGACAUGACCAACAUAAGCAUGUCAUCAUUCACGAAUGAGAUCGAGUUGAUAGAUCCACCUCGCGGGUUCACUAUGCCUCAUUUCAUUCCGUACAAGGGAGACGAAGAUCCGGAUCGACAUCUCAAGUAUUACUGCAGUACCAUGAUCCUCUACAGGAACAAUGAUUCACUUAUGUGCAAAAUUUUUGCCACAACUCUACAAGGCGAGGCGUAAGACUGGUUUCACACUCUACCGCCGCAGUCGAUCCGAAGUUUUAACGAACUUUCCUUUGUUUUCACUAAGGAGUAUUCGUUUAAUCGCUCAAUCAAAAGGACAUCCGACCAUCUCUUCAGCAUCGUAAAAGACCCUCGGGAGACAAUUCGCGACUAUGUCAAGAAGUUCAAAAUGGAGAAGGCGAAGAUUGUUGGCUACAACGAAGACAUAGCAACGACAACAUUCAGAAAUGGGCUUUCCACGGAACAUCCUUUAUUCGGAAAAUUGAUCAUGGGAGAAGAAUUGACCCUAGCAGCUUCAUAUGCUUUGGCAGAAAAGCAUGCAUUAUGGGACGAGGCCAAGCAGUCUAACAAAAACGAGUCAAAAAAGAAGCACAUGGAACGUUCCCCGACCAAAGAAAACUCAGCGCUUGAAACAUUCACCAAGUUCACAGUUCCAAUCAGCCAAAUUCUUCGCAAGCUCAAGAAUGAACCUUGGUUUGAACUACCACCACCCAUGAAAAGCGAUCUUACUAGGCUGGAUCAUACAAAAUAUUGCGCAUUCCAUCAAGGACCAGGCCACACUACCAACGGCUGCCUGAAGUGGAAGCAGUACCUUGAGAAGCUGACAAAUGAGGGCCGAUGCGAUGAGUAUCUUAACAGGUCAACAAAACGGCCUACAUAAGCAGGGGAAGUUCCCAUCACCCCCUGAACCACGUUUGGAUUUUUUCCAAAUAAGUUCGAAGAUUCAAGCAGCUCGACGAACAAGGCUUCAUAAGCCGAAGAAUAUCCAGUUUGUUAUGCAGUUUCUACUUUCCAGCACAGUUGAUUUAUUUCUUUAUUCUCAAUAAAGAUUCAAGAAGUUAUUCAUAAGUCUGCUCCAAACCCUUUCUGGGUCUGCUCUCCAGUGCGAGAGGUUAAACUAAUUGCUCUCCAGUGCGAUAGGGUAAACUAAUUCCCCGACACCCUAAAGGGUCUGCUCUCUAGUGUGAUAGGUUAAACUAAUUGCUCUACAGUGUGAGAGGGUAAACCAAUUCCCCGACACCCAUAUGGGUCUGCUCUCCAGCGCGAAAGGUUAAACUAAUUGCUCUCCAGUGCGAGAAGGUAAACCAAUUGCUCUCCAGUGUGAAAGGGUAAACUAAAUCCCUGACACCCAUCUGGGAAAGCUUCCAAUGUAAGAAGGCCACAUAGUUUAAAAGAUCGAAUGCUUAAAUAUCAGUUAAGUAACAAAUGGUUAGGGAGCAGCAACCACUUUUACACUUAAUAGUUCGCUCAUCCUACACUUCAUCUUUAGCAACUCCGAUCUUGGCAGCUUCAUCCUUGACUGCUCCAUCUACGGCAACUGAGAAAUCAAACUCAAGCAGUUUCCUCAUUUUUGGCAAGCAGCCCAGACGUGGUAGCCCAAACUGUUGUCCAUGCCACGCCAUUUCCUCGGCCCAUGCCGAGCCAAUCCUUGGCUUCAAUCAAGCUGACAACAUAAACAAUGGCCCUUGCCACAUCACCUCAUUGGCCCAUGCCAAGCCGACUCCUGGCCCCUGCCAGCCGACGUGCCACACCACCCCCGACGGCUGCCCCGUGGUAGCACCUCCCAAGAAGAAGAUAAGGAGAAUUAAGUUUUCCUUACAUCGGUGCGGCGGAGAAAACAAAGAAAGCAACGAAAGACAGUCCUUCGCACGAACAAGAUGUAGAAGAUUGAAGCUUUCUCUCUCUUGUAGGGUAGAAUAAAUUGCUCUCCAAAGUUGAUUUAACAACCCACUUAAGGUGGACUUAAAUAGGCUUUGAGAAAAAUUUAUUUCCCUUUCCUAGAAGGAUCUAAUUUCACAUUAAAGAGGGAAUCAAGCAGUCCUAAGUUUCCUAGAGCAAGAAGAUCUCUACACCUGCUGCCCUUUCCUACGAGCAGCCCAGCAGGUGUGGGGGCAUUUGUGGAGCCAAAAAUAAUCACAAGGCGGCACGUGGAUUUUUUAGUAUAAGAGGACCAAACUACCCUUGAGGCGCACCGGGAUUGCUACAUGCGAGCAGCUAAAAAAUGCUCCAAAUAUUUAUUCCAAAAUUAUAUUAAUUGGUUAAUUAAUGGAUUAAUUACCCAAUUAAUCCAUUAAACAUCAAUUAAAACAUCCAAAUAACCACAACAUAUAUCCCACUCAAUCCCAAAACUAGUGAUUGACCGGCCACCCCCUUUCUCCCUAGCUUUUCACACUUUUCUCCAUUUUAUUACCCUAUUUACACAACUAUUCAAUUUUGUAACCUCCUAUUUAUUUCUUUUAUACUUAAUUAGCCAAUAAAUUGGCUAAUUAAGCUAAAACUAUAACCACCAAAACUCAUUAGUGGCCGGCCACACCUUGGGAAAAUUGGGCAAAGCCUAACCCUAUAAAUAGGCACCCAUUCUCACCAAAAAGCUAGGCCAACACUCUUGCAAAAAUCCCAAAAUUCUCUAAACACUCUUUCUCUCUCAAUUCUAACUUUGGCAUCGGAGGUUCUUUGGCCAAAGCCCCCCAUUCAUCGUGGGCGCGUGAGGCUUGUGGCCAUAACCAAAGGUGUUAUUUAUUUUGUAGGUGCAAUUUUGUCUAAGAUCAAGGAGGAAGAAAUUUGCAUCCACAUUCCACAGGAAUGUUAUGCAAAUCUUAGGCAGCUUGAAUCAUUAAGUUUGAGUUGGAAGAAGCUCCGUUGCCUGCUCUGCUAGUUGAGGAGUGUCACCAAAUUCGGCACUAUCAGCAACAUCAACACAUUUCACACACUCCCGCUUCCAAAACAUAUCACAAAAUCAAAAACCAAAUGAGAUUAUGUAGCAGAAAAGACAGAAAAAUAGAUUAAGAAAAGCAAUUAAUAUUAAAUAUAGAGGGUGAAUGAUGUUGUCCAAUAAAUAAGAUAGCUGUAUAUAUUUCUCGACCAUGAGAAAACAUCAAAUUAAUAGAGGCAUUAAUCCUAAGUUUGCCAUUCGUUAUUGCCGGAAUCAGGAGCUUUCUUUCAGAACCUUUUGACCAACGGGUCCUUGGUCUAAACUUGAUGACAUAUUGUAAAGUCCUCUUACAUACAAAUUAAUGAAAUAUUAAUUUAUUUCCAUGAGUUAUUUGAUUUUGCAAAUUCAAAAUAAUUGAAGAAUACUGAAAAUUACUAAACCCCAUCACAACAUCCCAUUAGUGAAAAAUCAAAGACAAAAGUAAAUUACUAUCUUUCUAAGCAUCCAAAGAUAGCAUACUCAAAAUACCAAAUUCAACUCCAAUGUCUUAAAAAAUUAAAAAACAAAUUAGCCAAAUUGGAAUAGUUAGAUCAAAUAAAGAUUUAAGUCAACCAAUUACACAAAAUAAUUCAUGCAAAGUAGGCUCCUAAGAAAAUAUACCACAAUGGUGGUGGAGGAGGCCAAGGCUUAAAUAGUGGAGGACAGCAACAUUUAAAUAUACCGCAGCAGCACGGAAUCCACAAACUGCAUAAUCAAAACCAAGGCAUACACAGAAGGGAAACCAGGAUCGGAAGUUGAUACCGAUGUUAGAUACCAAUUCCAGCCACUAGUUCAUCCUUAACUGGAAGCAAGAAUUGUAGGAAAUGGCGAGAAGGAGAAGAUGGAGUAUUUUUUGUAAAAUGAUUUUUUAUAUUUGAUUUCAUCUAUCCCCGUUCAACAAGAAAGAGAGAGCUUUAAUAGCACUAGCAACCUCCCCAAUGAAAGACCGUCACAUGGCAUACACAGCCUAAACUCUUAAACAACAGCACAAAAGAAAGGCAAAUUACACAACGACCCCAAAACAUUACAUUUCGACCCAAAACUUUGUUGCUUGUGAUCAAGGCAAUCACAGUACAUAACAGUCUAUGAUCCGAUUUUGCCGGCUCCGUCAGAGAUGCUGCCUGAGGAGGGCUUCGCUCUCAGAGAAUGAAGGAGGUAGGGUCUCGAAUUCUAAUUGUUUUCGAUUGAACCGAUAGUUCUGUAUAUCAAUUAAAUUUUGACUCUUUUGUGCAAUUUAGUUGAAAGUUGUUGGUUUUGAUUUGGCUUGAUCUUUCUGUUGCUGAGAAAUUGGGUGGAAAUUGUUGUUUUGAUUUUGUAGUUUUCAAGAAUUGCAUGCUUAGUGAUCAGUAAUCGUCUGGCUUUAUCGGAUAAGGAGAUAAAGCAAUUAGAUUUCAAAAUUUGGAUUUACAGUUCGUAUUUUGAGCCUGAAUUCAUGAAAACAAACGUAACCCAUUAUUUAUUAGCGAUUAAUGAUUUGAUCUUGCACCCAUGUUGUCUGCUUUCCAUUUCUCAUCUCUCUUGCCAUCUUCUCUGUAUUUUGGCUGCUUCUCUCUCCCGCACUCCUUUUUUUUUUUUUUUUUUUGAAUCUAGUGUCUCCUGGUCUUUAACCCGACUACUCACUAGGCCACCCGCCUGACCCCACAACAUUUGGUAGGCAAGAAACUCUAGCAAUUGCUAGGUCUAGGUGGGUACCUUGUGAGGUGUCGAACCCCAGACCUCUUGGUAACAAACCAAGGGCCUGACCAUUAGACUAAACACUCUUAGGUAAGAGACACUAAAGUAUAAAGUGAGAUAUCAGGGCACACGCCUUUAUAGAAACACUUGGUUUCAUUAAUCCAGAAUUUACUUUCUUCAUAGGUUUCAAAUGGAACUACUUAAUAUGUUGUUUUCGUAAUUCUUUUUGCUUUCAAAGUUUAUUGCUCAGUUGUGUUCGUAACCUCUGGGUUCUUACAGUUCUUUGUCUCUCUUACUUCAGAUUCUUUGCGUUUUUUAUCAUUCGUUUGUGAAGAAAUGGGUCGUACGAAGUGGUAGGGCUUUGAGGAAGGCACUUGCCACCAAGGUGCGUUUUGUUUGGGUUUCUGAUGUCAAGAAAAUUAGAAUUGAUAAUUGCAAGCGAUUUUUUCCAAGAAACAAUCAGAUUAUUGAAUCUAAGUUGCUAAUUGUUUAAUUUUGUAUAUGCUGCAAUUAAAUCAGCACCCGCAACUGGAGGAGUCAAGAAGCCUGACUGCUACCGCCCUGGAAUCGUCACUUCGGUAAGUUUUCAACACAAUAUAGUUCAAAUCCUCUGAAUCAUGUUCUUGAAUUCUAUAUGUAUCGUGUUCUUUGCAUUUCGUUAUCUGAAAUCUGUUCUUUGAAUUUGGUUACCGGAAUCAUGCCUAAUGUUUGAUGUGGCCAGUGGCUUUGUAUGGCUGGUUGGUGUGCAUUGGGAGUGUUUUUAGUUAAUGGCAGACAUAGGACAAAGGUGUGGGGCAGCGAAGUCAAGUGGGAAUAGGAAUUUAGGAUGGUACAGUUUUUGCUAAUUUAUGGGACUAGAAGUCUUCCUUUAUUUUUUGUCUUCGUGCGAUGAAAAAAAAUGGGUGAGUAAUUUGAACUCCAGUUUAAGAUAAUAACAUGUGAAUUUUUCGUAUUACUGUUUUUUCCCUUUCUAUUAAAAACAACCUUUGAUUUCUUUGAUAGUGCUUUUUUCUAUCUGUACUAUUGUUGAACUCCCCCAGUUAUCAGUUUUGGCUCAAAAAAAUUAUUUGAUGAUGACAUGCUGAAUUGAAUAUUGGCUAAAAUUAUAUUGAAAUUUGUAGCCCGAAGCAGAUAUCGUUAAAAGAGCUCUAAGUCACCCUCUGAAAUUAAUUGCCAUAAGUGAUGUUGUAAAUGGAAGCGUUGUCGAUGAGAAGGCAUUUUUUUUCGUUUCACUUUAUAUACUACGCUCACUAUCUGUUUAAUAUGUCUCAUCGUAUAAAUUAAAGUCUCAUUUCUCAGGUGCUUUCAAGUGACAACCCCAACUAUGGAUGCAUGCUGCCACUGGAAACUAUGAAAAUUUAAUAGUUGCUGGGAUCACUGAUGCAACUAAAGUGGGUUUCUUCAUCAAGUACUUCAUGAAUAGAAUAUUUCGGAGAUCCAAUUGCUGGGACAGAUUGAAGAAGGUGAAAAUCACAGGGGUGGAAUACUGGGGAGGGUGGUAGGGUUAUGGGGAGUGGGCUCUGGUUGGUUUCGGUUUGACCGAGGCCAUGGUUCGAUGGAAUCGAGGUGAUGAGGACGAUUCAUGAGGUCACAUCCACAAGAUAUAGGGCUUACACGUGGGGUUUAGGGGUUUCACGGGGAGGGUUACAGAGGGAGGGGGUGCACGCGUGAAUUGCAGAAGGGGAGGGAGAGAGGGAGAAAGAGGGGGAGUAGGGUUGCUAUAUUCAAGUUCUCUUUUUUAUUUUUACUUGAAUUUAAUUUGAUUUGAUUUGAUUUUUUUUUUUUUUUUUUUUUUUUUUUUGCUACAGGUUGAGAAUGCAAAAGCUCAGCUGGAGGUGGAGGUGAGAAUUUUAAUUUAAUUCAUGGUAUAUUGUUGUUUUUUUUUUUUUACUUUAUUUUUGUGGGAUUGUGCUGUUUUUGGGGAAAACAAUAUUAAAUUGAAGUAAAGUUUAGAUAUUUCUGUAAUUGGGAUUUAGAGUAAGAGAUGAAGAACUAAAUGUGAUUUCAAAAUUAAAAGUUUAGAACUUUUUUGGUUUGGAAGCUAAUUUUAAAUUCAGUUAGCUGAUUAAUUAAUGGAGAAAUGUAUAACGAAUGCGUGAUAUGUUUUUCGAUGCGUAUGAGCAGACAUGGGUACUGCUUCAGCGGCAACAGCUGCUACAUGAUGGUAGAUGAGGAAUUCUGAGAUGCUGAGUGCUCUUAGUUUAAGAGAUGAAGACUUGAUAAUGAUCGUUCCAAUUCUGCCUCAAGGUAUACUUGAUAAUGAUGUCGUUUAUGUGCAAUUCACUGUAUGAUGUUCGUGCCUUUAAUGGGCCUAUCGACAUAAUUCAAUGCACCCACCAAUUGGUUUUAUGAUCAUACAUCAUUCGUGAGAAAUGGGAUGGUGAGUUUCUCGAUACAGUUUUAAUUUUUGUGCGAAUAAUGUUUGUAAAAUGUCUGUUUUUAUUUAGUUCAUUGCAGAUUCUUAUUCCUUUAUUUAGUUCACCAUAUUCUUACUCUUUUAUUUAGUUCACCAUUCAUGCUUUUAAAGAUAACAAGUGCAUGGCUCUCUCAGAUGUUAGUUUUGGGUGGCAAUUGAAAGAUACAAGGAUAAACAAAAAUACUUACCAAUUGAAAGGAUAAAUUCAAUUGAAAAUAUUUGGUUCAUCAAUUAUUAUAGUAUGAGCUUUUUGCAUUAAAUGUCCUGUUUUCGGGGAGAGUGAUUCAUGUAAUUGGGUUUUAUUAAUUUUUUCAUGAUUUUAUGCAGUUUUUCGUUUAAAUUUGUGGAUUCUGAAGCACUUUUAUGAGUGUUAAUUUCUGUUUGUAUGUCUAAAAUCUGUUUGGAAUUUGGCUGUUUCUUCAAUUUCAUCACCACCCAUUCUCACAACUUCAUCUAAAGUGUUUUGCAUGUAUAAGAUUCGUGUUCAUGGAGGUCAUUUCAAACGGAUUUCAAGCUGAGCUGCAGAAAUUUGAUUCAAAUUGAUGGAUUUGGGUAAGAAACUAAGAAACCAUAAUCUUUUCUUUCGGUUUUAAGAGCUGAAUUUGAUGGUUAAGUUUAUGUUUUAAGAUUAUCUUCCUUUCUCCUAAAUACUGAGUUUUAUGAGAUUACAUUUGGCAAGUCUGAAAACGGAUUAGAAAUACUGAGUUUUAUGAGAUCUAUUUGGCAAGAUUAUCUUCCUUUCUCCUAAAUACUGAGUUUUAUGAGAUCUAUUUGGCAAGUUUGAAAGUGGAUUGCGUAUGUUUAUAUCUUCCUUUCUUCUAAAUACUGAGUUUUAUGAGAUCACACCAUCUUAUGUUUAUUAUAUAAUCUUAUGCAAUCAGAAGAAUUAUCAUAUUUUUCUUUUUAGAUUUCAACAUAUUUGGAAAUACUUCAAAUUUUUUGUAGUGCAGUUUGUAGUUAACAUGAUUACGUGAGUUCUGUUUCUUUAGUAAAUUUUUAUGCAGGAAAGAAAGUCAUUUCUCAGUUUGUAGUUAACAUGAUUACAUAAGUUCUGCUUAUCUUAUUGGCCUUAUUCACUCAUGUGUUGUUCUGUUCAUUCAUGAUUGUGUUAAAUUUAUUUAGGUUAAAUGUGUCUUAUUCAUGCAGUUACGCAUGAAACAGUUGUUCCCGCCGCAAUGUGCGGGUUUAUUUUCUAGUUCCAAUCUAAACCUAGAGACGAAACGAGGCCAUGUAUUACAAAGACAAAAAUUCUAAAACAGCCUUUGCUCAGAGAAUAAAAAAAGCCAUGCAGUGAGAACAUCUAAGGGAAACGAGUUGAUCCUCAAUAAACACCUCAAUAGAAUGACAUAUCUUUGUUAAAGCAUCUGCCACAAAAUUAGCUUUAUCUAAAACAUGAUAGAAGCUGAUAUGAUCAAGCAUCCCAUGUUUGCCCAAGAGAAACCGAUUUGAGCCGCAUCUGCUCCAAAUAUCUCAGGCAAACAGUCAGCUGACAAAAUGCGGUCAAUGGCUUCAACAUCUUGAGAAUAAAAGGCACAACUAGGAUCAAUUGGUUGUACUUUAUAUAGGGAUAAGAAUUGAGUUACCUCUUUUACAAAUGUUACUUAUUCAUUCCGGCCGUUAUAUGGUACAACACUGAACAGAGAGUACAACUUUUCCGGCCUCUAAGUCCGGAACCCUUCCAAACAUUGGACACUAGAAUACCAAAAUAAUGCAAUAAGAUACAACAGUACAAUACAAUAUAGUUGAAAACAAUCCAUCUAAGAUAGUACAGGCUCAAUCAGAUGAAUCAAAGGAGCCCUAGUGUUCAAGCUUCCAUCUUUGCGGUAAACUUAAGUGGUGGCUUCAAGAAAUGGAUAAUCAGUGUAACCAAUGACGGGAUCAGGUGUGUAGAAUGUCUCUCUGUUGUAUUUGUUUAGAGGAGCAUUAAGUUCAAAUCUCUUUGGCAAAUCCGGAUUCGCCAAGAAAAUACGGCCAUAAGCAAUAAGAUCUGCACGGCCCUCGGCCACAGCUCUGUUUCCAUCUUCCCUGUCAUAACCACCAGCAGCAAUGAAGGUACCAUGGAAAGCCUUUCUCAUGGGAAGAAGACUCUGGUGGGUUUCAGCUAUUUCUCCAACUGCCUUCAUCCUCGGCUCAACCAUCAUGUGGCAGUACACGAUUCCAUAUUUGUUCAAGGCAUUGGCCAUAUAGAGUCCUAAUUCUUUUGGAUUUGAAUCCCCUGCGUCCAUAAAGUCAGCAAAUGGACCUAAUCUAAUUCCAACUUUAUCUGCUCCUAUUUCGUUAACGACAGCUUCAACAACUUCCAGAGGAAGGCGGCAACGAUUCUCUAGAGAUCCACCAUAUUGGUCUGUUCGAUCAUUCACAUGAUCUUUCAGAAAUUGAUCAAGAAGGUAGCCAUGCGCCCCAUGAAUUUCAACUCCAUCGAAGCCUAUAUUAACAGAUUAACAAUUUCAACAUACUGACGGUAUUAGAACCUUAAGCAUUGUCGCUGAAUUACCAAAAAAUUCAAUAACGAGAUGUGAGGGGGCUUGCAGCUUUUUACUCCACCCCACCAGCACCACCCACCACCCACACCCACCCCCCUUCCCCUCUUCCUCCUCCUCCUCCCCCAAGGCCAGAGUUUGAAGAAUCCCCCUCCCAUCUCUAACUACAUUUCGCUGAUCAAACACAAUUUAUUUUGCAUAAGAUUUGAAGCAAAUUGAGUUGUUGUAAAUUAUGUUUCAUAUGUAACGUAAAGACAAAUUACCAGCUUCAAUAGAAUUCCUUGCAGCAAGUCUAAAAUCAUUGACAAUUUGUGGAAUUUCAUCUGUCCUUAAUCGUCUUGGAGGCGUGAAUUCAGAAGCAUCGAUGCCAUUUAAUCGUAUCGGCUUGUCAGUAGAAGAUAUUGGAGCUUGCCCAUUUGGUUGAUAACCUGUAAGCAAGGAGGGAAAGAAUUACAAACUGAAGUCUAACAACAGUAACUAACAUCCACAGCAGCACUCUUUUAAGUGGGAAUCCUUUGUUACAAAUUACUAUAAAAUUUGUUAACAUCAAACUUCUUCCCAUCCAAUAAUAAUAAUAACAAUGCUUCUGAAACAGCAAGGUCAUAAAAGUGGUGUCUUCUUAUGAGUUAUGUUAAAAACACCAACUCGGAACUUAGCAAGUCCAAGUUUUAUCGUCAUUUGAGCAACAAACAAUGUUGUCAAUUAUAAUCACUCGCUCGUUCUGAUGCAUACACCAUUAUGUUAUACAUCAAACUUCUUAAUCGGUCUAAUUAUUCACUCAUGUUAACACAGCAUUCUAUGGUAAAAGUGAGGUCAUAAAGGUGUAAGUCAGAAACGCACCGCUAUUAGAAACCCUUCCAACAUGCCAAAUCUGACAGAAGAAGACGCCACCUUCAGCAUGAACAGCAUCAACAAUGGGUUUCCAGGCUUCAACUUGCUCCUUUGUCCAUAUACCAGGUGUGUUCGGGUACCUUCGUUUAUUAAAGAACCAAAAAUUUCAUCAAACUUUGAAACGAAAGAAGCACCCUCAAAUGUUUGUUAGUCUAUAAAUCUACUGUUGUUGAAAAUACCCUUGAGCUGUGUCGGAAACUCCGGUGGCUUCGGCUAUGAGAAGACCCCCGUUCGACGUUCUCUGAGAGUAAUAUAAGAUAGCAUGUGGUUGAGGAACAUUGUUGUAUGAUCUCUGUCUGGUCAAUGGUGCUAAAAUAAUUCUGGAAAGGAAAAAGAACUUGUAAUUAUAAAUACAGAGUGAUCAAGACGGAAUGUGGCUGAGGAACAUUAUCGAAUGAUCUGUAUCUAGUCAUCAACGGUGAAAAUACAAUUCUAAAGAGGAAAAACAUACAAUAAACCAUAAAUACAACCUUCAGACUUUGUAGGAAGGAUUAGUUUGCUAAGGCUCCUUUGAUAACAAAUUCGCUUAUAGUUUUCUUGUUUUAGUUAAAAAGGAUAAACGACGGAGGAAGAAGGAAUUUGGGACGAAAAUGUGUGAAAUAAAAACUCGAAUUGUAGAUUAUCUGAAUAUGCUUUUUGUCCUUCGUUUUCGGUAUCAUUCCAUGCACGUUUAGUCCCUCAUCCAUCCCUUUCCCUUCCUCCUCCUCCUCCUCCUCUUCUAUCAUGCAUUUUCUCUAUCUAUCACUUAAAAUUAAAAACUAAAAAUCAAAUACGAAAUCGUUACCAAACACAACUUGAACAAAGCAAUGUCUUACGAAGUGACCAUGGCCGAAAGGACACAUACUUUUAACGAUCAGUUGCAUCUAUUUUCAACAAUUAAUCAAUGAAAUAACUCAAGUGUGCUAGUGUUUUGAUUUAAUUUGUAACAUCUGUACUAUUUUAUAGACAAAGAUAGAGUUACAAGGACACUUCUUGUCUCCUUCCCAACAUUUGUACUAUUUUAUAGACAAAGAUAUAGUUACAAAAACUACUUGUCUCCUUCCCCAAAUCAUUCUUCGGGAAGAGAUUGUCAAAGAUCAACACCAGCCCAUUAAGAUCAGUCGGUACAAAGGAACUAGAUUGGUCUAGUUCAAACAUGCAUGGUUUUCUCUAGAAGAUUCUAUAAUGGGAAUAUGCUAGAAAACUCUAGCAAAGAAGGUUGUUCCUUAAGUUGGUGGAAGAUUCUAGAAGAAUGGUGAGGUUUCCACCAACAUGCAAGAUUAGUGUAGAUAAUUCUAGCUUGGGAAGUUAGUAGAAUUAUCUAGAUAACUCUAGCAUGAUAUUUCCAUGCUUCUCCAAGGUUCCAUCCAUGCCUAUAAAAUGAGAAGGCAUCCACACCAUUUGUAUCAACCAAGUAACCAAGUAACCAACCAAGCAAUCAAGAAUGCAACCAAGUGAGAGUGAGAAGCAAGAAUAGUCUUGUAGGAGUGUGAGUGAUCUAGAGUUUGUCUCUAGAAAGUGAGUGAGUGUCAUUGCUUCUAAAGUUGUGUCUUUGAGUGUUUUGAGUGUUGUAAUAUUUUGUGUGUGUAGUACAAGUAAUUUGUUUACUUGUGUUGUCUCUCCAACACUUGUGUUAGACUUGUGUACUCUAAGUUCUUAUCAACAAUUGGUAUCAGAGCGGUACGAUCAGGGACCGUCUCUAGUGAAGUUUUUUUAGAAUCGUUAGAAGUUUACUACUUCACAAGAUUAUUCGUUAAGCUUGUUCGGUUUAUCGAAGUUCUGCCGACACGAUGGGAGAUCUUCAAGUUGUUGAAGGAAUCAAGAAGUUGAACAACAAAAAUUACAACACAUGGGCGACAUGUAUGGAGUCUUACCUACAAGGCCAAGAUCUUUGGGAUGCUGUCGGCGGUAAUGAAGUUAUGCAGCCGGAAGAAGACUCUAGUGGCAUUUUGAGGAAGUGGAAGAUCAAGGCAGGUAAGGCCAUGUUUGCCUUAAAAACCACAGUUGAAGAUGACAUGUUAGAGCACAUACGGAAGGCUAAGACACCAAAAGAAGCGUGGGACACCUUCGCCACACUCUUUUCAAAGAAGAAUGAUACAAGACUGCAACUUCUCGAGAAUGAGCUACUAUCGAUGGCCCAACGAGACAUGACGAUUGCUGAAUAUUUCCACAAGGUAAAGGCUAUUUGUCGUGAAAUUUCUGAGUUAGAUCCUAGUGCUGCCAUUGUACAAUCCAGGAUAAAAAGAAUAAUUAUCGAUGGAUUGAGACCCGAAUAUUGAGGCUUCGUUGCCGCUGUACAAGGAUGGCCGACCCAACCAUCACUUGUUGAGUUCGAGAAUUUGCUUGCCGAUCAAGAAGCUUUGGCAAAGCAAAUGGGAGGGGUCUCGUUAAAAGGUGAAGAGGAAGCGCUCUACACCAAAAGUAAAGGCAGUUUUAAGCAGCGUGCUCGUGGUGGAUCUAAAAUAAAUGGUGACAAGGCGAAAUGUCAUCAAGGAGGAGGGAGUUCUCGACCAGGGGGAGCUCCGAAGUAUCACGGCAACCAUGGUCAGUCCCAGAAUAAUAAAAGGUUUGAGGGCAAGUCUACAAUUGUGGAAAGAAGGGCCACAUGGCAAAGGAUUGCUGGUUCAAAAAACCCGCAGAAAGUAACGUCACCAACUCAGAGAAGAAAAGUGAAGAUGAUUGGGACGCCGUAGCAUAUCUAGCUAUGGAGGAAGAAUGGGACGCUGAAGCAUCUUCUUGGUGGUGCUCAGAAAAUGAGGUGUUCCCUGACUCAAGAGAGAUUGAGGAUACGUUGCAGGAGGAAAUGGGAGACCGAGCUGCCCAAACCCAAACGAGUCUAGAUGAGCUCGAGGAAUUGCUUGAUGGUGACGAUGUCAAGCAAGAAGUACCUAAGAGUCAUUGGCAAACUGAAGAAGUUAGACCUAGUGAAGUGGAAGUAUCAUUUCCACGAUCAUAACUAAGUAGGUCAACGGGAAUAACGAAGUCAAAUCCCAAAUGCGCCAACGCAACCAUAGUAGAAGAAGCAGUUGAAGCUAAGAUGCGUAUAGAAGCAUCACAAAAUUCUAAAUGGCGUAAAGCUAGAAGAAGAGGUCGCUGCGUUAAAGAAAUAUCAAACUCGGGAUCCAGUGGUAAGGCCAAGAGAUGUGAAACCCAUAUCAUGCAAAUAGGUGUUCAAGAUAAAGUGUCGACUGAGCGAGAAGAAAAGAAUGAGCUGGUGUUGAGGGGGAGUGUUAAAGAUCAACACCAGCCUAUUAAGAUCAGUCGGUACAAAGGAACUAGAUUGGUCUAGUUCAAACAUGCAUGGUUUUCUCUAGAAGAUUCUAUAAUGGGAAUAUGCUAGAAAACUCUAGCAAAGAAGGUUGUUCCUUAAGUUGGUGGAAGAUUCUAGAAGAAUUGUGAGGUUUCCACCAACAUGCAAGAUUAGUGUAGAUAAUUCUAGCUUGGGAAGUUAGUAGAAUUAUCUAGAUAACUCUAGCAUGAUAUUUCCAUGCUUCUCCAAGGUUCCAUCCAUGCCUAUAAAAUGAGAAGGCAUCCACACCAUUUGUAUCAACCAAGUAACCAAGUAACCAACCAAGCAAUCAAGAAUGCAACCAAGUGAGAGUGAGAAGCAAGAAUAGUCUUGUAGGAGUGUGAGUGAUCUAGAGUUUGUCUCUAGAAAGUGAGUGAGUGUCAUUGCUUCUAAAGUUGUGUCUUUGAGUGUUUUGAGUGUUGUAAUAUUUUGUGUGUGUAAUACAAGUAAUUUGUUUACUUGUGUUGUCUCUCCAACACUUGUGUUAGAGUUGUGUACUCUAAGUUCUUAUCAACAGAGAUUUGGUCCUUCCCAACAUUUGGACUAUUUUAUAGACAAAGAUACAGUUACAAACACUCCUUGUCCCCUUCCCCAAAUCAUUCUUCAGGAAGAGAUUCGAUCCGAAUCUCUCCAAUUAAGUGAUCUAGGCCGUUGAAAUUCAAUCAAACGACUACAAUUAUUAUAACUUUUAGAGAGGCUUCCUGUUUGUAGUCGUUAAAUCAAAUUUCAACGGUCCGAAUCACUUGAUCUUGGGCCUUUGAUGGGAGAGAUCCGGACCGAAUCUCUUUCCUUUUUUGUAUAGCUAUAUUUCACACGCACACAUGAAUAAACUACACAGUACGCUAAACUUGAAUAUAGACAAGCAGUAAUUUCAUCUUCUAUUUUUCCUGUUAACCAAAAGCUAUCUGCAGACCUAGCUACUCUUUGAAUCCAAGUUCGGAUCUCCUCUCAUAGUUUUUACCAAGGUUCUAAAAGACGCUAGGCGCUAGUCGGGUGGCGGGCUGGGGCCUAGCGCAUAGGCGGACUAGGCGGAUUUAAGUAAAUCUAUUAUAUUUUGUGUAAAUAAGUGUCUGUUUAUACUUAAAAUAUAUAUAAUUUUAUCAUAAACUACAAAAUAGAAUGACAUAUAUAUUAUGAAGUAUUGGACAUAAUGAAAACAUGAGGAACAAGUAUAUAAUGUGUGUUCAUUUAAGUAUUCAACAAGUCUUUACAAUUUAUUGAAAAAAUAAAUAAAAUACAAAAUGCAAGUUAUCUAAUUUUUGUCUAAGUGAGUUGCAACCUAGUCGGUGCUUAGGUGGGUCUGGACAGGCUACGCGGGUGCCUUAGCAGAUCUAGGCGACAUUUUUUAAUUUUCAAACGCCUAAGCAUUAAUUGGGGGCAGUGGUCAGCGGGGCUUGGCGGAAAUUUUUAGAACAAUGAUUUUUACAACAUCAUAUUAAAAUAACGCCCGAAUCAAAAUAAAUUAAACAAUUACAUGACAGAGAAAUUUAGAAAAGUAAACAAAUAGGAACAAUGUAUGAAAGUUUUAAGUACCUAUGAGAAAGAUUGAAGUUUCCCAAUUUGUAGGGAGUGAGGAGAGGAAUUGUGGGAGGUUGAGCAGCAGCAGACAUCUCAGAAUUCGAGUUGGUCGUCUGCCACCUGAUUUUGUACUUGGCCUUUUAUACUGGAUUCUGGGAUGAAGGAAGGAACGAAGGAACGAAGGAAUGAAUACAGGACCCGAUUGGGUCUUUGUACGUUCAGUAGACGCUUAAAAGUCCGCCCUGCAGCUUUCCUCCACAAAAGUUAGAGAUGGCUGGGUCCCACAUCUCCCCUCCCUUGUAUGGAAUGGAAGGCUGAAAGCUGUGGUGGUGGUGGCGGCGGCGGCGGACGUCGAUGGCUGGGUCUGUAAUUACGUUUACGUGUGUCGAAAAUUCACCAGUUUUCCCCAUGAAAAAGGACGUCCACGGAAUGCGGGUGUAAUGCUAGCCGCAUGUUCAUUUCGAUUUAGCUUUUUCAUGCUGCAUUAUUAGGCCAUGGUUUGAAUAGUAUAUUGUUUAGGUCCUUAAGGCCCUCUCAAACUAGAAGGGUUAAAAACAUAAUCCCAUCUAGAAUUAUAACUUUUAAAAAAAAAAUAGUUUUAAAUUAACAAUAUCAAAUUAUAUUCAUAUAUUAUCUUCAAUCAAAUGAGCUAAACAUAACCCAUCAAUUUUCGAUGGAUAGCAAGGUUAUAAUUCCAUGGAGCUCAUCAAGUCAUCAUUUGGCUAAAUGAGCAUUAGGCUGGCCAAAUGUAGCCACCCUCUUAGCCCUUUUUUGGGGCUCAGCUCCUGCAUUAUUUGAGUCAAAUUCAACAGCUAUGUUUGAAAACAUCCAAUGAAAAUUUAAUUAAAUUAACCAAUAAAUUUAAUAUAUAAACUUAAAACUAAAUAAUUGUUGAGAGGGUUAUGUUUAGCCACUUUAAUGACGACAUAUAUGUAUACCUGAUACUGUUCAGUCAUUUUGGUUAGAGAUGCCCUAAGGUCAUAAUUUUGAGGAUGUGUGAGACUAAAUGCAUAUUAGUUUAGAUUGCUUGAAAUAUUUGACAACUUAAUAAAGAAAAACCAACUUAAAAUUCAUGAACCAUCACAAAACUCUUUUUUUUUUUUAUCAAGUUGUCAAAUAUUUAAGAUUUUGGAUACAAACUAAAAUAAUCUUAUGGUUAAUAUGCAUCUGAUGCCCACAAAUCUUCAAAAUGAGGGCCAUAAUUAAUCAAUGAAUUUGUGACAAAUUAAAUAGUCUAGAAAUAAAAGGCUCCAAUCAAGUAGCAUUGCACAAUUAAAAAGGAAAAUGACAAGGUUGCUAGCUUUUUGCAAAAAAUAUGUUAUGUAGGUUCUCUAAUGAGUGCUUUUAACACAAUGGACAUACCCACUAUCGUGUAAAACUUUUCUCGAGAAAUAAAGUUAAGAUUUAUUUAGAUCUGUUACAUAGAAGUUUCUCUUUUGGAUCACUGUUUUUCUAUAAUCGUAAUUUUUUAGGCAUAUAGAUUCAUUGUAAGGAUGAAUUACGUUUUUUUUUUAGUUUGACAGGUUUCAAUUUUGAUCCAUGUCAUUUUCAAUUGGUCAAAUUUAAACUUUGUCAUACAUAACAUAAUUUUAUACCGACACCCCUUUUUGACCAAAAUAGGUUGCGUGGAAUAUUCUAACAAAAAAAAAUCACGUUUGUAAGUAGUGUAUUCUUCUAGUGGUUCAAACCAUUUUCCUUUCCUUAUUGUAAUUUUUAAAGUAAGAAUAACGUUGUAUUCAACAAACAAUAAAGUCCUUGUGCACAUCAAGUAGAAUCAUGAAAGAAAAAAAGGAAGAGAAAAAUUUGCCUACAACGGACACUACUACAAUAACAUUUUUACCAGGGGUUAAUUGGAGCCCAAUAUAACAUUCUAGCAUUAACAAGAGAUGAUCAGGAAUAGAGAUUUAUAUCAUCCUUGAAUCUCAAACGUAGAAUUAUCAUAACUUACAACUUUUAUUGUAUGGAUAAUACUUGCAUUCAUUUCUUAAAAGGAUGAACUUAUUUCCUCCAUGUAAGUAAUGUACAUUUAUCGUCCAAAGUUCAUAAUCAAAACCGUUCAAAUUAUUAAUCUGCAUACCCUUACAAAAGAAUUGGAGAUCAUUUAGUUAUUCAAAUGUAUAGAACAAAUCAAAGAUGUAGGUAUCAAUGACACACCCCGACCCGGAAGGUCCAUAAGGACUCUGAAUCGAGUUAUGCUGACCGACACCUGGAAGGUGAUAAAGCUAUAAAGUGUGAUGAUGUGGAAAAAUAUGAAUAAAUUUGAACUUAAGAGUGCCUAAAUACCAAAGUGCGCUGGUGAGCGGGAAUGAAUCCACUUCACACGUGACCUUAGAGCAUAAGUAAGUAUAGUAGAGUGGAUAAGGAUUAUAACCUCAGAAGUAGCCACCUAUAUUGAGAUUUGCCCAGAAUCCUCGUCGAUACGAACAUUCAGCAAUUAAAACCUGGAGGGGCGCAAAAUAGAAAGUGUGAGUGGGCAAAAACAAAGCUUUACAAAACCAUUUCACUUAUCAAAAGUAAUAAUCUCUCGCCGUAAAGCCUGAAUAAUUUCCCAGAAAAUAGAAUAUUCUAUAUCGAAACCAUACUCGGAAUAGCAAAAUCCACACGUAUGCCAUGCCUAAAAUCUCAACAUAAUGAAAUAAGUAAACCAGGUGAAAUAAAUCCAUGAAAAGUAAUAUGUCAGCCGGAUCCACCUAUUGUGGCAUGUACGACUGAACCUAUAGCUCAACCAAUAUCCAAGUAACAUGUCAACAUGAUCCACCUCUUGUGGCCUAUACGGCUGAACCCAGAGCUCAUCACACAUCCAAGUAAUAUGUCAACCGGAUCCACCUCUUGUGGCCGAAUCCACCUCUUGUGGCCUGUACGACUGAACCUAUAACUCAACCAAUAUCCAAGUAAUAUGUCAACCGGAUCCACCUCUUGUGGCCUGUACGGCUGAACCCAUAGCUCAUCACAUAUCCAAGUACUAUGUCAGCCAGAUCCACUUCUAGUGGCAUGUACGGCUAUGUCAGUCGGAUCAACCUCUUAUGGCAUGUACAACUGAACCCAUAGCUCAUCACAUAUCCAAGUAAUAUGUCAGUCGGAUCCACCUCUUGUGGCUUGUACGGCUGAACCCAUAGCUCAUCACAUAUCCAAGUAAUAUGUCAGUCGGAUCCACCUCUUGUGGCCUGUACGAUAGGACUGGGUGUAAAUAAAUACGCUCAAGUGCUACGAUCACGUGAAGACUGUGCGAAUAAUCGCAGGUCAACUACAAGUCGGAACCACCUAUAGUGGUCUGUAUGACAGGAUUGUGUAACUACCUUGGAUCCAAAGUGAGCGUAAGGUGCGGGAGGUGAACAUCACGCAAAGGACUGUGCCUUAGCCACGGUCGGGAGCACUAACACCGGGGUGCAGGUUUAUUAGCUCUAAUUGCAUCUAUUAUAACAUGUACGACUCAUGGACAACAUGUACAACAGUGUUGGAGUUGCCUAUCAUUGCAACUUGUACGAUAAGGUCGGAGUUGCCUAAAACAUACAUGUAGUCAUGCCAUAACUUCAUCAUUUCAACUAAUACCAUAAACUCACCUGAACUUACCUAGGUCUUCUGCGUUCACCUUUGCACUUCAAAGCGUUCACAAUAAUUAUGUGCAAGUAAUAUACAUAUGGAUAUACCAUGAUAUAAUCUAAUACUCAACCAUGUCAUAGCAUUUUCAAUUAUAUACAUAUAUAUAAUAUGGCAUAAAAUGCAUAAGCUGUAACACCCUACUCACAAACUAUUUAUUUUCGGGAAUAAUUAUCGGUGAUAAGCCCAAUUAGACACUAGUUUAAUUAACUAUCAUUACUUACGUUUCCUUACUUCAAUUUCUUGAUUCUUCACACAUUGAUUUAUGAACAACAUUUAACCACCAAAUCAUAAGGUUAAAUCUAAAAUUUUCCACCAAUCUCCUUCACAUUGCUCAAUUCCCCAAAUAAGGCUAUUGUCACAAUUAUUUAGUCUCAUUUAUUGUAUGGUUGCAUCUAACGUCUCGUUAGAUUGCCUAUGUAUCCUAAAUAGGGAUCAAGCCAUUUGUAGUUCACACUAGUACUUCAAAGCAUUCACAGUAAUUAUAUGUAGGUAAUAUGCAUCAAUCAAUUUAAAAACGUUUAUGAUAAUUUACUGAAAAAAGACAUCCCUACGUAAUUCACUCCGGAAGAUCUGCAUCACGGAUUUCUGAUCCGUUACUUCCAAAUAUUCACAUUAUGUUCCUAGAACCACGUCCUAAUAUUUCAUUAUGAUCCAACGGUCGGAUCUCCGCCAAUUGCCAAAACCAAGUGGCGGUCAACAUUUUAUUUUAUGAACUUACAAAUCCAAUUCGGGAAGAUCUGUACUUCGGAUUCCCAAUCCGUAAGUUUCUAUGGUCCUCAUAUAUUACGUACUAUAAUGUGUUAAAGUUUGGUGACGAUCAAACAGUUGGAUCGUCGAUUCACACUUUUACCAAGUAACCUGACAUAGAGAAUUUAGGUUCCAACCAUCAACCUAAGUCAUACAGUUACCAAGAAUAAACUCAAGGUAUCUAAUUUAUCCUAAGAAUGACAUCGACGGCCCCCUGGCCACACGCCGCCGUGGGUGGCGGUCGGUCGCCCCAACUCGCUGGAAAAUCCAACUAUUUCUAAAAAUUACCAAAUUUUACAUAAAUGAAUAUUUCAAUGAGUAGAAUAAGUUUUAUACCUAUGACUAAGUCCAAUUUAACCGGGAAAGGCUCCAAUUUCACUCAAACCGCCGAAAACCCUAAGAUAGGUAUUCUUCGAUUCGACUUCCUCCAUGUUCCAACACCCCUACAACUUCUUGGGUCUUGUUCCUGGGUCCAAGAGGAGUUGAUUAAGGGUGGUGGUGGGUGGCGAAACUCGUCAGAUCGAAGGAAUCACCGCCGAACACCUCCGGUUCUCCGGUGAUGUUCUUUGCGUUUUUUGGCCUAAAACUCUUCAAUCUUGAGCGAAGAUGGAAGAAGAAAGUUUGGGGAAGAUGUUGCAGGUGGUGAAUAUGGUGUUCCACGAAACAAAAUGGCAGAAAUUGGCUGGAUUUUGACCGGUUUGGUUGUGCGGGUGCACUGCCCGACGGGAAGAUUUCUUCUUUUUUUUUUUUCCUUCUCCCUUCCUGAUUGGUUCUCAUUUUCCUCUCUUAAAAUUGAUUGGUUACCACUCCCACACGGUGGGAGUUUGAAUUAAUUUAUAACUAAACUUUAAAUAACCAAUUUCAAAUGUCUAUAACUAUACCGAUAUAAUCCGAACUCGCAAACGGCUUUCGCCUAUGCAUUCGUACCAACGAGUACUACACAAAUGCGCUAAGUGAAUAAGUCAUACGUUUCUCUACACGUUGGUCAAUGAAAGUCAAAACCUUCACCUCUAGGGUAUUUUCGUAAAUUCAUUAUUUUAAAACUUAUAAAAUCGUAGAACUAGGGACGAGUUGUCACAAUAUACCCACCUUAAAAAAAUUUCGUCCCCGAAAUUUGAAAUCAUUAGCUAAAGAUAAUGUACUUCAGAAGAUAGGAAAAAGUAUAUAUAUAUAUACACACACACAUAUAUACACACAUAUAUGGACGGAGGAAAUCAAGAUAGAGCGGUUGCAUAACAGAGAAUGUCAUUCUGUCGCGAUUAGAGUGCAGUAAUUCCUCUUUCGUGCCUCCAAACUUAAACUUCCUUCUCCUUUAGUACAGUACUAAAAUAUACAGUCCUUUAUAAAACAUAAGGUAGAAAACUAGAUGAAUAACAACGUAAUGUCGAAGCACGUAUAUAAUAAAGUGAAGUUAAAAUAGUUGUACUGAAAACCACACCAAAAGUAGAAAACUUCACCUACACACCCACAUGGGUCACGUGCCUCAAAGAUGAGUGUGUGCUAUCUUUGGGUCAAGCCCAAACAAUAAUUAAAUAACUAAACGUAGACGGACCUAGAUGUCUACUUGUUCAACAAAUUCAACACUUAAGUUUUCAAUAUUACGGUCAGUAGCUCGUAAUACCAACAAUUCACUAUUGUCCUGAUAAGUAAGUAACAGAUUCCUGAGGGUGCAAUAUUACCAUCAUGCCCCCCAAUGGGAAAAUACGCAUAAAUCAUCUGAUCCAAGUCUUGAUCGUGUUCACAUACUACCCUUACGGGUAACAUCAACAAAUAUCAUAAUUUUCUAUAUCAUAUUCUCGAUCAUUCAACUAUGGAUAAAAUUUUCGGUCAUGUGCCAUAGAUAAAAUUUUCAUAGUACGCUUUAACAAUGCCAUACUCGAAACCAAAAAUUGUAACCGUAGUUACAACCAACUAAAAAAAAAACUAUUUAUUACAACAUACAUACCACAUAACUCAACAAUGCAAUUCAUAACACCAUAAUGAGCAGAUUCCUAUUGAAUUUCUUUCGAAUUUAGCGAAAAUUAUGUCAAGAAGGCUAACAUAAUACUCGAGAAUUUGAGGGUCAAAUAAGUCCAUCAAAUUUUAAAUACAAGGUAAUUGAAAUUAAUGUAUAACAUCUCGUUACAACGGUAACUUCUGGAACAUUUAAUCACCAAUGGUUAAGAUUCAUUUAGUAGAGUGUUUGUUGGGUGAUUGAGAAUUUAAUGUUCACGACUAAAUGUCAAUGUCCUAUCAAUCCUCUAGACAAUUUGCUUAAUUCAAAAAUAAUACCAAGUGGUCAAAAUUGUAGUCCCUCUGGACCAAUGAAAAAAAAAAGUUGACUUGUCAAGUCGAUUUGACUUGUCAAGUCGAUCUAUAAACAUCGAAACAUCAUCAUCAUCAUCACUACAUGUACAAGAUACCUCGUUCCAAAGGUGUAUGAUGAUAUUUCUCAACUCCCUUCAUAUACAAGAAGUGAUUAUGACCAUUCAAACCCUUUCUUGAUAUUUCGCAAGUAACAUCAAAACAAUACAUGUGAAUUCCAACUGAGGCAGAAUAGGACAGGCCGAAAGUGUUCAAGUAUACAUAAAUCUUUUGCUGCAUUUAAUAGUAAUACAUUUGCAUAAUCGUGAUAAUCAUAAAAUUUGAUUUAGUUCUUCCACUACCGUUGUUUGAAUUUAACUUAUUUCAAAUGAGAAUAUAUUUGAGAAGUCCAAGAUUGAUAAAGGUCUCUAACACAUUUCUCCACCAGGAAGUAUCAUUCAGUUUUUCAAAUAAAGAUAAUAACACCUUACUCUAGUCAUGAAUAAGAUGGUUCAUUUCGAACGAUUUUAACCGUUGGAAAGUCUAAGCGAUUCAUUGUCAUGUUACCUCCCCCACAAUUAAAAUACCUAAAGAACACGUCAUUAUGGAUUUCCAAAUGAUCAAUGUCAUCAAAAGAUGUAAAGAAAAGGUAUGGUGAGACAACAGUUCUUUGUUAGAAACUUUAUUAAUAUUCAACAUCUCAACUAAAUUGACCUUCCUCGGUUGGUAUGUGAAGAAAAACACCACAGCUGAGAAAUUGCUAACAAUUUGUCGAUAAAAUCGACAAGACGAAAGAUAUCUUGAAAUUCACAAUACCUUAUGAGAAUUCCAACUUUCUUCCGCAACUACCCUUGGAGAAAAGAAAAGAAUAUCAUUGAGAAUCACAUCUCCUAAGAGAAGUACCAAUUUACACAAAGGUAAUAUUUGAGGAAUAUUAUGUGAAGCUAACUGUUGAUAAUUGGAGAAUUUAAUCUCGUUAAUAGAAUAUGUAAGAUAGUCAUCUACAAGACUAUUAUGAAUUUAUCAAACUACACAAGGAAACUUGAGUUACAAAGAUUGGUUGAUAAGAAAUAAGGAGAAUAAAUGUGAUGUUAACAAGGUGGAUCAAUGGUGUAUUCUACUUCUCGCAUUUGGUAGAAUUCCAAAUAAAAAUUUGAGAAUUGAUGCCAAAGGUAAACCUCCUCCAAAUGUACUAGGAACUGAUUCCAUAAUUCUAGGGAAAAAAAACCUUACCACUUCGGGAAUUUCUACUGACCUUAGAUAUAACGAUUCUUACUCAUGUGCCAAUGCUCAUCAAAAUGACGAGUAUAGCACCAAAAGUAAUGUGGAAUUUAACAUUGGUUGGAGUGUUCUAAAGUCAAAAAAAUAAAAUUUUCUAGUAAUCUACUUUAGAACGGACUUAAACAAAAGUCGAUCUUCCCCCUGAAGAUCCAGAAUGAUCACUUGCGUGUUUGGAAAAAAUUGUGCUAUCAUAGACCAAAGUGAUUAUCCCAAAAUUGUGCUAACCACAACAACAACAACAACAACAAAGCCUUUUCCCACUAAGUGGGGUCGGCUAUAUGAAUCCUAGAACGCCAUUGCGCUCGGUUUUGUGUCAUGUCCUCCGUUAGAUCCAAGUACUCUAAGUCUUUUCUUAGAGUCUCUUCCAAAGUUUUCCUAGGUCUUCCUCUACCCCUUCGGCCCUGAACCUCUGUCCCGUAGUCACAUCUUCGAACCGGAGCGUCAGUAGGCCUUCUUUGCACAUGUCCAAAUCACCGGAACCGAUUUUCUCUCAUCUUUCCUUCAAUUUCGGCUACUCCUACUUUACCUCGGAUAUCCUCAUUCCCAAUCUUAUCCUUUCUCGUGUGCCCACACAUCCCACGAAGCAUCCUCCUCUCCGCUACACCCAUUUUGUGUACGUGUUGAUGCUUCACCGCCCAACAUUCUGUGCCAUACAACAUCGCUGGCCUUAUUGCUGUCCUAUAAAAUUUUCCCUUGAGCUUCAGUGGCCUACGACGGUCACACAACACGCCGGAUGCACUCUUACACUUCAUCCAUCCAGCUCGUAUUCUAUGGUUGAGAUCUCCUUCUAAUUCUCCGUUCUCUUGCAAGAUAGAUCCUAGGUAGCGAAAACGGUCGCUUUUUAUGAUCUUCGCUAGAUUGCUCCAGUCAUUAGUGUGGAUAAGUAUAUAAAUGGAUAGAGAUAGGAAAGCAAACACAAGAUGUACGUGGUUCACCCAUAUUGGCUACGUCCACGGAAUAGAGGAGUUCUCAUUAAUUGUGAAGGGUUUACACAAGUACAUAGGUUCAAGCUCUCCUUUAGUAAGUACAAGUGAAUGAUUUAGCACAAAUGACAUUAGGAAAUAUUGUGGGAGAAUGAUCUCGUAAUCACGAAACUUCUAAGUAUCGGAGUGUGGUAUCGUCUUGACUUGCCUUAUCUGUCUCAUAGGUAGAUGUGGCAUCUUCUCUGGAAGUACUCUUCCUCCAUCCAGGGGGUGGUAUCUUUAACUGGUGGAGAUGCACAAGGUAAUGUAUCAAUUUCACUUGAAGCUUACUUGUAGUUUCAGGCUUGGUCAAGCGCGAUACAAACCAUGUAGUAGGAGUCCCCCAAGUCGUCGAGCUAGGGGAUCUGCUGAAAGAGGUGACAGACAAGGUAAGCAAUCAGAGCUCCGGCUGAUUGUUCACCUCUCCCCCAUCUUGCAGCAGCAUGAAGGAUAAAGAGAAGAAAAAUGAGAAGAGAUGAUAUGGGAUACUUUUGCUUUUGAAGAAGUAACUUUCCACAGGCUUAUUCUUGAACUGAGCUGGAGGGUUUUCUGGUUUCCUCCAGAGUAUAAGACCUGCUGAUAUGGGAUACUUUUGCUUUUGACAGAGUAAUGGAUGUAUCGGCACGUGUGCUGUUACGCUUGUCUCCACAUGCUUCCUUGUAUCCUUCGCACUUGCCCUAUCUGUUCCUCAAGCAAAUGCGGUAUCUUCCCUGGAAGCAUAAGAUGUUGAAGAUGAGUACUCGAGAGCAAUGCCAGGUAAGUAAUCAGGUAAGGGGUUCCAGGCAGUCAGUUCCUGGUUGGAAGCUUGAUUCCAAGUGCUGACUGAUUGCUCUCUUUCUCCUUGUCUUGCAGGUAAGAACAAGGCCAAAUGAAAAGACAGGGAAAAAGCAUGAUAUGGGAUACUCUUGCUUUUAACCCUGAUGAUAUGAGAUAUUCUUGCUCUAGUAUAGCUUGUUUGCAGAGGUAUUAUCGGGGGGAAAGAAAGCUGAAUAUUUCGAAAGGCUUCGUUGGGAGUGCCCUCUCAGAUAUGAGGAAGGGUUGAGCAUUUUUGCAGGUCUGCCUGUCCGUUGGGGAUGAAGGUCAACAUAUAUAGGAGUCUCCCUAACAACAAGUAGUAAUGCUAUUCCUUUACCCUGCUUGGUCAUAGCACGGUAGUGGGAGCUACCAGCUUCACAUGUUUUAACUCUGUCAGAGCACUUUGAAAAAGUGGUCUGUGGUAUCUGGCUCUCGAGAUUCGGAGAACGAUGCCUCUUCGAUUUUUGAGAAAGCAAUCAUGCUGGGGGUCUGGCUCUCGAGAUUCGGAGAGCAGUGUCUCUUCGAUUUUUGAGAGAGUAAUCAUGUUGGGAGUCUGGCUCUCGAGAUUCGGAAGGCGGUGCCUCUUCGAUUUUGGAGCAAGCAAUCUUGUUGGGAGUGUUUUUUCGAAUGUGAGUAAAGGUUGGGCAUGUUUGCUAGUCUACCUUGCCACGAAGCACAGAGGUUGACACACAGGGACUUUCCAAUUAUCCAGCAAUGGUACUGUUCCUUUACCCUCUCUUCGAUUUUGAGAAACUAGUCAUGUUGGAAGUCUGGCUCUCGAGAUUUGGAGGACGGUGCCUCUUCGAUUUUGGAGCAAGCAAUCUUGUUGGGAGUGUUUUCUCGAAUGUGAGUAAAGGUUGGGCAUGUUUGCUAGUCUACCUUGCCACGAAGCACAUAGGUUGACACACAGGGACUUUCCAAUUAUCCAACAGUGGUACUGUUCCUUUACCCUUGUGGGUAAUAAUAUGGUAGCUAGACCUUCAAAAUUUAUGUGUCUAAACUUUGUUAGUGCUGUUUCUUUACUAUUCUUUUACCUUUCUUGGUCAGAGCGAUGUAGUGGGAGCUGCAGCUUCACGUGCUCAACUUUGGCAGAGAACUUUGGCAAAGUUAUCUGUGGUACCCAUGAGCUAUUGUUGCGUGUGGGAAGUGGGUGAUUGAACAGUAAGAUUUAUGUGCUUUCUACUUCACCAGAAGUCUUCGACAGAAUGCCCAUAAUUUCCGCAAAGCUGAGUGUGCAUGUGACAGGUGCUGACAAGGCUAGAAAAGUAAGGGCCUCUUCGAUUUCUGAGAUCGGCCCUCGUGGUCUCUGAGCAGCCCAGCUUUUGAGAAAGCGAGCGUCUCUUCGAUUGAUUCGGAGAACGAUGCCUCUUCGAUUUUUGAGAAAGCAAUCAUGCUGGGGGUCUGGCUCUCGAGAUUCGGGGAGCGGUGUCUCUUUGAUUUUUGAGAAAGUAAUCAUGUUGGGAGUCUGGCUCUCGAGAUUCGGAGGGCGGUGCCUUUUCGAUUUUAGAGCAAGCAAUCUUGUUGGGAGUGUUUUCUCGAAUGUGAGUAAAGGUUGGGCAUGUUUGCUAGUCUACCUUGCCACGAAGCACAGAGGUUGACACACAGGGACUUUCCAAUUAUCCAGCAAUGGUACUAUUCCUUUACCCUCUCUUUGAUUUUUGAGAAAGUAGUCAUGUUGGGAGUCUGGCUCUCGAGAUUCGGAGGACGGUGCCUCUUCGAUUUUGGAGCAAGCAAUCUGAUUGGGAGUGUUUUCUCGAAUGUGAGUAAAGGUUGGGCAUGUUUGCUAGUCUACCUUGCCACGAAGCACAGAGAUUGACACACAGGGACUUUCCAAUUAUCCAGCAGUGGUACUGUUCCUUUACCCUUGUGGGUAAUAAUAUGGUAGCUAGACCUUCAAAAUUUAUGGGUCUAAACUUUGUUAGUGCUGUUUCUUUGCUAUUCUUUUACCCUUCUUGGUCAGAGCGAUGUAGUGGGAGCUGCAAGCUUCACGUGCUCAACAUUGGUAGAGAACUUUGGCAAAGUUAUCUGUGGUAACAAUGAGCUAUUGUUGCGUGUGGGAAGUGGGUGAUUGAACAGUAAGAUUCAUGUGUUUUCUACUUCCCCAGAAGUCUUCGACAGAAUGCCCAUAAUUUCCGCAAAGCUGAGUGUGCGUGUGACAGGUGCUGACAAGGCUGGAAAAGUAGGUGCCUCUUCGAUUUCUGAGAUCGGCCCUCAUGUUCUCUGAGGAGCCCAGCUUUUGAGAAAGCGAGCGCCUCUCUAAGCAGCCCAGCUUUUAAGAAAGCAAACGCCUCUUCGAUUUCUGAGCAGGCGCCUCUUCGAUUUCUGAAGCUUCGUCGAGUGCAGAUUUUUAUAGGGGCUGGCAUUAAGUUCCAAAGCACACUUGAAUCUCCACCAGUAGAAGCUUCAUUCUUGCACUUCUAAGAUCUUGAUUUGUCCGACCUCUUCUCUCUUCAACACCUUUGAAAAUGUCUGGCCCCUCCGACCGUCGUUUUGACUUGAACCUUGUUGAAGAGGCAGCCCCGCCUUCUCCAGACAACAUAUGGCGCCCAUCUUUCGUCUCCCCUACUGGUCCUCUUACCGUUGGGGAUUCCGUAAUGAAGAAUGAUAUGACCGCUGCGGUGGUGGCCAGGAACCUUCUCACUCCCAAAGAUAACAGACUACUUUCCAAACGGUCUGAUGAGUUAGCUGUUAAGGAUUCGCUGGCUCUCAGUGUUCAGUGUGCAGGUUCUGUGUCUAAUAUGGCCCAACGCCUAUUUGCUCGAACCCGCCAAGUUGAAUCAUUGGCGGCUGAAGUGAUGAGUCUGAAACAGGAGAUUAGAGGGCUCAAGCAUGAGAAUAAACAGUUGCACCGGCUCGCACAUGACUAUGCUACAAACAUGAAGAGGAAGCUUGACCAGAUGAAGGAAACUGAUGGUCAGGUUUUACUUGAUCAUCAGAGAUUUGUGGGUUUGUUCCAAAGGCAUUUAUUGCCUUCGUCUUCUAGGGCUGUACCGCGUAAUAAAGCUCCAAAUGAUCAACCUCUGAUGCCUCAUCCUUCUAGGGUUCUGUCCAGUACUGGGGCUCCGAAUGAUCCCCCUCCGGUGCCUUCUCUUUCUGGGGCUCUACCGACUGCUGAGACUUCUCCUAAGCAACCUUUGUGAAGGCUCCUUCUAGUUUGUUUAUUUUGACUCAUGUAUAUGUACAUAUUUGUAGCUUAUCGGGGAUAUCAAUAAAUAAGCUUUCCUGCAUUUCAACAUAUUGUGUUAAAUACACCAAAGCCUUCUUCGCUAAGUUCUUUGAAUUUUCUUUUGUUGAAGCUUGUAUGUUGAAGCUUUCUGAGUGGAGCAUGUAGGUUGGGGCAAUGUUCCCUUAAUUUCCCGAGUGAGGAAAACUUCUCGGUUGGAGACUUGGAAAAUCCAAGUCACUGAGUGGGAUCGGCUAUAUGAAUCUUAGAACGCCAUUGUGCUCGGUCCUGUGUCAUGUCCUUUGUUAGAUCCAAGUACUCUAAGUCUUUUCUUAGAGUCUCUUCCAAAGUUUUCCUAGGUCUUCCUCUACCCCUUCGGCCCUGAACCUCUGUCCCAUAGUCGCAUCUUCUAAUCGGAGCGUCAGUAGGCCUUCUUUGCACAUGUCCAAACCACCGUAACCGAUUUUCUCUCAUCUUUUCGUCAAUUUCGGCUACUCCUACUUUACCCCGGAUAUCCUCAUUCCUAAUCUUAUCCUUUCUCGUGUGCCCACACAUCCAACGAAGCAUCCUCAUCUCCGCUACACCCAUUUUGUGUACGUGUUGAUGCUUCACCGCCCAACAUUCUGUGCCAUACAGCAUCGCCGGCCUUAUUGUCGUCCUAUAAAAUUUUCCCUUGAGCUUCAGUGGCAUACGGCGAUCACACAACACGCCGGAUGCACUCUUCCACUUCAUCCAUCCAGCUUGUAUUCUAUGGUUGAGAUCUCCAUCUAAUUCUCCGUUCUUUUGCAAGAUAGAUCAUAGGUAACGAAAACGAUCGCUCUUUGGUAGUUCUUGAUCUCCGAUCCUCACCCCUAACUCGUUUUGGCCUCCAUUUGCACUGAACUUGCACUCCAUAUAUUCUGUCUUUGAUCGGCUUAGGCGAAGACCUUUAGAUUCCAACACUUCUCUCCAAAGGUUAAGCUUUGCAUUUACCCCUUCCUGAGUUUCAUCUAUCAACACUAUAUCGUCUGCGAAAAGCAUACACCAAGGAAUAUCAUCUUGAAUAUGUCAUGUUAACUCAUCCAUUACCAACGCAAAAAGGUAAGGACUUAAGGAUGAGCCUUGAUGUAAUCCUACAGUUAUGGGAAAGCUUUCGGUUUGUCCUUCAUGAGUUCUUACGGCAGUCUUUGCUCCUUCAUACAUAUCCUUUAUAGCUUGGAUAUAUGCUACUCGUACUCCUUUCUUCUCUAAAAUCCUCCAAAGAAUGUCUCUUGGGAUCCUAUCAUACGUUUUUUCCAAAUCUAUAAAGACCAUGUGUAAAUCCUUUUUCCCAUCUUUAUAUCUUUCCAUCAAUCUUCGUAAGAGAUAGAUUGCCUCCAUGGUUGAGCGUCCUGGCAUGAACCCGAAUUGGUUGUCCGAAACCCGUGUCUCUUGCCUCAAUCUAUGCUCAAUGACUCUCUCCCAGAGCUUCAUUGUAUGACUCAUUAGCUUAAUACCCCUAUAGUUCAUGCAAUUUUGUACGUCGCCCUUAUUCUUGUAGAUAGGCACACCAAAGUGCUCGUUCGCCACUCAUUUGGCAUCUUCUUCGUUUUCAAAAUCCUAUUGAAAAGGUCAGUGAGCCAUGUUAUACCUGUCUCUCUCCCAAAACUUUCCACACUUCGAUUGGUAUAUCGUCUGGGCCUAUUGCUUUUCUAUGCUUCAUCUUCUUCAAAGCUACAACCACUUCUUCCUUCCGGAUUCGACGAUAAAAAGAGUAGUUUCUACACUCUUCUGAGUUACUCAACUCCCCUAAAGAAGCACUCCUUUCAUGUCCUUCAUUGAAAAGAUUAUGAAAAUAACCUCUCCAUCUGUCUUUAACUGCGUUCUCUGUAGCAAGAACCUUUCCAUCCUCAUCCUUGAUGCACCUCACUUGGUUUAGGUCUCUUGUCUUCUUUUCCCUUGCUCUAGCUAGUUUAUAGAUAUCCAACUCUCCUUCUUUGGUAUCUAGUCGUUUAUACAUAUCGUCGUAAGCCGCUAACUUAGCUUCUCUGACAGCUUUCUUCGCCUCUUGCUUCGCUUUUCUAUAUCUUUCACCAUUUUCAUCGGUCAUCUCCUUGUAUAGGCUUUACAACAUUCCUUCUUAGCCUUCACCUUUGUUUGUACCUCCUCAUUCCACCACCAAGAUUCCUUUUGGUGUGGGGCAAAGCCCUUGGACUCUCCCUAAUACCUCUUUUGCUACUUUUCGGAUACAACUAGCCAUGGAAUCCCACAUUUGGCUAGCUUCCCCCUCUCUAUCCCACACACAUUGGGUGAUUACCUUCUCUUUGAAAAUGGCUUGUUUUUCUUCUUUUAGAUUCCACCAUCUAGUCCUUGGGCACUUCCAAGUCUUGUUCUUUUGUCUCACUCUUUUGAUAUGUACAUCCAUCACCAACAAGCGAUGUUGAUUAGCCACGCUCUCUCCUGGUAUAAAGUUUGCAAUCCUUACAAGUUAUACGAUCCCCUUUCCUCAUUAGAAGAAAAUCUAUUUGUGUUUUUGACGACCCACUCUUGUAGGUGAUCACAUGUUCUUCUCUCUUCUUAAAGAAGGUGUUAGCUAAGAAAGAGAUCAUAUGCCAUUGCAAAAAUCCAAGAUAGCUUCCCCAUCCUCGUUUCUCUCCCCAAAACCAUGGCCACCAUGAAAACCUCCAUAGUUGCCUGUCUCCCUGCCCACGUGUCCAUUUAAAUCUCCUCCUAUAAAUAACUUCUCCGUCUGAGCAAUUCCUUGCACCAAGUCUCCAAGGUCUUCCCAAAAUUUCUCCUUCGAACUCGUAUCCAACCCUACUUGAGGUGCGUACGCACUAAUCACAUUGAUAAGUUCUUGUCCUAUUACAAUCUUGAUUGCCAUGAUUCUAUCUCCUACCUUCUUGACAUCUACAACAUCUUGUGUCAAGGUCUUGUCCACGAUGAUGCCAACACCGUUUCUCGUUCUAUUUGUGCCCGAAUACCAAAGUUUAAACCCUGAGUUUUCUAGAUCCUUCGCCUUACGACCAACCCACUUAGUUUCUUGUAGGCACAUAAUAUUUAUCCUUCUCCUCACCAUAACUUCCACUACUUCCAUAGAUUUUCCCGUUAAGGUUCCUAUAUUCCACGUUCCUAAACGUAUUUUGCUCUCUUGAACUCUACCCUUCUGUCCUAGCUUCUUCACCCUUACAUUAGAAUAUGAUACUUCGGACUGCUGCUUUCGUAGGACUUGUUUGCUUUCCAAUUCAAAUUGUCUUCUCAGCUUCUCUAUCUACAACAAAAAUUAGAACUUAUACCAUUACAUGCAAUAUUUCUAGUUUAUAUCAUUAAGUGCAACACAUAUAUAAGAACACAUAUCUCAAUUGCACUGCAGUUGAUUAGGGAAAGCAGACAACGUAUAAAAGUCUCAUGAGUUUAUUAAACACUACGAGAUCAAAAAUAAAAUUCAAACUUUCUCACCUAUGACCAAGUAUAGUAGCUUCUGUGGCCUAACAAUUUUGAAAAGUAUAUCAAUAUAUUCAAAAAUAUUGAUGAACACCUCUUCAAAAUUUGCUGGUGGUAGAAGCUGAACACAGAAUGUAGAAAUUAUAUUAUGUAACCACAUAUAUGGAUAAAAAAAAUUCGGAUCAUAAAGAUAAAGAAAAUAUCAAAAAUUGUUACCUAGACAAUAAUCAAAAUAAAUAGUAUAUUAUAGAAUGUUUAUCUUAUUGCGAGUGAAGAAUACAUGUAUAUAUAUAUAUAUAUAGAGAGAGAGAGAGAGAGAGCGAGAGAGAGAGAGAGAGAGAGAGAGAUUAAGAGAAAGAGAUGAAUGAAUAAGGUCGUACUCCAUCAUCAUCGUCUAAAAAGAAAUCUAUUUACAGUUAAACUUUAAACCCAAAAUAUUUAAAAAAAAACCUUUAUGUUAUAAUUCUAGUUGAACUUUAAAUGUUUAUUUUCAUUAUCUUUAAGUCUAGUUGGAAUAUUUAUGUUAUGAUUGUGUUGGAUAUGUUAAAAUUUAAGAUUUCAAAUUUUUUCAUUUUUUGAAAAAAAAACCGAAACCGAACCGAAACCGAACCGAAAAAAAACUGAACCGAAAAAAACCGAAAAAAAUUGAACCGAACCAAAAUUUCGGUUUAGUUUCGGUUUUGGCAAAAAACCGAACCGAUUUGAACCGAACCCACCCCUACCUGGGAUACACAACUAUCAAUAUAGUAGUCUUGCUUCAAGGCCAUCAACUUAUCCCCAAAUCUACAUCCUUCCUUGGCAGGAAAAUUUUUCCCUUAUAAUUUAGAGGCGUUCACCAAAAUGAUCUUCUAAAACGUCGACAAGUCGACAAAACUGCCCAAAACUUAGGAAAAACUAACACAUUUUUCUUAUUCGACGAGGUGGACGAGGUGGCAAGAUUCGGAAAUUAGGUUCAAGAAUAAAAAAUGCUCACAUCACGCGUGUGAUGAAUGCAAUACUGCCCAACUUAUGCUCUCAUACCAGAUUGUCACAUCCCGGCCUGGGCCCCCACCACAUCCCCGGCUCGACUCCGCCAUAGCACGAUAUUGUCUGCUUUAAGCCCCGAUCACGCCCUCACAGUUUUUUUCUAGGAACUGACACGAGAACUUCCCAGUGGGUCACCCAUCAUGGGAAUGCUCUCGCCCGAACUCGCUUAAUUUUGGAGUUCCAAUGGAAUCUGAAGCCAGUGAGCUUCCAAAAGGCCUCAUGCUAAGUAGAGAUAGGAAUACACAUAUAAGGCUUAAAGGAUCCAUUCCCCUAGGCGAUGUGGAUGUAACAAUUCACCCCCUUAGGGGCCCGAUGUAUUUAUCGGCACACCUCCAGCCAGGGAUUGGCUCUGAUACCCAACUAACACACCCUAACCCGGAAUGUCCACCAGGACUUCGAAUCGAGUUGUGCUGGCCGACACCUGGAAGGUGACGAAGCCAUAAAGUGUGAUGAUGUGGAAAAAUAUGAAUAAAUUUGAACCUAAGAGUGCCUAAAUACCAGAGUGCGCUGGUGAGCGAGAAUGAACCCACUUCACACGUGACGUUAGAGCAUAAGUAAGUAUAGUAGAGUAGAUAAGGAUUAUACCCUCAAAAGUAGCCACAGAUCCUGAGAUUUGUCAAGAAUCUUUGUCGAUAUGGACAUUCAGCAAUUAAAACCUAGAGGGGCGAAAAACCAUUUCACUAUCAAAAGUAAUAAUCCCUCGCCGUAAAGCCUGAAUAAUUUCCUAGAAAAUAGAAUACAUAUCUAUAUCCAAACCAUACUCAUGAAAUAAGUAAUCCAGGUGAAAUAAAUCCAUGAAAAGUAAUAUGUCAGCCGGAUCCACCUAUCGUGGCAUGUACGAUUAAACCUUUAGCUCAACUAAUAUCCAAGUAAUAUGUCAGCAUGCUCCACCUUUUGUGGCAUGUACGACUGAACCCAUAGCUCAUCACAUAUCCAAGUAAUAUGCCAGCCGGAUCCACCUUUUGUGGCCUAUACGACUAAACCUAUAACUCAACCAAUAUCCAAGUAAUAUGUCAGCCAGAUCCACCUUUUGUGGCCUAUACGACUAAACCUAUAGCUUAACCAAUAUCCAAGUAAUAUGUCAGCCAGAUCCACCUCUUACGGCCUGUACGGCUGAACCCAUAACUCAUCACAUAUCCAAGUAAUAUGUCAGCCGGAUCCACCUCUUGUGGAAUGUACGACUGGACCUAUAACUCAACCAAUAUCCAAGUAAUAUGUCAUCCAAAUCCACCUCUUGUGACCUGUAUGGCUGAACCCAUAGCUCAUCAUAUAUCCAAGAAAUAUGUCAGCCGGAUCCACCUCUUGUAGCCUGUACGGCUGAACCCAUAGCUCAUCACAUAUCCAAGUAAUAUGUCAGUCGGAUCCACCUCUUGUGGCCUGUACAACAGGACUGGGUGUAAAUAAGUACACUCAAGUGCUACGAUCACAUGAAGAUUGUACGAAUAAUCGCGGGUCACCUACGAGUCGGAACCACCUAUAAUGGUCUGUACGACAGGACUGUGCACCUACAUUGGAUCCAAGGUGAGCGUAAUGUGCGGGAGGUGAACAUCACGUGAAGGACUGUGCCCUGGCCAUGGGCGGGGGCACUAACAUCAGGGUGCAGGUUUAUGAGCUCUAACUGCAUCUAUUAUAACCUGUACGACUCAUGGACAGCCAGUACGACAGUGUCGAAGUUGCCUAUUAAUGCAACCUCUACGACAAGGUCGGAGUUGCCUAAAACAUACAUGUGGUCAUGCCAAAACUUCAUUAUUUCAACUAAUACCAUAAACUCACCUGAAGUUACUUGGGUCUCCUGCGUUCUCCUUUGCACUUCAAAGUGUUCACAAUAAUUAUGUGCAAGUAAUAUACAUAUGGAUAUACCAUGAUGUAAUCUAAUACUCAACCAUGUCAUAGCAUUUUCAAUUAUAUACAUAUAUAUUAGACUUGGCAAUUUUUGACACGACACGGUGACACGACACGAAAACGACACGAAAAUAACGGGUUUCGGGUCAACACGAUAACUUAUCGGGUCACUAUCGGGUGACCCGUUAAGAACCCAUUAAUAACGGGUUCUUAAAAGGUAUACACGCGGGUAACACGUGGGUAACCCGUUUCGACCCGUUAAGAAAAAAAAUAUUUUAAUAAUUUUAAAGUUUAAUUACUAAAAGAUUUAUUAUAAAAUACAAUAGUCAUAUUAAUAUAUACAAUAUAUUCUAUAUUAAAUAUAUAGUUUUGUAUUAUCGUUCUAUAUAAAUUAUAAAAAAAAUUAAAAAAAAAGUUUUUGUCAUUAUUUAUUUUUAUUAUGAGAGUUCCCUAUUAUCAUUACUAGGAUAAAUUUUACAUAACAUAUUCUUGUCCAAAAUGAAAAUAUACUAGUAUAGUAUUUGUAUAUGCAAGAACUAAGAAGACAUACAUACAAGUAUGAAAAAUGUGAAAGAAUAUAUAAACACUUGUGAUUUAUCAUUAUUCCUCUACGAAUAGAUAAUUGUUACACUUAUAUUAUUGUUUAGAUUUUUAAAAUCCUUCAAACCCUCAUGAAUAAUGUUUUUUAUUUGAGGGAAAAAUUAAUAAAAUUAAUAAUAAUUAUUGUAGAAGUGUAAAAAAUGUAAAAAUAUAUAUAUACAAUCACUCAUAUAUAUAAAAAAUGUAAAUGCUUUAAAUUAAAGAUCAAAUUUAUUCAUUACAUUCUUAUAGGGUCGAAGAGUGUAUAUGUACAAAAUCAUCAAAAUCGAAGCUAAAAUAACCGUUAAAUUGUAAUUUUUCGUUUAUAACCGUCGAAAACUUUUGUUCCGUUACGUAAUAUCUGAAUGUUUGUUUUUUACAAUUUUUUAAGUUUGCAAUCUCGGAAUGUGUACAAAUAAGUUUGACAGUUGGAUCGUUGAAAAAAGUUUCGUAGAAUGCAUAUUGCAUCAAAACGGUAUAUUAAACAAACACUUAGAGUUAAUAUUAUACUUCUAUUAAGUAUAAAAUAAGUUUUUGUGGUAUCCACUAGUGUAAAUACUUUAAAUUAAAGAUCAAAUUUAUUCAUUACAUUCUUAUAGGGUCGAGGAGUGUAUCUGUAAAAAAUCAUCAAAAUCGGAGUUAAAAUAACCGUUAAAUUGUGAUUUUUCGUUUAUAACCGUCGAAAACUUUUGUUCCAUGAGGUAAUCUCUGAAUGUUUGUUUUUUACGAUUUUUUACAUAUGCGAUCUUCGAAUGUGUACAAAUAAGUUUGACGGUUGGAUCGUUGAAAAGUUUUUUGUAGAAUCCAUAUUGCGUCAAAACGAUACAUUAAACAAACACUUGGAGUUAAUAUUAUACUUUUAUUAAGUAUAAAAUACGUUUUUGUGGUAUCCACUAGUGUAAAUACUUUAAAUUAAAGAUCAAAUUUAUUCAUUACAUUCUUAUAGGGUCGAGGAGUGUAUCUGUAAAAAAUCAUCAAAAUCGGAGCUAAAAUAAUAGUUAAAUUGUGAUUUUUCGUUUAUAAUCGUUCAAAAGUUUUGUUCCAUUACGUAAUCUCUGAAUGUUUGUUUUUUAUGAAUUUUUACAUAUGCGAUCUCGGAAUGUGUACAAAUAAGUUUGACGGUUGAAUCAUUGAAAAAAGUUUUGUAGAAUGCAUAUUGCGUCAAAAUAGUAGAUUAAACAAACACUUAGAGUUAAUAUUAUACUUCUAUUAAGUAUAAAAUAAGUUUUUGUGGUAUCCACUAGUGUAAAUACUUUAAAUUAAAUAUCAAAUUUAUUCAUUACAUUCUUAUAGGUCAAGGAGUCUAUCUGUAAAAAAUCAUCAAAAUCAGAGAUAAAAUAAUCGUUAAAUUGUGAUUUUUCGUUUAUAACCAUCGAAAACUUUUGUUCCAUUACGCAAUCUCUGAAUGUUUUUUUUUUUAAGAUUUUUUACGUAUGCGAUCUUGGAAUGUGUACAAAUAAGUUUGACGGUUUGAUCGUUGAAAAAAGUUUCAUAGAAUGCAUAAUGCGUCAAAACGGUAGAUUAAACAAACACUUAGAGUUAAUAUUAUACUUCUAUUAAGUAUAAAAUAAGUUUUUGUAGUAUCCACUAGUGUAAAUACUUUAAAUUAAAGAUCAAAUUUAUUCAUUACAUUCUUAUAGGAUCGAGGAGUGUAUCUAUAAAAAAUCAUCAAAAUCGGAGAUAAAAUAACCGUUAAAUUGUGAUUUUUCGUUUAUAACCGUCGAAAUGUUUUGUUCCAUUUCGUAAUCUCUGAAUGUUUGUUUUUUAUGAUUUUUUACGUAUGCGAUCUCAGAAUGUGUACAAAUAAGUUUGAUGGUUUGAUCAUUGAAAAACGUUUUGUAGAAUGCAUAUUGCGUCAAAACAGUAGAUUAAACGAACACUUAGAGUUAAUAUUAUACUUCUAUUAAGUAUAAAAUAUGUUUUUGUGGUAUCCACUAGUGUAAAUACUUUAAAUUAAAGAUCAAAUUUAUUCAUUACAUUCUUAUAGGGUCGAGGAGUGUAUCUGUAAAAAAAUCAUCAAAAUCGAAGAUAAAACAACUGUUAAAUUGUGAUUUUUCGUUUAUAACCGUCGAAAACUUUUGUUCCAUUACGUAAUCUCUGAAUGUUUGUUUUUUUACGAUUUUUUACAUAUGCGAUCUUGGAAUGUGUACAAAUAAGUUUGACGGUUGGAUCGUUGAAAAAGGUUUCGUAGAAUGCAUAUUGCGUCAAAACGGUAGAUUAAACAAACAUUUGGAGUUAAUAUUAUACUUUUAUUAAGUAUAAAAUAAGUUUUUGUGGUAUCCACUAAUGUAAAUACUUUAAAUUAAGGAUCAAAUUUAUUCAUUACAUUCUUAUAGGGUCGAGGAGUGUAUUUGUAAAAAAUCAUCAAAAUCGGAGAUAAAAUAACCAUUAAAUUGUGAUUUUUCAUUUAUAACCGUUGAAAACUUUUGUUCAGUUACGUAAUCUCUGAAUGUUUGUUUUUUAUGAUUUUUUACGUAUGCGAUCUCGGAAUGUGUACAAAUAAGUUUGACGGUUGGAUCAUUGAAAAACAUUUUGUAGAAUGCAUAUUGCGUCAAAACAGUAGAUUAAACAAACACUUAGAGUUAAUAUUAUACUUCUAUUAAGUAUAAAAUAAGUUUUUGUGGUAUCCACUAGUGUAAAUACUUUAAAUUAAAGAUCAAAUUUAUUCAUUACAUUCUUAUAGGUCGAGGAGUCUAUCUGUAAAAAAUCAUCAAAAUUGGAGAUAAAAUAACCGUUAAAUUGUGAUUUUUCGUUUAUAACCGUCGAAAACUUUUGUUCCAUUACGUAAUCUCUGAAUGUUUUUUUUUUACAAUUUUUUACGUAUGCGAUCUCGGAAUUUGUACAAAUAAGUUUUACGGUUGGAUCGUUGAAAAAAGUUUCGUAGAAUGCAUAUUGCGUCAAAACGGUAGAUUAAACAAACACUUAGAGUUAAUAUUAUACUUCUAUUAAGUAUAAAAUAAGUUUUUGUAGUAUCCACUAGUGUAAAUACUUUAAAUUAAAGAUCAAAUUUAUUCAUUACAUUCUUAUAGGCUCGAGGGGUGUAUUUGUAAAAAAUCAUCAAAAUUGGAGAUAAAAUAACCGUUAAAUUGUGAUUUUUCGUUUAUAACCGUCAAAAAGUUUUGUUCCAUUACGUAAUCUCUGAAUGUUUGUUUUUUAUGUUUUUUUACGUAUGCGAUCUCAGAAUGUGUACAAAUAAGUUUGAUGAUUGGAUCGUUGAAAAAAGUUUUGUAGAAUGCAUAUUGCGUCAAAACAGUAGAUUAAACAAACAUUUAGAGUUAAUAUUAUACUUCUAUUAAGUAUAAAAUAAGUUUUUGUGGUAUCCACUUGUGAAAAUACUUUAAAUUAAAGAUCAAAUUUAUUCAUUACAUUCUUAUAGGGUCGAGGAGUGUAUCUGUAAAAAAGCAUCAAAAUCGGAGAUAAAAUAACCGUUAAAUUGUGAUUUUUCGUUUAUAACCGUCAAAAACUUUUGUUCCAUUACGUAAUCUCUGAAUGUUUGUUGUUUACGAUUUUUUACGUAUGCGAUCUCGGAAUGUGUAAAAAUAUGUUUGACGCUUGGAUCGUUGAAAAAAGUUUCGUAUAAUGCAUAUUGCGUCAAAACGGUAGAUGAAACAAACACUUAGAGUUAAUAUUAUACUUCUAUUAAGUAUAAAAUAAGUUUUUGUGGUAUCUACUAUUGUAAAUACUUUAAAUUAAAGAUCAAAUUUAUUCAUUACAUUCUUAUAGGGUCGAGGAGUGUAUAUGUAAAAAUUCAUCAAAAUCGGAGCUAAAAUAACCGUUAAAUUGUGAUUUUUUGUUUAUAAUCGUCGAAAACUUUUGUUCCAUUACAUUAUCUCUGAAUGUUUGUUUUUUACGAUUUUUUACGUAUGCAAUCUUGGAAUGUGUACAAAUAAGUUUGACAGUUGGAUCAUUGAAAAAAGUUUUUGGACCGCCAGCAAUAGAUAAUUUUGUAGUAGUGAAACCUUAAUUUUAUUUAACCGUCGAUUGUUAUUUACACUUUAUUCUUCUUACUGAAUUUCAUUUUUAAAAUUUUAUUUUUUGAAAACAUGAUCAUCUGGCGGAUGUAAGAAGAUGAUAUCACGUUUCGAUAUUUACGGUUAACUGAAAUAUGAGUCAAUGUCAUAUAAUUUGAAAAAACUUUAUAAACAUCAAGGAAUAUUUUCACUAACCGUAAAACUCUAAAUAUAAUAUCAACGAUCCAAACCGUUCAUCUACCUGCACCUUCUAAUAGAUCAUGUUUUCAAAAAAGAAAAUAUAAAAAAACGAAAUUUGAUGAGAACAAUGAAGCAUAAAUGUAAACAACAAUCAACGGUUAAAUUUUGAUAUAUGAAUUAUAUGAUUAUAGUGGCGAAUUUCAAAGUUAAGCUCUUUAUGAAAGUUAUAAAACUUGUCAUUACGAGUGUUUAUAUAUUUUUUUCUAUAUUUUUUUACACUUCUACAUUAAUUAAAAAACUAUUAAAGACUUUAGGUAAGCAAAAAUAUACUUAAAACAAAAUUGUGUUUUUAUGUUUUGUAUGUGAUAAUAUGGAAUGUAUAUACUUAUUUAGUAUUAUGUUUUUCAUUUGAUUAUUUAUUGGUUUAAAAUAUAAUUUCCUUAGUGGGUAACGGGUCGGGUCAUAUUACCUGUUAAUAUUAUCGGGUCGAUUUCGGGUCGGGUCAUUUUACCCGUUUAUUUUAACGGGUGUUACACGACACGACCCAUUAAGAUAUCAGGUAUAACACGAAAACGACACGAACACGGAAAACACAACACGAAUGCCAAGUCUAAUAUAUAUGUAUAAUAUGGCAUAAAAUGCAUAAGCUGUAACGCCCUACUCUCGAACUAUUUAUUUUCGGGAAUAAUUAUCGGUAAUAAGCCCAGUUAGACACUAGUUUAAUUAACUAUCAUUACUUACGUUUCCUUACUUCAAUUUCUUGAUUCUUCACACAUUGAUUUAUGAACAACAUUUAACCACCAAAUCAUAAGGUUAAAUCUAUCAUUUUCCACCAAUCUCCUUCACAUUGCUCAAUUCCCCAAACAAGGCUAUUGUCUCAAUUAUUUAGUCUCAUUUAUUGUACGGCUGCAUCUAACAUCUCGUUAGAUUGCCUACGUACCCUAAACAAGGAUCAAGCCAUUCGUAGUUCACACUAGUACUUCAAAGCAUUCACAGUAAUUAUAUGUAGGUAAUAUGCAUAAAUCAAUUUAAAAACGCUUGUGGAAUUAUCAAUCAUAUAUAUAUAAUAUACACGAUAGAAAGAAAAAGACCCACUCACCUGAGGUCCGCACUACGACUCCCUAGCAUGCAUAUCGAGACAUCACGAACCAAUGUCGCCUAGAACAAUUAUCAAAUCAUGUCUCAGAGUUCUUACUGAUAGAAUACAUAAUUUACUGAAAAAACACAUCCCUACGUAAUUCACUCCGGAAGAUCUGCAUCACAGAUUUCUGAUCCGUUACUUCCAAAGAUUCACAUUAUGUUCCUAGAACCACCUCCUAAUAUUUCAUUAUGAUCCAAUGGUCGGAUCUCUGCCAAUUGCCAAAACUAAGUGGCGGUCAACAUUUUAUUUUAUGAACUUACAAAUCCAAUUCGGGAAGAUCCGUACUUCGGAUUCCCGAUUCGUAAGUUUCUAUGGUCCUCAAAUAUUAUGUACUAUAAUGUAUUAAAGUUUGGUGGCAAUCCAACGGUCGGAUCGUCGAUUCACACUUUUACCAAAUAACGUGACAUUGAGAAUUUAGGUUCCAACCAUCAACCUAAGUCAUACAGUUACCAAGAUUGAAAUCAAGGCAUCUAAUUUAUCCUAAGAAUGACAUCGAUGGCCCCCUAGCCACGCGCCGCCAUGGGUGGCGAUCGGCCACCCUAACUCGCUGGAAAAUCCAACUAUUUCUAAAAAUUACCAAAUUUUACAGAAAUGAAGAUCUCAAUAAGUAGAACAAGUUUUAUACCUGUGGCUAAGUCCAAUUUAGUCGGGAAAUGCUCCAAUUUCACUCAAACCCGCCGGAAACCCUAAGAUGGGUGUUCUUCGAUUCGACUUCCUCAAUGUUCCAACACCCCUACAACUGCUUGGGUCUUGUUCCUAAGUCCAAGAGGAGUUGAUUAAGGGUGGUGGUGGGUGGUGAAACUCGUUGGAUCGAAGGAAUCACCGUCGAACACCUUUGGUGCUCCGGUGAUGUUCUCUGCAUUUUUGGGCCUAAAACUCUUCAAUCUUGAGCAAAGAUGGAAGAAGAAAGAUUGGGGAAGAUGUUGCAGGUGGUGGAUAUGGUGUUCCACGAAACAAAAUGGCAGAAAUUGGCCAGAUUUUGACCGGUUUGGGUGUGUGGGUGCACUGCCCUACGGCAAGGUUUCUUUUUUUUUUUUUCCUUCUCCUUCCUGAUUGGUUCUCCUUUUCCUCUCUUAAAAUUGAUUGAUUACCACUCCCACAUGGUGGGAGUUUGAUUAAUUUAUAACUAAACUUUUAAUAACCAAUUUCAAAUGUCUGUAACUAUACCGAUAUAAUCCGGACUCACAAACGGCUUUCGCCUAUGCGUUCGUACCAACGAGUACUACACAAAUGCGCUAAGUGAAUAAGUCAUACGUUUCUCUACACGUUGGUCAAUGAAAGUCAAAACCUUCACCUCUAGGGUAUUUUUAUAAAUUCAUUCUUUUAAAAUUUAUAAAAUCGUAGAACUAGGGACGAGUUGUCACAAUCAAGUACCAUAUUCAAGAUGAACCGUUCAUUUAUUUGAUAUGUUUGAAUGGAUUAAACAAUUUUUUAUUCGAUUGAUUUUUGCACGAAUGAUCUUCAAAUGAUAUUAAGAAAUUGAACGCUGUUGAUCAUUGAGUUUAUAUACUUAAGACACGUCAUUUGCAAAUGGGGAAGACGAAUCAAAGAUCUAUCCAAAAGCCAGUUGAACAGAUGUACAGUCAAACGUCUAGAGGUUAAUUAUACUGUUAAUUUCCAAUAAUCAUAAUAUAAGAUCAUCACAAACUAUCUUUAUUAAACUCAUUGGCAUGGCAUGCAAUCAGUUAGCAUGUUAAGGUAACCACCAGCUAUGACACUACACUUGAACUUGAUACAGAUCGAACAAUCCAGAAACUUACUAUACAAAUGAGAAUUUUACAAUCUUGUCGGCCAACUUCUGUCCCUCGAUUCGUUAUUUUCUUUAGUUAUCCAAACCGUGCAAGAAAAGCAAUACGAAAACACGUACGCAGACUAAUGCGGGGAUUUCAGAAAUAUAAGAGUGUACAAGCUUCCAUAUGCUGCACGAAACCUAUGCAGUGGUGUCAAGGAACGGAUAAUCAGCGUAGCCAAUAACCAAUUCAGGCACGUAGAAUGUGUUUCUGUUGUACUUGUGCAGAGGAGAAUUUAGCUCAAACCUCUUCCGCAAGUCUGGCUUAGCCAGGAACCAUCAACCAUAAGCAAUAAGAUCUGCACGGCCCUCAGCCACAGCAUUGUUCCCAUCUUCCCUGUCAUAACCACUAGCAGCAAUGAAGGUACCAUUAAAAGCCUUUCUCAUGGGUACAAAGACUCUGGGGGCUAUCACAUUUUUCUCCAGCUGUCUUCAUCCUAGGCUCAACCAUAUGGCAGUACGGGAUCCCAUAUUUGUUCAACAAAUUGGCCAGAUAAAGGCCCAACGCUUUCGGAUCUGAAUCCCCUGAUUCCAUAUAGCUGGCAAAUGGAGAUAAUCUAAUUCCAACUUUAUCCGCUCCUAUCUCAUUAACAACAGCUUCAACGACUUCCAGAGCAAAUCGACAACGAUUAUCCAAUGAUCCCCCAUAUUAGUCUGAUCGAUCAUUCACUUGAUCUUUUAGAAACUGAUCAAUAAGGUGUCCAUGGGCCCCAUGAAUUUAUACUCCAUCAAAGCCUUUAUAUCAGACAAAUAAUUUCAGUGCACCAAAUAUUAUUUGUAAUCUAGCAUGAAUCACACAUCUAGUUAAACUGCAAUUAACGCCCUUAACUACAUUUAUAAGAUUAGAGAUGGUUUGUUUACUUCUGUUGAAAGUAAUUUUGAGUUCUCGCCAAUGUUUUAAAAGGCUCACCUCAGGGCGGGUAUAGACGCCCUAUGAGGCUGGACUUGAGGAUUGCCGCCUAGGUGGCAGAAGGCGUGCCUCAGGGCUUUUUUUUUUUUUUAAUAAGUCCCAAACCUUUUGGAUAGGGUAUUAACUGUCUCAUACCUCUUCCUUGCACUAUCGUCUCUCUGCCUUUUUUUCUGAUUUUUAUUUUUUAUAUAAUGGAUGUAUGUGUUGUCUACAUGCAUUGUUAUAUGUGUGCUCAUUGUGUUUUUUAUCCUCAAUUAUUGUUCGAGCCCAAAAAUAUUGGUUUGGGCCGAGUUUAGAAUUGUUCUCGGCCCAGUAUUGGUUGGGCUGAGUUUAGAAUUGUUCUCGGCCCAGAGGUCGUGUUUAGGUGUCGUUGGGGGUUAUCCAACUCAUGGGCCGCGCAGUCGAAGCUGGCCAUAUCUCGUCAAGAACCUGUGGGAUAUGGGUGAGUUCUAUUACGAGAAGGAGUUUCGACAUGAUAAGGAUGUUAGAGUUUGAGAUUGAAUGCGGCCUGAUAACGAGUAAGUUCAAAGUCCUAGUAGGAGUAGGACUGGCUGAGAUAAGGUUGGAUCGGGGAAAGGAAUUCUAAUCCAAGAAUGAUUGGGAUUCAAUACAGGUUGGCUACUAUAAAUAAGGAGGGAGGACAUCGAACAAAGCCCCUCCAAUUCAACACACAAAUUGCCCUACGCAAACCCUUACUCUACUCAAAACCUCUCAACAAUCUUGAGAUUUUUGUUUUCCUUUUUCGCCAACACAUCUUCAGUUUGGAUAAACAGCACUGUGAAGGCAACCGACGAACAUCUUCAGUUUGGAUAAACAGCACUGUUGCCGUAGAAUCAGCCGACUGUGAAACACCUUCAGUUUGGAUAAAUAGCACUGCGACCUGGCCAACUGGUUAUCUAUCCAAGUCUCGGUCGAGAAAGAUUUUUGAAUCCUUAUUGGCAGAGGUUAUCUCGUUAGCCUUCUCGGCGAAGUGAGGUGUUACAAGUUACCAUACUCAGCAUACUGAACGUCGAGUUGUUUAUGAUUGGGUAUUUACAAGUAGGUUUUAGAGUUCGGCAUUCUGACGGCCAAACCACUUUCACAAUCAAGACGUACAUUUGUUUUGAGUACUUGUGCCCAUAUAGUCUGGUGUCGAUUCGGCGUGUUUAUACUUUAACAAAUAUAAUCACCAUGACCGAAUCCGGCACCGAUGAUUUAUGAACUUCGCAGAACUAGUAGCCUUGUCUUCAGGCUCUAGAACCCGAAGGCCGAGAGUGGUCCUUCCUCAGCCACAGUUGCAAGAUCAAAAAGUCAGUCGCGCGCUCAAUGCAACAUCACCAUAUUUUACUCCUCGACCAAGCUCGGCCGACAAGUUGGCAUGCCCUGCAUACAAUUGAAGGACGUAGUUAGCUUGUUAAUUACUCGGCCUGCAUGCCACGUAGGCAUAGUAGUUUUUUGGGUCAACAUUUUGGCAAAACCGGUGGGACCCAGUGCUAAAACUACGAAGUUCAUGACCAUCGAGACACGAUCGGUAAAAAAGAAAACAACCAUGGGAAAAUCAGCGACCAAUCUGCCGAUUCAGAGUCCUGGACAAGAGGUGUCACAUGCGUGAAAUCCUAUUGUCGCUGUGACCCCUGAGGCUGCAAGUGUAACACACCAAGAAAAGGAAGUGUGCCUCGGUACCUAGCCUCGAAAUGCAUAAGUACCCAACCGAACCGCAGGCGUUUUCAUUGAAAGAAUAGUGGAUGACUGCGACGAAGAAGAUGGCGAAGGCUUUGACCCUCCGACUAGGUCGUUUCUUCGAAGAUGACUUGAUAAGCAAUCUCGACAAGUUGAACAGACAGUUGGUCAAAAAAUGAACAGUUUGCUCGAAGUGAUAUGAAGCAAUAGUGAGACCCACACCAGAUUACUCGAACUAUUAGUUAGCAAAGUCUUCGAAUGAGGAUCGGUUGAUCAGGCUCAGCCCAAAAGUAGUGUCUACUCGGUCCAAAACGAUUGACUUAGAAAAAAAUGGAGGAUCAAGUAGUAGGUCAGAUGGAUCCGACCAGAGAGUGGAAGCAACAUCCGUCGAUGUGACCGAGAUCCAACGAAUGAUCGAUUCAGCCAUGAAAAAAAGGCCGAAGUUCCCGAAAUUCAUGCACCCAUAUCCAGCUUAUGUGGAAAAGUUCAAAUAUCCUAAAGGUUUCGAGAUUCCAGAUUUCAACCUUUUUGUUGGAGAAUCAUCCUUAUCCACGUUAUAACACGUGGCUCGUUUCACUGCGCAAUGUGGAGAUGUCAAUAGUGAUUUUCAUAAACUACCGUUGUUCAACUUUUCGUUGAUAGGCUCAACAUUCGCAUGGUAUAUCAACCUCCCAUCUAAUUCUAUCCAAAGCUGGAAGGAGUUGGUCGAGAAAUUUCACGAACAGUUUUAUCGCCCGGGGAUGGAAAUGUCAAUUUCUUCAUUGGCUAGGAUGGCUCAAGCAUCUGAUGAGUCACCAAUGGAUUAUCUUACAAGAUUUAAAUCGGCCAGGAAUUGGUGCCGAGUACCUCUUCCCGAAGUCGAAUUUGUUAAGCUUGCCCUGAAUGGGCUCAACGUUGAGUACAAAAAGAAAUUCUUGGGGGCAAACUUUCGGGAUAUGUAUGAAUUAGCCCAGCAUGUCGAGCAAUAUGAUUAUUUGCUCCAAGAAGAAAAGAUCUCGAAAUCCCCAUCCCAAGGAACGAUUUACAAAAAUCUUACGAUCAACUACGUAUCGACCGAAUGCGAAGAUUCCCAAUACGUCAGUGUGGAUGCGACCGAGAUAGUAAUAGAUAAACCAUAUGUUUGCAAGGCAUUGACUCAACUUAAUUCCAAGGAUGCCAAAACCCGCUCGGCCACUGAGGAGACGGCGAAAACAUCGAAAGUUUACACUUUUGAUAUCACAAAGGCAGAGGCAAUUUUCGAUCAAUUGUUAUUAGCAAAGAUCAUCAAACUUCGGCCAUGACAUAACAUUCCCAAAGCCAAAAAGCUUAAAGGAAAGACGUAUUGCAAGUAUCAUAAUUCGACCAAGCACAAACAACUGUGUCGUAUUCCGUGAUGAUAUCCAGAGCUGGAGUGAUGAAGGCAAGCUAAAGUUUCCCGAAAAACGGAUGACGGUCGACGUUGAUCCAUUCCCUUCGGCAACAGUCAACAUGGUAGACGCCCGUUUACCCAAGAGCAAAGGGAAAGGGAUGGCUAAGUUUGUCCCAGUACAACACGUCCCAAAGAAACAUUCCCAGUCACGACUCAAGAUCAACCUAUUUUCCAUUGAACCACCUACCAAGUUUUUAGGACCAGCUAUAGUUGAAUCCAUGUCAGAUUCCAGUGUAGAAGAAAGUGAUGGGCCGAUAAACAGUCAAGAGAGUGUCCUCAUUUUUUUUAAAAAACGGGGAUCCAUCUUGUUAAGGGAUUCCUUUGCGUAUGUACCUUGGUGUAGUUUCGAUCCUCGCAGAUUCGCUUCCUCCUAAACCCAAAACCACUUAGACUUUCUUAACUUUCUUAACUUUUGAAAUCUACUACAUAUGUUACCUUCCAUCUUUUUUUCUGUAAAAACAUGUUGCCACUCACGUGGAGGGAUAUUUUUCCGUCAAUCCACUUCCUAGAGCUCACUGCAAUCAAUUUGCACAAAGACAAAAUACAUUUUUUUUAGUAGCGUUAGAGUCGGGUCACGAAGAGACGGGUUUGAUUUUGACAAGGGUUGUUGAAGAAUUGAAGUGAAAAUGAUUGUUGGCAUCUACAUUUGUAGAAUUUGGUAGAUGGUGGCUGCUUGUGUUUUUAUUUGGGGGGGGGGGGGGGGGGUUUUGGUUCUUUAUUACUUAGACUGACUAAAAAUUCAAAUUAUUUAUUGUUUAACAUUGUAGUAUGUGUUUUGUGUCAGUUUUGUUGUGUUGGUGUAUAGGAUAAUUUGCUAAAGACAAUAGUCUUAGUCUAUUAGGUCCUUAUGCACAUUCAUUGUUUUAAAAAUCUCUGCCUAGCAUAGCACUGUCUAGGCGUUAGGAGGCUGACCACCAUUCUGAUUAAUUAAUAAAUAGCGCCUAGACUGCUUAGGCACCCGUCUAGGUCGCAACUCUUAUUUAGAUAGAAAAUAGAUAACUUUCAUUUUACAUUUUAUUUGUUUCAGUAUAUUGUAAGAGACUUAUUGGAUACUGAGAUGGACAUACAUUAUAUGUUUAUUCCUCAUGUUUUCAUUAUGUUCUAAUACUUUAUAAUUUAUGUCAUUCUAUUUUAUAAUUUAUGUAUUUCAGUGAAAUUAUCUAUUUUUUAAGUAUAAGCAGAUACUUAUUUAUACGAUAUAUCGUAGAUACUUAUUUAUACGAUAUAUCGUAAAUUUUAUUCACAUCCGCCUAGGCCCCCGCCUAGGUGCUAGACCACAGCCAUUGCCUGACUACUGCUAAACCUCAGCCCGCCAUCCGACUAACACCUGGCGUCUAUUAGAAUCUUGUGCAGAAUUUCAUGACCCCCAUUAUUUAGUUUAGCUUCACUCUUGGAGGUUAAAGUGAAAGCAUGCCUUAAAUAACCAAAAAGAGAUUUAUGCAAUUUCAACAUUGAUUGUAAUAGAGGAGCAGUUAGCAUCAUGCUAAUGUUGGAGUAGAAGAGAUUUGUAACAGAGAAAGCUCAACCAAAUAUCUUACAAAGUAAUUUGGUGGAUGUGGAUGUGCGAGAACAUGAAGCAUAGAAAAGAUUGACGAAGCUGAUGAUGUACGUAGAUUACGCGCAGAAUGUAGAAGAACCAGAGAGCCUGAUGGGUACAACUUGGAAGAACUUAGAAGCCUAUAUGGGAACUCAUCUAGUGAUGAAGAACCGGAUUCAAUGAGAAGGAAUAGGAGGAAGAAGAAACGACCUAAGUUUAAACAUCAUAGAAAAGAAACUGAUGUCAGUACCAUAGAGUUUGAUUUGGGGAUGUCUUUUCUUGUUAGACUAAACAUAAAAACCAAGUUCAUGUAACAUGAAUCACAGCCAUCCAAAAACAAACUGUAGUUCAUAACUAUUGUACAGAGUAGAAAUCUGCAGAUGCACCAGAAGAAGAAGCCAUAGUCAAUCUCAACAGCAAAACUAGUAAACCUUCUCCUCUUUCUAGAUUCAAAAUGCUCAAACUAAUAAUAGGUCUUAGUCCAAGACAGAGCGUAAUAUCUGACGAAUUACCAAUUCUCCAGACUCAUGCUCAUAUUCUUACAUUUCCAAGUUCCAAGGAAUUCAACGAAGCUGUAAAUAGACACUUUUAUAAUAUGCAGGUCUUACAAGUUAACCACAAAUGGUUGGUACAAGGUUAAGGCUCAAAUUCAUGCCCUUGGCAAGUUAUGCUUCUAAUGACCAAUCUGAUAGACAUUCUCCUUUAUAUGUAAAAACAUUUGUUCCAAAUCACACUUGUGGAAAAGAUGAAAACAAUACAAGUGUGACCAGUACUUGGUUGGCUGAUGAUAUGAAGAUCAAUCCCUUUUUCUUUUUUCUUUUUUUUUUUUUGAAUAAAGGACGGCAUAUAUAUAUGCAAAUCAAUCCUAAAAUGGAUGUUAAGACAAUGAAAGCUACAAUGAGGGAUUAUCCAUUCUAAUCCCUCUCCAAAUGAUAGGAUUGUGAGGGAUAAGUUUGUUUCAUUCCAAUCUAAACCUAGAGACGAAACGCGGCCAGAUAUUACAAAGACAAAGAUUCUAAAACAGCCUUCACUCAGAGAAUAAAAAAAGCCAUGCAGUGAGAACAUUUAAGGGAAACGAGUUGAUCCUCAAUAAAUGCCUCAAUAGAAUGACGUAUCUUUGUUAAAGCAUCUGCCACAAAAUUAGCUUCAUCUAAAACAUGAUAGAAGCUGAUAUGAUCAAGCAUCCCAUGUUUGCUGAAAAGAUGAAAGAAGGAUCUUUCCAAGUUUAGGAAGGUGGGAGUUGCCAAAGAGAAACCGAUUUGAGCCGCAUCUGCUCCAAAUAUCUCAGGCAAACGGUCAGCUGACAAAAUGCGGUCAAUGGCUUCAACAUCUUGAGAAUAAAAGGCACAACUAGGAUCAAUUGGUUGUACUUAGGGAUAAGAAUUGAGUUUCCUCUUUCACAAAUGUUACUUAUUCAUUCCGGCCAUUAUACGGUCAACAUUGAACAGAAAGUAUAACUUUUCCGGCCUCUAAGUCCGGAACCCUCCCAAACAUUGGACAUUACAAUACUAGAUAAUGCAAUAAGAUACAACAGUACAAUACAAUAUAGUUGAAAACAACCCAUCUAAGAUAGUACAGACUCAAUUGGAUGAAUCAAAGGAACCCUAGUGUUCAAGCUUCCAUCUUUGCGGUAAACUUAAGUGGUGGCUUCAAGAAAUGGAUAAUCAGUGUAGCCAAUCACGGGAUCAGGUAUGUAGAAUGUCUCUCUGUUGUACUUGUUUAGAGGAGCAUUAAGUUCAAAUCUCUUUGGCAAAUCCGGAUUCGCCAAGAAAAUACGGCCAUAAGCAAUAAGAUCUGCACGGCCCUCCGCCACAGCACUGUUUCCAUCUUCCCUGUCAUAACCACCACCAGCAAUGAAGGUACCAUGGAAAGCCUUUCUCAUGGGAAGAAGACUAUGGUGGGUUUCAGCUUUUUCUCCAACUGUCUUCAUCCUCGGCUCAACCAUGUGGCAGUACACAAUUCCAUAUUUGUUCAAGGCAUUGGCCAUAUAGAGGCCUAGUUCUUUUGGAUUUGAAUCCCCUGAGUCCAUAUAGUCAGCAAAUGGAGAUAAUCUAAUUCCAACUUUAUCUGCUCCUAUUUCGUUAGCGACAGCUUCAACAACUUCCAGAGGAAAGCGGCAACGAUUCUCUAGAGAUCCACCAUAUUGGUCUGUUCGAUCAUUCACAUGAUCUUUCAGAAACUGAUCAAGAAGGUAGCCAUGCGCCCCAUGAAUUUCAACUCCAUCGAAGCCUAUAUAGCAAAUUAACAAUUUCAACAUACUGACGGUAUUAGAACCUUAAGCAUUGUCGCUGAAUUACCAAACAAAUAAUGGUUAGUUAAUAAUAACAACGCUUUUAUUUUGCAUAAGCCUUGAAGCAAAUUGAGUUGUAAAUUUUGUUUCAUUUUAACGUAAAGACAAAUUACCAGCUUCAAUAGAAUUCCUUGCAGCAAGUCUAAAAUCAUUGACAAUUUGUGGAAUUUCAUCUGUCCUUAAUCGUCUUGGAGGUGUGAAUUCAGAAGCAUCAAUGCCAUUUAAUCGUAUCGGCUUGUCAGUAGAAGAUAUUGGAGCUUGCCCAUUUGGUUGAUAACCUGUAAGCAAGGAGAGAAAGAAUUACAACCUGAAGUCUAACGACAGUAACAAACAUCCACAGCAGCACUCUUUUAAGUGGGAAUCCCUUGUUACAAAUUACUAUAAAAUCGCUUGGUCUGAUGAACCACACGUGCUAUAUACUAGUUCUGAAUUCUGAGUUAUGUUAACAUCAAACUUUUUCCCAUCCAAUAAUAAUAAUAACAACGCUUCCGAAACAGCAAGGUCAUAAAAGUGGUGUCUUCUUAUGGGUUAUGUUAAAAACACCAACUCGGAACUUACAAAACACCAACUCGGAACUUAACAAGUCCAAGUUUUAUCGUCACUUGAGCAACAAUGUUGUCAAUUAUAAUCACUUGCUCGUUCUGAUGCAUACACCAUUAUGUUAUACAUCAAACUUCCUAAUCGGUCUAAUUAUUCACUCAUGUUAACAAAGCAUUCUAUGGUAAAAGUGAGGUCAUAAAGGUGCAAGUCAGAAACGCACCGCUAUUAGAAACCCUUCCAACAUGCCAAAUCUGACAGAAGAAGAUGCCACCUUUAGCAUGAACAGCAUCAACAAUGGGUUUCCAGGCUUCAACUUGCUCCUUUGUCCAUAUACCAGGUGUGUUGGGGUACCUUCGUAUAUUAAAGAAACAAAAAUUUCAUCAAACUUCGAAAUGGAAGAAGCACCCGUUUGUUAGUCUAUGAAUCUACUGUUGUUGAAAUUACCCUUGAGCUGUGUCGGAAACUCCAGUGGCUUCCGCUAUAAGAAGACCCCCGUUCGAGGUUCUCUGAGAGUAAUAUAAGAUAGCAUGUGGUUGAGGAACAUUGUUGUAUGAUCUCUGUCUGGUCAAUGGUGCUAAAACAAUUCUGGAAAGGAAAAAGAACUUGUAAAUUAUAAAUACAGAGUGAUCAAGACGGAAUGUGGCCGAGGAACAUUAUCGAAUGAUCUGUAUCUAGUCAUCAACGGUGAAAAUACAAUUCUAAAGAGGAAAAACAUAUAAUAAACCAUAAAUACAACCUUCAGACUUUGUAGGAAGCAUUAGUUUGCUAAGGCUCUUUGAUAACAAAUUUGCUUUUAGUUUUCUUGUUUUAGUUAAAAAGGAGAAACGAGGGAGGAAGAAGGAAAUUGGGACGAAAAAGUGUGAAAUAAAAACUCGAAUUGUAGACUAUCUGAAUUUGCUUUAUGUUUUUCAUUUUUGGUAGCUUUCCAUGCACGUUUUGUCCCUCAUCCAUCCCUUCCCCCUUCCUCUUCCUCCUUCCCCUCUUCUAUCAUGCAUUUUCUCUAUCCUUCACUUAAAAUUAAAAAUUAAAAAUCAAAUACGAAAUCGUUACCAAACACAACCUAAAUAAUGCAAUGUCUUACAAAGUGACCAUGGCCGAAAGGACACAUACUUUUAACAAUCAGUUGCAUCUAUUUUCAACAAUUAAUCAAUGACUCAAAUGUACUAUUGUUUUCAUUUAAUUUGUAACAUCGGUACUAUUUUAUAGACAAAGAUACAGUUCUAAGGACACUUCCUGUCUCCUUCCCAACAUCUGUACUAUUUUAUACCAACAGGAUGCUUUCUGGAUUCUUUUGGUAAUGAUUUUGGAGUUCCAUGAAUCGUAUUCGUUCAUCGUACAUCGAUCAGUUAGUUUUUGUAAAGUACUGUUUGUAUUUAAUUUUAAAUAAAAAUAUUUAAAAUAAUUUCUAACAGCACGAUAUACGAUUAACGUACGGGAUCCUGAGAUCCUCACAAGGAGGAUCCGGAUUCUAUUUUAUAGACAAAGAUACAGUAACAAACACUCCUUGUCUCCUUCCCCAAAUCAUUCUUCUUUUUUGUAUAGCUAUAUUUGACACACACACAUGAAUAAACUACACAGUACGCUAAACUUGAAUAUAGACAAGCAGUAAUUUCAUCUUCUAUUUUUCUUGUUAGCCAGCCAUCUGCAGACCUAGCUACUCUCUGAAUCCAAGUUCGGAUCCCCUCUCAUAGUUUUUACAACAUUAUAUUAAAAUAACGCCCGAAUAAAAUAAAUUAAACAAUUACACGACAGAGAAAUUUAAGAAAGUAAACAAAUAGGAACAAUGUAUGAAAGUUUUAAGUACCUAUGAGAAAGAUUGAAGUUUCCCAAUUUGUAGGGAGUGAGGAGAGGAAUUGUGGGAGGUUGAGCAGCAGCAGACAUCUCAGAAUUCGAGUCGGUCGUCUGCCACCUGAUCUUGCACUUGGCCUUUAUACUGGAUUCUGGGAUGAAGGAAGGAAGGAAGGAAGGAAUGAAUGAAUGAAUACAGGACCCAAUUGGGUCUUUAUACGUUCAGUAGGAGCUUAAAAGUCCGCCCUGCAGCUUUCCUCCACAUAAGUCAGAGAGGGCCGGGUCCCACAUCUCCCCUCCCUUGUGUGGUGUGGCGGCGGCGGACGUCGGUGGUGGAUCUCUCCAGAGCAUUAAUUGAACCGAUUAGGUGGAGAGGUAGGAAGGUUUGAUGAGGUCUGUAAUUACGUUUACGUGGGUUGAAAAAGGACGUCCACGGAAUUCGGGUGUAACGCUAGCCGCAUGUUCAUUUCGAUUUUGCUUUUUCAUCCCGCAUUAUUGGGCCAUGGUUUGAAUAGUAUAUUGUUUAGGUCCUUAAGGACCCUCUCCAACCAGAAGGGUUAAAACAUAACUCGGUCUAAAAUUAUAAUUUUGUAAAAAAAUUAAUUUUAAAUGAACAGUGUUAGAUAGCUAGGCUAUGAUUCUAUCAAUUUCUUAUGGAUAGCUAGGCUAUAAUUCUAUCGAGCUCACUAAGCAUCAUUUAGCUAAAGGGGCAUUAAGCUGGCUAAAUAUAGCCCCCUCUUAACCUUUUUUUGGGGUCCAGCUCCUCUACUGCACUAUUUGAGUCAAAUUCAACACCUAUAUUUGAAAACAUCCAACAGAAAUUUAAUUAAAUUAACCAAUAAAUUUAAUACAUAAACUUAAAACUAAAUAAUUAUUGAGAGGGUUAUGUUUAGCUACUUCGGUGAUAGUAUAUAAGUAUGGCCCGAUACUUUUCAGUUCUUUUGGUUGGAGAUGGCCUAAGGUCAUAAUUUUGAGGAUGUGAGAAUAAAUGCAUAUUAGUUACAAAUUUUUUAAUACAUCAAUAUUUUUACACUAAGGGGAGGGAGAGUUCGGUUAAGCCACACAAUGGGCAACCUAAUUUGGUAUCGAGUUUUCCAUUCACGAGAUUCGAACCUAAGACAUCUUACUUCCAAGUGAAUAGAAAUAUCACCAGACCGUAGUACUGAGUGACAGUUACAAAAUAAUAUUAGUUUAGAUCACUUGAAAUAUUUGACAACUUAAUAAAGAAAAUCCAUGAACCAUUAGAAAACUCAUUUUCUUUUUUUGUUUUAUUAAGUUGUCAAAUAUUUAAGCUUUUGGAUACAAACUAAUAUAAUCUUGUGGUUAAUAUGCAUUUGGUCCUCACAAAUCUUCAAAAUGAAAACCUUAAUUAAUCAAUGAAUUUAUGGCAAAUUAAUUAGUCUAGAAAUAAAAUACUCCAAUCAAUUAGCAUUGCACGAUUAAAAUGGAAAAUGACAAGGUUUAUAGAAUUUUGCAAAAAAUAUGUAAUGUAGGUGUUCCCUAACGAGUGCUUUUAACACAAUGGGCAUACUCUCUAUCGUGUAAAACUUUCUCGAGAAAUAAAGUUGAGAUUUAUUCAAAUCUGUACAAGGAAGUUUUUCUUUCGCAUCACUAUUUUUCUAUAAUCGUAAUUUUUUGGGCAUAUAGAUUCAUUGUAAGGAUGAAUUGCGUAUUUUUAUAGGGGUGUAUUUAAUUGGGAUUUUAUUUUUUUUUAAUGAAUCUUGAGGUAUUCAAUCAGGAUUUUAAGUGAUUCUCUAAAAUUCAAAGUGUAUUCAGUUAGAGUUUUAAGAUAGUUAUUAAAAUCCUUAGAAAUCCGGAUGUAGUCAAUUAGGAUUUUAAAGAAAUUUAUGACAUUCCGUGUAUUCAAUUAGAAAUUGAUUUUAAAGAACUUGAGAAAGUUAAGGAAUUUUAGAGAUUUUGUAGUGUAUUUUAAGCAUCCACAAAUCUCACCUCUCCCCAUGAGAUUUCGAGGAAGUUAAAUCAAAACUUUAUAUGGAAUCUCUACAAAUCAAUUAAACUCCAUAAAAAUCAAUGGAUUUAUAAAUCCAUUAAAGUUUCUCAAAUUCUCAAUUGAAUAUGGUUUGACAGGUUUUAAUUUUGAUCCAUGUCAUUUUCAAUUGGGGACUUUGUCAUGCAUAACAUAAUUUUUUACCGAGAUCCCUUUUUGGCCAAAAUAGGUUGCAUGGAAUAUUCUAACAAGAAAAAAAAAUCACAUUUGUAAGUAGUGUACUCUUCUGGUGGUUCAAACCAUUUCUCCUUUCCUUAUUAUAAUUUAGAGUACAAAUAAAGUUGUAUUCAACAAACAAUAAAGUCCUUGUGUACAUCAGGUAGAAUCAUUAAAGUUUCUCAAAUUCUCGAUUGAAUGUAAUUUGACAGGUUUAUUUUCAAUUGGGCAAAUUUAGACUUUGUCAUACAUAACAUAACUUUAUACCGAGACCCCCUUUCGGCCAAAAUAGGUUGCAUGGAAUAUUCUAACCAAAAAAAAAUCACGUUUGUAAGUAGUGUAUUCUUCUGAUGGUUAAAACCAUUUCUCCUUUCCUUAUUAUAAUUUAGAGUAGGAAUAACGUUGUGUUCAACAAACAAUAAAGUCCUUGUGCACAUCAAGUAGAAUCAUGAAAGAAAAAAAGGAAGAGAAAAAAUUUGCCAACAGUGGAUACUACUACAAUGUUUUUUUUACCAGGAGUUAAUUGGAGCCCAAUAUAACAUUCUUGCAUUAACGAGGGACGGUCAGGAAUAGAGAUUUAUAUCAUCCUUGAAUCCCAAAAGUAGAAUUAUCAUAACUUACCAAUUUUAUUAUAUGGAUAAUACUUGCAUUCCUUUCUUGAAAGGAUGAACUUAUUUGCACCAUGCAAAUAAUGUACAUUUAUCGUACAAAGUUCAUAAUCAAAAUUGUUCAAUUUAUUAAUCCUCAUACCCUUACAAAAGAAUUGGAGAUAAUUUAGUUAUUCAAAUGUACAAAACCAAUCAAAGACGUAGGUAUCAAGUACCAUAUUUAGGAUGAACUAUUCAUUUACGUGAUAUGUUUGAAUGGAUUAAACAAUUUCUGAUUCGAAUGAUUUUUUGCACGAAUGAUCUUCAAAUGAAAUUAAGAAAUUGAACAUGGCUCAUCAUUGAGUUUAUAUACUUAAGACAUGUCAUUCGCAAAUGGAGAAGACGAAUCAAAGAUAUAUCCAAAAGCCAGUUGAACAGAUGUACAAUCAAACGUCUAGAGGUUAAUUAUACUGUUAAUUUCCAAUAAUCAUAAUAUAAGAUCAUCACAAACUAUCUUUAUUAAAUUCAUUGGCACGGCAUGCAAUCAGUUAGCAUGUUCAAGUAACCACAAGAUACAACACUACACUUGAACUUGAUACAGAUCGAACAAUGCAGAAACUUACUAUACAAACGAGAAUUUUACAAUCUCGUCAGCCAAUUUCUGCCCCUCGAUUUGUUAUUUUCUCUAGUUAUCCAAACCGUGCAAGAAAAGCAACAAGAAAACAUGUACGCAGACUAAUGCGAGAAUUUCAGAAAGAAUAGAGUGUACAAGCUUCCAUAUGCUGCACGAAUCCUAUGCAGUGGUGUCAAGGAACGGAUAAUCAGUGUAGCCAAUAACCGGUUCAGACACGUAGAAUGUGCUUCUGUUGUACUUGUUCAGAGGAGCAUUAAGCUCAAACCUCUUCGGCAAGUCUGGGUUAGCCAAGAACCAACGACCAUAAGCAAUAAGAUCUGCACGGCCCUCAGCCACAGCAUUGUUCCCAUCUUCCCUGUCAUAACCACCAGCAGCAAUGAAGGUACCAUUAAAAGCCUUUCUCAUGGGUACAAGACUGUGGGGGCUAUCACAUUUUUCUCCAGCUGUCUUCAUCCUAGGCUCAACCAUAUGGCAGUACAGGAUCCCAUAUUUGUUCAACGAAUUGGCCAGAUAAAGGCCCAACGCUUUCGGAUCUGAAUCCCCUGAUUCCAUAUAGCUGGCAAAUGGAGAUAAUCUAAUUCCAACUUUAUCCGCUCCUAUCUCAUUAACAACAGCUUCAACGACUUCCAGAGCAAAUCGACAACGAUUCUCCAAUGAUCCCCCAUAUUGGUCUGCUCGAUCAUUCACUUGAUCUUUUAGAACUGAUCAAUAAGGUAUCCAUGGGCCCCAUGAAUUUCUACUCCAUCAAAGCCUGUAUAUCAGACAAACCAUUUCAGUGCACCAAAUAUUUUUUGUAAUCUAGCAUGAACUAUUGUCACACAUCUAGUUAAACUGCAAUUAACGCCUUUAACUACAUUUGUAAGAUUAUAGAUGGUUUGUUUGCUUCUGUUGAAAGUAAUUUUGAGUUCUCGCUAAUUUUAUUUCGCACUUAAGUAAAGACAAAUUACCAGCUUCUAUAGCGUUCCUUGCAGCAAGUCUGAAAUCAUUGACUAUUUGUGGGACUUCAUCUGUCCUUAAUCGCCUUGGAGGAGAAAAAUCAGCAACAUCAAUGCCAUUAGAUCGUAUUUGGGGGGUUAGUGGCUUGUCAGUAGAAGAGAUUGGAGCUUGCCCAUUUGGCUGAAACCCUGUAAGAAAAUAUUGAUAGAAUCACAAUCCGAAAGAUUUCUAUUACAGGAAUAUCAAGGCAGCUUUCUGAUGCUUCAAUGGCCUAACUUUUCACUUAUGAUCCAAACGCUUUCAAUGACACAAAGUGAAGUCAUAAAAGCGUAUGUUAGAAACGCACCGGUAUUUGAAACCCUCCCCACAUGCCAAAUCUGACAGAAGAAGAUGCCACCUUUAGCAUGAACAGCAUCAACAAUGGGUUUCCAUGCUUCAACUUGCUCCUUUGUCCAUAUACCGGGAGUAUCUGGGUACCUUCGCAUAUUAAAAAAAACAAAAAUGUUAUCAAACUUUGAAAUGAAGAAAGUACACAUAUAAAUGUAUGUUUUCCAUCUAGAAUUUCGCAUAAAAGAAACUUGAAAAAAAGCUAAUGUUUGUGAAGUUACCCUUGAGCUGUGUCAGAAACUCCAGUGGCUUCAGCUAUGAGAAGACCCCCGUUAGAUGUUCUCUGUGAGUAAUAUAAGAUGGCAUGCGGCUGAGGAACAUUUCCGUAUGAUCUUUGUCUAGUCAAUGGUGCUAAUACAACUCUGCAGAAGGCAAGGAAGAAGUAUAUCAUCAGAAUACACCUACUACAUGGCCUAUGACAUGUACGAUAUCAUCAGAUCUUGCUAAACAGAACAAGAUUUAAGUAACACGACCAAAAAUCCAGAAAGGAAACAUACUUUUCGUAGCCAAUUGCAUCGAAUACCAAAGAUGAAUUAAGUAAUUUCCGGUCAAGAUUAAGUACUAACUCGGGAGUGAUGAGUGGUUCAGAGUUCACAACCCAAGAUGUACCAUUUAGGUCUUGGGAAACGAUAUCAAAUCGUAUGUCAGUCGGUUCUAGGGAUCAUCUAUGCAUAUAUUUGGUUUCAAGGUCUGGGGCUUACAGAAAAUUUCAGUAACAUCUAUCCUAGUUUAUUUUCUUUAAGAGUUGACUACUUUAGUUGCAAAGAUAUAGUCACAACUUCAAAGAUACAACGGGUGUAUACUGCACGAGCGCGUCUAGGAAUUCGAAAAUCAAACAAUCUUGAACCAAAGCAAGUAAUUCAUGGCGAACAUCAAGACAAACUGACCCAAAAGUUGCAGCACAUUAUCUGUUGCAACUCAAACUCGCAAACAAAACCAGGGUUAUCCAACCAAUCAAACUAAACCAAUUCCAAGCUUUACAAUUCUACAAGUAAUGUGAACAUCCAAAUCCAUCCUAUCAAAGUUAAUGCUUUUAAUUCUGAAAAUUCAGGAUUCUUGCGUAGGCAAGCACAAAAACUGCCCAGCAACCUGCAACUUUGCCCAAAAAAUAAGCAGUAAUUUCAUUUUUCUUGCAAGAAAACCGGGAUUUUCUGCAACCCUGUUUCCAAAUGAACAAAACCCACCAGCCCAAAUCUCAACUGCUCAAGCAGAAUAAGUCUACGAAAUCAAUGCAGAAUGUAGAAGCAUAUAAUCGUAGAAAAGGUUGAGCGAGUGAGUUAAGUUACCUAUGAGAAAGAUUGAACUUUCCAAAUUUGUAAGGAGAAAGGAGAGGGAUUGUGGGACCAGCUCCUUGAGCUUGAUUGGUGGUAGCCAUUUCAAUUCAACUGGGUUCAGAGCUCGACCCUGACUUUGGUGUUUGGUUUUUGAUUUGAUCUGCUCUCACGUUGGGUAUUUAUGCGUUCCGGGAGAGGCGGAAGAGGGCUAGCACAGUGGGAUGACUGACUGACUGACUCCAACUGGGUCCACGUCGCCUUCUCCUCCACCUUCCCCAUCCUCUUAAAAUGGGGCAGAUGCAGAUUUUCAACGGUUGGCCGGGCGGCUGCUUUUUCAAAUCUUUUUUUUUUUUUUUUUUUUUCUGAUCGAUACCUUUGACGACGUUUGCAAUUACGUAAUCGUCUUUCUGUUUUUUCCUUUUUAAUAUAGAAGGUAUCGUAUCUUAUUCUGCAGAGAUGACAAAUACGUUCUCUUCUUCCUUCGAUAGUUUCGAUAUCAAAUGAAACCAUAUUUUUUAAUAAUAAUUUAUAGUACUAGCAUGAAAAUUAAGUUAAAUGGUAAGGUGUCAAAAUACUCAUGAAGAAUUUUGAUUUAAAAGAAUUUCUUAACAUUUAUCUUACAUUAAAUAAUUUGCCAAAACUGAAGAAUGAGUUGUGAUGUUUUUGAAAAUUCUCAAAUCUUGACCGUUCAUCAUACAUCGUAAGAUCAGAAAUUAUUUUAAAUACUUUUAUUUAAAAUUUAAAUAUAAAUAAUAUUUGACAAAAAUUGACGAUUUUAAAUAAACGAACACAAUUUAAAAAUCCUUAGAAUCAUCAUAAAAAGGAUUCCAAUCCACAUUCAAAACUGAAUCGAUUGACAGACUCAAGAGUAGCAUUAUUAUGAAGUCGUCAUGCGGACACCAGCAACGACCGCCUACGAUAUGGACUUUCUUUUAUUAGUAUUUUACUUUUCAACACAUAAUUGCAUCCAUGCUUUUUAGUUCAAUUUUUUAUUUUUUUGUCUCAGAACCUUUUCAUUUGACUCUUUGAGCAAUGGGAUCGUCAUUCGUCACUUAUUACCAAGGGUCAGCUUCACUUUUGCUAGAGUAAAUGAUUUUGUGGGAUUGGAUUAGGGAAGAACAAUGGUUAUGUUAUACGAGUAAUAUGAUUACUUAUCUAUAAUUAUUUAUGUUUUUAUUUGAUAUUCGUGUCAUGUUUUUAUUAUUCGUGUCGUUUUUGUGUCAUACCUGAUAAUUUAACAGAUCAUGUCAUGUAAUACCUGUUAAAAUAAACGGAUAAUAUGACUCAACCUAUUAAUAUUAUCAGGUACUAUGACUCGACCUGUUACAUGUUAAGAAAAAUAUAUUGAAAUCAAUAAAUAAUGAAAAUGAAAAACAUAAUUUGACUCCAAAAAAUGUAAAACAUAAUACUAAAUUAAUAUAUACAUACCAUAUUGUCACGUAAAUAUUAGUUCAAAACACAAAAAAAUAAAAAAACAUUUGUCUUUCAAGUUAACAUACCCCAAAAUAAGAGCCUAAUGAAAAAACAUUAGUGCAUAUUACAAAAUACAAAUGUUCAAAGAUAUGCAAAAUGAAGAGAGUUGUCUUUCAAGGUUGGGAAACAUUGCAUGUUUUUUAUAAUAAAACCCUACAAUUUUUAACAAUCAUCAAGAGAAAUGGUAUUAGAACUUUGACUUGAUAUAUUGUCUUCAAAAGUUAUAUUGACGAUGUUUUCAUUAAGAUUUUUUAUGUAUACAAAAUAAGAGCGUCCUCUUUCGUUUUCAAUCAAUGAUUACAAAAGCAAAUAUAUAAUUUGGUAGAUGUAACGUUUUGUGACCUGAUGUCACACCUUACCUUGUGUGAGCUAUCAGCACAUGACCAAAUUGUAUUUUAUUUACACCAAGGUCUUGUGCCAGUCAAACUGGCACACCACAAGAACCUUCUUCGUCCUACAUAUCACAAUUGAAACAUAAAAUAUAUAUUUGAUUAAAUAAAGUAAAAUAAAAUAAAAUAAAGAAAGAUGCAUAAUUCAAACAUUUGGGCUUUGCUGAUUGUAAAUCCUUGAAAAAGCAAACCCACAACUGUGAAUAUAUAGUAUGCAAUAAGGGCAGUAAAGCAAUUUAGCUGAGUCGGCUCAUCUCGAAGACAAUUUUCUGUUCUUUCUCUGCCUAUGCAUUUUUCUAUUUCGGUAAAUUAAUUAUAAAUUAAAUAUUUAUGUUUCAAAGAGCCAAGAAAACAAUUGGGCUUUGCUGAAACAUAAAUAUAUACUUUUAUGUGUUGUAAACUUUCUUAGUUUAAGUAUGAUGGUAUAAAUCUUAGAUUAGAUUUUAUUAUAGUUAUCAUUUUCUAUUACAACUUGUAUUCUUUAGGGAUGAAAUAAUUUAUUCUCUCAUUUUGCUACUAUAAAUAAAGGCACAAUGUAGGAGGGAUAACACACACAUUCCCCUACAAUGCUACAAACACUUCUCUCUCAAUUUCUCUAUCGCUGGCCCUAUUUUCUUUGUCAGAUAAAAUAGGCUACAACACAUUAUCAGCACACUCCUACCGCUGUGCUUAGGAAUCUGACGUUAAAGUUUUUUCUGCAUCAAACCAGUUCAUCCAUAUUAUCACUCAAUCAGGUUCUUUCAAAACAACGGUUUUUAUCUCGAUAUUUUUGUAGCCCUGAUAGCAUGAACAUUCACCAUAAUGCAUGACCCAACUUUAUGUUUUUCAAAUUUUAGAUUCUACAUAAAUUGUGUAUGCAUUAUAAUUGUUAAAUUAUGUGAAUUUGAUAUUUGCCAUGAAUUGUGUUGAUGCACAAAACCGGAGGUCUUGGAACAACGUAAAUCCGACCGUGAAUCUGCAAGAAAUGUAAAUAACACAAGAUGUAUCGUGGUUCACCCCAAGGUUUGGGCUACGUCCAUACUGAUAUUGUAUUUCUGAUGGAGAGAGAGAGCCUCUGUAAUGAAUCUGAAAGGCUUUGAGAGUGAGAGCUUGAGGGGGGGUGAAGAGCCUUAGGAAUUGGCCUCCCCUAAUUGUGAGGGUGAGGGGUCCUUUUAUAGGAUAAGAGCUCCUCACUUAUUACAUAUUUGCCCAUUCCUUUAUUACAUAAUUACAUUUAAGUCCCCCGAAUAUUUAUACGAAGUCUAAAUACGGAGGCCCUAAGUAUGGUAUAAACAGUAGUCCCCCAAGUCUUCAGUCAAGAAAGUCUUUUGGCUGGAGACUUGAAACUCAGUCCAUUUGUGGGUCGAAGUAACUAGAUGUUGUCUUGAACUGAUGCCCGAUAUGAGGCGGUGCUCAAAGUGAAAUGAUGCUCAUCUAGAAGUUGCACAUGUUGCGAGGCUGCUUGGCUUGUGGCUUAUGUUGCCUUGGUUGGCUCGGCUUGUGUCAUUAAAGGUGAGGGAGUCCCUUUUAUAGAAUAAAGGCUCGCUCCUCAAUACAUAAGUAAUGGGCUAGAGUCGAUGCUCGUGGCGAGGCAGUUGCUCAGCUGGCGGCGAUGCUCUCUAAUAAAGGUGAGGGAGUCCCUUUUCUAAAAUAAGGGCUCGUUCUUCAAUACAUAAGUGAUGGGUUAGGAGUGAUGCUCGCGGCAAUGCGGUUUGCUUAGCUGGCAGAGUUGCUCUCUAACGAAGGUGAGGGAGUCCCUAUUAUAAGAUAAGGGCUCGCUCCUCAAUACAUAAGUGAUGGGUGCUUUCUAAUGAAAGUGAGGGAGUCCCUUUUAUAGAAUAAGGGAUCGCUCAUCAAUACUUAAAUAUGGGCUAGAGUUGAUGCUCUCUAAUGAUGGUGAGGGAGUCUCUUUUAUAGAAUAAGGGAUUUCUUUUCAAUACAUGAAUAAUAGGCUAGAGUCCCCCAAGUAUUUUUCAUGAGGCCCAGUUGAGGCCCAAUAUAUGGUACAUAAUGUAGUCCCCCAAGUCUUCAGUCAAUAGAGUCUGUUGGUUGGAGACUUCAAAUUGAAUCCAUGUAUGGGGUGAAGUAGCGGUUGUUCGGAGGCGGUAUUUGUAUACCCUGCACUGAAGCUUUGUAGGUGAAGCUUUUCAAGUGAAGCUUUGCAAGUGAAGCUUUGAAGCUAGAGCUCUGUAAAUGAAGCUUUCGAAGCUGGAGCUUUUGUAAAUGAAGCUUUUGAAGCUAAAGCUCUGUAAAUGAAGCUUUUGAAGUUGAUUGACAUAAGUGAUGCUCAUGAAUGUUUAUGUUGAUUGACAUGAGUGAUGCUCAUGGAUGUUGUCAUGAGUGAUGCUCAUGAAUGUUAACAUGAGUGAUGCUCAUGAAUGUUGACAUGAAUGAUGGUCAUGAAUGUUUAUGUAUGAUUGUCAUGAGUGAUGCUUAUGAAUAUUUAUGUAUGAAUGACAUAAGUAAUGCUCAUGUAUAAUUUGGAGUAUUGGGCGUACUUUUGAUCACCUGGUUGGUGGCAUGAAGGAGAGUACGGGUUGUACAUUUCAUCACCUGGUUGGUGGCAUGAAUGCUAGUUGCCAAAUGAUAUUAGAGUACGGGUUGUACAUUUCAUCACCUGGUUGGUGGUAAUAGCGGUGGGUUGCCGAAUAAUUUUGGAGUACUGGGCGUACUUUUGAUCACUUGGUUGGCGCUAAUAGCGGCAUGUUGCCGAAUAAUUUUGGAGUACUGGGCGUACUUUUGGUCACCUGGUUGGUGAUAAUAGAGGGUCUGGCCUUUUUAUGCAUAUGGGCCUUCGCCCUCCACAUGACAUUGCAGUCCAUUAUUUUGGGCUUAGCCUUUUUUUUUUCUAUACCCUCUGAUGGGGUUUAUACAGAUAUCUCCGAAAGAUACGGAAAAUAAAUUACAUCAGUCAAAAACAAGAAAAGUAAAUCACAUCAUUCUGGUGGAGUGUUUAUUCCUUGCUUUUGCUUUCUCUUUUGCUUUUGUUUUUUCUGCUUUACUUUUGCAUUCUCUGCUUUUGCUUUCUCUGCUGCAUGGUCCACGAGUCCACCCCCAAUGCUCAUAAUAUUCUCCCACACUACAAUUUUUCUUUCUUUAAUAGCCUUAAAUUGUUGGUGGACAAGAUGAAAAGUUAGUGCCGAGAAAAUAAUCAAUUAUUUGGAAAGUGAAGACGUUUGGUGCCGACAGAAUGAAGGAGCAUCUUCUGGUGUGCUUGCCUUUAUUGCACUUGAUGAAGGUGGAGAUGUUUGGGCACAACGGGACCACAAGGGACGACGAGGUCGUGACUUUUGGUCAGGAACAACAUCUCUCCAGCACCGUCAUCUCUCCACUACCGAGGCCCCAGUCGAGGACGUGCUCAGUGCACACAGCAGUACCAAAUUUGAAGCUGACAGAACAGAGGCCUAGGGAUUUCAGGAAUCUGAAAUUGGGGGAAUGAGGGAUUAAACACGAGCCAAACAUCUGAUCCAUUCGAAUUCCAAGCAAUGGAAUUAACACAUCCUUGAUGCCCUUCCAAUUCUCUUUCCCGAGAAAACCUUCGCACCAACGAGAAGUGCACAUGCCACCUGUGAUUGGCACUACGGCGAACAUCGGAGUCCAGGCUGUGGAGUCUUCGCCUCUUUUGACGGCAGGUGAGAGGACCUCUAAUCAGAUGGGUUUUGUAUCCCCGGUGUCGACACCCCGAGUGAGGUCACCGGAAUCGAUAUCAGCUCCUACGACGCGACUCGGUUGGCGAUGAUGAUGUCUUCGGAGCUGGAAGUACCAGAGAGAAAAAGAGAAAGAGGAGAGUGGCACUGUCGCCAUCCACGGUCGGGUCAGAUCCGUCGCUUAAUCAUUGUAGCUGAGCAUCAUCUUGAGGACUGGAGUCUACCACGUGGCGCAGGAGGGGCAAGGGAGUCGAAUAGCUCGGCAUGCAUGUCAGAGGCCGGGUCAGAUCCGACGGCGAGUUCAGUACGCAUCUUCUGAUGUGUCACUCCCUCACUUCGUGGUCAUCCCCACUGCUGUUCCCCAUUAUCAUCUACUGCGGCGGCGGCUGGUGGAGAUGAGCUUGAGAUUGGGAUUGGGAGAGUUCUUCAUUUGAACAUCAUCAAAGUCGCUGAUGGCUGUGUCGAGCACCAGAUCUGCCGCCAUUGGACCUUCACGGGCAGUCAGAGCAAUUAGAGCAAAACGAGAGUCUUUGGGUGCGUUCUCUCUCUCCCCCACUCUGCCUGGGAUGAUGUUGAUGGUGUGAAAGCUUUGCUUGGAAUUUGGGAAGCGUGGAAUAUGGAAACUGAUCUUAUCGCAAGUUGAAGUUCCCAAAACCUAAUAAUAUGACCGAUCCGAACUUUUUGACUUCUGGCGCUUUUCGUUUGCUUAAAAGGAAUGGGUUUUUGGUUUGGUGUUUCUACAGAUUCACAGUGGUGAGAUUUGAUGAAAAAAAUGAAAGAAAACCGACAUAGUUGUUUAUGUCGAUUCUUACAGACGGUGCCAAAUGUUGAUGCAUAAAACCGGAUGGUCUUGGAACAACGUAAAUUUGACCGUGAAUCUGCAAGAAAUGUAAAUAACACAAAAUGUAUCAUGGUUCACCCCCAAGGUUUGGGCUACGUCCAUACUGAUAUUGUAUUUCUGAGGGAGAGAGAGAGCCUCUGUAAUGAAUCUGAGAGGCUUUGAGAGUGAGAGCUUGAGGGGGUGAGGAGCCUUAGGAAUUGGCCUCCCCCUAAUUGUGAGGGUGAUGGGUCCUUUUAUAGAAUAAGGGCUUCUCACUUAUUACAUAUUUGCCCCUUCUUUUAUUACAUAAUUACAUUUAAGUCCCCUGAGUAUUUAUACGAGGUCUAAAUACGAAGGUCCUAAGUAUGGUAUAAACAAAUUGCAUCAAAUAUAUGUACAUGCAUUAAAACAUCAUUGAUUUGAAUGUAUAUAAUUGAAUUUCAUAAUUGAAAAAAAAAUCAAAAAUCACCACUUGAGUUCUUCGAACCUAUGACCUCGAGCAAGCAUGGAACAUCAAGCUCUUUUGAAACUCAGUGCCCAUAGCGUCCAAACCUAGAAAAUCCACAUCACCUGAAGCGAGACCACGACUUUGCCAUGCAAUUUUCUGACCAAAUCCAACAUGGUAUAGUAAUUUUGAUUUGAUAGCAUUGAAAUUCUCGAAGAUUUCAUCGAAUUUGGGUGAAAUUCCAGUUUGAAUUUCUUAGGUUUUUGCCCUCUCCAUUCCUCAAAACUUGCUCAUCAUCGAACCUAUGACCUUGCACCGACAAAUUUUUCCCAAAACACGGCCGCCUGCAGCAGCGGCACUGGCCUUCGUCCCCUGUAACUACACACAACUCCGGCUGGGUUGUUUUUUUUUUUUGGUUGAAACCCUAAGCUUAUUUGGGCUAACCUUCUCGGCUCGUAGAAAAAAAAAAUUUAAGAACUGGGCUCACAUGAUGCGGCCCAAUCCUUGGCUUGACCCAAAACUGGCCUGAGGGGUCAUGGUGUCCCGAUGUUGUGUGCCGCACCAAAUCCCAACUCCGUUGAAAAAGCCACUAAUCAAGCUCUGAACCCAACACUGGCCUGAGGGGUCAUGGUGUCCCGAUGUUGUCUUCGGAUAAUCCUAUUGGCGAAGCUGAAAAAGCCACUGCUAUGAUCUUCAUCCGAAGACAUAUCCAUGACACCUUACAAAUUGAAUACCUUCCUGAUGAGGAUCCACGUGCAUUAUAGGUCGCUUUGGCUGAUCAUUUUGAUCACCAAAAGGACAUAUUCUUGCCUAAAGCAAAACAUGACUGGCAGCAUUCGCGCUUCUAAGACUUUAAGUCUGUGAAUGAAUAUAAUUCGGAAGUUUUUCGAAUCCGAUCACUUCUCAAGUUUUGUAAUGAAACUUUGACCGAAGAAUAUCUCCUGGAGAAGACCUAUUCGACAUUCUCUGCUUUUAAUAUUGUCAUGCAGCAACAAUAUAGAGCUCAAAAGUUUACUAAGUUCUCGGAUUUGAUCUCUAUUUUACUUCUCACUGAAAAACAGAACCAGUUGUUGAUGAAAAAUCAUUAAGUUGGACGUAUUGGGGUGACUGUUGUGCCCUAAAACACAUUAUAGCAUAAACCAAUGCCCAAAACACUAAAAGAGGCAUGGUAGGGGCGGCUAGAAGCCACCCCGCGAAGGUCAACAGAGUCAAAGCCCAUCCAAGGGAGGAAAUGAAGCCCAGAAGCGCUCAAACCUCACUCCCGAGGCCCCGAACUUCAAGAAUAAGGGCAAAGCACCUAAAACCAUGGAUGCAUAUAUGUGUUAUUGUUGUGGUUCAAAGGACCAUUGGUUCUGUGUUUUUCGAGCUCCCCAGAAGGUUGUAGCUGAAUAUCAUUCUCGUUGUAAGAAGUUUGAAUCAAACUUCGUGCAAAUAGACAAACCAGAGACUACAAAGAUGGAGGUUUUUGACUUUCAAGAGGAUACCACCCCUAUGGAAGAUUAGAAUCUUAGACAUAAACAAUUUUAGUUAGUUAAAAUUGCACAAUAGGGACGAUUUCCACCUAGUGGCCGAACCCCCCUUUGUCUUUUGGUAGAUUUUUGAACAAUUUUCCUUUAUUUUUGGAUUAUUUGUUGGUGAUUUGUUUUUUGAUAUUAAGUUUUAAUUAAUUACCAUCCUUGAAUAAAUGAAAUUAUUUUGAAUUGAUAUUUGUUUUUAGAACUUGAGAGAAGGCUGGUAACAAACAUGAAAUAUGGCCCUAUAGCAGUUAAGUAGAGCAAUAUCCCCACUAUCUUCCUAUACUCAGCUUCAGUUGCAGCCUUACAACCAUCAACUUUGCACAAUCUAUCAUUCAUAGAAAGUGGAGUCCUAAUUCAUUUGCAAUCAUUCAAUCCAAAUUUCUCAAGCAAUUUCAUAGCAUUUUUUUUUUUGUGAAUGAAAAUGUUUUUUUUUUUUUUUUUUUCAGUUUGGACAAUUUCCAUACCAAGAAAAUAAUGUAAGGCCCCAAAUCAAUCAUUUCAUAAUGCUUCAUCAUGUCACUCUUGAAUUCUUCAAGUAUUGAUGGACAACUUCGAGUAUAAAUAAUGUCAUUCACAUAGAGAGAUACAAUGAUUAUACCGAAGUUUCCAUUGGUUUUGGUGUAAAGAGUAGCUUCACUUAGACUUUUCUGCAAUCCACAUUUGGAGAAAUAAGAGUUUAUCUCAUCAUACCAAGAUCUAAGAGCUGGUUUUAGACCAUAGAGAGCCUUGUUAAACUUGUUAUUUUAUCUUCUUCAUUUUGGACUAUAAAACCCAGAGGCUGAUCAACAUAAACUUCUCACUUAAGUACUCUAUUAAGAAAUACAGACUUUAUAUCCAGUAGAUACAACUUCUAACCCUUCUGAGCUGCCAAGGUUAGUAAGGUUCUUAUUGUGUCAAGCCUUGCAACUGGAGCAAAUAUUUCAUUGAAGUAUACUCCAUGAUUUUAAGAAUAUUUUUUUUUUCUACCAAUCUGGCUUUAUUCUUAUGUAAUGUGUCAUUCAAGUUUAGCUUUGUCUUGUAACCCCACUUUACACCAAUGACAGGUUUGUUGGAUGGUUUUUUUUUACCGAUUUCCAAGUGUGAUUCUUCUCAAUCAUAUCAAUCUUAGCUUGCACUGCUUUUUUCCAUAAGUCAUCAUGAACUGCUCUUUCAUAGUUAUCAGGCUCCAUAAUACAUACGCUACAUUGAGCUAACACAUCAUUCAACCAUUUAUGUGAUGCAAAAUCAUAAGUUUGAGACAGUUCACUUUCCCUUUGAGAGUUAGGAUCAUCAACAAUUUGAGUUGAUUCAUCAUGUGAGAUGAGAAUGGAUGUUACAAGAGAUCCUAUCGUUCCUUGUUCCAUUUCAAGUUCUAUUACUCCACUACCUUUAUUAUCAACUGCAAUUGACACACUAACAUACUCUUAAGUGUUUGUUCUCCAAUCCCAUCUACCAUUUUCAUCAACACAUCUCUAAACAUGAAAACCUUCAUUGUACUAGGAUUGUACAACUUGUUCCCUUUUUCACUUGUACCAUAGCCUACAUGGAUGCACUUUUAGCUAUUACCCUCAAUCUUGUGUCUCAAAUUUAAAGGAACAAGCACAUAGCACAAAGAACCAAAAUUCUUGAGAUAAGCAGUCCCUAGUUUUCUGCCAUUAUAAGCUUCAAAAAGUGUCAUUUUAUUCAAGGUUCUAGUAAACUAUAUGUUGAGUAAAUACACUGCUAUAUGCAUAACUUCUACCUAAAAUUGAUAUAGCAUGCCUUUUCCAUGCAACAUUACCUUUGCCAUUUCAACAACAGUCAUGUUCUUUCUCUCAGCAACACCACUUUGCUAAGGUGUGUAAGUCAUGGUUACCUGCCUUUAAAUCCCAGUGAUAGGAGCAUAUUUAUGCAACUUAGUUAACUUUUUUUCUUGCAUUUUCAUAGCUAGUUUCUGUUUAUUAUAGUGAUUUAAGUUAUUUUCGUGUGUUUGUAGGUCCAAAUGACAAAGUUGGCGAGAAAUUGCAAUUUGGAGCAUUUUGGAGCAGUUUUGGGCCAAGAAUGGAUAGCAUAUGAAUGGAGCAAGAUGAAUGGACGUUUUUGAAGUUCAAAGAGGCUAGGAAUGUGCUACAAUUCUGGAAGAAUGAAUUCAAGACAAAGAAGAUAAGGAAUUAGCCAAAAAGAAGGAACAUUAUCCAAAACCUUAUCCAACCUUAUCUUAUCCAAACUAACCUUAUCUUAUCUUAUCCUAUCUUAAUCCUAUCCUACCUUAAUUCCAGCUGCAAGGGGGACUCCUUAUCAAAUUUGAAUACCUAAUAUCUUAUUCUAGAAGCCCUGAAACAAUGCAAAUAACAUGAUCCCUUUGUCCCCUAGAAAUCUAACAAAUUUAAUCCCUUCUCUUCUAGAAGGUUUGUGCCGAACUCCCUAAUCCUUUUCCUCUCUGGAAUCUAAUAUGAAGUGCCCUUUUUCCUUGCUAAUUUGGAGUCCUAAUCCCCUUUCUUUUCAGCCUAUGUCGUGCAUCCUCCUCUCCCUAUAAAUACAAAGUGCCACAACACUCAUAAUUCACCAUCUCUCACCACAAAUUUGCACCAUACAUCUAUCAUACUUAGAAAUCCCUUUUGUGCCACAACUUUGCAAGGAGAAAGGAGAGGAGACCAUUUGCCGUGCCCUGCCAUUCAAGACCCUUAGAUUGCUAGAGCAUUCUUAGGUGUUUUCUAUCUUUUAUUUUCAAUGUUUAAUUUAAGUUAUCUUUGUUUAAGUGCCAACAUGAGGAACUAAACUCGUUUUGGCUAGAGGAGAAUUCGAAGCCAUGAACAUAUAUUGCAUAUGAAUUUAUUACCUUCAGUUAUAAUUUCAUGAAUCGGGAAUGCAAUUUGCAUAACUGUUUGAUUCAGAACUUAUUCUUGUAUGUUGAUUAAGGAGGCCUAUUUAGUUUGCAUGCUUGGAUUUGGUGCUAAAAUAUAAGGGAAUUUCACCUAAUAGUUAUGAACUUAUAUUUACAAGUAAUGGAGGUCACUGGUCGUCAUUGUGUUUAGUGAAUUCCUGGCAGAAGUAUCAUGCUAUUCAUAGUUACGAAUGCCUUAUCAAUGCUUAUGAUUUUCAUAGAGCUUAAUGAUCUUUGAUAUGUAUCUCUAUCAUGUUGUUCGUGUAGGGAACUUAAUAAGAAUAAUUUGGUUGCGACGCUGAGUCCAAUUCAAUGAACUUAGGAAAAUCUGAGGGUUAAUUAGUGUUGUUCACGGUUAAUCUGGGGCAUUGUCAUUCAUGGUUUAUAGAAAGAGUAACUGGAAAUCGAUUUGUAUGCAUAUGUAUCAUGUGUGGAGAAUGACCCUCUAGCUAGCCAUUCACCUCAUAAAACACCCUAAAUUCAUAGUAAUUAGUUUGUUUUCUGCAAUUAACUUAGUUUUAUUUUUAAAUUUGUCAAAACCAUUUUCCCCCUUUCUAUUUCGUGUUUUCUAGGUUAUAAUAUGUCUAAUUGGUGUCUUUUAAUUUAAAAUUCGUCCAAAGUCAUUCUUAGUGUUAGUUUAGAGUCAAUUUGUUUGUUUUGUGCUGUUUUGAGUAGUUUGAGUCAGUUUUGAGUCAUAAGAGUUUAGUUUAGUGUUUUAAGUCUAGUUAAGUAUAAUUGAGUCUAAUUUAAGUAUAUUAGCAUCCCUCCUAAUCCCCGGCCUAGAACGAUCCUUACUUGUCCAUACUACAAUUAUCAAAAAGAGAGUUUAAUUUGUGUGCUAGUUUAAUUUCACAUCAAAUUUUGGCGCCGUUGCCGGGGAUUAGCAACAUUGCUAAUCUCCCUGUGUUUAUUUUCGUGUGUUUUGCUUUCUGUUCUGAUUUUUGUUUUGUUUUCUUUGUUUUAGGUACUAGUUUAUGACUCGAAGUCCUCAACCUGUUUGUGCACACAUAUUGGAGUUUGACGACGAUUUUGAACGAACUUUGAGAAGAAAAAGGAAGCAGCCAGAACAUAAUCCACCUGGUUCUAGCUCUGAAUCCGAGUUUGAAGAAGAGGAAGAGAAAGAACAAGCCAUGGCUGUGGAUAAUCAAACAAUCAAGGAACUCUUCGCCUCGGGAUUAGACAAUGUCGUGCCCCUUUGCAUUCAAUACCCUACAGCAGCCCAAGGCAAGACCAAUGAGUUCAAAUUGAAGUCUAGUUUGUUGCAUCACAUUCCCAAAUACCAUAGGUUGUCCAUGGAAGAUCCGAACAAACAUUUGAAGGAAUUUGAAGUGGUGUGCUCGAGCAUGACACCAAUCAACGUGGAUGGCAAUAUUCUGAAGAUGAAAGCCUUUCCAUUCUCUCUUAUGGACAAGGCUAAAGAUUGGCUUUAUGAAUUAGCACCUGGAACUGUCACUUCUUAGGAAAGCAUGAAGAGAGCAUUCUUAGAGAAAUUCUUCCCAACUUCAAGAGUCAUUCUUUUGAGGAAGAAAAUUAGUGGGAUUCAACAAAGCUAAGGAGAAUACUUUCCAGCAUACUAUGAGCGUUUUAAGACGUUAGUUGCAUCCUACCCACAACAUCAAAUGAAGGAAGAGCUUUUAAUUCAAUAUUUCUACAAAGGACUACAUCCAAUUAAGAGACAAAUGCUAGAUGCCUCGGCAGGUGGUGUUUUGGUUGACAAAACCCAGUUGCAGCCAAGAUCUUAAUAGCAAAUCGAGCCUUGAAUGCACAACAAUACGAAGGAAUUGGACAAAGAGACCCUCCAUGGCAACACCAAGUUAAUGAGGUAAGUUCAAUGGCUGAAAUUCAAUCUCAAUUAGCUAAUCUCACUGUUCUUGUGUCACAUGUUGCAAAAGGAUCAAAAGUACAAAGAACAAGCACUUGUGGCGUGUGCUCUAUGCAAGGACAUCUCAAUAAUCAAUGCCCUCAGUUGAUAAAGAAUAGGGGAUGGGAAAAUGCCAAUGUCAUCGGUUAUCAAAGCCAAAAUCAACCAAGGAAUGAUCCAUACUCCAACACUUACAAUCCGGGUUGGAGAGAUCACCAAAAUAUGAAGUAGAUGGAGCCUCAACAAGCUCCACAACAAGGGCGGUAUAGACAGCCACCUUCGGGACUCUAUCAAAGGCCAUUCGCACCAAUUCAACCUCAACCACAAUCUGCCCAAUCAAACUCAGGUUCGUCAUUGGAUAAUGAUAAACUUCUUCAAUUACUAACUUCAUUAACGCAAGGCCAAAAAAAUCAAGCCAAGGAGAUGAGCGAAGUGAAGAAGCAACUUGGGCAGAUGGCGGAGUUCAUGGAAAAGUUUAGAGAAGAAGGCAAACUACCUAGUUCAACCAUUGUCAAUCCGAAUAGAGGUUUUGAAACCGCCAAGGCAAUCACGUUAAGAAGUGGCAAGGAGGUUGGAAUCAACCCACAAAUAUCCAAAUCAAGCCAAAACGAGGAAGAGAAGCUGCUGCUCGAAGAAGAACAACUGGACAAACCCACGGCAAGGGUAAAACAACCCUUGCCGCAGCCACCUAAGCCUUCCACACUACCCAAUUCAGUUAAGGUUGGUUCAAAUUCGACUAUUUCUAACCCUAUUCCUCUGAAUGCACAUUACCCUUGCAGAUUUAUGCAAUCAAAGAAGGAAGAAAGUGAAAAGGACAUUCUGGAGAAGUUUAGAAAGGUGCAAGUCAAUAUCCCGCUCCUUGAUGCAAUCAAACAAGUUCCAAAAUAUGCCAAAUUUUUUAAGGAACGUUGCACAACAAAGAAGAGGAUCUCGAACAAGGAAGUGGUACAGGUAAGUGAGAAUGUCUCCGCAGUUUUGCAAAGAAAACUACCCCCUAAAUGUAAAGAUCCAAGUAGUUUCACAAUCCCUUGUGUUAUUGGCAAUACAAAAUUUGAGCAUGCCAUGUUAGACUUAGGUGCAUCCAUCAAUGUCGUGCCAUAUUCUAUUUAUGCAUCUAUGAACUUAGGAGAGCUGAAAAAUGAUGGAGUUAUUAUUCAAUUAGCUGAUCAUUCUAAUGCAUAUCCGAAAGGAGUUUUGGAAGAUGUUUUGGUGCAGGUUAAUCAUUUAAUCUUUCCAAUCGAUUUCUAUAUGCUAAAGAUGGAAGAUACAGUCCAUUCUACUCCAUUGCCGAUCCUACUCGAAAGACCAUUCAUGAAAACAGCUCGCACUAAGAUUGAUGUGUUCAAGGGACAUUGACAAUGCAAUUUGCAUAACUAUUUGAUUCAGAACUUAUUCUUGUAUGUUGAUUAAGGAGGCCUACUUAGUUUGCAUGGUUGGAUUUGAUGCUAAAAUAUAAGGGAAUUUCACCUAAUAGUUAUGAACUUAUAUUUACAAGUAGUGGAGGUUACUAGUCAUCAUCCUGUUAAGUGAAUUCCUGGCAGAAGUAUCAUGCUACUCAUAGUUACGAAUGCCCUGUCAAUGCUUAUGAUUUUCAUAGAGCUUAAUGAUCUUUGAUAUGUAUAUCUAUCAUGUUGUUCGUGUAGGGAACUUGAUAAGAAUAAUUUGGUCACGACACUGAGUCCGAUUCAAUGAACUUAGGAAAAUCUGAGGGUUACUUAGUGCUGUUCACGAUUAAUCUGGGGUAUUGUCAUUCAUGGUUUAUAGAAAGAGUAACUGAAAAUCGAUUCGUAUGCAUAUGUGUCAGGUGUGGAGAAGGACCCUCUAGCUAGCCAUUCACCUAGUAAAACACCCUAAAUUCGUAGUAAUUAGUUUGUUUUCUGCAAUUAACUUAGUUUUAUUUUUAAAUUCGUCAAAACCACUUUCCCCCUUUCUAUUUCGUGUUUUCUACGUUAGAAUAUCUUCAAUUGGUGUCUUUUUAAUGUUUUGAGUCUUUUUAAUUUAAAAUUCGUCCAAAGUCAUUCUUAGUGUUAGUUUAGAGUCAAUUUGUUUGUUUUGUGCUGUUUUGAGUAGUUUGAGUCAGUUUUGAGUCAUAAGAGUUUAGUUUAGUGUUUUUAAGCCUAGUUAAGUAUAAUUGAGUCUAAUUUGAGUAGAUUAGCAUCCCUCCUAAUCUUCAGCCUAGAACGAUCCCUACUUAUCCAUAAUUAUCAAAAAGAGGGUUUAAUUUGUGUGCUAGUUUAAUUUCACAUCAAAUUUUAGCACCAUUGCCGGGGAUUAGCAACAUUGCUAAUCUCUCUUUGUUUAUUUUCGUGUGUUUUGCUUUCUGUUCUGAUUUUUGUUUUGUUUUCUUUGUUUUAGGUACUAGUUUAUGACUCGAAGUUCUCAACCUGUUUGUGCACACAUAUUGGAGUUUGACGACGAUUUUGAACGAACUUUGAGAAGAAAAAGGAAGCAACCAGAACAUAAUCCACCUAGUUUCCAUUUUCACUUUGGCAGUAAAAUUUCUCUUCACAUUAUCAACAAUUUGUCCAUUCUUAUCAUGUGGUCGCGGCAUCCACCGUCAAUAUACCAAGUAUAUUGACUUUUAUUCUCGAGCCCCCACCAUAUCUCGGGCUCGAUGAUGCGAAAUAUAUAAGCACACAAAUUGAACCCUCUUUUUAUCAAUUGUAGCAAAGUAUGUAAGUAGGGAUCGUUCUAGACCGGGGAUUAGGAGGGAUUGCCAAAUCACUUGAAAACUGACUCAAAUACGUAAAAACAAGUUUAAAACACUAAACUAGACUCAAAGAAUGCAAAACUAAACUUUAAAACACCAAAACAAACCAAAAGACUCAAAACAGCAAACAAACACUCAAAACUGCCUUAAAAACACUUUCUGGGCAGUUUUGACACCUAACACUAAAUUGGACGAAAUUGGGUUAUAACUUGACUCAAGACCCUUAAAAACACAAACUAAAUUAAUUUCUACUUAAUCUAACACUUUAAAAUAAAUGGGGAAUUGGUUUUGACGAAAAUUGAAAACAAAAACAAAACUUGUAAAUUGAACAGAUUCUAAAACGAAUUUGAGAAAAGUGAAUGGAUGGAAAGCUAGCUAAGGGGUUCUUCUCCACACAAGUCACACUUGCAUACAAAAGGAUUUCCAAUUGCUUUUCGAUAAACCAUGAAUUCCCAACACCCCAGAUUAACCGUGAAUUGCACUAAUUAACCCUCAGAUUUUCCUUAAGUUAUUGGAUUGGAUGAAUUGCAUACGACAACCCAAAGCAUUCCCCACAAGUUCCCUACAUGAAUUGCAUAAUAGAGAUACAAGCAAGAAUCAUUAAGUUCUAUGAAAAUCAUAAGCAUUGGCGAAGCACUCGUUACUAUGAAUUGCAUGAAACUUAUGCCAAGAAUUUACUUAACACGAUUGUGAUCAACAACCUUUACUACUUUUGAAUAUAAGUUCAUAACGAUUAGGUGAAAUUCCCUUAUAUCCUAGUAUCAAACUUAUGCAUGAAAAUUAAGCGUGCACUCUCAACCAAUAGACACAAAUCAGUUUUAAUUCAUGUAGAUAAGUAAAUUGAAUUCACAACUUAUGAAACGCAAUUGAAAGUAAUCAAAUCAUAUAGCAAGCAUAAACAUGGUUUCGAAUCCCCCCCUAGCCAAGGGGGGUUUAGUUCCUCAUACUCACAAAGCAAAGAUACAUAAAUUUAGACAUUAAAAUCCAAAGAAAGAAAACACCUAGAUGAUCCAACUUGGACAGCAGGUGCAUCCACAAGUCUUCUUUCCUCCUUGCUGCGGCACUUGGUCUAAAGUCAGGUUCUAGGGUGGUAUUUGUAUGGGAGAAUGGGUAGGGAAUGGUAUGGAAGGGUUUAGGAUUGAUGGGGGGUACAGCUAGGGUAAAAAGAAUCAGAAAAAUAUGGAAGAAUGGUGAAGGAAGGCUGCGGCAAAGAGAGGGAAUGAUUUCUGGCUAAAAUUCUGAAUAUGGAGGGGUGGUUGAUGUGUUUUUGAUGUAGUGUAAUGUUUAGUGUUCUUCCUUUCACUCCCUAUUUAUAGAAGCUCCAAAGCAAAGAAUCACUCAAGUGGCUUCAAUAAACAAUACAAACAAAUACCAAAAUGAUGCAAAAACAGCUAGUUUACAUGCUCUUUUAUCAUUGUGUCUUGCCUUUAACAAAAGGCAAUCAUUCCUUUUUUGCUAAUUCAACUCCUUUGUAGCUGUCCAUGUGCCUUCAUUCUUCAAUUUCUGAUGCAUUUGCCUUGUAUUCCAUCCCUUUUCCACAUGUACUAGCUGUUAGACAACUUUCACACACAUGUUUUGCAUCAUUUCAGCUUGCAAUUAUGUUUGUAGUUGCUGAAAAUGUGAAUACAUCUUGUAAAACAAUCCAACAAAUGGCAUCUUUCACUUCUUUUCCUUUCAAAUUGUUCCUUAGGUGUAUGUAUCUGCACACUUCCACACUUCAACUUCAUUAUUCAGAUUUUUGCAUGUGUUGAAACCCUUUUUAAAAUACCAAAAACGUCCAUCCCACUUGCUCCAUAUGCAUGCAAUCCAUUUUGGCCCAAAAUUGCUCCAAAUUGCAUCUAAAUGCACUUUCUUUCCAACUUUGUUAUUAGGACCUACAAACACACGAAAAUAGCUUAAAACACUCUUAUAAGCAAUAACUAACUAAGUAAAUGCAAGAAAACAUGUUAACUAAGUCGCAUAAAUAUGCUCCUACAUAAUCCGAAAAUAUGCUCAUCAUGCAUCUUUGAAAUGUGGCAGGUGCAUUACAUAAACCAAAAGGCAUGCGACGAUAUGAAAAUGUACCAAAAAGGCAUGUAAAAGUGGUUUUUUCUUGGUCCUCGGGUGCUAUGACAAUUUGAUUAUAACCAGAAUAACCAUCAAGAAAACAAUAGAAAGCAUAACCCGCUAACCUUUCAAGCAUUUGGUCAAUGAACGGCAAUGGGAAGUGAUCCUUCCUUGUGGUGGCGUUUAGCUUCCUAUAAUCGAUGCACACCCUCCAACCAGUUUGAAUGCGUUGAGGAACAAGUUCAUUCUCGGCAUUAGCUACCACUGUCACUCCGGAUUUCUUUGGUACGCAUUGAACGGGCGAAACCCACCUACUAUCCGAGAUUGGAUAGACAACUCCACAAUCUAGAAGCUUUAUGAUCUUCUUCUUCACAACUUCCAUCAUAGGAGGGUUGAGACGGCGUUGAGCCUCUCGAGAUGUUUUAGACCCCUCCUCCAAAAGUAUGCGAUGCAUGCACGUAGUAGGGUUAAUUCCCUUGAUGUCGGCCAAUGUCCAUCCAAUUGCCGUUUUGUACUCCUUUAGCACCCUCACUAAUUUACUCUCCUCUUGUGCCAUGAGUGAGGAUGAAAUGAUGACGGGCAAUGUCUCAUCCUCUCCCAAGAAAACAUACCUCAAGUGACUAGGCAAUGGCUUAAGUUCAAGUGUGGGUGGCUGCACAACUGAGGGAAGCAUUUUAUUAGCCGAAACCAAACUUAAAAUAGGGUCCAAAAACUUACCAGUUUGUGAUGGCAAUGACUCAAGGGCAGCCACCAUCUCAAUGAUAUCUUCACUAGGGGGCAUGGCAAUGGAAUCCUCAUGCAUGUCGUGGGUUUCCUUAGUGGCUGUUUCAAUGUUUUUCAUGUUCUUUCCUUGUGCAAUGACCAAUUCAAGUGCAUCGUCCUUCAAAUUGUCAAAAUGGUCCUGCGCCAAAGAGUCAAUUAUAUCAAUAGCAAAACAUGAAUGAUUUUCACUAGGAAACUUCAUAGAAUCAAAAAGAUUGAAAUUAAUCACUUCCCCAUCAAAUUUCAUCGUUAAAGUGCCAUUAAACACGUCAAUCUUUGUUCGGGCCGUUUUCAUGAAUGGCCUUCCAAAGAGGAUGGGUAAUGAAGGGGUAUGGUUCGAUUCAUCCAUCUCAAGUACGUAGAAAUCCGCCAGAAAGAUCAAAUGAUUAACCUGCACUAAAACAUCCUCCAAAACUCCCUUUGGAUAUGCAUUAGAUCUAUCGGCCAAUUGUAUUACCAAUGACACAAUGAAUCGUAAAACUACCCGAAUCUUUGCAUUUAGGGGGCAGUUUGCGUUGCAAGAUGGCUGACACGUUCUCGCCUACUUUCACAACUUCCUUGGUCGACAUCCUCUUCCUCGUGGUGCAAAGUUCCUUCAAGAACUUGGCGUACCUCGGGACUUGCUUGAUUGCAUCCAAAAGGGGUAUGUUGACUUGAACUUUCCUAAAUGUCUCUAGAAUAUCCUUUUCAGCUUCUUCUUUCUUUGUUUGCUUGAACCUAUUUGGAAAAGGAACAUUCGAAGGAAAAACAUUAGUAGGAACUGGAUUUGACACGUUCUUACCUCUAUUGGACAGAUUGGAUGACUUAGGAUCACAUAGGGCUUGCGGCAAAGAUGUUUCCACCUUUGCCGUGGGUGGUUUUUGUUCUUCCUCUUCAAUCAUCAACUCCUCCACCUCGUUAGAACGUGAUUUGGAGUGUUGGGGUUCAGAUCCUACGUGCUUCCUAUUUCGUAAAGUUAUAGCUUUUGCAGAUUCGAAUCCACCUUUUGGAUUGACCACGGUUGAACUAGGCAACUUGCCUUGCUCUCGAAACUGCCCCAUAAACUCGGCAAUUUGCCCCACUUGCUUCUCCAACUCGUCCACCUUCUUGUCCCUAGUUUGCAUGCCCUGUGCCAUAGAAGUUAGUAAAUUAAAAAUCUGAUCAUUAUCAAUAGAAGAACCUGAUUUUUGGGCGGGUUGUACUUGGGGUUGAGUUGGUGCAAACGGCUUUUGAUAGAAACCCGGGGGUUGUUGCCUAAAUGUGCUUUGUUGUUGGCCUUGUUGGGGUUCUCGCCAUUUGAAAUUUGGAUGAUCACGCCAACCGGGAUUUUAAGUAUUAGAAAAGGGGUCAUUCCUCGGUUGGUAUUGGUUGCCAAAUCCCACGACAUUAAGGGUCUCCCAACCUCCAUUCUCUAUCAAUUGUGGGUACUUGUCCAUAAGGUGUCCUUGCAUGGAGCAUACGCCACAAGCUGCCACGUUUUGCACUUUUGGACCUUCCACCACCUGAGAAAGCAAAGUAGUAAGGUUAGCCAUUUGAUUUUGAAGUUCGGUUAUGGCACUUACCUCAUUCACUUGGUGUUGCCGUGGGUUGCUCCUUUGUCCAACACCUUCGUAUUGUUGGGCAUUCAACGCUCGAUUGGAGAUUAAUGUCUUGGCUGCCGUGGGGGUCUUGUCCACCAAGGCUCCUCCCGCCGAGGCAUCUAGCAUUUGACGUUCGAUUGGUAGUAGCCCCUCAUAGAAGUAUUGUAGAAGAAGUUCCUCCUUCAUCUGAUGCUGUGGACAUGAAGCAACAAGAGAUUUAAAACGUUCAUAGUAAGUAGGAAAAGAUUCACCUUCAUCUUGUUGAAUUCCACUUAUCCUUUUUAGUAGGAGGAUGACUUGAGAAGUUGGGAAAAACUUCUCCAAGAAAGCCCGUUUCAUGCUCCCAAGAUGUGACCGUUCCGGGAGCUAAUUUAUACAACCAAUCUUUCGACUUUUCCAUGAGAGAAAAGGGAAAAGCCUUCAUCUUCAAUAUGCUCCCGUCAACAUUGAUUGGAGUCAUGCUUGAACACACCACCUCGAACUCUUUCAAGUGCUUGUUAGGAUCCUCCAUGGACAACCCAUGGUACUUCGGCAUGUGGUGUAGCAAACUUGACUUCAACUCGAAUUCCUCGGUCUUUCCUUGGGUAGCAGCGGGAUAUUGAAUACAUAGAGGUGCGGCAUUAUCUAAUCCCAAAGCCGAAAGCUCCUUGAUUGUACGAUUGUCUUAUGCCAUGGCUUCCUCUACUUCACCCACUCUUGCCGUGGGUUCCUCUUCUUCAAACUCAACUUCGGCUUCUGAAUUUGAUUUUGAUUCACUAGGUUUUGGAUUCUUCCUUUUUCGCCUCAAUUCUCGCUCAAAAUCGUCGUCAAAGUCCAAGAUGUGUUCACGAAUCAGAUGAGAACUCUGAGUCAUAAACUAGUACCUAAAAACAAGAAAACAAAACAAGGUCAGAAUCUGGAAUUCAUUAAAACAAACUGAAAUAAAACAAUUCAAGGGAUUAGCAAUGUUGCUAAUCCCCGGCAACGGCGCCAAAAAUUUGAUGCGAAAUAUAUAAGCACACAAAUUAAACCCUCUUUUUAUCAAUUGUAGCAAAGUAUGUAAGUAGGGAUCGUUCUAGACCGGGGAUUAGGAGGGAUUGCCAAAUCACUUGAAAACUGACUCAAAUACGUAAAAACAAGUUUAAAACACUAAACUAGACUCAAAGAAUGCAAAACUAAACUUUAAAACACUAAAACAAACCAAAAGACUCAAAACAGCAAACAAACACUCAAAACUGCCUUAAAAACACUUUCUGGGCAGUUUUGACACCUAACACUAAAUUGGACGAAAUUGGGUUAUAACUUGACUCAAGACCCUUAAAAACACAAACUAAAUUAAUUUCUACUUAAUCUAACACUUUAAAAUAAAUGGGGAAUUGGUUUUGACAAAAUUGAAAACAAAAACAAAACUUGUAAAUUGAACAGAUUCUAAAACGAAUUUGAGAAAAGUGAAUGGAUGGAAAGCUAGCUAAGGGGUUCUUCUCCACACAUGUCACACUUGCAUACAAAACGAUUUCCAAUUGCUUUUCGAUAAACCAUGAAUUCCCAACACCCCAGAUUAACCGUGAAUUGCACUAAUUAACCCUCAGAUUUUCCUUAAGUUAUUGGAUUGGAUGUGUUGAUGCACAAAACCGAAGGUAUUGGAACAACGUAAAUCUGACCGUGAAUCUGCAUGAAAUGUAAAUGACACAAGAUGUAUCGUGGUUCACCUCAAGGUUUGGGCUACGUCCACACUGAUUAUGUAUUUAUCUGAGGGAGAGAGAGCUCUGAAAGUGAGAGCGUUGAGAGGGGGUGAGAGGGCCUAGAAAUUGGUCUCCGAGAGUCAGAGUGAGGCCUCUCCUCAUUGUGAGGGUGAGGGGUCCUUUUAUAGAAUAAGGACUCCUCACUUAUUACAUAUUUGCCUCUUCCUUUAUUACAUAAUUACAUUUAAGUCCAUCGAGUAUUUGUACGAGAUCUAAAUACGAUGCCCUAAAUAUGGUAUAAACAGUAGUCCCCCAAGUCUUCAGUCAAGAGAGUCUUUUGACUGGAGACUUGAAAUUCAGUCCAUGUGUGGGCCGAAGUAACUAGAUGCUGUCUUGAACUGAUGCUCGAUAUGAGACAGUGCUUAAUCUGAAAUGACGCUCAACUAGAAGUAGCACACGUUGCGAGGCUGCUCGGCUUGUGGCUUAUGUUGCCUUGGUUGGCUCGGCUUGCGGUGUUGAAGGUGAGGGAGUCCCUUUUAUAAAAUAAGGGCUCGCUCCUCAAUACAUGAAUGAUGGGCUAGAGUUGAUGCUCGCGGCGAGGUGGUUGCUCAGUAAGUGGCGAUGCUCUCUAAUGGUGGUGAGGGAGUCCCUUUUAUAGAAUAAGGGCUCGCUCCUCAAUACAUGAAUAAUGGGUUAUGAGUGAUGCUCGCGGCAAGGCGGUUGCUCAGCGAGCGGCGAUGCUCUCUAACGAAGGUGAAUGAGUCCCUUUUAUAAAAUAAGGGUUCGCUCCUCAAUACAUGAGUGAUGGGCUAAGUCCCCCAAGUAUUUUUCUUGAGUGCUCUCUAAUGAAAGUGAGGGAGUCCCUUUUAUAGAAUAAGGGCUCGCUCCUCAGUACAUAGAUAAUGGGUUUAAGUCCCUUAAGUAUUUUCAUAAGGUCCAGUUGAGGCCCAAUAUAUGGUACAUAAUGUAGUCCCCCAAGUCUUCGGUCAAUAGAGUCUGUUGGCUGGAGACUUCAAAUUGAAUCCAUGUAUGGGCCGAAGUGGCUGUUGUUCAGAGGCGGUGUGUGUAUACCCUGCACUGAAGCUUUGUAGGUGAAGCUUUGUAGGUGAAGCUUUGCAAGAAAAGCUUUGAAGCUAGAGCUCUGUAAAUGACGCUUUGAAGCUAAUUAACAUGAGUGAUGCUCAUGAAUGUUUAUGUUGAUUGACAUGAGUGAUGCUCAUGAAUGUUUAACAUGAGUAAUGCUCAUGAAUGUUGACAUGAAUGAUGGUCAUGAAUGUUUAUGUAUGAUUGUCAUGAGUGAUGCUCAUGAAUGUUUAUGUAUGAAUGACAUGAGUAAUGCUCAUGUAUAAUUUAGAGUACUGGGCGUACUUUUGAUCACCUGGUUGGUGGCAUGAAGGAGAGUACAGGUUGUACAUUUCAUUACUUGGUUGGUGGUAAUAGCGGCAGGUUGCCGAAUAAUUUUGGAGUACUGGACGUACUUUUGAUCACCUGGUUGGUGGCAUGAAGGAGAGUACGGGUUGUACAUUUCAUUACUUGGUUUGUGGUAAUAGCGGCAGGUUGCCGAAUAAUUUUGGAGUACUGAGCAUACUUUUGAUCACCUGGUUGGUGGUAAUAGCGGCGGGUUGUCGAAUAAUUGUGAAGUACUGGGCGUACUUUUGAUCGUCUGGUUGGAGCUAUUUUGGGCUUAUGGGCUUUCGCCCUCUACACAACAUUCCAGCCCAUUUACUUUGGGCUUUGCCGUUUUUUUUUUCUUUUUACCCUCUGAUGGGGUUUAUACAAAUGUUUCCAAAAUAUAAGGAAAAUAAAUUACAUCAUUCUGAUGGGGUAUUUAUUCCUUGUUUUUGCAGUGUCUCCAUGUGCAUCCCUUUUGCUUUCCUCUUUUCUGCUUUCCGAAAUAUUCUCCUAACAACAUGAUCUUUUUCUUUUCUGUUCCUUUCUUUGAUCUCUCCACCUCCAGACACACUCACUUGCUUUUGCUUUUACUUUCCCUUUUCUUUCUCUUUCCUUUUGCUUUGUCCGCCAUUGCCUUUCUCUUUCAGCCCGGUUUCUGCUGUUUGAACACAAAGCUGGUGUACUCCAGCUGUAAAAAAUGUAAAAAACGUAAAGAACGUGGCCUCCCACUCCAUUUCUUUGUCUUCAGAACCCCACCUCAAUGACCAUUUGCUAUCGUGGUCAAAGCAUGUUCAGAUUCACGUGUUUUGUUACUGGGCACUUCAGGUUUAAACUCCACGGGCAAACUCAAGUACUGGGCAAAUUUCAGGUUCUCAUUGAUAAUGAUUUCUUAUCUAAACAAGAUCCAUUGCAGCUAAAACCCGAAAAGAUAUUGAUCUUUCCAUUUCUCUUUUUCUUCUUGCUCUGAGACGGGGUUCUCAGCGAAGUACUCGGAGUUCCUGCCUGCUCUUUGGUUGCUUGUGCUUCUGACCACCUCUAUUUUCUUCCUUUGAGCCAUCAACCAAAUCAGUAGAAGGCCUCUCCUCCUCGGCAGACCCAACCCCAACCCCAGGCUCAGCGCUAGAUUCCUGCUGCUUCUUUAACAGCUCAACAAACGAUGUCGUCGCGGAGGCUCCUCCGGCUCCGCAGACCACUGACCUCCGGUAUCGGCCUCCUGGAGUGAUGGGCUAGAACGGAAACCCGCUGAUUUCUGAUUGUUCUACGGUGGUCGAAGCAACUGUGGGUGUGAUUCCGGAUGAAGUUCAAGUUGGAAAUGGAAGCAAAGGUGGUGCUUCCCAUCUCUCCUUCGACACUUCCAGGUGCAAGUUCGCUUCUUCUUAUUCUUCCUCCUCUGGUUCUUUUGGUUUGUACUCGCUUUCCUUUUAUAUAAAAAACUGAACAACUUUUGACUGGUGAAUGACUGGUUCUUCUUUCUUCAGCUUGGCAGAGCGAUAAUUUUGGAAUCGCAGCCAAUGGCGCAUUCUGGCACCACCUAUCUUGAUGCAUAUCUCAAUGACUAAAAAGCACAUAACCCCAGAAACAAGGGAGAGAGAGUUUUUUUUUUUUUUUUUUUAAUUUUUUUAAAGAGAGGGAGAGGGUGAGAUCUAGAAUUAGAGACAUGAAAAGAUGCAGUGGUAGCUGUGUUAUUGAGAGAGAGAUGGAAAAUGGGUUUUUGGAUGGUUUCUUAAAACUUCAGAGUCUGCGAAGGUUUUCUGGGUUCUUGGGUUUUUGCAGAUUCACGGUGGAGGUGAAAAAAUGAAAGAGAGCCGACACAACUUUUUGUAUCGUUUCCCACAGACGGCGCCAAAUGUUGAUGCACAAAACCGGAGGUAUUGGAACAACGUAAAUCCGACCGUGAAUCUGCAUGAAAUGUAAAUAAUACAAGAUGUAUCGUGGUUCACCCCAAGGUUUGGGCUACGUCCACACUGAUUAUGUAUUUAUCUGAGGGAGAGAGAGCUCUGAGAGUGAGAGCGUUGAGAGGGGGUGAGAGGGCCUAGAAAUUGGUCUCCGAGAGUCAGAGUGAGGCCUCUCCUCAUUGUGAGGGUGAGGGGUCCUUUUAUAGAAUAAGGACUCUUCACUUAUUACAUAUUUGCCUCUUCCUUUAUUACAUAAUUACAUUAAAGUCCAUCGAGUAUUUGUACGAGAUCUAAAUACGAGGCCCUAAAUAUGGUAUAAACAGGAUGAAUUGCAUACGACAACCCAAAGCAUUCCCCACAAGUUCCCUACAUGAAUUGCAUAAUAGAGAUACAAGCAAGAAUCAUUAAGUUCUAUGAAAAUCAUAAGCAUUGGCGAAGCACUCGUUACUAUGAAUUGCAUGAAACUUAUGCCAAGAAUUUACUUAACACGAUUGUGAUCAACAACCUUUACUACUUUUGAAUAUAAGUUCAUAACGAUUAGGUGAAAUUCCCUUAUAUCCUAGCAUCAAACUUAUGCAUGAAAAUUAAGCGUGCACUCUCAACCAACAGACACAAAUCAGUUUUAAUUCAUGUAGAUAAGUAAAUUGAAUUCACAACUUAUGAAACGCAAUUGAAAGUAAUCAAAUCAUAUAGCAAGCAUAAACAUGGUUUCGAAUCCCCCCUAGCCAAGGGGGGUUUAGUUCCUCAUACUCACAAAGCAAAGAUACAUAAAUUUAGACAUUAAAAUCCAAAGAAAGAAAACACCUAGAUGAUCCAACUUGGACAGCAGGUGCAUCCACAAGUCUUCUUUCCUCCUUGCUGCGGCACUUGGUCUAAAGUCAGGUUCUAGGGUGGUAUUUGUAUGGGAGAAUGGGUAGGGAAUGGUAUGGAAGGGUUUAGGAUUGAUGGGGGGUACGGCUAGGGUAAAAAGAAUCAGAAAAAUAUGGAAGAAUGGUGAAGGAAGGCUGCGGCAAAUAGAGGGAAUGAUUUCUGGCGAAAAUUCUGAAUAUGGAGGGGUGGUUGAUGUGUUUUUGAUGUAGUGUAAUGUCUAGUAUUCUUCCCUUCACUCCCUAUAUAUAGAAGCUCCAAAGCAAAGAAUCACUCAAGUGGCUUCAAUAAACAAUACAAACAAAGACCAAAAUGAUGCAAAAACAGCUAGUUUACAUGCUCUUUUAUCAUUGUGUCUUGCCUUUAACAAAAGGCAAUCAUUCAUUUUUUGCUAAUUCAACUCCUUUGUAGCUGUCCAUGUGCCUUCAUUCUUCAAUUUUUGAUGCAUUUGCCUUGUAUUCCAUCCCUUUUCCACAUGUACUAGCUGUUAGACAACUUUCACACACAUGUUUUGCAUCAUUUCAGCUUGCAAUUAUGUUUGUAGUUGCUGAAAAUGUGAAUACAUCUUGUAAAGCAAUCCAACAAAUGGCAUCUUUCACUUCUUUUCCUUUCAAAUUGUUCCUUAGGUGUAUGUAUCUGCACACUUCCACACUUCAACUUCAUUAUUCAAAUUUUUGCAUGUGUUGAAACCCUUUUUAAAAUACCAAAAACGUCCAUCCCACUUGCUCCAUAUGCAUGCAAUCCAUUUUGGCCCAAAAUUGCUCCAAAUUGCACAUUCUUUCCAACUUUGUUAUUAGGACCUACAAACACAUGAAAAUAGCUUAAAACACUCUUAUAAGCAAUAACUAACUAAGUAAAUGCAAGAAAACAUGUUAACUAAGUUGCAUAAAUAUGCUCCUAUCACUCGACUCCACCGUAGCACGAUAUUGUCCGCUUUGAGCCCUGACCACGCCAUCACAGCUUUGUUUCUGGGAACUCACACGAGAACUUCCCAGUGGGUCACCCAUCAUGGGAUUGCUCUCAUGCGGACUCGCUUAACUUCGGAGUUCCGAUGAAACCUGAAGCCAGUGAGCUCCCAAAAGGCCUCGUGGUAGGUAGAAAUGAGAAUAUACAUAUAAGACUUACAAGAUCCAAUCCCCUGGACGAUGUGAGAUGUAACAGCAAGCAUAGAAAAGAGUCCCUAUCUCUUCAACUUGGUUGACAUAAUUUGCCUUAUGUACUACUUUGUGCCCAUUGCAGUUUCUAGGUUCAUGACCAAACAUUCCAUGACCAAACUUUCCAUAGUUGGUGCAUUUGUGUUUUCCUUCAAACCAGCACUUCCCAUAAUGCAAUUUGUCAAAAUGUUUACAAGUAGUAUUGUUUGAAUCCUGAGUGGCAACCUGUUUGGGAGCAAAGUUGGGCUUAUUAUCCUAUUUCUUUUUCUUCUUCUAGUUUUUCCCUAUCUUUUGAUUGUCAGAAAAACCACUAGAUUUAGGAUAAUUGUAACCUACAUUUAGGCUAGCAAAUACUCUCUCAUUAGAGUUCUCAACAUGUCUAUCCAACCUUUGUUCAAAACCCCUUCAAUGAAGCUACAACUUCUUGUACCACAAGAUAUCAAGAUCCUUAGAAUGCUCAAUCACAUUACAAAUCGAAUCAUAGGAUCUAGGCAACCUUAGAAGCUACAACUGGUAUGAUGACAUCCUUUACAAAGGAUUAGUUUGGAGCCCAAUAUAACAUUCUCUAAGAAGGAUUCAUAACAUUAACGAGAGACGGUUAGAGAUAGAGAUUCAUAUCGCCCUCGAAUCUCAAACGUUGAAUUAUCAUAAUUUACCACUUCUAUUAUAUGGAUAAUACUUGCAUUCCCCCUUAAGGGAUGAGCUCAUUCCCACAUGCAAAUAUAUAUUUACUGUACAAAUUUCAUAAUCGGAACAGUUUAAUUUCUUAAUUCUCAUUUGAACAUCACCCCUACAAAAACUCAUUUAAAUCGAACAACAUUUAGUUAUUCAAAUGUAUGGAAUAAAUCAAAGGUGUAGGUACCAAGUACCAUAUUCAUGAUGAAUUGUUCAUAUAUUUAAUACAUUUGGAUGAUUAAACCAAUUCCGAUUCGAAUGAUUUUCCAUAGGAGUGAUCUUCAAAUGAUGAUUAAGAAAUUAAAUGGUAUCGUUGAUUCUAAAUUAAAGUCGAAUCAAAGAUAUAUCCAAAAGCCAGUUAAACAGAGAUACAAUCAAAAGUUUAGAGGUUAAUUAUAAUGGUAUUUCUUAGGUAUCCGUUAAAUUCCACUAAUCAUAAUAAGAUGAUCAUCACAAACUAUCUUUAUUAACUCAGUGGCUUGGCAUGCAAUCAGUUAGCAUAUUCAGUUAACCACACAAGCUACAACACAACACUUGAUACAGAUCGGACAAUGCAGAAACUUACUAUACCAAAUGAGAAUGCUACAACCUCGUCAGCCAACUUCUGCCCCCCUAUUUGUUAUUUUCUCUAGUUAUCCAAACCGUGCAAGAAAAGCAACAAGAAAAACAUGUACGCAGACUAAUGCGAGAAUUUCAGAAAGAUAAGAGUGUACAAGCUUCCAUAUGCUGCACGAAUCCUAUGCAGUGGUGUCAAGGAACGGAUAAUCAGUGUAGCCAAUAACCGGUUCAGACACGUAGAAUGUGCUUCUGUUGUACUUGUUCAGAGGAGCAUUAAGCUCAAACCUCUUCGGCAAGUCUGGGUUAGCCAAGAACCAACGACCAUAAGCAAUAAGAUCUGCACGGCCCUCAGCCACAGCAUUGUUC